AUAUCUGCAACCACCUGUUUUGCGGCAGCUAUCGCUGUUGCGACUGUCUCAGAUGAUUUCUUCUCAAUCGGAAUCUAAACCUUCUGGCUGAUGUUUUCUUCAGUUAACCUCCGUCUUUCCUUUCGCUCCUCCGUGGUCUCACGGUAGUACUUCUUCCACGUGGCGCCGUCUACGACACCGUCCACGCGUCCAUACGACGGCCGAUUCUCCACCAGGAGUCCUUUCAAUAUGUUCAAUACCCGGUUGAAUGGAGUCUACCACUUGGGCCUCGCCAACGCCUCAGACGGCGAGUCACUUUCGGCUGCAAUCUUGUGCUGCUCUCUCUUCAAAAGGAACAAGGAUCGUUUACAAAUAUGACUAAACGUGCAGUCGAAUUGAUCAGAAACUAAAAUUACCAGCAGUCUCGUGAACUCCGUCGUGAUCGGGUCCGUCUUAAAAACCUUCUUGACUGAGUCCCAAUGGUGCCGUGCCCCGAGGACGUCACGCUCCUGCGGGACGGUGAAGUCCGCCAAGGGGUCUGGGAUGCCCAGACGUUCGCGUUCCGCGUCCUCCUUGGCCCAUAUGGACCUCUUCCCGCCGUAACCACGGCUUCCGAGGUGGUGGCGCCCCAUGUUCCUUUGUUGAAGCCCUUUCAUGUACUUCGACUUUUUUUUGGCAGCUUCGGCCUCGCAAGCCGCCUUGAAUUUUUCAAAGUGCUCUCCCGUGAUUGUCGGAUUAUCCUUUACAAUCUCGGAGUAUGGUUCCUUUUUGUCGACAAUCCGAUGUUUCAACCUUGUUUUCCAGGUGGCCAACGUGUCGCUAAACUUGGUCAUGGCGUGUUUGUUUAUCUUCUUCAUUGCCGGGUCCUUAUUUGGAUAUUUAUAAUCCUUUUCAUUCCGGCCCGGGAACAACAAUAUCUGGUGCAGCUUCUUUAGGAGGGAGGACCUCAUAUUAUCUAUCUUCUGUAGUUUCCCAUGGUUGAUCGUGGCAGUUAUCCGUACGAUGCAGCCUAUUUGAUUGCCGUAGCACGAUCGCGCUUCCUUGGGCGCUAUUGUCUGAAAAAUACGGUCGUCCAUCUCCGUGACCACCAGUCUAGUUGUCAUGAGCUGGUUUGGGCGCCGUGGCUUCUUAGCUUUCGGUUCUAGAUCAGCUCCGCUAGUCUCGGCGCCGGUCUCAGUCUCAUCGCCGGUCUGCAUGUCGGUAUCAGUCCCCGAUGCGACAGGUCGGCCCAGCAACAACAUUCGUUGAUCGUCGGCAAGGCUCAAAAAUUCAUCUGCCGCCAGGUAGACGUGUCGCAAUCACCAGAACCCUAUCCUUCAUCAUUGCUAGCCAUGUUUCCUACGAUUAUAUCUAGUCAAUUAAUUCUAGACCUAAUAAAAUGAAUAAUGACAUAAAACAGGCCAAUGUUUUGCAGGAUUACAACUCAACCCAUUGCAGAUUAGAAAACAAUCCCGUGUGAAUGCACAGGCUGACGACUAGUAUAUAUAAAGCUUAAUGGUGCCUAAGAAAGCUCGCACAAUUUUACAGUGGCUAUGGAAAUGUGUUGCCAAACUUUGACAUAAGAUUUUCGUUUGGCAUCCAGAGUUGCAAAACGCUUGUGUUGUCCUUAAUCCAUGGCCACUCUAAUUUUUCCGGCUGGGCCUUCCCUGUGGUAUCGCGGCAAGGCUUGCGUGUGUAUAUGUUUCCUUUAACUACCACUAGCACAUAUGCCCGUGCGUGCGUUGCAACGGGAGAGAUAAUGGCGUAUCCACCAAUAUAUCUAACAGCAUGACCCAACAAUAUCCGAAUGAUGUCACCCGAUGACGGCAGGAAGGCACGCACAGAGGUCUAGUAAAAACUCAUAUCAAUUGUAAGGGCAUGGUUAAUUCGCGUGAAUUCAGGGGUGUGAGAUUAGUUAGUGUUGGUCCCACAAUUGAAUUCGGGGGGUGAUUAGUUAGUGUGGGCCCACCCUCGAAUUCACGGGGGGAGACAAAAUAAUUAGGGUGAGGAGAGAUUUACGGGGCUUGGUCCCCAGAUGCGUUGUGGCAGUCAUUAUUCGAGCAUUGCAAUGCUCGCACGUGACGAGCUCUUUUUCCAAUUGUAUAUUAAGAAGCAUGCUACAGAUACAAUGUUUUUGAUACGUUUUUUGUACAAUGAUCCUGAUCUUAAAGGGCCACCUAAUUUUUAUAUCUUAAAGGCAUUAUUUGUAAGUUGUCGUGAAAAAAAUCUCGCUAAAAGGGUUGUGUUAGACCAUCUUCAGUACAUUAGAAAUAACGAAUUAUAAUUCCUUGGCAUUUGAAGAAACAAUCGCUACUUAUUUACACAUACAAUUCUUUUGGUACGAUUUUGAAAUCUUGAAGGCAUUAUUUGUAAGUUGAAGCAAUUUUGAAAUCUCACUAAAAGGUCUGUUAGACCCUCUAGAGCUUUAGAAAUAACUAAUUAUAAUUUUGCAAAAAAAAGAAAUAACUAAUUAUAAUUCCUUAAGCAUCUGACCGAAACGACCCCGAAUUAUUGUCUGGGUAGUAAUUCCUUUGCAACAUUAUUCUCUCCUUUUUUGAAGGAGCUCUUGCCUGGGUAGUAAUUCCUAUUUGCAAGGUUAUUCUCUCCUUCAUUUUUACAGGAGCUCUCCUUCCUUAUACUAAUUGGUCAUUAUCCUCUCCUUCCUUUUUCUUUUUGCCAAACUCUCUUUCCAUACUUAUGCCGCUAACCACGCCACUCUUUUUCCUUAUUUAUGCCCUUUGAUCACGCCACACAUCUCAUGAAAUCUAAGCCAUAUCACCCAUCUUUUUUCCUUAUUCUCAAAGGCGCUUUCCUCACAAACAGUAGUUCUCUAGGAUGCUUAACGAUUUUGAAACAGAAACAUAUAUAAAUCGGUAGAACGGGUUGUCAAGCAGCGAGGUGGUACUAGUUUAUAAAGAAACAAAUUAACCUUUUCUUUUUGUGUAAUGAUGCCUUGGUUCGGCUGGUUGCUGCCUUUGCCCUUGAUGUGCAGCGUUGGGAAAAGGAUGGGCGAAGUGGACGAACCAAAAACGGACAAAAUUACGGUAGUAAGAAGCGAUAGCCCAUUUAUUAGUAGGUAUAGAUAUAGAUGUCGAGGAUGAGGAUUUACUGCACACAAGUGCGGGGGCACUCAGGUCCUGGUGCCGGCCUUUUAUUUUGGCUUCCGAUUUUCAAACUUCUAUAUCUUUUAAACGAAAAGUUCAAUUUAAGUUACGUUUUCAUAUUCGUGCUUCUCGCGGCCAGCGCUUUCAAAUAAGAUCCAUUUUGCAUACAUUUUGGCUGCUUUUGGAAACAUUGCUAAGUUUCAUUGUUUGAAACUUAGUACGAGCGACCGAUAAAAUUUAAUUAUUUUGUGUCUACGACCAACAGGAGAAAUUGCUUAAAAUUACAUCUUUGAAACUGGUCAUUUUUUUACUGUGUCCUACUUCACGAAUCACGAGGCAAAUCAAGUAGGCGGCAUGCCCUGGCCGGUGAGUGCCAUUGCACUUACUUGCCCCAGCGAUUUUCCGCGUGCAUUGUAGAAUUCUUUCUCCGAGUCCUGUGAAUUAAAGAUGGUGCAGACAAAAGUAUAUCCUAUAUGCGUACAUGUGCAUGAUCAGAACAUGUUUUUACGUGCGUCUACUAUAAAUCAUGACCAUUUUUAACACAAAUCAUGACCAUUCAUGAUUAGUGAAUCAUACUGUCUUAACUUAUGUGAAAUCAUGUGGAGUAAUAUAAUAUAAUACAAUAGAUAGACAGAUCCAUGUUGUAUUAUUUUUUGUUUACAAAAAAAUCUGUAAUUACACAUUUUGAUUUAUGCAUUUGUUUACAAAAAAACAGUAACAUUUCAUGGUGGAAAGUUUGUAUUGUUUCAUACUGAACACCAAUGUUUUCCUGUAAAAGAAAAUAAUGCCUACGCAUAUGCUUUUAUAUUAUUAUUAUUCUUUCAAACUUAUUCAUAUAGUAUUUUUGAUUGUGCAACCAUAAUUUUUAUUAUCUCUCUCGUUCCACUACAUGCUCUUACUCAAUGAUUUUCUUUAUAAUGGGUGUUUUUAUUAACUCAAAAUAUAGCAUCAAGCGGAUACAGAACAUACUGAGCCACACCCGGUCUCUGCAUAACUAAGAUGCACACAGCCAAAAGCGGAAGUCUGACAAAAAUAAGAUAAGAAAAUCGACAUAUCGACAACAGUGAGUCAUAUAGUUCCGACACUAUGCCUCUGUCGAAGGAGGGGGUGGAGCGAUCUAGAGAUUAUGCUGCCUUCCAUGUUGAGUAAACACCUCCCUGGCCACUUGUUCCAACUGCAUAGACGCCGCCACGAAUAACGGUUGGUACUCUGUUCGGUGUAGCAUACACCAUGUAGGAAGUGAGUGCUCACUCCUAGUUACUGAAUUAUGUACACACUAGUAGAAAAAGGCCCAUUUGUCCCGGUUCGUAAGGCCCAUUUGUCCCAGUUGGGGAACCGGGACUAAAGGGUCGGUACUAAAGCCCUACACCUUUAGUCCCGGUUCUUACACCAACCGAGACAGAUGGGGCUCCACGUGGCCGUUGCGGCUUACCGUGGCAGGUGGGCCUUUUGUCCCGGUUGGUAGCACCAACCGGGACCAAUAAGCUACCACGCGUCAGCAUUUGAGGGGCUANNNNNNNNNNNNNNNNNNNNNNNNNNNNNNNNNNNNNNNNNNNNNNNNNNNNNNNNNNNNNNNNNNNNNNNNNNNNNNNNNNNNNNNNNNNNNNNNNNNNNNNNNNNNNNNNNNNNNNNNNNNNNNNNNNNNNNNNNNNNNNNNNNNNNNNNNNNNNNNNNNNNNNNNNNNNNNNNNNNNNNNNNNNNNNNNNNNNNNNNNNNNNNNNNNNNNNNNNNNNNNNNNNNNNNNNNNNNNNNNNNNNNNNNNNNNNNNNNNNNNNNNNNNNNNNNNNNNNNNNNNNNNNNNNNNNNNNNNNNNNNNNNNNNNNNNNNNNNNNNNNNNNNNNNNNNNNNNNNNNNNNNNNNNNNNNNNNNGGUUAAUUUUGGAGGGUUUCAUAUAUUGUGUUAGGUAGCUAAUUAAUUAAUACAGAGAAGUGUCAUCUCUUAUCUCCGUGCUUGGUCGACGCUACGUACUAUACGUACAGAGAGGCCCUCGACACGCUAGCCAGUAAGCAAAUGAAGGAAACCAUUAAGUACAGAAGUUCGUCAUGAACAUAUGCAUACAAACUAAGUGAUAUCGACCUCUCCUUCUCUGAGAGAUAGGUCGAACAACAAGUUUCCGUAUAUCUAUCCGGCGCUACUAGCUACAUAUAUACAAUAUUAAGAUCUCUUACAAUAUAAUCCCCUAAUUAUAUAUGAACUCAGCUUUCAGAUGGUAUUCUCCGGCUUUAUUGAUGACGUGGUCAAGAAAGAAUCCCUCCAAUUCCUCUUGAAUUGCUUUGAUGCGAUCUUCUGGUAGGAGUUCAUCCCGCAUCUGCCACAUCUAAUUUGAAGAAGGGGGUCAAUCACUAGUAGAAUAACAGCCAUUUGUCCUGGUUCGUAAGGCUCAUUCGUCCUGGUUGGGGAACCGAGACUAAAGGGUCGUUACUAAAGCCCUACACCUUUAGUCCCGGUUCUUACACCAACUGGGACAGAUGGGCCUCCACGUGGCCGCUGCGGCGAGCCCAGGCAGGAGGUCCUUUGGUCCCGGUUAGUGGCACUGAUACUUCUCCAACGUAUCUAUAAUUUUUGAUUGCUCCAUGCUAUUAUGUUAUCUAUUUUGGAUGUUAAUGGGCUUUAUUUUACACCUUUAUAUCAUUUUUGGGACUAACCUACUAAUCGGAGGCCCAGCCCAAAUUGUUGUUUUUUUGCCUAUUUUAGGUUUUCGAAGAAAAGGAAUAUCAAACGAAGUCCAAACGGAAUGAAACCUUCGGGAACGUGAUUUUCUCAACGAACAUGAUCCAGGAGACUUGAAGUGUGCGCCAAGAAAGAAGGGAGGAAGGCAAGAGGCAGGGGGCACGCCUACCCCCCUUGGGCGUGCCCUCCACCCUCGUGGGCCCUCCGCUGCUCCAUCGACGUACUUCUUCCUCCUAUAUAUAUCCACGUACCCCUCGAACAUCCAGGAGCACCACGAAAACCUAAUUCCACCGCCGCAACCUUCUGUACCCGAGAGAUCCCAUCUUGGGGCCUUUUCCGGAGGUCCACCGGAGGGGGCAUCGAUCACGGAGGUCCUCUACAUCAACUCCAUGGCCUAUCCAGUGAUGUGUGAGUAGUUCACUUCAGACCUACGGGUCCAUAGUUAUUAGCUAGAUGGCUUCUUCUCUCUCUUUGGAUCUCGAUACAAAGUUCUUUUCGAUUUUCUUGGAGAUCUAUUUGAUGUAACCUUAUUUUGCGGUGUGUUUGUCGAGAUCCGAUGAAUUAUGGGUUUAUGACCCAGAUUAUCUAUGAACAAUAUUUGAUUCUCCUCUAAAUUCUUUUAUGUAUGAUUGGUUUAUCUUUGCAAGUCUCUUCGAAUUAUCAGUUUGUUUUGGCCUACUAGAUUGAUCUUUCUUGCAAUGGGAGAAGUGCUUAGCUUUGGGUUCAAUCUUGCGGUGUUUGAUCCUAGUGACAGAAAGGGAACCGAUACGUAUUGUAUUGUUGCCAUCGAGGAUAAAAAGAUGGGGUUUAUAUCAUAUCGCAUGAGUUUAUCCCUCUACAUCAUGUCAUCUUCCUUAAAGCAUUACUCUGUUCUCUUGAACUUAAUACUCUAGAUGUGUGCUGGAUUGCGGUCGAUGUGUGGAGUAAUAGUAGUAGAUGCAGAAUCGUUUCGGUCUACUUGUCUCGGACGUGAUGCCUAUAUACAUGAUCAUACCUAGAUAUUCUCAUAACUAUGCUCAAUUCUGUACAAUAUGGUGCACGCGGUUACAUCGGCCUGCAAAGACAUUUCUGCGAUGUGAGACAUCCGAAAAGCAACGAAAACGGGAGAUUAUACAUUUAUUGAAGAGGGCCGGAGUGACAGAUACCGUGAGGGUCUCGAGCUCAGCCAAAGACAAAGGACAGAUGAGCACGGCCUAUGUCGGAGCCAGUGCGGGAGCCGGUGCGGGAGCAGGUGCAGGUGCAGGUGCUGGUGCAAUGCUAGUCGAGCUGCUCCUAAAGAAGUCAACAAUGGGAAAGUCCGCUACAUUUUUUCUGGAUUUUGCGUGCUCCAAUUGAAUACAGCUGGAACCAAGACAGUAGACAUAUCUGUUGGAAAUAUGCCCGAGAGCCAAUAAUAAAUUGGUUAUUAUUAUAUUUCCUUGUUCAUGAUAAUCGUUUAUUAUCCAUGCUAGAAUUGUAUUGAUAGGAAACUCAGAUACAUGUGUGGAUACAUAGACAACACCAUGUCCCUAGUAAGCCUCUAGUUGACUAGCUCGUUGAUCAAUAGAUGCUUACGGUUUCCUGACCAUGGACAUUGGAUGUCGUUGAUAACGGGAUCACAUCAUUAGGAGAAUGAUGUGAUGGACAAGACCCAAUCCAUAUCUAGCACAAGAUCGUGUAGUUCGUAUGCUAAAGCUUUUCUAAUGUCAAGUAUCAUUUCCUUAGACCAUGAGAUUGUGCAACUCCCGGAUACAGUAGGAGUGCUUUGGGUGUGCCAAACAUCACAACGUAACUGGGUGGCUAUAAAGGUGCACUACGGGUAUCUCUAAAAGUGUCUGUUGGGUUGGCACGAAUCGAGACUAGGAUUUGUCACUCCGUGUAAAUGGAGAGGUAUCUCUGGGCCCACUCAGUAGGACAUCAUCAUAAUGAGCACAAUGUGAUCAAGGAGUUGAUCAAGGGAUGAUGUCUUACGGAACGAGUAAAGAGACUUGCCGGUAAUGAGAUUGAACAAGGUAUCGGGAUACCGACGAUCAAAUCUCGGGCAAGUAUCGUACCGAUAGACAAAGAGAAUUGUAUACGGGAUUGAUUGAAUCCUUGACAUCGUGGUUCAUCCGAUGAGAUCAUUGUGGAGCAUGUGGGAGCCAACAUGGGUAUCCAGAUCCCGCUAUUGGUUAUUGACCGGAGAGUUGUCUUGGCCAUGUCUGCAUGACUCCUGAGCUCGUAGGGUCUACACACUUAAGGUUCGAUGACGCUAGGGUUAUAGGGAAAGUAUGUACGCGGUUACCGAAUGUUGUUCGGAGUCCCAGAUGAGAUCCCAGACAUCACGAGGAGUUCUGGAAUGGUCCGGAGGUAAAGAUUUAUAUAUGGGAAGUUCCGUUUUGGUCACCGGAAAUGUUUCGGGUGCUAUCGGUAACGUACCGGGACCACCGGGAGGGUCCCAGGGGUCCAUCAGGUGGGGCCACCAGCCCCGGAGGCCUACAUGGGCCAAUAGUGGGAAGGGACCAGCCCCUAGGUGGGCUGGGGCGCCUCCCGACAAGGCCCAAGUCGCCUCCAAGAGGGGAAGGGGGCAAACCCUAGGGCAGAUGGGCCCCAAGGCCCACCCUAGGUGCGCCUCCCCCUCUCCCCCUUGUAGCCGCCACCCUAGAUGGGAUCUAGGGCUGCCGCACCCCUUGGGGUGGGAACCCUAGAGGGGGCGCAGCCCCCUCCCCUCCCCCUAUAUAUACUUGAGGUAUGGGGGCUGCCCAACAUACGAUUUGAUCUCUCUCUUGGCGCAGCCCUACCCCUCUCCCUCCUCGUCUCUCAUAGUGCUUGGCGAAGCCCUGCUGGAGUUCCGCGCUCCUCCACCACCACUACCACGUCGUCGUGCUGCUGCUGGACGGACUCUUCCCAACCUCUCCUUCUCCCCUUGCUGGAUCAAGGCGUGGGAGACGUCACCGGGCUGCAGAUGUGUUGAACGCGGAGGCGCCGUGGUUCGGCGCUUAGAUCGGAAUCAACCGAGAUCUGAAUCGCUACGAGUACGGCUCCUUCAUCCGCGUUCUUGCAACGCUUCCGCUUAGCGAUCUACAAGGGUAUGUAGGUGCACUACCCUUCCCUUCGUUGCUAGGUUACUCCAUAGAUUGAUCUUGGUGAUGCGUAGAAAAUUUUAAAUUUCUGCUACGAUCCACAACAGUGGCAUCAUGAGCUAGGUCUAUGCGUAGUUUCUAUGCACGAGUAGAACAUAAAACAGUUGUGGGCGUCAAUAUUGUCAAUUACUUGCCGUUAGUAGUCUUAUCUUGAUUCGGCGGCAUCGUGGGAUGAAGCGGCCCGGACUGACCCUACACGUACGCUUACGUGAGACUUGUUCCACUGACUGACAUGCACUAGUUGCAUAAGGUGGCUAGUGGGUGUCUGUCUUUCCCACUUUAGUCAGAUCGGAUUCGAUGAAAAGGGUCCUUAUGAAGGGUAAAUAAAAAUUGGCAUACCACGUUGUCGUUUUGGCGUAGGUAAGAAAUGUUCUUGCUAGAAACCUAUAGGAGCCACGUAAAAACUUGCAACAACAAUUUGAGGACCUCUAACUUGUUUUUGCAGCAUGUGCCGUGUGAUGUGAUAUGGCCAAAAGGAUGUGAUGAAUGAUAUAUGUGAUGUAUGAGAUUGAUCAUGUUCUUGUAAUAGGAAUCACGACUUGCAUGUCGAUGAGUAUGACAACCGGCAGGAGCCAUAGGAGUUGUCUUUAUUUAUUUAUGACCUGCGUGUCAACAUAAACGUCAUGUAAUUACUUUACUUUAUUGCUAAAGCGUUAGCCAUAGUAAUGGAAGUAAUAGAUGACAAGACAACUUCAAGAAGACACGAUGAUGGAGAUCAUGAUGAUGGAGAUCAUGGUGUCAAGCCCGUGACAACGAUGAUCAUGGAGCCCCAAAGAUGGAGAUCAUAAGGAGCAAAAUGAUAUUGGCCAUAUCAUGUCACUAUUUGAUUGCAUGUGAUGUUUAUCAUGUUUUACCUCUUAUUUUCUUAGAACGACGGUAGCUUAAAUAAGAUGAUACCUCGCAAUAAUUUCAAGAAAGUGUUUCCCCUAACUGUGCACCGUUGCGAAGAUUCGUUGUUUUGAAGCACCACGUGAUGAUCGGGUGUGAUAUAUUCUAACGUUCAAAUACAACAGGUGUAAGCCAGAUUUACACACACAAUACACUUAGGUUGACUUGAUGAGCCUAGCAUUUACAGACAUGGCCUCGGAACACGGUAGACCGAAAGGUCGAGCAUGAGUCGUAUAGAAGAUACGAUCAACAUGAAGAUGUUCACCGAUGUUGACUAGUCCGUCUCACGUGAUGAUCGGCCACGGCCUAGUUGACUCGGAUCAUGUUUCACAUAGAUGACUAGAGGGAUGUCUAUCUGAGUGGGAGUUCAUUAAAUAAUUUGAUUAGAUGAACUUAAUUAUCAUGAACAUAGUCCAAAUUGUCUUUGCAAAUAUGUUGUGGAUAAAUAGCUCACGCUUUAGCUCCCUGUUUUAAUAUGUUCCUAGAGAAAAGACUAACUGGAAAGAUAUUGUAAGCAUUAACGCUGACUAGGUCUGUUGCCUGAGGAGUGUCCUCACUGCUACACAGAAGGCUUAUGUCUUUGAUGCACCGCUCGGUGUGCCAACCCCUCCGGCGUCGUCUGUGGAUGUUGUGAACACCCGACAGACACAUCCUGAUGACUACUUGAAAGUUUAGUGCACCAUACUUUACGGCUUAGAAUCGGGAUUCCAAUGACGUUUUGAACGCCAUAAGACAUAUGAGAUGUUCCAAGAGCUGAAAUUGGGAUUUCAGGCUCAUGCCCGUGUUGAGAGGUAUGGACCUCUGACAAGUGCUUUUGCCAACAAGAUGGAGUAGAAUAGCUCAGCUAGAGAGCAUGUGCUCGGAAUGUCUGGGUGCUACAAUCACUUAAAUCAAGUGGGAGUUAAGCUUCCAGAUAAGAUAGUGAUUGAUAGAGUUCUCUAGCCACUAUCACUAAGAUACUAGAUCUUCGUGAUGAACUAUGACAUGCAAGGGAUGGAGUUGAUCCCGGAGCUGUUCACGGUGCUUAAGAUCGCAAAAGGUAGAAAUCAAGAAGGAGCAUCAAGUGUUGAUGGUUUAACAAGACCACUAGUUUCAAGAAGGGCAAGGGCUAGAAGGGAAACUUCAUGAAUGGCAAACCAGUUACCAAUCAAGUGAAGGAACCCAAGGUUGAACCCAAACCCGAGACAAAGUGCUUCUAUUGUAAGGGGAACAGUCACUGGUAGCGGAACUACCCCAAAUACAUGGUAGAUAAGAAGGAUGGCAACUUCAACAAAGUAUAUACAUGUUAUUAAUGUGUACCUCACCAGUACUCUUGGUAGCACCUGGGUAUUGGAUACCGGUUCAGUUGCUAUUAUUGGUGACUUGAAGCAAAAGCUACGGACUAAACGGAGACUGGCUAAGGGCGAGGUGACGUUGUGUGGUGGAAGUGUUUCCAAAGUUGAUAAGAUCACCAUCGCAUGCUCCAUCUGCCUUUGGGAUUAGUAUUGAACCUAGAUAAAUGUUAUCAGGUGUCUACGUUGAGGAUGAAUAUGAUUAGAUCAUGUUCAUUGCAAUACGGUUAUUCAUUUAAGAUAGAGAAUAAUGGUUAUUCUGUUUACAUGAAUAAUACCUUUCAUGGUCAUGCACCCUAUGUGAAUGGUUCAUUGAAUCUCGGUCGUGGUAAUACAGAUGUUCACGCCAAAAGAUGUAGAGUUAACAAUGAUAGUACCACUUUCUUGUGGAACUGCCGCUUAGGUCAUAUUGGCAUAAGAUGCAUGAAGAAACUCCAUGUCGAUGGAUGUUUGGAGUCAAUUGAUUUUGAAUCGCUUGACACAUGCGAGCCAUGAUUCAUGGGCAGGAUGACUAAGACCCCGUUUUCAGGUAAAAUAAAACGGGCAAGUGACUUCUUGGAAAUCAUACAUGCUGAUGCAUGUGUUCCAAUCAGAAUUGAAGCGUGCGGUGGAUAUCGCUAUUUUCUCAUCUUCACUGACGAUUUGAGUAGAUAUAGGUAUAUUUACUUAAUGAAGCACAAGUCUGAAACAUUUGAAAAGUUCAAGCGAUUUUAGAGUGAAGUUAAGAACCAUCAUAUAUAAUAAGAAGAUCAAAUUCCUACGAUCUGAUCGAUGAGAAUUUCUGAGUUAUGAGUUGGGCAAUCACUUAAGACAUUGUGGAAUUGUUUCAUAGUUGAAGCCACCUGGAACAACACAGGGUAAUGGUGUGUCCGGACGUCGUAAUCGAACCUUAUGAGAUAUGGUGCGAUCUAUGAUGUCCCUUACCGAUCUACCAUUUUCAUUUUGAGGAUAUGCGUUAGAGAAAGCUGCAUUCACUUUUGAUAGGACACCAUCUAAGUCCGUUGAGAUGACGUCGUAUGAAUAUGGUUUGGCAAGAAACCAAAAUUGUCGUUUCUUAAUGUUUGGGGCUGCGAUGCUUAAGGCUUCAGGCGGAGAAGAUCGAACCCAAAAGAGGACAAACACAUCUUCAUAGGAUACCCAAAGGUGACAGUUUGGUAUACCUUCUAUCUCCAAUCUGAGGGCAAGUUGUUUGUCGCUAAGAAUGGUUCCUUUCUCGAGAAGGAGUUUCUCUCGAAAGAAUUGAGUGGGAAGAAGAUAGAACUUGAUGAGGUUGUCGAACCUUUGUUUCAACCAGAGAGUGAUGCAACACAGAAAGAUGUUUUCUGUGGCACCUACGUCUGUUGAAGAGGAAGUUAAUGAUAGUGAUCAUGAAGCUUCGGAUCAAGUUGCUAUCGAACCUCAUAGGUCGACCAGGAUAUGUACUACUCCUGAGUGGUACGGUAAUCCUGUCUUAGAUAUCAUGUUGUUAGACAACAAUGAACCCAUGAGCUAUGGAGAAGCGAUGGUGGGCCCGUAUUCCGACAAAUGGUUAGAAGCCAUGAAAUCCGAGAUAGGCUCCAUGUAUCAGAACAAAGUAUGGACUUUGGUGGACUUGCCCGAUGAUCGGCGAGCCAUUGAGAUAAAUGGAUCUUUAAGAAGAAGACGGACGUGGGCGGUAAUGUUACCAUCUAUGAAGCUCGACUUGUGGGAAAGAGUCUUUUCACAAGUUCAAGGAGUUGACUACGAUGAGAAUUUCUCACCCGUAGCGAUGCUUAAGUCCGUCGGAAUCAUGUUAGCAUUAGCUGUAUUUUUCGAUUAUGAAAUCUGACAGAUGGAUCUCAAAACAAGUUUUCUUACCAGUUUUCGUAAGAAAAAGUUGUAUGUGAUACAAUAAAAGGUUUUGUCGAUCCUAAGGAUGCUAAAAGGUAUGCUGGCUCCAGCAAUCCUUCUAUGGACUAGAGCAAGCAUCUCGAAGUUGGAAUAUAUGCUUUGAUGGAGUGAUCAAAGCUUUUAGGUUUAUACAAUGUUUGCUAGAAACUUGUAUUUACAAGAAAGUGAGUGGGAGAACUACAACAUUUCUGAUAAGUAUAUGUGGAUGACAUAUUGCUGAUUCAAAAUAAUGUAGAAUUUCUGGAAAGCAUAAACGGUUGUUUGAAGAGUGAUUUUCAAAGGCAGACCUGGAUAAAGCUGCUUACAAAUUGGGCAUCAAGAUCUGUAGAAAUAGAUCAAGACGCCUGAUGAUACUUUCAAAGAACGCACACCUUGACAUGUUUUUGAAGGAGUUCAAAAUAGAUCAGGCAAAGAAGGGGUUCUUACCUGUGUUGUAAGGUGUGAAGUUGAGUAAGACUUGAAAGCUUGACCACGACAGAAGAAAGAGGAAGGAUGAAGGUCAUCCCCUAUGCUUUUGUCAUAGGCUCUAUACGGUAUGCCAUGCUGAGUACCACACCAGAUGAGUGCCUUGCCACAUGUCUGGCAAGAGGGUACAAAGGUGAUCUAGGAGUGGAUCACCAGAUAGCGGUCAAAAUUGUCCUUAGAGGAAUAAGGAAAUGUUUCUCAGUUACGGAGCUGAUAAAGAGUUCGACAUAAAGAGUUACGUCGAUACAUGCUUAAACACCAAUCCGGAUAGCUCUGAGUAGAGAUACCAGAUACGUAUAAUGGAGCAACAAUUUGGAAUAGCUCCAAGUGGAACGUGGUAGCAGCAUCUACGAUAUGACAUAAAGUUUUGGGAAAUACAUAGGGAUCUGAAUAUUACAGACCCGUUGACUACAACCUCUCUCACAAGCAUAACAUGAUCAAACCCAGAACUCAUUGAGUGUUAAUCGCAUAGUGAUGUGAACUAGAUUAUUGAAUCUAGUAAACUCUUUAGAUGUUGGUCACAUGGCGAUGUGACCAGUGAGUGUUAAUCACAUGGCGAUGUGAACUAGAUUAUUGACUCUAGUGCAAGUGGGAGACUGUUGGAAAUAUGCCCUAGAGCUAAUAAUAAAUUGGUUAUUAUUAUAUUUCCUUGUUCAUGAUAAUCGUUUAUUAUCCAUGCUAGAAUUGUAUUGAUAGGAAACUCAGAUACAUGUGUGGAUACAUAGACAACACCAUGUCCCUAGUAAGCCUCUAGUUGACUAGCUCGUUGAUCAAUAGAUGGUUACGCUUUCCUGACCAUGGACAUUGGAUGUCGUUGAUAACGGGAUCACAUCAUUAGGAGAAUGACGUGAUGGACAAGACCUAAUCCUAAGCCUAGAACAAGAUCAUGUAGUUCGUAUGCUAAAGCUUUUCUAAUGUCAAGUAUCAUUUCCUUAGACCAUGAGAUUGUGCAACUCCCAGAUACAGUAGGAGUGCUUUGGGUGUGCCAAACGUGACAACGUAACGGGGUGGCUAUAAAGGUGCACUACGGGUAUCUCUGAAAGUGUCUGUUGGGUUGGCAUGAACCGAGACUGGGAUUUGUCACUCCGUGUAAACGGAGAGGUAUAUCUGGGCCCACUCGGUAGGACAUCAUCAUAAUGUGCACACUGUGAUCAAGGAGUUGAUCACGGGAUGAUGUAUUACGGAACGAGUAAAGAGACUUGCCGGUAACGAGAUUGAACAAGCUAUCGGGAUACCGACGAUCGAAUCUCGGGCAAGUAUCAUACCGAUAGACAAAGGGAAUUGUAUACGGGAUUGAUUGAAUCCUUGACAUCAUGGUUAAUCUGAUGAGAUCAUCGUGGAGCAUGUGGGAGCCAACAUGGGUAUCCAGAUCCCGCUGUUGGUUAUUGACCGGAGAGUUGUCUCGGCCAUGUCUACAUGACUCCCGAGCCCGUAGGGUCUACACACUUAAGGUUCGAUGACGCUAGGGUUAUAGGGAAAGUAUGUACACGGUUACAGAAUGUUGUUCGGAGUCUUGGAUGAGAUCCCGGACGUCACGAGGAGUUCCAGAAUGGUCCAGUGGUAAAGAUUUAUAUAUGGGAAGUCCCGUUUUGGUCACCGGAAAGGUUUCGGGUGCUAUCGGUAACGUACCGGGACCACCGGGAGGGUCCCAGGGGUCCAUCAGGUGGGGCCACCAGCCCCGGAGGCCUACAUGGGCCAAUAGUGGGAAGGGACCAGCCCCUAGGCGGGCUGGGGCGCCUCCCACCAAGGCCCAAGGCGCCUCCAAGAGGGGAAGGGGGCAAACCCUAGGGCAGAUGGGCCCCAAGGCCCACCCUAGGUGCGCCUCCCCCUCUCCCCCUUGUAGCCGCCACCCUAUAUGGGAUCUAGGGCUGCCGCACCCCUUGGGGUGGGAACCCUAGAGGGGGCGCAGCCCCCUCCCCUCCCCCUAUAUAUACUCGAGGUAUGGGGGCUGCCCAACAUAUGAUUUGAUCUCUCUCUUGGCGCAGCCCUACCUCUCUCCCUCCUCGUCUCUCAUAGUGCAUGGCGAAGCCCUGCUGGAGUUCCGCACUCCUCCACCACCACCACACCGUCGUUCUGCUGCUGGACGGAGUCUUCCCAACCUCUCCUUCUCCCCUUGCUGGAUCAAGGUGUGGGAGACGUCACCGGGCUGCACGUGUGUUGAACGCGGAGGCGUCGUGGUUCGGCGCUUAGAUCGGAAUUAACCGCGAUCUAAAUCGCUACGAGUACGGCUCCUUCAUCCGUGUUCUUGCAACGCUUCCGCUUAGAGAUCUACAAGGGUAUGUAGAUGCACUCCCCUUCCCUUUGUUGCUAGAUUACUACAUAGAUUGAUCUUGGUGAUGCGUAGAAAAUUUUAAAUUUCUGCUACGAUCCCCAACAAUAUCUGCAACCACCUGUUUUGCGGCAGCUACUGCUGUCGCGAAUGUCUUAGAUGAUUUCUUCUCAACCGCAAUCUCAACCUUCUUGUCGAUGUUUUCUUCAGUUAACCUCCAUCUUUCCUUUCUCUCCUCCGUGGUCUCACAGUAGUACUUCUUCCACGUGGCCCCGUCUCCGACACCGUGAACGCGUCCAUACGACGACCUAGUCUCCACCGGCAGUCCUUUCAAUAUGUUCAAUGCCCGGGUGAAUGGAGUGUCCCACUUGGGCCUCGCCAACGCCUCAGACGGUGAGUCGCUUUCAGCCACAAUCAUGUGCUUCUCUCUCUACAAAAGGAACAAGGAUCAUUUACAAAUAUGACUAAACGUGCAGUCGAAUUGAUCAGAAACUAAAAUUACCAGCAGUCUCAUGAACUCCGUCGUGAUCGGGUCCGUCUUGAAAACCUUCUUGACCGAGUUCGAAUGGUGUCGUGCCCUGAGGACGUCAUGCUCCUAUGGGACGGUGAAGUCCGCCAAGGGGUCUAGGAUGCCAGACUUUCGUGUUCCGUGUCCUGCUUGGCCCAUAUGGACCUCUUCCUGCCGUAACCACGGCUUCUGAGGUGGUGGCGCCCCAUGUUCCUUUGUUGAAGCCCCUUCAUGUACUUUGACUUUGUUUUGGCGGCUUCGGCCUCGCAAGCCGCCUUUAAUAUUUCAAAGUGCUCUCCCGUGAUUGUCGGAUUAUCCUUUACAAUCUCGGAGUAGGGUUGAUACGUCUCCAACGUAUCUAUUAUUUUUGAUUGCUCCAUGCUAUAUUAUCUACAGUUUUGGACAUUAUUGGGCUUUAUUAUCUACUUUUAUAUUAUUUUUGGGACUAACCUAUUAACCAGAGGUCCAGCCCAGAAUUGCUGUUUUUUUGCCUGUUUUAGGGUUUCGAAGAAAAGGAAUAUCAAACGGAGUCCAAACGGAAUGAAGCCUUCGGGAAUGAGAUUUUCUCAACGAACAAGACCCGGGAGACUUGGACCCUACGUCAAGACAAAANNNNNNNNNNNNNNNNNNNNNNNNNNNNNNNNNNNNNNNNNNNNNNNNNNNNNNNNNNNNNNNNNNNNNNNNNNNNNNNNNNNNNNNNNNNNNNNNNNNNNNNNNNNNNNNNNNNNNNNNNNNNNNNNNNNNNNNNNNNNNNNNNNNNNNNNNNNNNNNNNNNNNNNNNNNNNNNNNNNNNNNNNNNNNNNNNNNNNNNNCACCGACGUACUUCUUCCUCCUAUAUAUACCUACGUACCCCCAAACGAUCAUAUACGGAGCCAAAACCCUAAUUCCACCGCCGCAACUUUCUGUAUCCAUGAGAUCCCAUCUUGGCGCCUGUUCCGGAGCUCCGCCGGAGGGGGCAUCGAUCACGGAGGGCUUCUACAUCAACAGCAUAGCCUCUCCGAUGAAGUGUGAGUAGUUGACCUCAGACCUACGGGUCCAUAAUUAUUACCUAGAUGGCUUCUUCUCUCUUUUUGGAUCUCAAUACAAUGUUCUCCCCCUCUCUUGUGGAGAACUAUUCGAUGUAAUAUUCUUUUUGCGGUGUGUUUAUUGAGAUCGAUGAAUUGUGGGUUUAUGAUCAAGUCUAUCUAUGAAUAAUAUUUGAAUCUUCUCUGAAUUCUUUAAUGUAUGAUUGUUUAUCUUUGCAAGUCUCUUCGAAUUAUCAGUUUGGUUUGGCCUACUAGAUUGAUCUUUCUUACAAUGGGAGAAGUGCUUAGCUUUGGGUUCAAUCUUGCGGUGUCCUUUCCCAGUGACAGUAGGGGCAGCAAGGCAUGUAUUGUAUUGUUGCCAUCGAGGACAACAAGAUGGGGUUUUCAUCAUAUUGCAUUAUUCUAUCCCUCUACAUCAUGUCAUCUAGCUUAAGGCGUCACUCUGUUUUUAACUUAAUACUCUAGAUGCAUGCUGGAUAGCGGUCGAUGAGUGGAGUAAUAGUAGUAGAUGCAGGCAGGAGUCGGUCUACUUGUCUCGGACGUGAUGCCUAUAUACAUGAUCAUACCUAGAUAUUCUCAUAAAUAUGCUCAAUUCUGUCAAUUGCUCAACAGUAAUUUGUUCACCCACCAUAGAAUAAUUAUACUCUCAAGAGAAGCUACUAGUGAAACCUAUGGCCCCCGGGUCUAUCUUUAUCAUAUUAAUCUCCUACUACUUAGUUAUUUCCUUUGCUUUUUCCUUUGUAUUUCCUUUGCUUUUUUCCUUUGCCUUUAUUUUACUUUUCAUCUUUAUCACAAAAAUACCAAACAUAUUAUCUUUAUCAUAUCUAUCAGAUCUCACUCUCGUAAGUGGCCUUGUAGGGAUUGACAACCCCUAUUCGUGUUGGUUGUGAGGAUUUAUUUGUUUUGUGCAAUUACGAGGGACUCGCGCGUAGCCUCCUACUGGAUUGAUACCUUCGUUCUCAAAAACUGAGGGAAAUACUUACGCUACUUUGCUGCAUCAUCCCUUCCUCUUCGGGGAAAACCAACGCAGUGCUCAAGAGGUAGCAAGAAGGAUUUCUGGUGCCGUUGCCGGGGAGGUCUACGCAAAAGUGAACAUACCAAGUACCCAUCACAUACCCUUAUCUCCCGCAUUACAUUAUUUUCCAUUUGCCUCUCGUUUUCACCUCCCCCACUUCACCCUUGCUGUUUUAUUCGCCCUCUCUCUCUAUCCGCCCUCUCUUUCUCUAUUUGCCUCUUUUUUCCCGCUUGCUUUCUGUUUGCUUGUGUGUUAGUUGCUUGCUUGUCACGAUGGCUCAAGAUAAUACUAAAUUAUGUGACUUCACAAUGGCGAAAGCCUGGUUUUCGUCUUUGGCUAAAAAUAGUAUUGAUUCAUGGAAUAAGUGCAAAGAUGCUUUUAUCUCUAAGUAUUUUCCUCCUGCUAAGAUCAUCUCUCUUAGAAACGAUAUAAUGAAUUUUAAGCAACUUGAUCAUGAACAUGUUGCACAAGCUUGGGAGAGAAUGAAACUAAUGGUACAUAAUUGCCCUGCCCAUGAUUUAAAUUUGUGGAUGAUUAUACAAAAUCUUUAUGCCGGAUUGAAUUUUGCUUCUAGAAAUCUUUUAGAUUCAGCCGCGGGAGGCACUUUUAUGGAAAUCACUUUAGGAGAAACUCCUAGAUAAUAUUAUGGUCAAUUAUUCUCAACGGCAUACUGAAAGAUCUAAUAAUAAAAUGGUGCAUGCGAUAGAAGAAAUUAAUGUUUUGAGUGGAAAGAUGGAUGAACUUCUGAAAUUAUUUGCUAAUAAGAGUGUUUCUUCUGAUCCUAAUGAUAUGCCCUUGUCUAAUUUGAUUGGGAAUAAUAAUGAAUCUAUGGAUGUGGAUUUUGUUGGUAGGAACAAUUUUGGUGACAACGCGUAUAGAGGAAAUUUCAACCCUAGGCUUUAUCCUAGUAAUCUCUCUAAUAAUGAUGGUAAUUCCUACAACAAUUCUUAUGGAAAUUAUAAUAAGAUUCCCUCUGAUUUUGAAUCUAAUAUUAAAGAAUUUAUUACUUUGCAAAAGAAUUUCAAUGCCUAGAUUGAAGAAAAAUUGCUUAAGAUUGAUGAUUUGGCUAGGAACGUUGAUAGAAUUACUCUUGAUGUUGAUUCUUUGAAACUUAGAACUAUUCCACCUAAGCAUGAUGUCAAUGAGUCUCUCAAAGCCAUGAGAAUUUCCAUUGAUGAGUGCAAAGAAAGAACCGCUAGGAUGCGUGCUAAGAAAGAUGCCUUUAUAAGAGCGUGUUCUUCUCGUUCCUAUGAAAAUAAUGAUGAAGAUCUAACAGUUAUUGAUGUGUUCCCUAUUAAAUCUUUGUUUUGCAAUAUGAAUCUUGAUAAUGAUGGGACUGAAUAUGAUCCACCUUUACCUAUCAGGCGUUCCAAGAAUUCAGAAUUUGUUGAUCUUGAUGCUAAAAUUGAUAAAGGUGGGAUUGAAGAAAUUAAAACCCUUGAUGUUGCUAAACCCACUAUUAUGGAUUUCAAGGAAUUUAACUAUGAAAAUUGCUCUUUUAUUGAUUGUAUAUCCUUGUUACAAUCCAUGCUAAAUUCUCCUCAUGCUUAUAGUCAAAAUAAAGCGUUUACUAAACAUAUCGUUGAUGCCUUGAUGCAAUCUUAUGAAGAAAAACUUGAAUUGGAAGUUUAUAUCCCUAGAAAGCUUUAUGAUGAGUGGGAAUCAACUAUUAAAAUUAAAAUUAAAUAUCAUGAAUGCUAUGCUUUAUGUGAUUUAGGUGCUAGUGUUUCCAUGAUUCCAAAGACUUUGUGUGAUUUGUUAGGUUUCCGUGAUUUUGAUGAUUGCUCUUUAAACUUGCGCCUUGCGGAUUCCACUAUUAAGAAACCUAUGGGAAGAAUUAAUGAUGUUCUUAUUGAUGCAAAUAGGAAUUAUGUGCCUGUAGAUUUUAUUGUUCUUGACAUAGAUUGCAAUCUUUCAUGUCCUAUUAUUCUUGGUAGACCUUUCCUUAGAACGAUUGGUGCAAUUAUUGAUAUGAAGGAAGGAAAUAUUAGAUUCCAAUUUCCAUUAAGGAAAGUCAUGGAACACUUUACUAGAAAGUAAAUUAAAUUAACUUAGGAAUCUAUUAUGAUAGCCACUUAUGGAUUGCCUACCAAAGAUGGCAAUACCUAGAUCUAUCCUUGCUUGUUAUGCCUAGCUAGGGGCAUUAAACGAUAGCGCUUGUUGGGAGGCAACCCAAUUUUGUUUUUAUUCCUUGAUUUUUGCUCCUGUUUAGUAAUAAAUAAUUUAUCUAGCCUCUGUUUCGGUUGUGUUCUUUGUGUUUAAUUACUGUUUGUGCCAAGUAGAACCGUUAGGAAGACUUGGGGAAAGUCUUGUUACACUUGCUGUAAAAAACAGAAACUUCAGCGCUCACGAGAACUGCUGCCAUUUUUAUUUGGAAGUGCUAUUUAGUUAAUUAUUUCUGCAGAUGAUUAAUACAUAAAUUCCUCACGUCCAGCAAUUUAUUUUAGAAUUUUUGGAGUUCCAGCUCUUGAGCUAGCUACAGAUUACUACAGACUAUUCUGUUUUUGAAAGAUUCUGUUUUUUCGUGUGUUGUUUGCUUAUUUUGAUGAACCUAUGGCUAGUAAAAUAGUUUAUAAACCAUAGAGAAGUUGGAAUACAGUAGGUAUAACACCAAUAUAAAUAAAUAAUGAGUUCAUUAUAGUACCUUCAAGUGGUCUUUUAUUUUCUUUCGCUAACGGAGCUCACGAGAUUUUCUACUUUAAGUUUUGUGUUGUGAAGUUUUCAAGUUUUGGGUAAAGAUUUGGUGGAUUAUGGAACAAGGAGUGACAAGAGCCUAAGCUUGGGGAUGCCCAUGGCACCCCCAAGAUAAUCUAAGUACACAUAAAAGCCAAAGCUUGGGGAUGCCCCGGAAGUCAUCCCCUCUUUCGUCUACUUCUAUCGGUAACUUUACUUGGAGCUAUAUUUUUAUUUGCCACAUGAUAUGUGUUUUGCUUGGAGCGUCUUGUAUUAUUUGACUUGUCAGGACCCCGAUUCCAAGCCACAUCGAUCUAGACGGUAACACCUCAUAUCACUUUGCAGCCUCACGCACGAUAUUCCACGGGUGUCGCAUUACCAUGGCCUGGGACCGUUUGCGCCUUUUGGCUCACGUAUAUGAUAGUGUCGCUAGCAUCCAUAUGACAGAGAACCCGGGCCGACAUGGCUAGUCGUGAACCCAAAGCGGCACAGACCUAUGGAGACAGGCAUACAUGAAUCACAUCGAGCAUGUCGGUCAUCAGCGAGUGAUUCCGGGCUUUAGCACUGGGCUAACAGGACUCCGGGGAACCCGGGCUGUAGCAGGCUAGGCAGGACUCCGGAAGUCACCGCGUGACAUUUCCCCGAAGAGACAGACAUAGGAACAAAGUGAAUCACAUGCUGGCCAGUCAAGUGUCCUGAGCAGUAGUGCUAGGCUAGCAGGACUCUGGUGAACCGGGCUGUAGCGGACUACUAUGGCUCGAGGAACACUAGACUACAUUUCCCCAUAAGAAAGGCUGCCAAGGAUAAACAACUAGAUUUUCGGAUCCCACUCAUACCAAGCAUUUCAAUCAUACACACAAUAUGCCCGAUAUGAGUACAUACAACAUGGCAUCACAACAAAACUCUACAAAUCAAGUACUUUAUUUAAAGGCUCCAGAGAGCCAUACAUAACAUGUUCAUACAGAUAGGGGUCACAUGACCCGACACUCAAGUCAUACAAUCAUACAAGCACAUGCGGAAGCAACCGGUCUGAGUACGGACACUAGAAAGAAAGAAGGCUCCUCGAGGCCUGUUUAUCUACAUAGGGCCCUCCAUGGCCAGGAUCACCACCUGGGUGGCUAGUCACUCGUCGACGUCAAGGUCUACAUAGAACCCAUCGGAGGGGGCGGUGUUGUCGUCUGAAAACAGUAAUUAAGCAAACAUGAGUACAAAGGUACUCAGCAAGUCUUACAACAGAACCUACUAUACAUGCUUAUUCUCAAGAAGGUGGUGGGGAUAUUGCAGCAAGCCAGCUUUGACUCUUGGCUAAACUAUCCUAUGGAACUUCUCUAGUAAAAUAGUUUUCGCACACGAGUCCACUACUCACCAACACAAUACUCCACCGGGGAUCCUCCCUCGUCAUCCUACGAGAGGGCCAUCCUCGGUACUCACACUUAUCUUGAGUCUUUUAGUAGUAUCCAUUUACUUGUCUACGAACUGUAUAGGCAACCAAGUAGUCCUUUACCGCGGACGCGGCUAUUCGAAUAGUUUUAUACCCUGCAGGGGUGUACUUCGUCAUGCACGCUUUCACCACUUAUCGCCGUUUACACGACAUGUACUCGGCAACCUUCAAGCGGAAGCCCAGUGAGGGUGUCGGCCACGGCCUACCUAAACACUUAAGUCUCUAGUCCAGGUUUAUCGCCUAUCCAGGUUCCAUCCGCAGGGAGUCCGGCCGAGGUUUCCACAUACGGCCCGAACGAUGUGAACAGGGUCCCGAGACGCCAAUCGGGCACCCGGCAUACCCGGCCACGGUGUAUCUACCGCAACAUAGCCCACCCCUAGGGUCAGCACUACGCACGGCCGCCAACACAUAACCUACAAGCACCAGAAACUAUUUGCAACUCCUGGACAGAGUACUAGGGUGAUUAAGAAGCCGAGAGGGUCAAUUAAGGAUCCCAAUGCAUGGUAGUAGCUGAAUCUUAAAUCGCACAUACAGAUCUCAGUUCUUUGGGACGGUCUCAAUGAAACAACCCACCAUGUACUCCUACAUGGCCUCUCAUCGAUACCUUUACCAAAACAUGUUCAACACAUUCCUCAUAUUACCGACAUAAUCAUAUCACUCUAGCCCAUCACCCAGAUGAACCAGACCUGACACAACUCUAAGCAUAGCAGGCAUAGCAAGGUAGGAAUCACAGACAUGGCUCAAUCAACUCCUACACAUGCUAGUGGGUUUCAUCUAGUUACUGCGGCAAUGACAGAUCAUGUAGAGGAUAAGGGUUCAACUACCGUAGCACACAGUAGUUUGAAUCGCGUUGUCUUAAUCCAGUAAACAAGAGCAAAGGCGAGAACAUGGGUUGUAUCGGAAUGAUCAAUGGGUUGCUUGCCUGAUGGAGUGGUAGCGGGAUACUGCCCUUCAGUUGGAUACUCGUGAAUAUCCUCGGAGGCAGAACCUACCACGAAGAACACAUCGGAACACAAUCAACACAUGACGAUAUGCAACAAUAUGAUGCAUGCUAUGACAUGGCUAUGGUGUUGGCCUAAUGCAAGCUAAAAUAGAAAGGGAUGAACUCAUUUGAAUCAAAGAUUCAAAUAUUAGCUCAUUAAACAUGGCCUUAAUAGUGGAUUUCCUUAUUCUGCUUAAACAGCAAGGUAAACUUGUUUUUUCAUGCAUGAAACCAUUACAUAUGGAUAGAUUGAAUUUUUCUGAUAAAUUUUUCAUAUAUAAAUUAUUUCAUUUGGAGUUACGGUUGAAUUUCUAUGAUUUUUAGAAGUUUUAAACAUUUUCUGGAAUUUCCUGAAUAAAGAUAAAUCCAGAAAAUGCAUUACUGCAUCAGCAUUGCGUCAUGCUGACCUCAGCAGGUCAAAGGCGCCAGCCCAGGUCAAACCUGACUGGUGGGCCCCUUCUGUCAGUCUCUGAGUUAAAUAACAGGAUUAGAUUAACACUAAUUAGCUGUCAGUGGGGCCUGGGCCCACAUGUCAGUGACUGAUUAAAAUAAAAUUAGUUAAAACUAAUCCUAGAUUAGUUAGCAGACCGGCCCCACCUGUCAUAGACUCAGGGGGGUCUACCUGGGCCCACCCAGGGUCAAACUGGGUCAAACUCACCGGCGUUGAGCAGCCGGCGAGGCCCGAGACGGUGGCGCAGCUCGGAAAACGCCUAUAGGGCAUGAGGGAGGCCGUUCUUGGGCUCGUUGGAGAGCUCUUGCAAUCGCGCAUCUAGUGGUGGUGGUGGCCGAGCCUACGGUGGCCGGAGACGACGACGGCGAGCUCCAAGGCGGCGGCCGGAGUUCGGCCAUGUGCGGGGUGUGGGCUGCGGUGUGCAAACGUGGAAACUGAGGCGCUAGCGAGGCACUACGCGAUGCGGCAAGCAUGUUGCGUAGCACGGGAUGACCAAAUGGUCGCCGAAGCGGCACCGGCGACAAGCUCGAGCGGAGACGAGCUUCGGCCAUGGUGGAACUAUGGCCUAGAGGGUGCAAACGCGUGGAAAAGAAGAGGGGAAAGGUGGGGGAGCUCACAGGGAGGUCGAUGAGCAGCUCAGCGGGCUUGGGGGCGACCGGAGUGAGGCGAAUCGAUGAGCGGUGUCCGGUGGGUACCGAGGUUGAAGACGAUCCGAUGGCGGCGAUGCAGGGCCUCCGGCGAUGCGUGGCUCGGUGGGGAGGGCGAGGGCGUCACGGCAGAGCUUCUGGACAGGUCUGAGAGGCGAGAGGGUGACGGAGGGCGUGACUACGGCGGUGAGAGGGCGACGGGUGCGUCGGCCAUCGCGGGAGAGGGAGAGGGAGACGCGGUGGAGAGUGAGAGAGGAUGAGAGGGGGACGUGGGGGUCGCGUGGCAUUCCCUAGACGUCUCCCGGUGUCGGCGGAAGCAGGAGGUGGCCGGCGUGUGGCCGCGGGCGUCGGCCACGCGCUCCGCGUCCUUCUGGCACGAGGAGGACGACGACUGGCAGCGCCAGUAGGCUGGGCCGAGCCAGGUGGGCUGGCCAGCACAGGUAAGGCCCAGGUGGGCUUCUCCCUCUCUUUUUUUAAUUUGUUUCUGUUUUCUAUUUAACUGUAACUGUUGGGCUUUAUUUAAAAUACUAAAACAUUUCCAAAAAUCCUGAAAAUAAUUGUGGGCUCUAUUUGGAUUAUUUCCAACAGCAAACAUUUAUUUCCAGAAUUAUUUGAGCAUCUAAAUUAUUUAAUAGCAUUUAAAUGUCCAAAUUCAAAUACUUAUGAUUUAAAUCAAUGACCUUCUGUUGACCAAGAAAAAUUGUGCACCAAUUUUGCCAGAGGUUCUAACCCAAGACAAAGAGGGUGAACUUUUUAGAAGGGCAUUUCAGGUUCAUUGAAAAUAAUUUUAGUAAACCCUAGUUGUUUCCAGGGGGGUGUUGGGGGUUUGUGCCUUCCCCAACUCAAAUUUAAGAGGAAUUUAAACAUGAUGCACAUUCUAAUGCUUGAACUAGCUAGGGUGUGACAACUCACCCCCAGUCAAAAGAAUCUCGUCCUGAGAUUUAGGAUCCUCUGGAAAGAAGGUGGGGUACUCGAGUCGAAGACGAUCCUCCCUUUCCCAAGUGGCUUCUUUCUCGGAAUGGUGUGACCAUUGAACCUUGAGAAACUUGAUAUUAUGACGUCGAGUGGUACGCUCGGCUUGAUCAAGGAGACGAACGGGAUAUUAUCGUUAAGAGAGAUUAUCUUGUAGAUCAAGCGUUUUGUGGUCCACUCCACGAAUAGGAUCCGCGAAGCAACGCCUGAGUUGUGAAACGUGGAAGACAUCAUGAACUCUGGAAAGAUGCGGAGGUAGUUCCAAUUGGUAGGCAACUUCUCCUCGUUUGGCAAGAAUGCGAAAGGGUCCAAUGUAACGAGGAGCCAAUUUGCCUUUGAUACCGAAACGAUGGGUUCCUUUUAAUGGGGUAACCCGAAGGUAAGCCUUCUCGUCGACUUCAUAAGUCAUAGGCUUAUGUUUACGAUCAUAUUGACUCUUUUGACGAGAUUGGGCUGUUUUCAAUUUCUCACGAAUAACGCGAACCUGCUCUUCCGCUUCCUGAAUCAUAUCCGGUCCAAAGAGUUGUCUUUCCCCGGUUACUGACCAGUUAAGAGGCGUUCGACAUUUUCGUCCAUAGAGAACUUCGAAAGGAGCUUUGCCCAAGCUAGCUUGAUAACUAUUAUUAUAAGGAAACUCCGCGAAUGGGAGGCAUUUCUCCCAACUCAUUCCGAACAAGAUAACAUAAGCUCGGAGCAUAUCUUCCAGAAUUUGAUUGACUUGCUCUACUUGACAACUUGAUUGAGGAUGGAAGGCUGUACUAAAAGAGAGACGAGUUCCCAUAGCAUUUUGGAAACUUUCCCAAAAUCGAGAGGUGAAGAGACUCCCACGGUCUGAGUUAAUUUCCAAUGGGACACCAUGGAGAGACACUAUUCGGGAGAUGUAUAAAUCGGCUAGCUGGAUAGCAGUGAUAUUCUCACGAACAGGUAGGAAAUGGGCUACUUUGGAAAGACGGUCGAUCACGACGAAGAUGGCAUUAUUCCCUCUCUUGGUCCUGGGAAACCCAGUAAUGAAAUCCAUACUGAUUUUAUCCAAUUACCAUUCAGGAAUAGCCAAAGGUUGAAGGGUGCCAGCAGGCCGUUGAUGCUCUGCUUUAACACGACGACAGACGUUGCAGCUAGCAAUGUAUUGAGCGAUUUAUCUCUUCAUCCUAGUCCACCAAAACCUGUGGCGUAGGUCUUGAUACAUUUUAGUGCUACCGGGAUGAAUGGUGAGAGGGGAUUCAUGAGCUUCCUUAAGGAUCAAUUGGCGUAGAUGUUGUUUCUUGGGAACCACCAAACGAUUCUCAAAGAAGACAGCACCCCGCUUAUCCAUGAAAAAACAUUUAGCAACUCCACUAGUAAUGUUUUCCUUAAUCCGGGAUAUGCCCUUAUCAUACCACUGGGCGGUUAUGAUCUGAUCCAUAAGGUUAGGUUUCGCCACCAGGGUGGAUAGGAAUCCUCGAGGAACAAUGUGAAGAUUAAGCUUACGGAAUUCCUCAUGCAGAAGUGGUUGACUUUGUUGUAACAUCGGGUUGUUACAAUAGUAUUACGGCUUAGCGCAUCAGCCAUGACAUUGGCUUUGCAUGGGGUGUAGGUUAUUCCUAAGUCGUUAUCCAAGAUCAACUCAACCCAACGUCUUUGCCUGAGAUUCAAAUCUGGUUGGGUGAAGAUAUAUUUCAAGCUUUGGUGAUCGGUGAAGAUCUCGCAACGAUUACCGAGGAGGUAAUGUCGCCAAGUUUUAAGUGCAUGGACUACAGCUGCCAGCUCUAGAUCAUGUGUGGGAUAAUUUUCCUCAUGUGGGUGUAAUUGCCGUGAAGCGUAGGCAAUUACCUGAUGAUCUUGCAUGAGUAUGCAACCUAGUCCUUGUCGCGAGGCGUCGCAAUAGAUAAUAAAGUCCUUGGAGAAAUCCGGUGGUACCAGUACGGGAGAAGAUGUCAGGCGUCUUUUCAGUUCCUGAAAGUUGAACUCGCACUGUGGAGUCCACUCAAACUUUUUAUCUUUCUUGAGGAGUUCAGUUAGAGGUUUAGCAACCUUGGAUAAAUUCUCGACGAAGCGGCGGCAAUAGCUCGCUAAGCCAAGGAAGCUCCGAACUUGCUUGACCGUCUCAGGUGGAGUCCAAUCAAGGACGGCUUGAACUCGCUCGGGAUUGACGGCAAUACCCUUACCAGAGAUUACAUGGCCUAAAUAGGUUACUUCUGGCAACCAAAAUCGACACUUGGAGAACUUGGCAUAAAGGCGAUGCUCUCGAAGUUUCAUCAAUACCAGCCUUAGAUGUUCGGCAUGUUCCUCUUCAUUCUUGGAGUAGAUGAGUAUGUCAUCGAGGUAUACUACGACGAAUUUAUCCAAGUACUCCAUGAAAACCGAGUUCAUUAACCGGGAGAAGGUAGCCGGGGCAUUGGUUAAACCGAAGGACAUAACGGUGUACUCGUAUUGGCCAUAACGAGUAACAAAGGUCGUUUUGGGAAUGUCCCCGUUUCUGAUUUUGAUUUGAUGGUAGCCCAACCUCAAAUCCAUCUUGGAAAAGACUGAGGAUCCAGCGAGCUGAUCAUACAGAUCAUUGAUCCUGGGAAGCGUGUAUUUGUUCUUGAUGGUGACCAAGUUGACAGGUCGGUAAUCCACAACCAUUCGAUCUGUUCCAUCCUUCUUCUUGACGAAGAGGAUGGGGCAAGCCCAAGGAGAGGAACUAGGACGGAUGAAACCCUUUUUCAAGGACUCAUCGAGUUGGUUCUUAAGCUCGGCUAGUUCUAAGGGUGCCAUCUUGUAGGGUCUUCUAGAAAUUGGAACGGUUCUUGGAACAAGGUCUAUCACAAACUCGACAUCCCUGUCAGGUGGAACACCUGGCAGUUCUUCUGGAAAGACAUCCGGAAAGUCUCGGACUACCGGAACAUCCUCAAGGUCUAGAAGGGGGUUGAUAUUUAGGGAGUAAAGUUGGCGCUUGGCCACUCGAGUUAAGACAUUAACUGUCUUGCCCGAUGGGUAAGUUGAACGGUUCUAGUGGCACAGUCAAUCUUAGCAUAAUGAGCUGACUUCCAGUCCAUACCUAAGAUGAUGUUUAUGUCCGAGGACUUGAGAGCUAUUAAGGCUGCAAGGAAGACAAGUCUAUCGACAAGAAUUCGUUCCCAUGGCUUACUCUAGAAGUUUGCCAUCUAGAGCCAGGGGUUUGAAUUUCCAUGGUAGAGGGCAUGUCACAGAAUGUGGUGUUGUGCAAUCGAGCAUAGUUCUCGGAUAUGAAUGAAUGAGAUGCUCCAGUAUUGAAAAGAACAGAUGCCGGAUGGCAGUUAACAAGGAGCGUACUAAGGACGACGUUGGGAUCCUCAUGAGCCUCCUCGGCUGAAACAUAGUUGACAUGGCCACGUGCAGUGGUGGCCGGCUUGGCGUAGAAUGUUUUUCCGACGGGCUUACCACGGCCAACGGACUUUCCAGUUUGAUUGGGGUUGUUGUUCUGGGGACACUCUCGGCUAUAGUGACUCGGCUCUCCACACUUAAAGCAUGUCACCACAUUGGGGCGUGGAGCAGCAUUAGCAGCGGGGCCACCAUAGGGCUUGGGCGGUGCAAAUUGCUGGUUGGGACGUGGUACCUCAAAGGAUGGCCUCGGGAUGAACCUGGGUGGCAGUGCCGUGCUUGGAAUCCACACCCGGCGCUUCUCAGCUCCAGAGCCAGAUGAAGAGCCAAAAUCACGGGAGUGCUUGCGUGAAGCGUCAUAAUCAGUCUGGCUUGUCUCAGCACUGAUGGCUUUAUUGACCAACUUCUGAAAGGAGGUGCACUCGUGCAGAUGAAGAUCGCGGCGAAGCUCAGGGCUAAGUCCCUUGCGGAACCUUGCCUGCUUCUUAGCAUCAGUAGAUACCUCUUCGGGGGCAUAACGUGCCAGAUUCCCAAAUUCACGACUGUAAGCAUCCAUAGUCAGUCUUCCUUGGGUGAAGUUGAAUAACUCCUCCCUCUUGCGAUCCAUGAGACCUUCCAGAAUGUGAUGCUCACGGAAAACCUCACUGAAUUCAGCCCAAGUAGUGAUUUGGCCGACUGGGCGCAUAGCUUCGAAGUUUUCCCACCAAAGGCUAGCAGGGCCUUCGAGGUGAUAGGCAGCAUAAGUAACCUUCUCGGCUUCGGCUACGUUGGCAGAACGUAGCUUGUGGGUGAUGCUGCGAAGCCAGUCAUCCGCGUCGAGGGGCUCGACGGAAUGGUUAAACUUUGGUGGGUACAGCUUGAUAAAGUCAUUGAUUGACACCAAGUCAUUUUGCGGGUGGCGUGAAGUGUUUUGCUCAAUCCGCUCCAGCAGGCGGUUGGUCUCACGCUUGUUUCUUUCCGCCUCCAGCAUUACUUCAGCCAAAGAAGGCAUGUGAGGCAGAUUUUCACCUCUAGCAGCACUGGCUUCCCCCUGCUCCGGGGCUGCAGGGUUGCUGCGGGUGUUGACCAUCCUAGGAGAAAACAAGACAACGGUUUAGACAAGGAUGGCUCAAACUUAGCAAGGAAGUGCAUAAUGUAAUGGAUAACACGGAAUGCAGAGAUGUUCAUCCGUAUGUCAUGGUAAUAUAAAACUGCAAUAUAUAUACCAACGGUCAUACACAUCAUACAUAGUUUAGUACAAGCCCAGGCUACAGUACAACUAUGAUGAAAGACGUUACAUCUCAUCGGAGGCAUUCCAAGAUCCUAUACAUUAUUGUCUACACCUCCGGAAUUGAUUACACGCAAAGUCAUAUUCCACAAGUCACGCAGGACAGUGGAGAUACAACUACUACAAUACUAGUGGUACUACUAUGUCACGACCGGUUUUCCAAUAAAAAUAUUUAUUGAGAAACCAAUCUUUUGAGUCCAGUAUGAGGGAAAUCCUCCUCACUGGUAGACAAAAUUCUUGAUACAAUAAGCCAGUAGCAAAGAAUAUAUUACAAGGUUGAGCUAGGGCUGCUCAACAAUUUAUAACAAGCGCGCCAACAAUUAUAUAUAAUGGCGGAUAUACCACAAUGGUGUGGUGGCAUACUACUGACUCGGGGAUAAAGUGAUGGUGGAAUAACACAGUGGGGAGUGUGAUAACAUGACUCUCAAACUGGCAUCUCAUCGAGCGUCGAGGUGAGGCUCGAUGAAUUUUAUUCGGGUUGCGGAAGCGAAUAUAAUACAUUGACCGAAUCCAGGGUCGCACGAGACUGAUUGGGACUCCUCUAGGCGUCGGACUCGCUAUCGAACUAUUCAUCCAUGAGAUCGCCUUCGUCAGCAUCUGGCCAAAUCAACAAGCCAGUGAGUACUUUGAUAGUACUCGCAAGACAGUUUGGACUUAAGAUAUAACAAAUGCAUGCAUGAAUGCGUCAUGAUUAAUUCACCAAAUGUGCAUUCCAAAAAUUAGCAUAACAAAGCAAGUAAAAGGGAAACGGCGGUAGUCCGCCUGAAAUCCCAACAAAAGCAUAAAUGAAAACCGAUCGGGUGUCUGAAGCGAUGCCUCGAAAGGUGAACAAAUAAAUAAAGGAGAAAGUCAUGCCACAGUCGGGCGUCUUCACGACACCACAUAAAGGGCUUUGAAAGAAAUGCCACAGUCGGACGUCGGGGCGACAUCACAGAAAGGGCUUUAAAAGAAAUGCCACAGUCGGACGUCGGGGCGACAUCACAGAAAGGGCUUUAAAAAAAUGCCACAGUCAGAANNNNNNNNNNNNNNNNNNNNNNNNNNNNNNNNNNNNNNNNNNNNNNNNNNNNNNNNNNNNNNNNNNNNNNNNNNNNNNNNNNNNNNNNNNNNNNNNNNNNNNNNNNNNNNNNNNNNNNNNNNNNNNNNNNNNNNNNNNNNNNNNNNNNNNNNNNNNNNNNNNNNNNNNNNNNNNNNNNNNNNNNNNNNNNNNNNNNNNNNNNNNNNNNNNNNNNNNNNNNNNNNNNNNNNNNNNNNNNNNNNNCGGACGUCGGGGCGACAUCACAAAAAGGGCUUUAAAAGAAAUGCCACAGUCGGAUGUCGGGGCGACAUCACAAAAAGGGCUUUAAAAGAAAUGCCACAGUCGGACGUCGGGGUAACAUCACAGAAAGGGCUUUAAAAGAAAUGCCACAGUCGGACUUCGGGGCGACAUCACAGAAAGGGCUGUAAAAGAAAUGCCACAGUCGGACGUCGGAGCGACAUCGCAGAAAGGGUUUUAUUCACAAGUAAAUAAUAAUCAUAAUAAAUAUUCAAUUCAUGAUAAUAAACAGGUUAGUCCAUCCACAGGAAUAACAUUUAGCCGGGCUUAGCACUCAUGGGAUUCACCGGAGUCUCUGUCAUCAAACUGAUACUGUUAGGCCAAGAUGAUACGAAUUUGGACAUGGAAUAGAUGAUUCAAGGAAUGUAUGACUCUGCAGAGUUUGUACAAAAUUUUUUCCCACAGCCAACGGAUUUCCGUAGUCACGAGGGACUAGUUCCGUUUACGGUUUUUCGGAAGAAAACACAGCUAACCAAUACACACCCAUCCUACCUCUCGAUGCCAGGACUCACCCUAGACAUCGUCCAAGAAAAACUUUUGAGACGGGGAGAUCACAAUCUCGAAUAGCAUGGGAUCAAAUUUAUAUAUGCGCGCUCUAAGGGGUGCCCCCCUCUCGGUCCCAACCGGAAACACCCAUGCCCCCUGACCGGAUGACUGGCUUUAAUCCAGGGCCAUGGAACCAUCAUCCUGGCCUCUCCUUUUGGUGUGUACCAGGAAAGCGGUUUGCAACUUACUAAGCCAUAUUCCUUGCGAAAAACAUGUGGUAGUACAGGGAAGGAAAUGGGAGGAACUGGACUGGUACGGUUUGACCCUGAAGUCAUAUAGUCUGGCAUAAGACUGGCAUGCUACAACACUGCCAUCUUACCCAUCCUCAUGCCAACACAUGGCCAUUCAUACUCACAUCCAUCCACUUAUGGAUCAUCGAACUCACUUACCUCAACAUUUCAUAAAAAAAAUAACGUUCAUCGGUAUGCUCAUCAACAUGCCAUGAAACUAACUAAAUGCAAAACAUGCCAAGACACUCAUCAUAUCAAAAGUUCAAACAUGCUUGCCUGGUUCAGAGUAGUCGGAGCCUAGCUCGGUGAAGUUCGCGGCUCCGUCACCUCCUUCGGUAUCUAUGGUAUAAAGAAAAUAUAUGCGCUAUCGUAAAUUCCAAGAGGUGCACAGAAAGUAUUCCAAAUAUUUUUCAAAUAAAUAUGAUAAAAAACUAGACAAAAAUCUGAAGAGGACAGGAAAAGAAUCACUCAAAAAUUCCUUUCUGUUAAAAAGUUAUAAGGGUUUUAAUCCAAGGACUUAUCUGUAAUGAAACAGAAAGUUUCCAGGGGCUAGUUUAUAAAAACAGAAAACGCUUCGGCAGAAACUACGCCAGCCCAGAGGGAAGGCGCAUUUGGCAGAAGGCGUUUUCAGAAAACGAUUCGCUUAGACAGGAUAGAGAGGCUGACAGCGGGUCCCGCCCGUCAGGUUUAAACUUUCAAACGGGGGGGGGGGCAGAUUUCGCCGGUGCCCGAGAGCCGCGGUGGUCGCCGGCGGCGAUCCACGGCCAGGCAGGGUGAUCGGAGAUUACCAACGUGCUCACCGUGUCCUUCCGCAAUGGUGGGUGGUGGUGUUGGUCGCCGGUGAGCACCACGUCGACGCAGAGCUUGGUCGGGAAGGUUUAGGGAGUUGGGCGUCAUCGCGAAGUUGCACCGGUUCCAUUUAGGUGCUAAGCGAGCUUGGAUUGGGGUGCUAAGGGCGAAGUCGACGGAACGGGGCGGCGCGGGCCCGUCGGCGGCAGGGAGCAUGUUUCGUGCUUGCCGGGCCGCAGUGAUGGUGCCACGGGCGUGCGCUGGCAUGCAUGAGGACAUGCGGAGAGCCAGGGAGCUUUGGGUGGCGCCGAACGGCGUUCUGCCGUGGUGUGCCUUCUGUCGGCCGCCACAGGAGGUCCCGACGCCGCAGAAGACGCCGGCGAGGGCGGGCCAGCGCGCCACUGACGCCAGGAAAGCUCCAAGCACGCGUGUGAAGCUCCGGACAAGAGGGAGGGGCUGCGAGCAUCGAGCCAAAGGCACUGUGAGCAUAUGCCUGAAACUCUGAAGAAAACGACACUGUAAAACUGAAUUUUACUGAACUUUUCUGAAAAAUGCAAAGAACAGUGCAGCUCAGGUGAUCGACAGAAUGUUUUUGGCAUCUAGGGAUUUUUCCUUGAGCUAAAACUUGGUGGAGUGGCCUCUCAUUGCUCCAGUAGGCUGCCUGAAUUUUGGUGGAAUUUUUUUGGAGAAGUGUAGAUAUGAAUUUCACCAAAUUUGGCAAAUCUGGUCCAAACUUGCAGUGAGUGAAAUUGAAAUAUUUGAAAAGAAUAAGAGUGGAUCAAGAUGGUUCUAGGUUGUGGGUACUAAAGACAAUCCAGGGAAGUUGGUUUGGGAUAAAAACUCAAAGGCAAAGUGAUACUUGCUUUGAAAAUCACUUAAGCUCAAAAUAAAUGGCAGAAAUGUUUUGGGGGAUAAAAUAAUUGAAAUAAAAUCCAAAACUUGUUUGGACUUGUUGAGACAGAGAAUUUAGAUUGUUCAAAGGUGGAGGGAUGGAUUUUGAGAGGAUUUACUAUAGGAGACAUGGUAAAACCAUGGGUGUUUUCAAAAAGAAAGAAGUCCCAAAACUCCUAGGGUUUCCUUUUUUUUGAAAAAAAUAAGUUUGAGAGGGUAACAACCAGAAGGAAAAGCUCCCAAAAACUUCAACACCAAAUUUGAAAAGGGAAAAGAAAAUCCUUGACAAAGGAAAGGAAGUUUUUAAGAGGAAGGAUUUCUGGAAAAGAAAUUUUUAAAAAACCCUCUUUUAAAAUCCAACAAGGUUUUGAUAAAAACCAAAUUAAAAUUUUGGAGUGUCACAGCACUUACCCCCUUAGGAAAAAUCUCGUCCCCGAGAUUUCAGCUGAUCCUUAAAUAAGCGAGGAUGCUCUGUCCGAAGAAAAUCCUCUCUUUCCCAAGUUGUUUCACUGUCGGUGUGAUUGCUCCACUGGACUUUGAAAAACUUGAUGGUCUUCUGUCGGGUCCUCCUUUCAGACUCCUCUAAUAUUCUUACAGGACGUUCCCGAUAAGUGAGGUCUGGCUGCACGUCGAUGUUCUCAUGGGAUACUUGUUUCUCUGGGUUGCUUACGCACUUCCUCAAUUGCGAGACGUGGAACACGUCGUGGACAUCGGAUAAUUCCUCGGGUAAGUCUAGCUGGUAGGCUACCGUGCCUCUUCGUGCCCUUAUACAGAAAGGUCCGAUGAAUCUUGGUGCUAGCUUCCCUUCAAUCUUGAACCAUUGCAAUCCGCUCAUAGGGAUACUCUUAGGUAUACGAACUCACCGGGUUCGAAGCUGACCCCACGAUGUUUCUGAUCGUAAUAACUCUUCUGUCGACUUUGAGCAGUCUUAAGUCGGUCUCUGAUUAGUUUGACUUUUUCCUCGGCUUCUCUGAGCAUGUCUGGUCCGAAGAUGCGGCUGUCUCCGGUCUCUGACCAAUUUAACGGGGUACGACAUCUUCGUCCGUAUAAGGCCUCAAAUGGUGCCAUUUGCAGGCUGGCCUGGUAGCUAUUGUUGUACGCGAACUCGGCGUAUGGCAGGCUUUCUUCCCAACUAUUUUCAUAGGUGAGGACACAUGCUCUCAGCAUGUCUUCUAAAACCUGGUUUACGCGUUCUGUUUGCCCAUCGGUCUGUGGGUGGUAUGCGGUACUGAAGGCUAGUUGGGUUCCCAGAGCCUGUUGUAAAUGCUCCCAAAAGCUCGAGACGAACUGAGUGCCUCUGUCGGACAUUAUAGUCUUCGGGACACCGUGCAGACAAACUAUGCGGGAAAGAUAAAUCCUGGCAAGCCUCUGAGUGGUGUGGGUCGUCUUUAUUGGAAUAAAGUGUGCCACUUUGGUUAACCUAUCAGUGAUGACCCAUAUGGCAUCAUUCCCGUGUCGUGACCGAGGUAGUCCGACAAUGAAAUCCAUCCCUAUUUCAUCCCAUUUCCACUCAGGUAUUUUGUUCGGUUGCAGUAGUCCGGCUGGUCUCUGAUGCUCAGCUUUUAUGCGUUGACAUGAGUCGCAGCGCGCAAUGAAGGUGGCUAUGUCCCUCUUCAUACUGUGCCACCAAAAUCUUUCCUGAAUAUCUUUAUACGUUUUGGUUCCUCCAGGGUGGAUCGAGUACGAGGCGGUGUGGGCUUCAGCUAAAAUUUGCUAUUUAAGGUCUUCUAUGUUUGGCACGCAGAGUCUGUCUCCGUACCAUAAUAUUCCUUCAUUGUCUAUGACUAAUUCCGAGGCUUUGCCCAUACUCACCUUUCUUUUGAUGCCUUCGAUGCUGGGGUGACCGGGCUGAGCUCCUUUAAUUUCCCCCACAAGGUCGGGUUGUAUUUCCAAGUUUGAUAUGGUGCCUUCUGCUACCAUCAUCAAGUUGAGCUUGGCAAAUUCUUGUUGGAAUUCGGGCCUCAAUCUGUGCAAAUUGUUGUCGUCGGAGCUGGGAUUCCGACUAAGAGCAUCGGCCACUACAUUUGCUUUUCCUGGAUGGUAAUGGAUACCAACAUCAUAAUCCUUUACCAAUUCCAACCAACGUCGUUGCCGUAAGUUUAGUUCUGGCUGUGUGAAAAUAUAUUUGAGGCUUUUGUGAUCCGUAUAUAUUUCACAUCGAUUCCCAAGUAAGAAAUGCCUCCAUUCCUUGAGUGCAUGAAUAACUGCUGCCAUUUCUAAGUCAUGAGUGGGAUAAUUUUCCUCAUGCUUACGAAGUUGCCUUGAAGCGUAGGCGACAACCUUGCCUUCCUGCAUCAACACGCAUCCGAGGCCCUUUCUGGACGCGUCACAAUAUACUUCAAAAUUCUUGUGUAUGUUGGGUACAAUUAAUACCGGUGAUGUCGUUAAUUUCCGUUUUAGCUCUUGGAAACUUUUCUCGCAGGCUUCUUUCCAUUCAAACUUCUUGUCUUUCUUGAGUAACUGUGUCAUAGGCUUGGCUAUGGUGGAGAACACUUCAAUAAAACUGUGGUAAUAUCCUAACAUUCCCAAGAAACUUCGUAUGUCCGUUACGCUGGCUAGUGACAUCCAGCCAAGUAUGGCCUUGACUUUCUCUGGGUCCACUGCGAUACCGUCUUGGGUCAGUACGUGGCCUAGAAAGCCUACUUUUCUUAGCCAAAAUUCGCACUUGCUGAACUUGGCAUACAAUUGGUGUUUUCUGAGCUCUCCUAGCACAAUCUUGAGAUGUUCUGCGUGCUCUUCUGGUGUCUUGGAGUAUACCAGAAUAUCGUCGAUGAAUACCACGACGAACUUGUCCAUAAACUUCAUAAAUACUUUGUUCAUGAGGUGAACAAAAUAUGCGGGGGCGUUAGUUAAUCCAAAUGGCAUCACUGUGAACUCGUACAGUCCAUAUCUGGAGGUGAAGGCUGUUUUGGGAAUAUCUUCUGUUCGCACCUUUAAUUGAUGGUAUCCUGACCUUAAGUCAAUUUUUGAGAAUACCUUGGCCUGAGCGAGUUGAUCAAACAAAUCGUUUAUCCUUGGCAUCGGGUAUUUGUUCUUGACUGUGACCAUGUUAAGUGCUCGAUAGUCAAUACACAAUCUCAGUGUUCCAUCCUUCUUUUGGCAAAUAAAAUUGGUGAUCCCCAAGGUGAGGAGCUGGCUCGAAUGUAUCCUUUGUCUAGCAAUUCCCUUAUUUGUUUCUUCAACUCAACUAAUUUGGAUGGUGCCAUUCGGUACGGUUUCUUGUAUAUGGGGGUGGUUCCUAGUGCGAGCUCAAUGCUGAACUCUAUCUCUCGGUCUGGUGGCAUGCCUGGUUGCUCUUCAGGGAAUACGUCUGGAAAUUCACACACUACUGGAACCUUGUUUAGCUCAGAAAUGUCCACCUUAUUCAAUCUCGGUUGGCAGGGUAUUUUUCCUUCCUUGGCUGAUACUCUUAUUGUCUUCCCUUGGUGGUGUGUGAGAAUUACGGUCCUGUUGAAACAGUCGAUAAACCCCUUGUUGGUGGUUAGCCAAUCCAUCCCUAGGAUGACAUCCAGUCCUUUAUUUUCCAACACAAUAAGAUUUGCGUGAAACUCCAAUCCUUCGAACUCAAUGACCACAUUCUGACACUAAUUCUGAGUAACUUGCUGAAUCCCAGGGGACUUGAUGAUCAUGGAUUUCUCCAAAGGAAGCAUCGAAAAAUUAUUUUGCAAAGCAAAACUUUUCAAAAUGAAAGAGUGAGAAGCUCCAGAAUCAAACAAAACCGUUGCAGGUAUUGUGUUGACAGGAAACGUACCGAGUACGAUAUCCGGAGCAUUUUGUGCCUCCUCUUUGGUUACGUGGUUCAGAUGAUCCUUCCUGUGGUUGUUGUUGGGAUUGAAAUUGUUUCGCUUGGGCACUGAAUUACUGCCGCCGUUGUUCGGCUUUGGGGUUGAGUUCCUUGGCUUGGGGCACUGUUUGGCAUAGUGCCCUUCUUCUCCACAAGUGUAACAAGUAACGCCGGGGCGAUAUGUGAACUCCUUGUCCCUUGCAUGAAAAUUCUUGAUUGGGAGUGAGACGUUGGAUGAGGAUUUGUGCGUCCCACCCUUUUUGAAAUCUGUCUUGCUCCGGUGAUUGCGAGCAAGGUUAGUCUGGUCCCUUUUUCGCUUGCGGAUAUCUUCCAGACUGCGUCUCUCAUUCUCCAGAGUAAUGGCUUUGUCCACCAGUGUUUUAAAAUCAGGAAAAGUGUGCACGACCAGUUGGCAUUUAAGCGCGGGCACCAUACCGUCAAGGAAUUUCUCCAUCUUCUUGCUUUCAGUCAUACGCUCUUCAUUGGCGUAGCGGGACAAUAGAGUAAAUUGACUGUUGUAAUCUGACACUGUCAUGUUCCUUUGCUUGAGGUCGUCGAACUCUCUCUUCUUGAUUUUCAUAAUACUCUUAGGAAUGUGUGCACCACGGAAACCUUCCUUGAAAUCAUCCCAGGUUAUGUCAUUUUCAUUGGGAUGCAUGUGCAGAAAAUUCUCCCACCACGAUGCGGCUGCUCCUGUGAGAUAGUGCGGAGUAUACAGUGCUUUUUCGGGGUCUGAACAUUUUGCAAUAUCUCUAAGCCAGUCCUCGGCUUCAAGAGGUUUGUCAGUGUGAGAAAAUGUUUGGGGACGUGUCUUCUGAAGCUUAGAUAACUUGGAUUGCUGCUGAUACUGUCCAUGGUGAUUCCCCAUGUUGAUGACUUGGUUCAUCAUUUCACGAUGUUGUUGCUGACUUUGUUCAUAUAGGCGGCACAUUUGGGAAAGUGUCGUUUCACUGUCCUGUUGACUCGACUGCCCUUGUGUGAAAUUGUUGCCUGGUUGAGUGUCAUAAUUUUCCUCUGGUGGAGUAGGCAUGGAGCGAGUCCAAGGACGAGACAUUUUUCACUAUGGGGAUAUAAUUUGCAAAACUCAUAAGAAAAGCGAAAAUGGUCGCAAAAACAAAUCCAAAAUUGCACAAGGAUGGCAAAUAAUUUAAAUGACCAAGAUCACUUAAGAAAACAAAUCGAAUUGCGCACGGAGAAGGACUGCUCAUUACAUAUCUUACACGCGGGCGAUAAUUAUACAAUACAUCACUCAGGAUAUGUGUACAUAAUCCUGACAUGUUAUUUAGGCUAGUGCACUUCUCUAGUUCCUACAUGAUGCGCAAACAAGCUACUCCUCACAACCUAUGUACAUAUCUUACAAAGCGGUACAUCGCAUGACGGGCAAGCGCACUCAGCCGGAAAUGUUGACGAUCUCCUUGGCCCUGCCAAGGGUGAGGCGCAGUGAGGCUGGGGACUCGACCUCCUCCUCACUAAUAGGCUCCAGACGUGAAGAGCUGCGUCGGGUAGAUGGAGCGGGUGCCAGGGGCGGAGCAACACGAAUAGGAGUAGGCACAACGGGUGGUGCAGUGCGCGCUGGAGUGGGCGCAAUGGCCUGGUUGAACUCCUAAGUGGUAGGCGGGCGACGAGUAGGUGCAAAAGAUGCUGAUGACAAGACCAAAGUCAGUGGCGGUGCGGCGGGUAGGAGCUCCCUCCUAUUGGUGGCACAGCCAUGGAUUGAGUCCAUGCGGGCAGCUACGAAGUCGUCCACCAGGUUGUCGAAGGCUGCCUCCAGAGCCCGGAGAUACUCAAUAAGCAUCUCAAAAGCCUCAUCUUGUUCUCCUCUGGGGCAGGAGAAUGCGUAGUGACAGGUGUAAGGCACAUGGCAUGGAAGAUAGCGGUAGCGACGAGUCUUCAUCGCGGGAAGGACAUCCCUGAGGCGAGCUAUCGCCUCACGGGCUGCCAUCUGCAUAGCAUGCCUCUCCGUAGGCAUGGCUCUUCCCACGAACCGGAAGCGGCGUAACUCACCACGCCCUCCCCUGAACUGCACCGUGACCUGGUGCAUGGUCAGAUUGUCGCUGACCUUGUGCUGGUAGAGUGUGAAGACUAGGCGCACAGACAGCCCCAUCGCGACCUGAACGAUGAAGGAGAGAAGCUUGACGAACCCAUUGGGCACGUUGGCGAAGGUUUGAGACUCGCAGCUGUUGUCGGCCAUCUACAAAAGUAGGCAAAAUUCCUGCAUGGUCAGAUCAUAAAUUUAUGCUGACUGUCAGAAAAUGACUACCAUUGCAAAAAUAUAAAUUAGCUCUAUUAUGCUAAUAACGAAUUAGCGAUCGCACCUAGUGGCUUCCUACGGUCAGCCUGACUCUGAUACCAAGCUUGUCACGACCGGUUUUCCAAUAAAAAUAUUUAUUGAGAAACCAAUCUUUUGAGUCCAGUAUGAGGGAAAUCCUCCUCACUGGUAGACAAAAUUCUUGAUACAAUAAGCCAGUAGCAAAGAAUAUAUUACAAGGUUGAGCUAGGGCUGCUCAACAAUUUAUAACAAGCGCGCCAACAAUUAUACAUAAUGGCGGAUAUAACACAAUGGUGUGGUGGCAUACUACUGACUCGGGGAUAAAGUGAUGGUGGAAUAACACAGUGGGGAGUGUGAUAACAUGACUCUCAAACUGGCAUCUCAUCGAGCGUCGAGGUGAGGCUCGAUGAAUUUUAUUCGGGUUGCGGAAGCGAAUAUAAUACAGUGACCGAAUCCAGGGUCGCACGAGACUGAGUGGGACUCCUCUAGGCGUCGGACUCGCUAUCGAACUCUUCAUCCAUGAGAUCGCCUUCGUCAGCAUCUGGCCAAAUCAACAAGCCAGUGAGUACUUCAACAGUACUCGCAAGACAGUUCGGACGUAAUAUAUAACAAAUGCAUGCAUGAAUGCGUCAUGAUUAAUUCACCAAAUGUGCAUUCCAAAAAUUAGCAUAACGAAGCAAGUAAAAGGGAAACGGCGGUAGUCCGCCUGAAAUCCCAACAAAAGCAUAAAUGAAAACCGAUCGGGUGUCUGAAGCGACGCCUCGAAAGGGUGAACAAAUAAAUAAAGGAGAAAAUCAUGCCACAGUCGGGCGUCUUUGCGACACCACAUAAAGGGCUUUAAAAGAAAUGCCACAGUCGGACGUCGGGGCGACAUCACAGAAAGGGCUUUAAAAGAAAUGCCACAGUCGGACGUCGGGGCGACAUCACAGAAAGGGCUUUAAAAAAAUGCCACANNNNNNNNNNNNNNNNNNNNNNNNNNNNNNNNNNNNNNNNNNNNNNNNNNNNNNNNNNNNNNNNNNNNNNNNNNNNNNNNNNNNNNNNNNNNNNNNNNNNNNNNNNNNNNNNNNNNNNNNNNNNNNNNNNNNNNNNNAACCGAUCGGGUGUCUGAAGUGACGCCUCGAAAGGUGAACAAAUAAAUAAAGGAGAAAAUCAUGCCACAGUCGGGCGUCUUAGCGACACCACAUAAAGGGCUUUAAAAAAAAUGCCACAGUCGGACGUCGGGGCGACAUCACAGAAAGGGCUUUAAAAGAAAUGCCACAGUCGGACGUCGGGGCGACAUCACAGAAAGGGCUUUAAAAGAAAUGCCACAGUCGGACGUCGGGGCGACAUCACAGAAAGGGCUUUAUUCACAAGUAAAUAAUACUCAUAAUAAAUAUUCAAUUCAUGAUAAUAAACANNNNNNNNNNNNNNNNNNNNNNNNNNNNNNNNNNNNNNNNNNNNNNNNNNNNNNNNNNNNNNNNNNNNNNNNNNNNNNNNNNNNNNNNNNNNNNNNNNNNNNNNNNNNNNNNNNNNNNNNNCAGAAAGGGCUUUAAAAAAAUGCCACAGUCAGACGUCGGGGCGACAUCACAGAAAGGGCUUUAAAAGAAAUGCCACAGUCAGACGUCGGGGCGACAUCACAAAAAGGGCUUUAAAAGAAAUGCCAUAGUCGGACGUUGGGGCGACAUCACAGAAAGGGCUUUAAAAGAAAUGCCACAGUCGGACGUCGGAGCGACAUCGCAGAAAGGGCUUUUAUUCACAAGUAGAUAAUACUCAUAAUAAAUAUUCAAUUCAUGAUAAUAAACAGGUUAGUCCAUCCACAGGAAUAACAUUUAGCCGGGCUUAGCACUCAUGGGAUUCACCGGAGUCUCUGUCAUCAAACUGAUACUGUUAGGCCAAGAUGAUACGAAUUUGGACAUGGAAUAGAUGAUUCAAGGAAUGUAUGACUCUGCAGAGUUUGUACAAAUUUUUUUCCCACAGCCAACGGAUUUCUGUAGUCACGAGGGACUAGUUCCGUUUACGGUUUUUUGGAAGAAAACACAGCUAACCAGUACACACCCAUCCUACCUCUCGAUGCCAGGACUCAGCCUAGACAUCGUCCAAGAAAAACUUUUGAGAUGGGGAGAUCACAAUCUCGAAUAGCAUGGGAUCAAAUUUAUAUACGCGCGCUCUAAGGGGUGCCCCCCUCUCGGUCCCAACCGGAAACACCCAUGCCCCCUGACCGGAUGACUGGCUUUAAUCCAGGGCCAUGGAACCAUCAUCCCGGCCUCUCCUUUUGGUGUGUACCAGGAAAGCGGUUUGCAACUUACUAAGCCAUAUUCCUUGCGGAAAACAUGUGGUAGUACAGGGAAGGAAAUGGGAGGAACUGGACCGGUAGAGUUUGACCCUGAAGUCAUAUAGUCUGGCAUAAGACUGGCAUGCUACAACACUGCCAUCUUACCCAUCCUCAUGCCAACACAUGGCCAUUCAUAAUCACAUCCAUCCACUUAUGGAUCAUCGAACUCACUUACCUCAACAUUUCAUAAAAAAAUAACGUUCAUCGGUAUGCUCAUCAACAUGCCAUGAAACUAACUAAAUGCAAAACAUGCCAAGACACUCAUCAUAUCAAAAGUUCAAACAUGCUUGCGUGGUUCAGAGUAGUUGGACCCUAGCUCGGUGAAGUUCGCGGCUCUGUCACCUCCUUCGGUAUCUACGGUAUAAAGAAAAUAUAUGCGCUAUCGUAAAUACCAAGAGGUGCACAGAAAGUAUUCCAAAUAUUUUUCAAAUAAAUAUGAUAAAAAACUAGACAAAAAUCUGAAGAGGACAGGAAAAGAAUCACUCAAAAAUUCCUUUCUGUUAAAAAGUUAUAAGGGUGUGAAUCCAAGGACUUAUCUGUAAUGAAACAGAAAGUUUCCAGGGGCUAGUUUAUAAAAACAGAAAAUGCUUCGGCAGAAACUACGCCAGCCCAGAGGGAAGGCGCAUUUGGCAGAAGGCGUUUUCAGAAAACGAUUCGCUUAGACAGGAUAGAGAGGCUGAUAGCGGGUCCCGCCCGUCAGGUUUAAACUUUCAGACGGGGGUGGCAGAUAUCGCCGGUGCCCGAGAGCCGCGGUGGUCGCCGGCGGCGAUCCACGGCCAGGCAGGGUGAUCGGAGAUUACCAACGUGCUCACCGUGUCCUUCCGCAACGGUGGGUGGUGGUGUUGGUCGCCGGCGAGCACUACGUUGACGGCGGUCUUGACUCCGGCGGACGAUGGUUCGGGCGUUGAUGGAUCUCGCCGAGGAGGGCUGCAAGGAUCAAAUUGAGGUGGGGGUUAGAGCACUAGGUGUAAGAGAAGGCUACGGAUGAGGUUUGGGCGCCGGAGAUGGCCUCACCGGAGUGAAUCGAGGUGGAGGCCGAGGCGGAGCGAGGCGGCCGGAGUUGGGGAAGGAGACCUCCUCGAGGUCCUCCUGGUGGCUUGGCAGGGUCCUGGAGAGGUGCAGUGAAGGUGUGGGUCUCGUGAGCGAGCUCGGGGUCCUUUUUAUAGGCGAGCCGAGGCGGUGGCCGUGAAUGGGGAUCUCCGGCGAAGGUUACGGCGGCGCAGAGCUUGGUCGGGAAGGUUUAGGGAGUUGGGCGUCAUCGCGGAGUUCCACCAGUUCCAUUUAGGUGCUAAGUGAGCUUGGAUUGGGGUGCUAAGGGCGAGCUCGAUGGAACAUGGCGGCGCGGGCCCGUCGGCGGCAGGGAGCACGUUCCGUGCUUGCCGGGCCGCGGUGAUGGUGCCACGGGCGUGCGCUGGCAUGCAUGAGGCCACGCGGAGAGCCAAGGAGCUUUGGGCGGCACCGAACGGCGUUCUGCCGUGGUGUGCCUUCUGUCGGCCGCCACAGGAGGUCCCGACGCCGCAGAACACGCCGGCGAGGGCGGGCCAGCGCGCCACCGACGCCAGGAAAGCUCCAAGCACGCGUGUGAAGCUCCGGACAAGAGGGAGGGGCUGCGAGCAUCGAGCCAAAGGCACUGUGAGCAUGUGCCUGAAACUCUGAAGAAAACGACACUGUAAAACUGAAUUUUACUCAACUUUUCUAAAAAAUGCAAAGAACAGUGCAGCUCAGGUGUUCGACAGAAUGUUUUUGGCAUCUAGGGAUUUUUCCUUGAGCUAAAACUUGGUGGAGUGGCCUCUCAUUGCUCCAGUAGGCUGCCUGAAUUUUGGUGGAUUUUUUUUUGGAGAAGUGUAGAUAUGAAUUUCACCAAAUUUGGCAAAUCUGGUCCAACUUGCAGUGAGUGAAAUUUGAAAUAUUUGAAAAGAAGAAGAGUGGAUCAAGAUGGUUCUAGGUUGUGGGUACUAAAGACAAUCCAGGGAAGUUGGUUUGGGGUAAAAACUCAAAGGCAAAGUGAUACUUGCUUUGAAAAUCACUUAAGCUCAAAAUAAAUGGCAGAAAUGUUUUGGGGGAUAAAAUAAUUGAAAUAAAAUCCAAAACUUGUUUGGACUUGUUGAGACAGAGAAUUUAGAUUGUUCAAAGGUGGAGGGAUGGAUUUUGAGAGGAUUUACUAUAGGAGACAUGGUAAAACCAUGGGUGUUUUCAAAAAGAAAGAAGUCCCAAAACUCCUAGGGUUUCCUUUUUUUUGAAAAAAAUAAGUUUGAUAGGGUAACAACCAGAAGGAAAAGCUCCCAAAAACUUCAACACCAAAUUUGAAAAGGGAAAAGAAAAUCCUUGUCAAAGGAAAGGAAGUUUUUAAGAGGAAGGAUUUCUGGAAAAGAAAUUUUUAAAAAAACCCUCUUUUAAAAUCCAACAAGGUUUUGAUAAAAACCAAAUUAAAAUUUUGGAGUGUCACAACCUACUAACUCAGAUAGCUCCAUAGUAGUCCUCAUAGAAGUCACCUCCAUAGCCUGGAAGUUCAACGUGACCAUCCGGGAACAGACGGUCUUGAGGAGCCUGUGGACCAUAGGGGCUAGGAUGGGGUCUUGGACCAACAAACGGUGGCCUGCGGGGACCACGGGGUGGGGUGAUGCCUCCCACAUCACGCCAAUCCACCACGUCUGGCAAAGCAGACCUCACAGGAUACAGAUAUCUUGUAUACAUACAUCCAGCUUGCACCGCAGGUGCAAACCGAGUCAAUGUGGCCCAAUGAUCAGCACGGGUAUUAAAAAGCUCCAGCCUCAAGGCCCGAUUCUCUCGGUCCUUAUCUUCGAGCAUCUCGGCAGUGGUACGAGUUAAUGAAUCCUCCCGAGUGGAGUCAGCAUAGAUAGCCUGAAGAUACCGUUGCGCUCCCGGAAGUGAAGCUAGCAUGUAUCGGAAGUCGGUGUUCCGAAGCAGGCCAGUCCGGACUCGCAUGAUGGUCAUCAUGGAAUAGGCAGCAUCCUGCACAGCCAUCUCAACAGUAACCCCGACUCUCGGAAUAACUGACGGUGCAGAAAUACUGGCUUUGAUUAAAGUCUCGGAAUUGCUCUUCGACGGUGUAUUCGGGAUACCAACGGUAACCCGUCUCGAUCAUGACCCGGACUAACAUAGCAGUAUGACCGGGCACGUCGAGGCACCGGGUCAGGCGAACCACUUGGUUUUGAGCACGGUUGGGCAUUUUAAAGCACAACCACAAUGCGAAGACAUCAGAAUUUCUAGGGAAAAUUGGACCGCAUAACAGCUGUAAAUGCUCAGAAAAAGAUUUGAGACAUCCACAACAGUUCGCAAUACCACUCAACAACAUCAUAUCAAGGUUCUGAUCCAAAUAGCAACAUACUAAAAAUAGUAGAAACUGAACUGGGCUUGUAACAACAAUCCUAUAAGCUACUACGGAUUGGUAACACGUGAACCUGAUAGAAGAAGAGAGCCUAGUCCUUAACCCAUGUUGAAUGAGAAGGGAAUGACUCAGAUAAGAGGCAUAGGGUAAAGGAGUAAAAGAGCCUUAUGUUCCCUCCCACAAUCAAUUCCCCUACAUAUAACUAAAGCAUUUCUAGACUCGGCAUCGACCAGUUUGGCUCAACGAACCUACAGGCAGUCCAGCUCUGAUGCCAAAGCUGUCAGGACCCCGAUUUCAAGCCACAUCGAUCUAGCCGGUAACACCUCAUAUCACUUUGCGGCCUCACGCACGAUAUUCCACGGGUGUCGCCUUACCAUGGCCCGGGACCGUUUGUGCCUUUUGGCUCACGUAUAUGAUAGUGUCGCUAGCAUCCGUAUGACAGAGAACCCGGGCCGACAUGGCUAGUCGUGAACCCAAAGCGGCACAGACCUAUGGAGACAGGCAUACAUGAAUCACAUCGAGCAUGUCGGUCAUCAGCGAGUGAUUCCGGGCUGUAGCACUGGGCUAACAGGACUCCGGGGAACUCGGGCUGUAGCAGGCUAGGCAGGACUCCGGAAGUCACCGUGUGACAUUUCCCCGAAGGGACAGACAUAGGAACGAAGUGAAUCACAUGCCGGCCAGUCAAGUGUCCUGAGCAGUAGUGCUGGGCUAGCAGGACUCCGCUGAACCGGGCUGUAGCGGACUACUAUGGCUCGAGGAACACUAGACUACAUUUCCCCAUAAGAAAGGCUGCAAAGGAUAAACAACUAGAUUGUGGGAUCCCACUCAUACCAAGCAUUUCAAUCAUACACACAAUAUGCCCGAUAUGAGUACAUACAACAUGGCAUCACAACAAAACUCUACAACUCAAGUACUUUAUUUAAAGGCUCCAGAGAGCCAUACAUAACAUGUUCAUAUAGAUAGGGGUCACAUGACCCGACACUCAAGUCAUACAAUCAUACAAGCACAUGCGGAAGCAACGGGUCUUGAAAGUGCGUUAUAUCGGCUAGGGGGGGGGGUGAAUAGGCGAUUUUUAUGGAAGUCUUCAAAACGUGGAAGUUAUGAAGACAAACAGAGUGAACAAGCCUAUCACUAUGCAGCGGAAGUUAGAUUACACAACGCAAGCCAUGGUCAAGUAUACAAUAUAGUGAAAGCACAGUGACAAAUAGCUUCAGUGUAAUGAGGAUCAGGUUGGAAGAAGUUAUGAAGCCAAACAGAUCAUACAGUCAAGUUGUGAAGACAGAAGAUAAAGCAAGCAUGCAAUAGCUUCACAAUGUGUACUGGUAAGUAAAGGGAGGCGAAGAUGAAACCAGUGACACGUUGAAGACAAUGAUAUGUUGGACCAGUUCCAGUUGCUGUGACAACUGUACGUCUGGUUGGAGCGGCUAGGUAUUUAAACAAAAGGACACACAGUCCCGGACACCCAGUCCUGAACACGCAGCUCAGGACACCCAGUCCUCACCGUUUUCUCCUUGAGCUAAGGUCACACAGACCCCGCCCAAUCACUCUGGUAAGUCUUCAAGGUAGACUCCCAAACCUUCACAGACUUUGUUCACCGGCAAUCCACAAUUCCUCUUGGAUGCUCAGAACGCGACGCCUAACUGUCUGGAGGAUGCACAGUCCUCAAGUGUAAUAAGUCUUCAGAUCACUCAGACAAGAAGACUUAAGUGAUGCCCAAUUACUCUGGCUCUGGGUGGUUAGGGCUUUUCUCCUCACUAAGGAUUUUCUCUCAAUGGCUUCGAGGUGGGUUGCUCUCAAACGACAAAAGCCGUGCACUGAAAUCUGAGCAGCCAACCGUUUAUGGUUGUAGGGGUGGACUAUUUAUAGCCGCUUGGCAACCCUGACCUGAUUUGUCCGAAAUGACCCUGGGUCACUAAGGAACUGACACGUGUACUAACGGUCGGAUUUUGAACUCUCACGGCAACUUUACUUGGGCUGCAAGUAAAGCUGACUUUUCUGACUCUGGACAAGAUUUUCUCUCAUUGUCUUCACUCGAAGACAUAGGAUUUGAAUUAGGCAUCAUUUCAGUCAUCCUGACUGGUUCUCUUGGACCCCACUUAACAGUACGGUGGUUCCUAUGACACAACAUGAAUAAAGUAAAACUACAAAGGAUCUAAGUCUUCGAGUUCCAAAGGCUUCAUGGGGAGUCUUCAUAUGUCAUUGUCUUCGACAUGAAUGUCUUCAUGAACCACCAUUGUCUUCAAUGUCUUCGUACAUUUUUCGGGGUCAUCUCUGGUAACUAAACCGAAUCAAUGAGGGACUUCUACCUGUGUUAUCCUGCAAUUCUCACAAACACAUUAGUCCCUCAACUAGGUUUGUCGUCAAUACUCCAAAACCAACUAGGGGUGGCACUAGAUGCACUUACAAUCUCCCCCUUUUUGGUGAUUGAUGACAAACUAGUUGAAGUUUUCAACGGGGAAUAUAAUUUGUGAAAUUGUAAAGGAAUUGUCUUCAUAAGCUGCAAGGGCUCCCCCUGAGGAUGUGCAUAUAAGUGAUUUGCUUUUGGAACGCGAAUGCACAUAGCAGGUUGUAUUUGUGGGAAUCCACUUCAACUUAUGAUGACAAUCCAUCAUGCAUGUAAACAUAUAAGAAGAUAAUGAUAUGCAUAAUGAAAAAUGGACGCCUGCGAAAUGAUAUAAGUGCGGAAAUUAUCGUCGUACAUGCGGAAUUUAUCUUCGCAAAAACACAGUGGCAAACAUAGUAGCAGACGACCAUCAAGUUUAAGUGUUACAACUCAAAGAACCAAAUGUAGCAAAACGAGAGUUGUAAGCACGAAGCAAAAUAUAAUAAAGCACCAGCCCUUAUUAUUGACCCGCUUGAAGACUAUAAACAUCAUAUGCUUCUCCCCCUUUUGUCAGUGAUGACCAAAAAGGUUUGAAGGCAUAGAGUUUUCUACGUGUUCCCAGGCGCAGCAGGGUCGAUGGAGGCGUUUGGUGGAGCUGGCGAGCUUGGUGCAGUGAUGAUGCGCGCUGAAGAAGGUGGUGGUGAUGUAGCAUCGUCUUCUUCCUCAAUGAUUUUUCCAGUCACUAUGGCAGCAGAGGAAGAGAACUCUGAUUCUUCAAGCGACGGAGUUCCACGCAACACAGCUCUUCUGGGGGGUGUGGAGUCAAACUUGAAUCUCUCUUUGAAGCCAUCCUCUUGCAGUUCAGCUUCAGUGCACAUCAUUGUGAGGCCUUUCCAAGUGCGGCGACAGGUUUCAUGUGCGACAAAGGCAUUCUUGGUGGCCAGAUUCCUGAUGCGAUUGACUUCUUGCAUGAUACUGCGCAUCUGCCUUUUGAGCCAGUCGUGAUGCCUAUCUUGCUUUUGGUGCAGAGCCACAAGAAGUUCACGGUCAGUGAGUGUACGAGCGCGUUUCUUGGGUCUCUGUGCAGCUGUGCUGUCAGUGGCUUCAGUUGAUGCAGGGGCACGCGUGGUGCCAGCCAUUGGAUAGACUCUGGAAAUGGCUUCAACACCUUCAUCAUGCUGAGUGAAGCUCUGGUGUUCUACAUUCUGAAGACUUAAUGGCUGCUUGGCAGGCUCAGGAUAAAUCGCUUCAGCAGAGGUGUCCACAUCAGGUAAGAAGAUUCUGUGGUUGCGGGCAGAGUGUUGAUAGGAUAUGGUAGAGUGGAGCUUGAUGAGCCUCAUAACCCAUGGAGCAUAAAUCUUCAGACCAAAGAGAUCUGAGCCAAACGCUGCUAGUUGACGUAUAAAGAGAUCCUGGGCAUUGAAGCAUUUGCCAUGCAGGAUGCAGAAGAUGAGAGUCUUCAUGGCACCUUCAACCUUGGCAUAUCGAGAGUGCCCCUUAAUGGGCCAUAGAGUCCGCCUGAUGAUGUGAUAGAUAGUUCUAGGCAGGUACUCUAAGUCUUCAACGAAGAACUCGGUUGGGUAAGGUGCGUCAGGAGGCAAUGGCUUCAUCAUUGAGAGCAUCUGACUCAUAUUUGGCUCAGGUCGCUGAAAUAUGCUCUCAACUGCUUCAGCAUGGAGUUGGCAGCCUUCUUCGAAGAGUUCGCCUGGAGUGGGUAGGCCGGUGAGCUCAAUGAUAUCAAAUGCAUUGGCUUCAUGAUGGACGUUGCCGGUCAUCCACUCCAGGACCCAAGUCUUUGGAUCUUUGUUGUAGCCUUUGAUGUGCAGUGUGGCAUAGAACUGGAGCAGAAGCUCUUCAUUCCAGUGCUCUUCAUCCGUGACAAACGGCAGCAGGCCAACUUGCUUGAAGCAGUCCAGUGCUUCUUCCAGACCAGGCAGACCAGCAAUAGCUUCAACCUCAAGGCGCUGGUGUGGAAAGAUACGGCCUUGGUUGUAGAGGACGCAGAAGUAGUAGCUGCGCUGUGGGUAGCUCCAGAACCUAUCUAACACAAUCCGUUCCCUUGAGUAAGGGUUCUUGGAGCGGUUGAAGAAGGUGUUACCUGCCCUGAAGCUAUUGACAUUAAAGGAGCCAGGAGCGGUGGCAGGACCUGGGAACCUUGGCAGUCGUGGGAUUGGCUUCUGUACCUGGGGCCUGUGCGCAACAUGAUAGUUGAACUGUGGACCGGCAGCAGACUCAGGCACAGAAGGGUCAGAGGCAGAAGCUUCAGUAUCUCUUGAAGCUGUUGGUUGGUCGGGCUCCACAAAUGCUUCAGUAUUGGGUGUGGCAGCCGCAGUGGUGUCAGCCUCAUCACGUGUAGUGAGAGGGAUGGAUUCAGGUACGUUCUCCUUGAGAACUUCUUCUUGUUGGUGUGGGGGAGAUGGAGCUUGAGGUUCUUCAUGCUCUUCUUCAUGUUCUUCGGCUGAUGCAGCCGGAAUGUCGUCAGCAGUCUGAGCCCUUGGCCCUUUGCGAAGCCUACGGAAUGCAGGCAACGCCGGUGGAGUUGCAGUGGGCUGGGGCUCAUCCUCUUCCUCCUGCGGGCGAUCUGCCCAUGAUGCAUCUUGGGUGAUUGGCGUCAAGGGACGACCAAUGCUGAUCAUUUCACUCGUUUCGAGCUGAGGAAGGACUGCAUCACCUUGCACAUUGUCUUGGAGACCAAUGUCUUCAGCAGCGUUGGAGUCGGCUGCUGGAAUGUCUUCAGCAUGCGGAGCCUUUGUGAGAGCAGGCUCAUGCACGGUCAGCUGACGAUCUUCAUGAGGAAAGCAAACGGAGAGGGGUUCGACUAUCAAGGGCUCUGUGGGAGCAGCCCGAGACUUCUUGUUCUUGCGCUUCUUGAUGGUGGGGUCUAAAGGAGAGGCUUCAGGGUGUUUCCUCUUCCUUGCUUCAGCUUCGGCUGUCCUUGUCUUCUUAACCUAUGAAGCGGUUGAGCGGUGCUUUGGCUUCGAGCCAGGCUUGGCAGUGGGGAAGACAAUCGGAACAGCUUCUUGUCGUGGGGCCUCUUGUUCAGCCACAGUGGGCUUCUUCUUUUUCUUAGCGGCCAUCCUGGGGUCGAUGCUGGGACGCCCAAGCGCCUUUCGCUUCUCGGACUCAUUGUAGGCCUGCACACAGAGAUCAGCCAAAUUCUUCAUGCGCUCACGUGAACCCUGAGCCUCUGCACGUUUCUGCAUAAAGUUUUCCUUCAACUCGUGCAGCAUGACUUUGAAGUCUUUGACUUCUUGGACGCUGAGCGUGGCCAUGUUCUGCUUGAACUGAGCCUUUUCAAAAUCUAUCUUCUGCUUCAGUUCCACUAUGCGCUGGGCAAUUGCGAGUUCUGAAGCAAUAGCUCCUUGGAAGGCUACGCUGAGGCCAAUGGGCAGCUGCAGAUCAUGGAAGCUGAUGUUGGGUGUAUCAAACCACUCAUCAAUGAAGUUGUGGAUGAUUGCUGCAUCGAACAAAGGCAGAUUGUUGAAGAUUUCAGCCUCCUCCUUGCUCUUGAUUAGCUGCUCAAGAGCGUCAUCGGCAAGAUCGUCGUCACUUGACAGAUCAAUGGCCUCGCAGCGCAGAACGGCUGCGGCAGUGAGCUCUUUGUCAGUAUGUGGCUGAUGCUUCUUGGCUUCUUGGGGCUUGGAGACUCGUGAUAAGUCUUCAGACUGCACACUUGCUUCAGGAGGUGCAGUGGCCAAUGGCUUCGCUCUGGAGAUCUUGGGAGAAGCGGCUGGCUUGGAAGCUUUUGGCUUCUUCUUCAUCUGCUUCGGCUCCGGGGCAGCAGGAGCGUCAUCAGACUCAGUGUCUACUGGAGGGUCGUUCACGGCAGUCCCUUGGACUAGAAUGCGAGUGAUGAGGCCUUUGAGAUUGGCAUACGGCCCGAUGACAUUGGGAUUUGCAUCGCGUGUGCCAUCCGCCCUUGGCUUAGAGGGACCAGGGUUGAAGUCCAGUCCAAACUCCUUCUUGUUUUGCUUCGCAGAGUUCUGAGCAAAUUGGAAGUUGCGCUUGAAGAGAUUGUCAUCGCGACACCAGAGAAGUGAUGACGGAUGUGCCUCAGCUGGCUGUGGUCCUCUGACCAUGCAUGGAUAGAAGCCUUGAGCAAUGGCUUCGUCUCUGGACCGGGGUACGAGAUUUUUGUACAAGACAUCUCCCCAUGGCCUCUGGAUGGCGCACUUCUCUGCAUAUUCCUUGGCGACGAAGCGGUAUUGGAACCACUGCUCUGCCCAAUAUCUUCGAAUCCAUUGGAUUCGUGUCUAGCGCUGACCAUAGCUCUCUUCAGGAUCAGUUUGGUACAUUUCUGCCAAAUCUUCAGGCAGAUCUUUAGACGUUUCACCACGUCUCUGUCUGCCUCCCUUCCUUGCUGGUUUUUCUGUUGCCAUGAAGCUUAACUUGGAAGGCUUCAAGAGAUUCAAAGUCUUCAAAGGCUUCCUUUUGCUUGACCAACAGGAACUUGCUUCGGGUGAAUUGAUGUGACGCUGUAGGAACUCUGCAAAUGAAUGCAGACUAUGAGAACCAAAAGAUUCUCCCACGGACAUGUACCUGUGACAGCAUUAAGGUGCGAGGGAAGGGGAAGAGGUCAUAUGCAUUCUCAAAAGAUUUUGAAGAUAAAUCAGUUUAGAAGAUAUUGACCUCAUCAUGCGAAGACAUUCACUUUAUAGAAAAGAAGUUGGUUCCAGAUUUGUACGAACCCAUAGAUCAGUACAAGUGAGGAAUCUAACUACUUCAUGAAGAACAAGUGAAUAUACUAGGCACGUUAUGAGAUACAGAUGAGAGGGAUUAAACUUUUGUGAAUGGAAACCUCUUUUGGCAGAAAGUGAUGGAGCUAUAGGAUCAAAAGAGGCUGUAAAAAGACUUGUUAUUUACCAGACUUGGAACUGCUAGACGAGGUGAGAGUUGAGGCCGAGCAGUUCGAUCCUCCGUGCCCUAACUUGGCGACGGAAGACACCUAGGGCGACGGCGGAGAGACUGAUGUCCGCUGUCGGCGUGAGAACGGCAUCGGAGAGGUUGCGGCAGUGAAGCACUUCGUCGCCGGCGUCGUUGAGAGUUAGCGGUGGCGCUAGGGUUUGUGCGAGGGUGGAAGAAGAGAUAAUGACCGCAGUGAAACGUGUAUUUAUAGGGAUAUGGGCGGCACUGCGCUAUUACUCAGGUGCCCCUGGCGAUUCGCAUCUGAUCAGUACGUGGCCAGCAUGCGGAAUUGUGGGGGCAGUUUCACCCCACGCACGCCUGGUUUGUCGGAAGCCGUUCCUACUUCUCUGGAUUUCUUGUUGAUGAAAAAACAUUAAAAUCUGUUUUAAAGUUUGUCUCUGUGUCUUCUUCUGACAAGGAUGCAGUGAAGACAUUCGACAGUUUCAAUAGAAUGCAUAGACUUGGAGAGAUAGAGUUUGAGGUAGGAAGCAUGGAGAGGUUAGGGUCCGAUCACAUUCACUUAGUUCAAAAGAUUCAAACAAGAAGACAUAGCUAUAAGUGAAUGCUGUAGAGGACAGAACACCAGUACAUAUAUAAUCAACAUAGUGAAGAUAAUCAUGAAGACAUGUUGAGAUUGAAGCUAAACCAAAUGUGAAGACAUAGCAAAUGUAAUGCCAUGAGUGAAACACUUCAAGCAGAAAAAUUUGGUGGUGGCGCUACCCACCGUAUAGGAAGUAUUGGACCCAGACACGGCGCACAAUUAUCGUGGCGCUCCGAGGUCAAAUUCCACGUUAAUGUGUUCACACUUAGAAUGUAUGUCUUCAUUGAUUGAAGAUAUACGUUACUUCGUGUGUUGCACAUCUAAGUCAUCAUCAUGCAUAAGUGUUAGGAUGUGUGCCUGAUCACAGGACAUUUGAGGAUUCCAAGAUAUUUAGCUCACACCGUAACUUGCAAAAUCUCUUCUCAUCCAAGGGCUUGGUGAAGAUAUCUGCCAAUUGCUCUUUAGUGUUGACGUGUAUGAUAUCAAUGUCUUCCUUUGCAACAUGAUCUCUGAGAAAAUGAUGACGAAUUUCAAUGUGCUUUGUCUUCGAGUGCUGAACUGGGUUGUUGGCGAUCUUGAUGGCACUUUCGUUGUCGCAGUAAAGUGGCACUUGCUUCAGAUGAAUGCCAUAAUCCUUGAGGGUUUGCUUCAUCCAUAGAAGCUGAGCGCAGCAGGAUCCAGCAGCAAUGUAUUCAGAUUCAGCAGUGGAGAGAGAUACACAGUUCUGCUUCUUUGAAGACCAACAGACAAGUGAUCGCCCAGAAAGUGACAUGUGCCUGAUGUGGACUUCCGAUCAACCUUGUCACCAGCGUAAUCAGCGUCCGAAAAUCCAACCAGAUCAAACUCUGAGCCCUUUGGAUACCAUGACCCUAGAGUUGGGGUGUGAGCCAAAUAUCGAAGAAUUCGCUUCACAGCUAAGUGAUGCGACUCCUUUGGUGCCGCUUGAAACCGAGCACACAUGUAAACACUAAGCAUAAUAUCUGGCCUAGAUGCACAUAAAUAAAGCAAAGAACCAAUCAUGGAGCGGUAUACCUUUUGAUCGAACUCUUUACCAUUGUCGUCAGGACCCAGAUGAUGUUUGGCUGGCAUUGGUGUUGUGAAGCCUUUGCAGUCUUGCAUACCGAACUUCUUCAGGCAGUCUUUGAGAUAUUUCUCUUGAGAUAUGAAGAUGCCAUUGCGUUGUUGCCGUAUCUGAAGACCGAGGAAGAAUUUCAGCUCCCCCAUCAUAGACAUCUGAUAUUGCUCUUGCAUCAUAUAUCCGAACUCCUCACUGUACUUCUGAUUGGUGCAGCCGAAGAUAAUGUCAUCCACGUAUAUUUGGCACACAAACAGUUCACCAUCAUAUGUCUUUGUGAAGAGAGUGGGAUCCAGGGAACCAGGUAUGAAGCCUUUGCUCUUCAGGAAGUAUUUGAGUGUAUCAUACCAGGCCCGAGGGGCUUGUUUGAGGCCAUAUAGUGCCUUUUUGAGCUUGUACACCAUGUCAGGAUGUUUUGGAUCUUCAAACCCAGGUGGUUGUGCAACAUACACUUCUUCUUCAAUUUUGCCAUUGAGGAAGGCACUUUUUACAUCCAUUUGAUACAGGAUUAUGUUGUGAUGAUUUGCAUAGGCCAGCAGUAUACGGAUGGCUUCAAGUCUGGCAACAGGAGCAAAUGUUUCAUCGAAGUCAAUGCCUUCGAGUUGAGUAUAUCCUUGAGCAACGAAACGAGCCUUGUUUCUGACGACUUGGCCAUGCUCAUCUUGCUUGUUGCGGUAUAUCCAUUUGGUGCCUAUUAUGUUAUGCUUCCAUGGAUCAGGACGCUUAACCAACUCCCAUACAUUGUUCAGCUCAAAUUGUUGAAGCGCUUCUUGCAUAGCUUGAAUCCAUUCAGGUUCCAUAAAGGCUUCAUCAAUUUUCCUGGGUUCUGUCAUUGAAACGAAUGCGAAGUGUCCGCAGAAGUUUGCCAGUUGAGUUGCCCUUGAAUGAGUCAGUGGACCAGGUGCAUUGAUGCUAUCAAUUAUUCUGCAAUCUGCACUUCAUUGGCAACAUGAGGAUGUAGGGGUCGAAGACUUUGCUCUUGCUGAUCUACGUUGUCAUGGGGAGGAAUGUCUUCAGGCUGAGCGUUGUCUUCAUGUGGAUCAGGUGCUGAGAUGAUAAGUUCUUCUUCAGGACGAGCUUCAGAAGGUAUAAUUUCUCCAGUUCCCAUUAGCUUGAUUGAUUCACUGGCUGGAACUUCAUCUAGCACAUCUGGUAGUUGCUCUCUUUGUGACCCAUUGGUCUCAUCGAACCGCACAUCCACUGUUUCAACCACUUUGUAGUGGAAGAGAUUGGAGACUCUGUAGGAGUGCGAAUCCUUUCCAUAUCCAAGCAUGAAGCCCUCAUGUGCUUUUGGAGCAAAUUUUUAGGUGUGGUGAGGGUCCUUGAUCCAGCAUCUUGAUCCAAAUACUCUAAAGUACCUUACAUUUGGCUUCUUGCCAGUCAGAAGUUCAUAAGAUGUCUUGUUCAGCAGCUUGUGAAGAUAUACACGGUUGAUAGUAUGGCAUGCAGUGUCAAUGGCUUCAGUCCAGAAUUUUCUUGGUGUCUUGUACUCAUCUAACAUUGUUCUGGCCAUCUCAAUGAGUGUUCUGUUCUUGUGUUCGACGAUGCCAUUCUGUUGUGGCGUGUAUGGAGCUGAGAAUUCAUGAGUGAUGCCCAAUGUAUCAAGAUAUGUGUCAAGGCCGGUGUUCUUGAAUUCUGUGCCAUUGUCACUUCUGAUGUGCUUUAUCUUGGCGCCAUAAUUGUUCAUUGCCCGAUUUGCGAAGCGUCUGAAGACAUCCUGCACUUCAGUCUUGUAAAGGAUUAUGUGCACCCAAGUAUAUCUAGAGUAAUCAUCAACAAUGACGAAGCCAUAGAGGCAAGCAGUAGUGGAGAAAGUUGAGUAGUGAGUGGGACCGAAGAGAUCCAUGUGAAGCAGUUCGAAGGGUUGAGUAGUGGUCAUGAUUUUCUUCGAAGGAUGUUUUGCCCUUGUCAUCUUCCCAGCUUCACAGGCACCGCAUAAGUGAUCUUUCUUGAACUUGACGCCCUCGAUGCCUAUGACAUGCUUCUUCUUCGCAAGGGUGUGGAGGUUCCUCAUGCCAGCAUGCCCAAGUCUUCGAUGCCAAAGCCAGCAUUCUGAAGCCUUUGCGAGAAGACAAACUGCAAGCUGUGGCCCUGCUGAGAAAUCUACCACGUACAAAUCAUCUUUUCGAUACCCUUCAAACUCUAGAGACUUGUCAGAUUCCAUUAGUACCAGACAACGAUAUUUUCCAAAGAUUACAAUCAUGUUUAAAUCGCAAAGCAUUGAGACAGACAUUAAGUUGAAGCCAAGGGACUCAACAAACAUGACUUUAUCCAUGUGUUGAUCCUUUGAGAUUGCAACUCUACCUAGACCCAGUACCUUACUUUUACCAGUGUCAGCGAAUGUGAUGUGGCUCUUGUCAGAUGGACGUAAGGUUGAGUCCAUAAAGAGACUUCUUUUGCCAGUCAUGUGAUUUGUACACCCAUUGUCAAUAAUCCAUUCUGAAGACUCUGAAGUCACUGGUGUCGUACCCUACAGUGCAGUUAGGGGGAUAGGCUUCACGAAGAGUGUUGUGAAGCAAAAACAUUUGACGAACCAGUGGAUUAUGAAAACUUAGAUCCAGGUUAGGACAAGUAGGGAGAGUAGCAUGCGAUUCAGGUAUGAAAUACAUAGUGAUGCCAUUCGGGCAUUUGAUCUUGCGCCCACAAGAUUUUUAAGGUCCCCAGCAAUAGCAUCAGAAGAUUUUGGUUUUGUGCUGGAGACCUUUCCCUGCAAAAGAGAGUUAAGCUUUCUUAACCACCCACAUCUUCAAGGGUGGCUUAGAAGCAAACAGUCUAGCAGGUGGGCAAUAGUACUCAUAAGAAUAGGCAGAAUAGUUUUUGGUCAUAUGAGAAUGACGGUUUGAAGAACCGCUCUCAUAUGCCUGAGCAUGGUUUCCCUGCAAAACAUUUGUGUUAGUGCGACUCAAAUGAGUCCUCUGCCUGUAUGAAGCCUUUGGACCAUAUAUGAAGCCUUUGGUCCGAGGUUUGUCUUCUUCAUGUGAGGUGUCAUGAGGACAUUCACAGGAAGAUUCUCAAGACACGUUUUUGGAACCCAGAUCUUCUUCAUAGGCGGUCCAUUCCUGCAGUUAGUACCAAUGUACCUGGCAAAUACUUCACCAUUCUGAUUCCUGAACAGUUUAUAGUUUGCAUCAAAGGAUUCAUCAAUGAUAAUUGGAUUAGCACAAGUGAAGCCAGAUAGAUUGGAUGGAUCUGCUGAGGAUUCCUUUGCAGCAACCCAUGUGGUUUUGGGGUACUGCUCAGGUUUCCAGUAAGAGCCAUCUGCAUUAAUUUUCCUCACGAACCCAACACCCUCCUUCCUAGGGUUUUGGUUCAGAAUCUGCUUCUUGAGGACAUCACAUAAUGUCUGAUGUCCUUUGAGACUUUUGUACAUCCCUGUUUCAAGCAAUGUCUUCAACCUAGCAUUUUCAUCAGCAAUAGCAGUGGUAUCCUCAGUAGAGGGGUUAGUUACCACUUCAACAGUUGCAACAGCAGUAGCAGUGGAACAUUCAGCAACAGAAAUAGCAUUAUCACAAUCAAUGCAUUUAAGGCAUGGUGGUUCAAAUCCUUCCUGAACAGAACUGAUCUGUUCGGCUCGAAGUGACUCGUUUUCCUUUUGAAGAUCUUCAUGAUCCGUUUUUCAAGAUGUUGCUUCUUUUGAAGAUAAUCAUAGGAAAGCUUUUCAUGAGUAGUUGAGAGAGUCUCAAGACGAUCUUCGAGUUCCUGAUACUUAACAUGAAGAUUUUUUAUGUCUUCAAUUAAGGAUUCAGAACGAGUCAUUUCAGCACCCAACAGAUCAUCGCUUCUGUCUAACAGUUUUUGAAUAUGUUCCAUGGCCUUUUGUUGUUCAGUUGCAAUUUUAGCAAGUGUUUUGUAACUGGGUUUUGAAUCACAAUCAGAGUCAUCGUCACUAGAUGUUUGAUAGUGAGUAGUGCGUGUGUUUACCUUGGCACCACGUGCCAUGAAGCAGUAGGUAGGAGUAGAGUCGUCCUUGUCAUUUGCAUCGGUGAUGGUGAUGGAGUCAUUGUCUUCAGUGUUGAAGAUGGACUUGGCGACGUAGGCUGUAGCCAGACUCGCAAUGCCUGAAUCAGACUCCUCCUCAGACUCCACCUCUGCCUCCUCAGAAGCGGACUCCUCCUCUGAAUCCAUUUCCUUGCCAACAAACGCACGAGCCUUGCCAGAUGAACUCUUCUUGUGUGAUGAAGACUUUGAGGAAGACUUGGACGAAGACUUUGAGUAUUUCUUUGUCUUCUUAUCGUCAGAGUCAUAUUCCAUGCUCUAAUUCUUCUUUCUGUUCUCAUUGUCCCACUGUGGACACUCAGAGAUGAAGUGUCCAGUUUUCUUGCACUUGUGACAUGUUUUCUUCUUGUAGUCAUGCGCAGAAGCUUCAUCAUUCCUUGAGCUUGAUCGUGAAGACUUUCUGAAGCCUUUCUUCUUGGUGAAUUUCUGGAACUUCUUCACUAGCAUUGCAAGUUCCCUUCCAAUGUCUUCAGGAUCAUCAGAACUGCUGUCAGAUUCUUCUUCAGAUGAGGACACAGCUUUUGCCUUCAAGGCACGAGUUCGCCCAUAGUUUGGACCGUAGAUAUCUCUUUUCUCAGAAAGCUGAAACUCAUGUGUGUUGAGCCUCUCAAGUAUGUCAGACGGAUCGAGUGUCUUGAAGUCUGGAUGUCAAAUGAACUGUCAAGUGAUCUUAGCAGCGUCUUAACGAUUUCAUGUUUGGUGAUCUCAGUGGCGCCGAGGGCUUGAAGCUCAUUUGUGAUGUCAGUGAGCCGGUCAAAUGUGUGAUGGACAUUCUCAUUGUCAUUUCGCUUGAAGCGGUUGAAGAGAUUGCGAAGAACACUGAUUCUCUGAUCUCUCUGGGUUGAGAUGCCUUCAUUGACCUUGGAGAGCCAGUCCCAAACCAGCUUGGAUGUCUUCAAGGCACUCACACGGCCGUACUGUCCCUUGGUCAGAUGACCACAGAUAAUAUUCUUGGCAGUGGAGUCCAGUUGAGUGAACUUCUUGACAUCAGCCGCAGUGACACCUUCUCCAGCCUUGGGAACGCCGUUUUUGACGACAUACCAUAGGUGGACGUCAAUGGCUUCAAGAUGCAUGCGCAUCUUAUUCUUCCAGUAGGGAUAUUCAGUUCCAUCGAAGACGGGGCACGCAGCGGAGACUUUAAUUAUCCCUGCAGUCGACAUAGCUAAAACUUUAGGUGGUUAAACCAAAUCACACAGAACAAGGGAGCACCUUGCUCUGAUACCAAUUGAAAGUGCGUUAUAUCGGCUAGGGGGUGAAUAGGUGAUUUUAAUGAAAGUCUUCAAAACGUGGAAGUUAUGAAGACAAACAGAGUGAACAAGCCUAUCACUAUGCAGCGGAAGUUAGAUUACACAACGCAAGCCAUGGUCAAGUAUACAAUAUAGUGAAAGCACGGUGACAAAUAGCUUCAGUGUAAUGAGGAUCAGGUUGGAAGAAGUUAUGAAGCCAAACAGAUCAUACAGUCAAGUUGUGAGGACAGAAGAUAAAGCAAGCAUGCAAUAGCUUCACAAUGUGUACUGGUAAGUAAAGGGAGGCGAAGAUGAAACCAGUGACACGUUGAAGAGAAUGAUAUGUUGGACCAGUUCCAGUUGCUGUGACAACUAUACGUCUGGUUGGAGCGGCUAGGUAUUUAAACCAAAGGACACACAGUCCCGGACACCCAGUCCUGAACACGCAGCUCAGGACACCCAGUCCUCACCGUUUUCUCCUUGAGCUAAGGUCACACAGACCCCGCCCAAUCACUCUGGUAAGUCUUCAAGGUAGACUCCCAAACCUUCACAGACUUCGUUCACCGGCAAUCCACAAUUCCUCUUGGAUGCUCAGAACGCGACGCCUAACCGUCUGGAGGAUGCACAGUCCUCAAGUGUAAUAAGUCUUCAGAUCACUCAGACAAGAAGACUUAAGUGAUGCCCAAUUACUCUGGCUCUGGGUGGUUAGGGCUUUUCUCCUCACUAAGGAUUUUCUCUCAAAGGCUUAGAGGUGGGUUGCUCUCAAACGACAAAAGCAGUGCACUGAAAUCUGAGCAGCCAACCGUUUAUGGUUGUAGGGGUGGACUAUUUAUAGCCGCUUGGCAACCCUGACCUGAUUUGUCCGAAAUGACCCUGUGUCACUAAGGAACUGACACGUGUACUAACGGUCGGAUUUUGAACUCUCACGGCAACUUUACUUGGGCUGCAAGUAAAGCUGACUUGUCUGACUCUGGACAAGAUUUUCUCUCAUUGUCUUCACUCGAAGACAUAGGAUUUGAAUUAGGCAUCACUUCAGUCAUCCUGACUGGUUCUCUUGGACCCCACUUAACAGUACGGUGGUUCCUAUGACACAACAUGAAUAAAGUAAAACUACGAAGGAUCUAAGUCUUCGAGUUCCAAAGGCUUCAUGGGGAGUCUUCAUAUGUCAUUGUCUUCGACAUGAAUGUCUUCAUGAACCACCAUUGUCUUCAAUGUCUUCGUACAUUUUUAGGGGUCAUCUCUGGUAACUAAACCGAAUCAAUGAGGGACUUCUACUAGUGUUAUCCUGCAAUUCUCACAAACACAUUAGUCCCUCAACUAGGUUUGUCUUCAAUACUCCAAAACCAACUAGGGGUGGCACUAGAUGCACUUACAGGUCUGGGUACAGACACUAGAAAGAAAGAAGGCUCCUCGAGGCCUGUCUAUCUACAUAGGGCCCUCCAUGGCCAGGAUCACCACCUGGGUGGCUAGUCACUCAUCGAAGUCAAGGUCUACAUAGAACCCAUCGGAGGGGGCGGUGUUGUCGUCUGAAAACAGUAAUUAAGCAAACAUGAGUACAAAGGUACUCAGCAAGUCUUACAACAGAACCUACUAUACAUGCUUAUUCUCAAGAAGGCGGUGGGGAUAUUGCAGCAAGCCAGCUUUGACUCUUGGCUAAACUAUCCUACGGAACUUCUCUAGUAAAAUAGUUUUCGCACACGAGUCCACUACUCACCAACACAAUACUCCAACGGGGAUCCUCCCUCAUCAUCCUACGAGAGGGCCAUCCUCGGUACUCACACUUAUCUUGAGUCUUUUAGUAGUAUCCAUUUACUUGUCUAUGAACUGUAUAGGCAACUAAGUAGUCCUUUACCGCGGACGCGGCUAUUCGAAUAGUUUUAUACCCUGCAGGGGUGUACUUCGUCAUACACGCUUUCACCACUUAUCGCCGUUUACACGACAUGUACUCGGCAACCUUCAAGCGGAAGCCCAGCGAGGGUGUCGGCCACGGCCUACCUAAACACUUAAGUCUCUAGUCCUGCUUUAUCGCCUAUCCAAGUUCCAUCCGCAGGGAUUCCGGCCGAGGUUUCCACAUACGGCCCCGAACGAUGUGAACAGGAUCCCGAGACGCCAAACGGGUGCCCGGCAUACCCGGCCACGGUGUAUCUACCACAACAUAGCCCACCCCUAGGGUCAGCGCUACGCACGGCCGCCAACACAUAACCUACAAACACCAGAAACUAUUUGCAACUCCUGGAGAGAGUACUAGGGUGAUUAAGAAGCCGAUAGGGUCAAUUAAGGAUCCCAAUGCAUGGUAGUAGCUGAAUCUUAAAUCAUACAUACAGAUCUGAGUUCUUAGGGACGGUCUCAAUGAAACAACCCACCAUGUACUCCUACAUGGCCUCUCAUCGAUACCUUUACCAAAACAUGUUCAACACAUUCCUCAUAUUACCGACAUAAUCAUAUCACUCUAGCCCAUCACCCUGAUGAACCAGACCUGACACAACUCUAAGCAUAGCAGGCAUACCAAGGUACAAAUCACAUACAUGGCUCAAUCAACUCCUACACAUGCUAGUGGGUUUCAUCUAGUUACUGUGGCAAUGAAAGGUCAUGCAGAGGAUAAGGGUUCAACUACCGUAGCACACAGCAGUUUGAAUCGCGUUAUCUUAAUGCAGUAAACAAGAGUAGAGGCGAGAAUAUGGGUUGUAUCGGAAUGAUCAAUGGGUUGCUUGCCUGAUGGAGUGGUAGUGGGAUACUGCCCUUCAGUUGGAUACUCGUGAAUAUCCUCGGAGGCAGAACCUACCACGAAGAACACAUCGGAACACAAUCAAUACAUGACGAUAUGCAACAAUAUGAUGCAUGCUAUGACAUGGCAAUAUGAAUGUGUCUUGGCCUAAUGCAAGCUAAAAUAGAAAGGGAUGAACUCAUUUGAAUCAAAGAUACAAAUAUUAUCUCAUUAAACAUGGCCUUAAUAUUGCAUUUACUUAUUCUGCUUAAACAGAAAGGUAAACUUGUUUUGUCAUGCAUGAAACCAUUACAGGUGGAUAGAUUGAAUUUUUCUGAUAAUUUUUCAUAUAUAAAUUAUUUCAUUUGGAGUUACAGUUGAAUUUCUAUGAUUUUUAGAAUUUUUAAACAUUACUGCGUCAGCAUUGCGUCAUGCUGACCUCAGCAGGUCAAAGGCGCCAGCCCAGGUCAAACCUGACUGGAGGGCCCCUUCUGUCAGUCUCUUAAUUAAAUAACAGGACUAGAUUAACACUAAUUAGCUGUCAGUGGGGCCUGGGCCCACAUGUCAGUGACUGAUUAAAAUAAAAUUAGUUAAAACUAAUCCUAGAUUAGUUAGCAGACCAGCCCCACCUAUCAUAGACUCAGGGGGGGUCUACCUGGGCCCACCCAGGGUCAAACUAGGUCAAACUCGCCGGCGUUGAGCCGCCGGCGAGGCCCGAGACGGUGGCGCAGCUCGGAAAACGCCUAUAGGGCACGAGCGAGGCCGUUCUUGGGCUCGUUGGAGAGCUCUUGCAGUCGCGCAUCUAGUGGUGGUGGUGGCGGGCCUACGGUGGCCGGAGACGACGACGGCGAGCUCCAAGGCAGCGGCCGGAGUUCGGCCAUGUGCGGGGUGUGGGCUGCGGCGUGCAAACUUGGAAACUGAGGCGCUAGCGAGGCACUACGCGAUGCGGCAAGCACGUUGCGUAGCACGGGAUGACCAAAUGGUCGCCGGAGCGGCGCCAGCGACAAGCUCGAGCAGAGACGAGCUUCGGCCAUGGUGGAACUAUGGCCUAGAGGGUGCAAACGCAUGGAAAAGAAGAGGGGAAAGGUGGCGGACCUCACGGGGAGGUCGAUGAGUAGCUCAGUGGGCUCGGGGGUGACCGGAGCGAGGCGAAUCGAUGAGCGGCGUCCGGCGGGUACCGAGGUUGAAGACGAUCCGAUGGCGGCGAUGCAGGGCCUCCGGCGAUGCGUGGGGAGGGCGAGGGCGUCACGGCGGAGCUUCUGGACAGGUCAGAGAGGCGAGGGGGUGACAGAGGGCGCGACUACGGCGGUGAGACGGCGACGGGUGCAUCGGCCAUCGCGGGAGAGGGAGAGGGGGACGUGGGGGAGAGUGAGAGAGGAUGAGAGGGGGACAUGUGGGUCGCGUGGCAUUCCCUGGACGUCUCCCGGCGUCGGCGAAAGCAGGAGGUGGCCGACGUGUGGCCGCGGGCGCCGGCCACGCGCUCCGCGUCCUUCUGGCGCGAGGAGGACGACGACGGGCAGCGCCAGUAGGCUAGGCCGAGCCCGGUGGGCUGGCCAGCACAGGUAAGGCCCAGGUGGGCUUCUCCCUCUCUUUUUUUAAUUUGUUUCUGUUUUCUAUUUAACUGUAACUGUUGGGCUUUAUUUAAAAUACUAAAAUAUUUCCAGAAAUCCUGAAAAUAAUUGUGGGCUCUGCUUGGAUUAUGUCCAACAGCAAACAUUUAUUUCCAGAAUUAUUUGAGCAUUUAAAUUAUUUAAUAGCAUUUAAAUGCCCAAAUUCAAAUACUUAUGAUUUAAAUCAAUGACCUUCUAUUGACCUAGAAAAAUUGUGCAUCAAUUUUGCCAGAGGUUCUAACCCAAGACAAAGAGGGUGAACUUUUUAGAAGGGCAUUUCAGGUUCAUUGAAAAUAAUUUUAGUAAACCCUAGUUGUUUCCAGGGGGUGUUGGGGGUUUCUCCCUUCCCCAAUUCAAAUUUAAGAGGAAUUUAAACAUGAUGGAGAUUCUAAUGCUUGAACUAGCUAGGGUGUGACAUGACUCUUUAUUUGUUAGUUUACCAUAAUCAUCCUUGCUGUACACACCUUUUGAGAGGGCCAUACAUGAUUUGGAAUUUGUUAGAAUACUCUAUGUGCUUCGCUUAUAUCUUUUGAGUUAUAUAGUUUUGCUCUAGUACUUCACUUAUAUCUUUUAGAGCACGGUGGUGGAUUUGUUUUAUAAAAACUAUUGAUCUCUCAUGCUUCACUUACAUUAUUUUGAGAUGCUUAAUAGCAUGGUAAUUUGCUUAAAAUCUUAAUAUGCUAGGUAUUCAAAGUUAGUAAAAUUUUCUUAAGAGUGUUUUGAAUACUAAGAGAAGUUUGAUGCUUGAUGAUUGUUUUGAGAUAUGGAGGUAAUAAUAUCACAGUCAUGCUAGUUGAGUAGUUGUGAAAUUGAGAAAUACUUGUGUUGAAAUUUGCACGUAUGGUAAACGUUGUGUAACAAAUUUGAAACAUGAGGCGUUAUUUGAUUGUCUUCCUUAUGAGUGGCGGUCGGGGACGAGCGAUGGUCUUUUCCUACCAAUCCAUCCCCCUAGGAGCAUGCGCGUAGUACCUAGGUUUUUGAUGACUUGUAGAUUUUUGCAAUAAGUAUGUGAGUUCUUUAUGACUAAUGUUGAGUCCAUGAAUUAUACGCACUCUGACCCUUCCAUCCUUGCUAGCCUCUUAGGUACCAUGCAUUGCCCUUUCCCACAUUGAGUGUUGGAGCAAACUUCGCCGGUGCAUCCAAACCCCGUGAUAUGAUAUGCUCUUUCACACAUAAACCUCCUUAUAUCUUCCUCAAAACAGCCACCAUACCUACCUAUUAUGGCAUUUCCAUAGCCAUUCCGACAUAUAUUGACAUGCAACUUUCCACCAUUCCGUUCAUCAUGACACAUUCAUCAUUGUCAUAUUGCUUAGCAUAAUCAUGUAGUUGACAUAGUAUUUGUGGCAAGGCCACCGUUCAUAAUUCUUUCAUACAUGUCACUAUUGGUCCAUUGCAUAUCCCAGUACACCGCCGGAGGCAUUCAUAUAGAGUCAUACUUUGUUCUAGUAUCGAGUAGAAAUUAUUGAGUUGUAAAUAAAUAGAAGUGUGAUGAUCAUCAUUAAUAGAGCAUGGUCCCAAAAAUAUAAAAAAGGAAGGGCCAAAAAAAGGCCAAAUAAAAAAAUGUAAAAAAGGGGGGCAAUGCUACUAUCCUUUUUUCCACACUUGUGAUUCAAAGUAGCACCGUAAUCUUCAUGAUAGAGAGUAUCUUGAUUUGUCAUUUUCAUCUACUAGUGGGAAUUUUUCAUUAUAGAACUUGGCCUGUAUAUUCCAACAAUGGGCCUCCUCAAGUUCCCUAGGUCUUCGUGAGCAAGCAAGUUGGAUGCACACCCACUUAGUUUCUUUUGUUGAGCUUUCAUACAUUUAUAGCUCUAGUGCAUCUGUUGCAUGGCAAUCCCUACUCCUUGCAUUAACAUCAAUCGAUGGGCAUCUCCAUAGCCCAUUGAUUAGCCUCGUUGAUGUGAGACUUUAUCCUUUUUGUCUUCUCCACAUAACUCCAGUCAUUAUAUUCUAUUCCACCCAUAGUGUUAUGUCCAUGGCAUGCAAUCAUAUAUUGCGUGAAAGUUUAUAGGUUUGAGAUCACUAAAGUAUGAAACAAUUGCUUGGCUUCUCAUCGGGGUUGUGCAUGAUGAGAGCAUUCUUGUGUGACCAAAAUGAAGCAUGAUUAAACUAUAUGAUUUUGUAGGGAUGAACUUUCUUUGGCCAUGUUAUUUUGAGAAGACAUAAUUGCUCAGUUAGUAUGCUUGAAGUAUUAUUAUUUUUAUGUCAAUAUGAACUUUUGUCUUGAAUCUUUCGGAUCUGAAUAUUCAUACCACAAUUAAGAAGAUUUACAUUAAAAUCAUGCCAACUAGCACUCUGCAUCAAAAAUUCUGUUUUUAUCAUUUACCUACUCAAGGACGAGCAGUAAUUAAGCUUGGGGAUGCUUGAUACGUCUCCAACGUAUCUAUAAUUUUUGAUUGCUCCAUGCUAUAUUAUCUACUGUUUUGGACAAUAUUGGGCUUUGUUAUCCACUUUUAUAUUAUUUUUGGGACUAACCUAUUAACCAGAGGCCCAGCCCAGAAUUGUUGUUUUUUGCCUGUUUUAGGGUUUCGAAGAAAAGGAAUAUCAAACGGAGUCCAAACGGAAUGAAACCUUCGGGNNNNNNNNNNNNNNNNNNNNNNNNNNNNNNNNNNNNNNNNNNNNNNNNNNNNNNNNNNNNNNNNNNNNNNNNNNNNNNNNNNNNNNNNNNNNNNNNNNNNNNNNNNNNNNNNNNNNNNNNNNNNNNNNNNNNNNNNNNNNNNNNNNNNNNNNNNNNNNNNNNNNNNNNNNNNNNNNNNNNNNNNNNNNNNNNNNNNNNNNNNNNNNNNNNNNNNNNNNNNNNNNNNNNNNNNNNNNNNNNNNNNNNNNNNNNNNNNNNNNNNNNNNNNNNNNNNNNNNNNNNNNNNNNNNNNNNNNNNNNNNNNNNNNNNNNNNNNNNNNNNNNNNNNNNNNNNNNNNNNNNNNNNNNNNNNNNNNNUGUUGCUCCACCGACGUACUCCUUCCUCCUAUAUAUACCUACGUAUCCCCAAACGACCAUGUACGGAGACAAAACCCUAAUUCCACCGCCGAAACUUUCUGUAUCCACGAGAUUCCAUCUUGGCGCCUGUUCCGGAGCUCCGCCGGAGGGGGCAUCGAUUAUGGAGGGCUUCUACAUCAACACCAUAGCCUCUCCGAUGAAGUGUGCGUAGUUGACCUCAGACCUACGGGUCCAUAGUUAUUACCUAGAUGGCUUCUUCUCUCUUUUUGGAUCUCAAUACAAUGUUCUUCCCCUCUCUUGUGGAGAACUAUUCGAUGUAAUCUUCUUUUUGCGGUGUGUUUGUUGAGACCGAUGAAUUGUGGGUUUAUGAUCAAGUCUAUCUAUGAAUAAUAUUUGAAUCUUCUCUGAAAUAUUUUAUGUAUGAUUGGUUAUCUUUGCAAGUCUCUUCGAAUUAUCAGUUUGGUUUGGCCUACUAGAUUGAUCUUUCUUGCAAUGGGAGAAGUGCUUAGCUUUGGGUUCAAUCUUGCGGUGUCCUUUCCCAGUGACAGUAGGGGCAGCAAGGCACGUAUUGUAUUGUUGGCAUCGAGGACAACAAGAUGGGGUUUUCAUCAUAUUUUAUGAGUCUUUCCCACUACAUCAUGUCAUCUUACUUAAGGCGUUAAUCUGUAUUUAACUUAAUACUCUAGAUGCAUGCUGGAUAGCGGUCGAUGAGUGGAGUAGUAGUAGUAGAUGCAGGCAGGAGUCGGUCUACUUGUCUUGGACGUGAUGCCUAUAUACAUGAUCAUACCUAGAUAAUCUCAUAACUAUGCUCAAUUCUGUCAAUUGCUCAAUAGUAAUUUGUUCACCCACCGUAGAAUACUUAUGCUCUCGAGAGAAGCCACUAGUGAAACUUAUGGCCCCCGGGUCUAUCUUUAUCAUAUUAAUCUCCUACUACUUAGUUAUUUCCUAUGCUUUUUUACUUUGCCUUUAUUUUACUUUGCAUCUUUAACACAAAAAUACAAAAAAAUUAUCUUUAUCAUAUCUACCAAAUCUCACUCUCGUAAGUGGCCGUGUAGGGAUUGACAACCCCUAUUCGCGUUGGUUGCGAGGAUUUAUUUGUUUUGUGCAGGUACGAGGGACUGGCGCAUAGCCUCCUACUGGAUUGAUACCUUGGUUCUCAAAACCUGAGGGAAAUACAUACACUACUUUGCUGCAUCAUCCCUCACUCUUCGGGGAAAACCAACGCAGUGCUCAAGAGGUAGCAAGGGUUCCUUUUUGUCGACGAUCUGAUGUUUCAACCUUGUUUUCCAGGCGGCCAACGCGUCGCUAAACUUGGUCAUGGCGUGUUUUUUUAUCUUCUUCAUUGCCAGGUCCUUAUCUGGAUCUUUAUUAUCCUUUUCAUUACGGUCCGGGAACAAGAAUAUCUGGUGCAGCCUCUUUAGGAGGGAGGGCCUCAUAUUAUCUAUCUUCUGUAGUUUCCCAUCGUUGAUCGUGGCAGUUGUCCAUACAAUGCAACCUAUUUGAUUGCCGUAGCACGAUCGCGCUUCCUCAGGCGCUAUUGUCUCAAAAAUACCGUCGUCCAACUCCGUGACCACCAGUCUAGUACUCAGGAGCUGGUUUGGGCGCCGUGGCCUCUUUGCUUUCGGUUCUAGACCAACUCCGCUAGUCUCGGCGCCGGUCUCAGUCUCAUCGCCGGUCUGCAUGUCGGUAUCAGUCCCCGAUGCGACAACACAGUCGCUGCAACAUGGGUAAGGGAGACCUCCGCGCGUUUGUACAUAGGCACAGGGUGAAUCCCGGUGAGAGAUGGCCAUUGGCGCAUGCAAGUAGACGACGACGUCCCCGACGAAGAGCAGCCGGCCAGCUCGCCUCACUCUCCUUUGAUUAGAAAUGAAAGAUUGGGAAGAAGCAGACUGGAGCCUGCAGGGAAAGGAUAAGGUGACGAUGCAGUCUCCACUCGUUCGGGGCGACACACGUACUGAAUGUAUGAGAAACGUGACGUGGCAGAGACCCCAAGAUACUCCCUCCAUUUAUUUUUAGUCUGCAUAUAAAGUUUGGUCAAAGUCAAGAUUUGUAAAUUUUAACUAACUUUAUAAUAAAAAAAUAUCAACAUUCACAAUAUGAAAUCAAUAUUACCAGAUGUGUCAUGAAAUGUAUUUCCAUACUAUAUAGUUUUGGUAUUGUAGAUGUUCAUAUUUUUUAUAUAAAUGGGAAGUAGAGGCACUCUUGCAUAUAAUGAAGUUUAUAAUAUAUGUGCUUAUAUUGUACUACAAUUGUUUGAAUAGCUUAGCAUAUGUUCAGAUGUAUGAUAUCUGUAAUUUAAGCGCUUGAAUUUUACAUAUAAAUAUUUAUUAAUAAAUAUGUACCCCUAUAAUAGCUAGGCCGUGCAUUUGCACGGGUAGAUGACUAGUGAUUACAAUCUUGUUUGUGUGCAAGUCAAGCUUAUCUAGUUUACACGUAACAACUUGUAGAACGUUACAAAAUUUAUGCUUGCUAAUAACUUCUAGAACACUACAACACUUGACAUGUAAAAGGAAUUUGACGAGUCAUGGCCUACUAAAGCAAGUUACAUUACUAGUCUUAUCUAUCUUAACAGACCACACAAGAUUACAAACUAAGUACCGUGACAGCCAUGCUUAUCUAGUUUAUGCGUAACAAUUUGCAGAAAAUUACAAACUUAGUUUCAGAAAAAUAGGCAAUCUAGAUUAGUGUUUGAGCUGUAAAGUGAAUAAGAUGAGUCAUGCAUGUUAUCACACCUUUUUGGUGGUGGAAUGAUAGUGCAACAACAAGGAACUUUAAUGACCAGUCCAAGAAUACACUUGUAAGUAGUGCUACCAAACAGAACAUACCAAAUGAUGAUUUUUAGAAGCAUCCAAGCACUUUCCACACAAACAAAUGCCAAUUGUGAAAGAGAUCAUUCCAUGGCAGCUAUAAAUAGCCCCAUAGCAUGACGAUCAUCCUUCCUCAUCCAUCAUUCUUAUUAGUAGAGCGCAUCAUUUAAGCCAAGCAAGCUGUGGUCAAUACAAAUCCACCAUGAAGACCUUUCUCAUCCUUGCCCUCCUUGCUAUCGUGGCGACCACCGCCACAACUGCAGUUAGAGUUCCAGUGCCACAAUUGCAGCCACAACAUCCAUCUCAGCAACAGCCACAAGAGCAAGUUCCAUUGGUACAACAACAACAAUUUCUAGGGCAGCAACAACCAUUUCCACCACAACAACCAUAUCCACAGCCGCAACCAUUUCCAUCACAACAACCAUAUCUGCAACUACAACCAUUUCCGCAGCCGCAACUACCAUAUUCGCAGCCACAACCAUUUCGACCACAACAACCAUAUCCACAACCGCAACCACAGUAUUCGCAACCACAACAACCAAUUUCACAGCAGCAGCAGCAGCAGCAACAACAACAACAACAACAACAACAACAAAUCCUUCAACAAAUUUUGCAACAACAACUGAUUCCAUGCAUGGAUGUUGUAUUGCAGCAACACAACAUAGCGCAUGGAAGAUCACAAGUUUUGCAACAAAGUACUUACCAGCUGUUACAAGAAUUGUGUUGUCAGCACCUAUGGCAGAUCCCUGAGCAGUCGCAGUGCCAGGCCAUCCACAAUGUUGUUCAUGCUAUUAUUCUGCAUCAACAACAAAAACCACAACAACAACCAUCGAGCCAGGUCUCCUUCCAACAGCCUCUGCAACAAUAUCCAUUAGGCCAGGGCUCCUUCCGGCCAUCUCAGCAAAACCCACAGGCCCGGGGCUCUGUCCAGCCUCAACAACUGCCCCAGUUCGAGGAAAUAAGGAACCUAGCGCUACAGACGCUACCCGCAAUGUGCAAUGUCUACAUCCCUCCAUAUUGCACCAUCGCGCCAUUUGGCAUCUUCGGUACUAACUGAGAAGAAAAUAACUCUAGUACUAGAUAUAUGAAACACCGUUUUCUCAGUCCAUGGUUUGGUCGUUGUAGCGGUGAAAAAAUAAUGUGACAUGCACUAUCAGGUAAGAACCCGAACUAUACUAGUUCAAACUUGGGAAUAAAAGACAAACACAGGUCUUGUCUACAUAUUUAUGUUGCAUCUAUUUAUAUAUUAAAAGUAAUAUAAGGUGAACCAGGAGCAAGGUAAAUAUGCUAGAAAAUUGCACGUUAAUUAGAAAUUACUAGCCCUCGAUCUGAUAAAUCUUAACGAACAUAUAUAAUGCUCUGGGCCUCCAACGACUGUACGUGACACAUCUGAACGAACAUAUGUUAAAGAAAAUAUAUUUGGUAAAUGGUGGGCUUCUUUAAAAAGAGAACUCACGUACAUGCACCAACUAAGAAAAACACAUACAUGUAAACGGGAAAAGGAUGAGAUUUUCUCACGUACGUGCUCCCUGGCUCCACCCCGUUGAAAAAAUAUACAUCUGGAGGCCACUUUGUUUCCUCAUCAAAAAAACUUACGUUAAAAAGAUUGCAUGCAUCCCAGGGAAAAUAGUCAAGAAGAAGUCGGACUUUUCCUUACAAAAACAAGGAACGUGUUAAGUUGACUUCAAAGAAAAAAGGAACAUGUUAAGUUAAAAAAAAACAAGAAACCUGUUAAGUUAGAAAAAAAACAAGGAACGUGUUGUCCAAGGAAAGAGGAAGAAGAAAGUUGGUUUCAGUGAGUCAUGUGAAUUGUAGAAGAAAUAGGUAAACAAGGCUAGCUCCCCUGGGGGUUGUCAUAUUACAAUCAUUUGUAUUACUUUCCUACCAAUCCUGAACUAGCUAUGACCCUUAUAGCGAGCCUCACUUUACCGUUUCAGAUAGAAACAUAUGGCAGUACUGUACGUACUCGAGAGAAGUUGCUCCCUUCCAUGACAAGGACUAGUUAAGUUUCACUAUCUCCUUUCUCAACUCACUAUAUCCCAGCGGCGGAUUAAUAUAUAUACGUUGAAAAGCAAGGGGAUAAAUUGAACGAAAUGAAGAGCAAUCCAGAAUCCUAUUUUGUAUAUGUGUCAAAUCUUACAAAAAAAAAAGAAUACACACACGUACGUUCAUGCACUUGGAAAAUAGAAAAAAAAGGAACAUCACGUAUGUAUACACUUCGGAAACUCAUUACAUGACCAUGUCUGAUAUACUCCUCUAAUGCUUCAUAUUAGUGCCUAAUAAUUUAUAUUUAAAAUUCAAUUUACUGAUCAAAUAUCCCCACUGUUUAAAUUUUAAUUUGGCACAUUGUUUGGCUAUAGUAUGAACCUAAAUUUCCUCUUAUUAUUAUAUAUCAUGGUAAUAAUCCAAAGGCGACUAAUCUGCGCCGGCGCACCGGCGCAAUCAAUUCCGCUGGACACAGCGCGGCCGUUUGAUUAGAUUGCAUUUAACCGUCAGAUCUGGAAUCGUUUUCUUUCCAAUUAAACAGAUUCAACCAAACAGCAGAGGGGAAAACAAAGCAGCGCCGCCGCCAACACUAGCCAUGGACGACCGAUGUAGCAAAACCUUGAAGAACCGCCGCCGGUCGCCACCCUCGCUGCUGGUCGCCGCCCUCGCCGUCGGUCACCGCCGGUCGCCGCCCUCGCCGCACUCGUGGUUGCAGGCUUGCAUCUCCGCCUCCGGGGGACAUGGCCGCAUGUCCGGUAGCGCCGGCCGCCGGCCGGUGCACCUGUCGUUGUGGUCGCGCUGUACCUCGCCGUGUGCCCUCCCGUGGCUCUUGCUGGUUCCAACAAAAAACGAUACCGGUUGUAGCAAAAAAAUAUCGCUUCCAGCAAAAAAGCUUACCGCUACAGCCCGCCAUCGUCAUUGUAGCAAAAAUGUUAACCCGAUGUAGCUUCUGUGGUUGCCGACUGCAGCAAAAAAUGACAUGGUUGUAGCAAAACACAAAAGAAAAACGCCGGCCGGCCUCUGUGUAUGGUGGUAACAAACCCCAUAGCCGGUGGUAGCGAAAAACUUCAUAGUGCGCAGCAAAAAAAUGUUGUCACCCGUCGUCGAGGUUGCAUCAUCUUCAUGAAUUAUGUCGCAAAAAAACGUUGUCGCCGGUAGUAGCAAAUGAAGCCGCCGGUAGUAGCAAAACAAGACACUGGUUCCAGCCAAAAAAAAUCAGCGACAGAACCUUUGGUUGGUUCCAACAAAAAAACUUGUCGGUCGUAACAUCCCUCGCCGCCGGAUGUAGCAUCUCCCGGGGCUGGUUGCAACACUCCAUAAAAAAAAGUUGUCUAUGAGCGCAUCCAUGGUGACUGCUGCACCGUCAGCAACGAGGGGAAGAGGAGGCAAUGAAAAUCGUUCGAGUCAUAGCUCCACAGGACGCGGCUGCAGCAUGGGGAGUCCAAAAAUCUGUCACAAGCAACAUGCGCCUCGCCAUCCUCCUGCGCAGGAGAGAGAAGAAAAAGGAAUAAGAGGAAGAAGAAAGAAAACGGGAGAAAGAAAAAAGAAACGAUUGGUGGUUGGCUCAGGCAAUUAGUCAAGCGAGGGGCACGCGGGGCGCAGGAUACAGCGCAAUCGAACGAAGCGCGCGCGUCCGGCGAAGACUCGGCCGGACUGCCGGCUGGAAACGUUUCCCUAAUCCAAAGGCUUUAUCUGAAUGACAACUCGUCUGGGUUACCGGCUAACUAGAAAAAAGAUAAAUAUGCUAGAGAAUUUCAUAAUAAUUAGAAAUAUCUAGCCUUUAAUUAUGUAAAUCAGAAAAUCACAACCGUUGGAUUUACUUUAAAGGUAAAUUUCUCUAAAUUCCCACCAUUGCCAGUAUGUAGAAACAUGUGCUGCUUCAAUUCUCCCAUAAUCACCAAUCAAUCAACAACACAAAACAUACCUCAGUUAAAAAAACUGAACAAAAAAAAAGAAAAAAGAAGAAAGGACAAGAUACACGCAUGUACACGACAGCCUUGGCUUGAAACACAUCAGUAGAUCAAGUGUCCGCCUCCCUUACACAGAAUAAACUCAUAGGGAAGAAAAUAAUUGUGCAACCUAACCUUAUACGUACUAUUCUAUCCUCACGUCCCAUGAGGUUUACUAGCCUACCGCCGCCGCAUCAUGCCAUCCCCUCCUUUCAGCUCCCAUGCUUUCCAGCACCCUCAUUGCCGCGCCACUACUUGCCUAGGGAUAUUGCUGCUCAGACCGUGGAGCUUAACCUGCUUCUUCUUCAGCAAAUAUGGUACUGCUUUAGGAUCCUUCUCACAUCAGCACGUAUGGGCCUCAUUAUACUGCAGCUCCUGGACCUCCUACAAUUGGUUGGCUAUGGCCAGUUGAUCGAUGUGCCGAAGUCCAGGUCUGUUUGCUGGCACAUAUGCUUUGGAAAUAGGCCACUAUGUUUGUACUUCAAAAUUGUUUCUGUAUUCUUGAGUGGUACAUCCUUUUAAGCGCCAGUUUUUUAUGUCAAUUCAUGCUGACAACACUUAACCUAGCCUUUCAUCUUCACGUACUAAAUACAGGAGCAAGUAAAAACAACAGACCACCUAAUUGCUCUGCAUGUACUACAUAGGAAAAUUUGUCAUGUUCUACGAUCGCACCAUCCCACACUUCUCUCUUGGUAUGGGCGCCAAUUGAGGGAUUGAUAAAACUGAAACGAAGACGUCACGGGGCUGGAAGUACCGCUAGCCUGGUUUGCACUGCAACCUACUCAACGCCAUCAGAAACUAGCAACUGAGGCAGUUGUUGAUCGAUUCUCUCAAAUUGCUCUCAUGUAAGUACUACCCCUUGCAUGUGCGUACAUACCUUUGUUCCAUUCUCAAACAGAUAGAACAUUUAUGAUCGGUGCAUGGCUAUUUUUCAUCACAUGACAUCCAGAUAACAAGCAUGAAAGGACUACAUUGGAGAUCAAAAAAUAUUGGUUCCUGGCUAGAGGACCACUACCUAUGGACUUGUCUCCAUAGAAUUUGUUCCCAAGAUGUUAUUUUAAUUAACCUCUUUAGCUUUCUUCCAUUGCAAACGGUGAUGUGCAUCUUGGUAUAUACGUGACCAUCUUGCACAUGUAUACACAAGAGGCUCAGACGGAGGUGCUGGAUUCUGGACGAGGGAAUAUGAAGCAGCAGUGAGCGAAGAGUAAAUAAUGGUGGGAGUACCGAUUGGUGUUAUGAAGAAAAAUGCCAUCCAAAGAUUGAUUAGUGUCAUGGAAGAUUAAUUUCUGAAUGCGAAUAUAUAUGUUACAUUGGUUUGGAUCUUUUUGAGAUAAUUGCACAUAAAUUAGGUUCUUUCUUAUUUCAUAUGUAUACCUUAUUUCAGUAAAAGUUCACAACGAACUUAGUAGGACAAAUAUAAUUUUGUUUGUUCUUUCUGUUGUCCGCCACCAAAGCUCAAUUUGAACUCUCUAGAAAUGGACAAUGAUUUAUGCAUUCUAUAUCUUCUUGAUUCAUUAGCCAUGACAAGGAAAUAAAAGGAUUGACUGAUAUAGCAUAACUUUGGAACGAUCUGUUCGUAGAGGUUACUACAAAUUAGAGUAGUGUCUGCUGGAAUUUUGCCAGUAGGUCUUUGGCCCAAAGCCCAACUAAAAUUCUGAAAUUCUCUUGGCUCAUUUAUGCACACAUGUGAGUUGAGUGAGUGAGACUAAAGUUUAGUCCCACCCCGGAGUUGAGAGAGAGUUGCACCUCUUUAUAAGGUGAGCUCUUCUACCACUUGUAUGAGCAUGAGAAGAGGAGACCUACACGCGCGCUCCUCCUCCUCGCUCGCCACGCCUCGCCGCGCCGCGCCGCGGGUUGCGGGAUUGAGCCGAGCCGAGGACGUUGUCUAUAUUUUUGCUGCUCGGGAAAAAUUAAUGAGUCAUUAAUUAAUAAUUAAUGGACGCAUUAAUUACUGAACCGUUUCCGAUUUUUUUGGAUCGUGACGAAUCGGACGCGGGGUUUACUCCCAGGACCUACCCGGCCCGCACUAUAUAGUCAGGCAGACGUCUACCCUAGCCGCCGCCGCUUCAUAUGGUUUCUCACCAUCGUUACAGAUCAUUGCGCCACCAAGCAAGUUUUCUCCAUCCCUCCUUUCGGCGUGCACCGGGAGAAGGGAUAGCAGACCUCCGGAACCCCGCCUCUCGUGAUCCUGUACGGGAGAGGGGCGAUCAGGCUUUUGGGGAGCACACUCGCACUACUGUUGGCAGCGACGACUUCGCAAACGAGGACUUCUUCCCCGACCUCGGCAACCUCAUCCUCGACGACAUGGGCGACAACGUCAACGCCGGCGGUGCUACACCCACUGCACCGUAUGUUAUUCUCUCCUUCUUGUUCGAGGUCGUGGUAGAAUUCAAAGUAUAUGUGCCCUAGAUGUGAUCUGUUCAUCUACUAUGGUAGUUCGCAUGAUUAGUUUAAUCUCUGCUAUUGCUGUCAUGAUCUAUUUCCUAUUUAUUCGGAUUAAAUCUCGUAGUAAUUUGCUCAUUUUUCCAACAAUCCAAAAACCUGAUUAAUGGAAAUUUACUCCGAGUGGUUUUGCUGCGCAUCUGAAAGCCGCUUGCCUUUAAGGGGGCGCAAUAUAAGAGGUGGCUCACAAGAGUAGUCUACUGGUUUCAGAUCAUGGGCUGCUAUGACGCCACCAAGGGCAAGCCUGAGGGCGAUCUUAAUCCAGCACAGCUGGAUGCUAUGACAACGGCAAGAACACGUGGGCUACGCUCGAGGCCAAGUUUGGUGCCUCGGACGCCGGCAGCGAGUUGUACGUCAUGGAGCAAUUCUAUGACUCCAAGAUGACUGAUGAGCGCCCUGUUGUACAGCAGGCUCAUGAGAUACAGUUGCUCGCAAAAGAACUUGAGUACUUCAUGUUGGGGAACGUAGUAAUUUCAAAAAAAUUCCUACGCACACGCAAGAUCAUGGUGAUGCAUAGCAACGAGGGGGAGAGUCUGAUCUACGUACCCUUGUAGAUCGCAACGGAAGUGUUGACACAGCGUAGAGGAAGUAGUCGUACGUCUUCUUCCCGAUCCGACCGAUCCAAGCACCGUUACUCCGGCACCUCCGAGUUCUUAGCACACGUUCAGCUCGAUGACGAUCCCCGGGCUCCGAUCCAGCAAAGCUUCGGGGAGGAGUUCCGUCAGCACGACGGCGUGGUGACGAUCUUGAUGUUCUACCGACGCAGGGCUUCACCUAAGCACUACAACGGUAUGAUCGAGGUGGAAUAUGGUGGCAGGGGGCACCGCACACGGCUAAGGAACGAUCUCAAUGAUCAACUUGUGUGUCUAGAGGUGCCCCCUGCCCCCGUAUAUAAAGGUUGCCAGGGGGAGGGCUGGCCGGCCAAGCUAUGGAGGCGCAGGAGGAGUCCUACUCCUACCGGGAGUAGGACUCCCCCCAAUCCUAUUCCUAAUAGGACUCCCAAGUGGAAAGAGAGGGAGAGAGGUGGCCGGCCACCUCUCCUAGUCCUAAUAGGACUAGGGGAGGGGGGAGGCGUGCAGCCCACCUUGGGCUGCCCCUUUCACCUUGCCACUAAGGCCCAAUAAGGCCCAUUUGGUUCCCGGGGGGUUCCGGUAACCUCCCGGUACUCCGGUAAAAUCCCGAUUUCUCCCGAAACACUUCCGAUGUCCAAACAUAGGCUUCCAAUAUAUCAAUCUUGAUGUCUCGACCAUUUCGAGACUCCUCAUGAUGUCCGCGAUCACAUCCGGGACUCCGAACAACCUUCGGUACAUCAAAAUGCAUAAACUCAUAAUAACUGUCAUCGUAACGUUAAGCGUGCGGACCCUACGGUUCGAGAACAAUGUAGACAUGACCGAGACACGUCUCCGGUCAAUAACCAAUAGCGGGACCUGGAUGCCCAUAUUGGCUCCUACAUAUUCUACGAAGAUCUUUAUCGGUCAGACCGCAUAACAACAUACGUUGUUCCCUUUGUCAUCGGUAUGUUACUUGCCCGAGAUUCGAUCAUCGGUAUCCAAUACCUAGUUCAAUCUCGUUACCGGCAAGUCUCUUUACUCGUUCUGUAAUACAUCAUCCCGCAACUAACUCAUUAGUUGCAAUGCUUGCAAGGGUUGUAUAAUGUGCAUUACCGAGAGGGCCCAGAGGUACCUCUCCGACAAUCGGAGUGACAAAUCCUAUUCUCGAAAUACGCCAACCCAACAUCUACCAUUGGAAACACCUGUAGUACUCCUUUAUAAUCACCCAGUUACGUUGUGACGUUUGGUAGCACCCAAAGUGUUCCUCCGGCAAACGGGAGUUGCAUAAUCUCAUAGUCAUAGGAACAUGUAUAAGUCAUGAAGAAAGCAAUAGCAACAUACUAAACGAUCGGGUGCUAAGCUAAAGGAAUGGGUCAUGUCAAUCAGAUCAUUCAUCUAAUGAUGUGAUCCCAUUAAUCAAAUAACAACUCUUUGUCCAUGGUUCGGAAACAUAACCAUCUUUGAUUAACGAGCUAGUCAAGUAGAGGCAUACUAGUGACACUCUGUUUGUCUAUGUAUUCACACAUGUAUUAUGUUUCCGGUUAAUACAAUUCUAGCAUGAAUAAUAAAUAUUUAUCAUGAUAUAAGGAAAUAAAUAAUAACUUUAUUAUUGCCUCUAGGGCAUAUUUCCUUCAGUCUCCCACUUGCACUAGAGUCAAUAAUCUAGAUCACAUCACCAUGUGAUUAACAUCGAUAGUUCACAUCAUCAUGUGAUUAACACCCAUAGUUCACAUCGCCAUGUGACCAACACCCAAAGGGUUUACUAGAUUCAGUAAUCUAGUUCACAUUGCUAUGUGAUUAACACCCAAAGAGUACUAAGGUGUGAUCAUGUUUUGCUUGUGAGAGAAUCUUAGUCAACGGGUCUGCCACAUUCAGAUCCACAUGUAUUUUGCAAAUUUCUAUGUCAACAAUGCUCUGCAUGGAGCUACUUUAGCUAAUUGCUCCCACUUUCAAUAUGUAUCUAGACCGAGACUUAGAGUCAUCUAGAUUAGUGUCAAAACUUGCAUCGGCGUAACCCUUUACGACGAAUCUUUUUAUCACGUCCAUAAUCGAGAAACAUAUCCUUAUUUCACUAAGGAUAAUUCUGACCGAUGUCCAGUGAUCUACUCCUAGAUCACUAUUGUACUCCCUUGCCAAAUCAGUGCCGGGUAUACAAUAGAUUUGGUAUACAGCAUGUCAUACUUUAUAGAACCUAUGGCCAAGGCAUAGGGAAUGACUUUCAUUCUCUUUCUAUCUUCUGCCGUGGUUGGGCUUUGAGUCUUACUCAACUUCACACCUUAUAAUACAGGCAAGAACUCUUUCUUUGACUGCUCCAUUUUGAACUACUUCAAAAUCUUGUCAAGGUAUGUACUCAUUGAAAAAACUUAUCAAGCGUCUUGAUCUAUCUCUAUAGAUCUUGAAGCUCAAUAUGUAAGCAGCUUCACCGAAGUCUUUCUUUGAAAAACUCCUUUCAAACACUCCUUUAUGCUUUAUAGAAUAAUUCUACAUUAUUUCCGAUUAACAAUAUGUCAUUCACAUAUACUUAUCAGAAAUGUUGUAGUGCUACCACUCACUUUCUUGUAAAUACAGGCUUCACCGCAAGUCUGUAUAAAACUAUAUGCUUUGAUCAACUCAUCAAAGCAUAUAUUCCAACUCCGAGAUGCUUGCACCAGUCCACAGAUGGAUCGCUGGAGCUUGCACAUUUUGUUAGCACCUUUCGGAUUGACAAAACCUUCUGUUGCAUCAUGUACAACUCUUCUUUAAUAAAUCCAUUAAGGAAUGCAGUUUUGUUUAUCCCUUUGCCAGAUUUCAUAAAAUGCGGCAAUUACUAACAUGAUUCGGACAGACUCAAGCAUAGAUACGAGUGAGAAGCUCUCAUCGUAGUCAUCACCUUGAACUUGUCGAAAAACUUUUGCGACAAUUCUAGCUUUGUAGAUAGUAACACUACUAUCAGCGUCCGUCUUCCUCUUGAAGAUCCAUUUAUUCUCAAUUGCUUGCCGAUCAUCGGGCAAGUCAACCAAAGUCCAAACUUUGUUCUCAUACAUGGAUCAUAUCUCAGAUUUCAUGGCCUCAAACCAUUUCGCGGAAUCUGGGCUCAUCAUCGCUUCCUCAUAGUUCGUAGGUUCGUCAUGGUCAAGUAACAUGACCUCCAGAACAGAAUUACCGUACCACUCUGGUGCGGAUCUCACUCUAGUUUACCUACGAGAUUCCGUAGUAACUUGAUCUGAAGUUACAUGAUCAUCAUCAUUAGCUUCCUCACUAAUUUGUGUAGUAGUCACAAGAACAGAUUUUUGUGAUGAACUACUUUCCAAUAAGGUAGAAGGUACAAUUACCUUAUCAAGUUUUCUACUUUCCUCCCACUUACUUCUUUCAAGAGAAACUCCUUCUCUAGAAAGGAUCCAUUAUAAGCAACGAAUGUCUUGCCUUAGGAUCUGUGAUAGAAGGUGUACCCAACAGUCUCCUUUGGGUAUCCUAUGAAGACAUAUUUCUCCGAUUUGGGUUUGAGCUUAUCAGGAUGAAACUUUUUCUCAUAAGCAUCGCAACCCCAAACUUCAAGAAACGACAACUUUGGUUUCGUGCCAAACCAUAGUUCAUAAGGCGUCGUCUCGACGGAUAUAGAUGGUGCCCCUUUUUUUAACGUGAAUGCAGCUGUCUCUAAUGCAUGACCCCAAAAACGAUAGUGGUAAAUCGGUAAGAAACAUCAUAGAUUGCACUAUAUCCAAUAAAGUACGGUUAUGGCGUUCGGACACACCAUUAUGCUGUGGUGUUCCAGGUGGCGUGAGUAGUGAAACUAUUUCACAUUGUUUUAACUGAAGACCAAACUUGUAACUGAAAUACUCUUUUCCACGAUCAGAUCGUAGAAACUUUAUUUUCUUGUUACGAUGAUUUUCCACUUCACUCUGAAAUUCUUUGAACUUUUCAAAUGUUUCCGACUUAUGUUUUAUCAAAUAGAUAUACUCAUAUCUGCUCAAAUCAUCUGUGAAGAUCAGAAAAUAAUGAUACCUAUCGCGAGCCUCAAUAUUCAUCGGACCACAUACAUCAGUAUGUAUGAUUUCCAACAAAUCUGUUGCUCGCUCCAUUGUUCAGAAGAACAAAGUCUUAGUCAUCUUGCCCAAAAGGCAUGGUUCGCAAGCAUCAAGUGAUUCCGAAAGCCCAUCAGCAUGGAGCGCUUUAUACCAAUAUGACCUAAACGGCAGUGCCACAAAUAAGUUGCACUAUCAUUAUUAACUCUGCAUCCUUUGGUUUCAAUAUUAUGAAUAUGUGUAUCACUACGAUCGAGAUCCAACGAACUUGUUUCAUUGGGUGUAUGACCAUCGAAGGUUUUAUUCAUGUAAACAGAACAACAAUUAUUCUCUGACUUUAAUGAAUAACCGUAUUGCAAUAAAUAUGAUCAAAUCAUAUUCAUGCUCAACGCAAAAACCAAAUAACACUUAUUUAAGUUCAACACUAAUCCCGAAAGUAUAGGGGAGUGUGCGAUGAUGAUCAUAUCAAUCUUGGAACUACUUCCAACACACAUCGUCACUUCACCCUUAACUAGUCUCUAUUUAUUCUGCAACUCCUGUUUUGAGUUACUACUCUUAGCAACUGAACCAAUAUCAAAUACUAAGGGGUUGCUAUAAACACUAGUAAAGCACACAUCAAUAACAUGUAUAUCAAAUAUACUUUUGUUCACUUUGCCAUCCUUCUUAUCCGCCAAUCACUUGGGGUAGUUCCGCUUCUAGUGACCAGUCCCUUUGCAGUAGAAGCACUUAGUCUCAGGCUUAGGAUCAGACUUGGGCCUCUUCACUUGAGCAGCAACUUGCUUGCCGUUCUUCUUGAAGUUCCCCUUCUUCCCUUUGCCCUUUUCUUGAAACUAGUGGUCUUGUCAACCAUCAACACUUGAUGUUUUUCUUGAUUUCUACCUUCGUUUAUUUCAGCAUCACGAAGAGCUUGGGAGUUGUUUCUGUUAUCCCUUGCAUAUUAUAGUUCAUCACGAAGUUCUACUAACUUGGUGAUGGUGACUAGAGAAUUCUGUCAAUCACUAUCUUAUCUGGAAGAUUAACUCCCACUUGAUUCAAGCGAUUUUAGUACCCAGACAAUCUGAGCACAUGCUCACUAGUUGAGCGAUUCUCCUCCAUCUUUUAGCCAUAGAACUUGCUGGAAACUUCAUAUCUCUCAACUCGGGUAUUUGCUUGAAAUAUUAACUUCAACUCUUGGAACAUCUCAUAUGGUCUAUGACGUUCAAAACGUCUUUGAAGUCCCGAUUCUAAGCCAUUAAGCAUGGUGCACUAAACUAUCAAGUAGUCAUCAUAUUGAGCUAGCCAAACGUUCAUAACGUCUGCAUCUGCUCCUGCAAUAGGUUUGUCACCUAGCGGUGCAUCAAGGACAUAAUUCUUCUGUGCAGCAAUGAGGAUAAAACUCAGAUCACGGAUCCAAUCCGCAUCAUUGCUACUAACAUCUUUCAACACAAUUUUCUCUAGGAACAUAUCAAAAUAAACACAGGGAAGCAACAACGCGAGCUAUUGAUCUAUAACAUGAUUUACAAAAUACUACCAGGACUAAGUUCAUGAUAAAUUUAAGCUCAAUUAAUCAUGUUACUUAAGAACUCCCACUUAGAUAGACAUCCCUCUAAUCCUCUAAGUGAUCACGUGAUCCAAAUCAACUAAACCAUAACCGAUCAUCACGUGAAAUGGAUUAGUUUUCAAUGGUGAACAUCAUUAUGUUGAUGAUAUCUACUAUAUGAUUCACGCUCGACCUUUCGGUCUCCGUGUUCCGAGGCCAUAUCUUUAUAUGCUAGGCUCGUCAAGUUUAACCUGAGUAUUCUGCGUGUGCAAAACUGGCUUGCACCAGUUGUAGAUGGACGUAGAGCUUAUCACACCCGAUCAUCACGUGGUGUCUGGGCACGACGAACUUUGGCAACGGUGCAUACUCAGGGAGAACACUUCUUGAUAAUUUAGUGAGAGAUCAUCUUAUAAUGCUACCGUCAAUCAAAGCAAGAUAAGAUGCAUAAAAAGAUAAACAUCACAUGCAAUCAAUAUAAGUGAUAUGAUAUGGCCAUCAUCAUCUUGUGCUUGUGAUCUCCAUCUCCGAAGCACCGUCAUGAUCACCAUCGUCACCGGCGCGACACCUUGAUCUCCAUCGUAGCAUCGUUGUCGUCUCGCCAAUCUUAUGCUUCCACGACUAUCGCUACCGCUUAGUGAUAAAGUAAAGCAUUACAUCGCGAUUGCAUUGCAUACAAUAAAGCGACAACCAUAUGGCUCCUGCCAGUUGCCGAUAACUCGGUUACAAAACAUGAUCAUCUCAUACAAUAAAAUUUAGCAUCAUGCCUUGACCAUAUCACAUCACAACAUGCCCUGCAAAAACAAGUUAGACGUCCUCUACUUUGUUGUUGCAAGUUUUACGUGGCUGCUACGGGCUUAAGCAAGAACUCAUCUCACCUACGCAUCAAAACCACAACGAUAGUUUGUCAAAUAGAUUCCGUUUUAACCUUCUCAAGGACCGGGCGUAGCCACACUUGGUUCAACUAAAGUUGGAGAGACAGUCGCCCGCAAGCCAUCUAUGUGCAAAGCACGUCGAGGGAACCGGUCUCGCGUAAGCGUACGCGUAAGGUUGGUCCGGGUCGUCUCGUCCAACAAUACCGCCGAACCAAAGUAUGACAUGCUGGUAGGCAGUAUGACUUGUAUCGCCCACAACUCACUUGUGUUCUACUCGUGCAAAUAAUAUCAAACCAUAAAACCUAGGCUCGGAUGCCACUGUUGGGGAACGUAGUAAUUUCAAAAAAUUUCCUACGCACACGCAAGAUCAUGGUGAUGCAUAGCAACGAGGGGGAGAGUCUGAUCUACGUACCCUUGUAGAUCGCAACGGAAGCGUUGACACAACGUAGAGGAAGUAGUCGUACGUCUUCUUCCCGAUCCGACCGAUCCAUGCACCGUUACUCCGGCACCUCUGAGUUCUUAGCACACGUUCAGCUCGAUGACGAUCCCCGGGCUCCGAUCCAGCAAAGCUUCGGGGAGGAGUUCCGUCAGCAUGACAGCGUGGUGACGAUCUUGAUGUUCUACCGACGCAGGGCUUCGGCUAAGCACUACAACGGUAUGGUCGAGGUGGAAUAUGGUGGCAGGGGGCACUGGACACGGCUAAGGAACGAUCUCAAUGAUCAACUUGUGUGUCUAGAGGUGCCCCUACCCUCGUAUAUAAAGGUUGCCAGGGGAGGGCUGGCCGGCCAAGCUAUGGAGGCGCAGGAGGAGUCAAACUCCUACCGGGAGUAGGACUCCCCCCCCCCAAUCUUAUUCCUAAUAGGACUCCCAAGGGGAAAGAGAGGGAGAGAGGUGGCCGGCCACCUCUCCUAGUCCUAAUAGGACUAGGGGAGGGGGGAGGCGCGCAGGCCACCUUGGGCUGCCCCUUUCACCUUUCCACUAAGGCCCAAUAAGGCCCAUUUGGUUCCCGGGGGUUCCGGUAACCUCCCGGUACUCCGGUAAAAUCCCGAUUUCUCCCGGAACACUUCCGAUGUCCAAACAUAGGCUUCCAAUAUAUCAAUCUUUAUGUAUCGACCAUUUCGAGACUCCCCGUCAUGUCCAGGAUCACAUCCGGGACUCCGAACAACCUUCGGUACAUCAAAAUGCAUAAACUCAUAAUAACUGUCAUCGUAACGUUAAGCGUGCGGACCCUACGGUUCGAGAACAAUGUAGACAUGACCGAGACACGUCUCCGGUCAAUAACCAAUAGCGGGACCUAGAUGCCCAUAUUGGCUCCUACAUAUUCUACGAAGAUCUUUAUCGGUCAGACCGCAUAACAACAUACGUUGUUCCCUUUGUCAUCGGUAUGUUACUUGCCUGAGAUUCGAUCGUCGGUAUCCAAUACCUAGUUCAAUCUCGUUACCGGCAAGUCUCUUUACUCAUUCUGUAAUACAUCAUCUCGCAACUAACUCAUUAGUUGCAAUGCUUGCAAGGCUUGUAUAAUGUGCAUUACCGAGAGGGCCCAGAGGUACCUCUCCGACAAUCGGAGUGACAAAUCCUAUUCUCGAAAUACGCCAACCCAACAUCUACCAUUGGAAACACCUGUAGUACUCCUUUAUAAUCACCCAGUUACAUUGUGAUGUUUGGUAGCACCCAAAGUGUUCCUCCGGCAAACGGGAGUUGCAUAAUCUCAUAGUCAUAGGAACAUGUAUAAGUCAUGAAGAAAGCAAUAGCAACAUACUAAACGAUCGGGUGCUAAGCUAAUGGAAUGGGUCAUGUCAAUCAGAUCAUUCAUCUAAUGAUGUGAUCCCAUUAAUCAAAUAACAACACUUUGUCCAUGGUUAGGAAACAUAACCAUCUUUGAUUAACGAGCUAGUCAAGUAGAGGCAUACUAGUGACACUCUGUUUGUCUAUGUAUUCACACAUGUAUUAUGUUUCUGGUUAAUACAAUUCUAGCAUGAAUAAUAAAUAUUUAUCAUGAUAUAAGGAAAUAAAUAAUAACUUUAUUAUUGCCUGUAGGGCAUAUUUCCUUCACUUCAAGUGUGUGUUGCCGAACAAAUUUGUUGCCGGAGGCAUCAUUGCCAAGCUUCCACCUUCGUGGAACAAUUUUGCUACUUCCCUGAAACACAAGAGACAGGAGUUUUUCGUUGCGGAUCUCAUUGGUACUCUUGAUGUUGAAGAGAAGGCGAGAGCAAAGGAUACACGUGCUCGAGUUGCUGAGGGAGGUUCUAGUGCCCACAUGGUACAGAAGAAGAUCUUCCAGCCCAACAAGUUCAAAAACAACAAGAACAAAACUUAGGGCAAAGGCAAGUUUGAUACAAAGAACAAGCCAUCACAUUCUACCAACUUCAAGAAGAACUCUCAUAAGAAGGGGAAGGGACUUUGCCAUGUCUGCGGUGAUCCUAAUCACUGGGCUCCGAAGUGUCCUAACCGCUUUGAGGAGCGCGAACAUGAGAAGAGCGGCAAGUCUGCUAAUGUUGUCAUCGGUGAUACUGAUAUGAAGGAAUCAGGGUACGGUAUUUUUCCUACCAUCCUUUCAGUAUUCCAAAUCCCUGAUUGGUUAAUUGACAUCGGUGCCAAUGUACAUGUUUGUGCUGAUGCCUCCAUGUUUUCUUCUUACCAGGCCACUUGGACUUCUCCUGUGCUGAUGGGGAACGGGUCACAUGCCAUCGUUCGAGGUGUUGGUGCGGUCAAUCUGAAGUUUACUUCGGGGAAGACCGUGCGUCUGAAGAACGUUCAUCAUGAGCCGUCCAUCAAUAAAAAUCUCGUUAGCGGUUCCCGUUUAUGUCGAGAUGGUUUUAAGUUGGUUUUCGAAUCCAAUAAAGUUAUAAUUUCUAAGUAUGGACAAUUUGUUGGAAAAGGCUAUGAGAGCGGAGGCUUGUUUCGCCUGUCUUUGUCAGAUAUUUGCACUAAAGUUAUUAAUAAUGUUUGCCACAACAAUGAGUCUGAUAUUUGGCAUUCACGACUUUGUCACAUUAACUUUGGUUGCAUGACCCGGCUAGCCAAUAUGAAUUUAAUUCCGAAAUCUCUACUGUCAAAGGCUCUAAGUGCCAAGUAUGUGUGAAAGCUAAGCAACCUCGCAAAUCCCAUAAGACUGCAGAGGCGACAGACUUGGCGCCACUAGAGCUUAUACAUUCUGAUAUUUGUGAGAUGAAUGGCGUGUGGACAAAAGGUGGAAAGAGAUACUUCAUGACGUUGAUUGAUGACUCCACUAGAUAUUGUUAUGUGUAUCUUAUGAAAUCAAAAGAUGAGGCUUUGGCUUUCUUCAAAAACUAUAAAGCUGAGGCAGAGAACCAACUUGAUCGAAAAAUUAAACGGCUUAGGUCCGAUCAUGGUGGAGAGUAUUUUUCCAAUGAAUUUGAUCUAUUUUGUGCGGAACAUGGUAUAAUCCAUGAGAGGAUGCCUCCCUACUCACCCCAGUCAGAUGCGGUAGCCGAAAGAAAGAACCAAACUCUAACUGAUAUGGUUAACACCAUGUUAGACACUUCGGGUCUAUCCAAGGAAUGGUGGGGGGAGGCGCUAAUGACUGCGUGUCAUGUCCUAAACCGAGUUCCCACAAAGCAUAAGACCAUGACUCCAUUUGAGGAAUGUUAAAGGAAAAGGUUGAAACUCUCUUACCUACGUACUUGGGGUUGUUUGGCGAAAGUCAAUAUACCAAUUCCCAAGAAGCGCAAGCUUGGACCAAAAACCGUGGGUUGUGUUCUUCUUGGGUAUGCUUUUCAUAGCAUCGGCUAUAGAUUUUUGAUAAUAAAAUCUGAGGUAUCCGACAUGCAUGUUGGUACGAUUAUGGAGUCGAAUGAUGCAACUUUCUUUGAGGACAUAUUUCCUAUGAAGGAUAUGUUGAGUUCAUCAAAUCAGGAGACACCUACUCCACCUAGUGAGGAAUUCACUGUAAUUCCUGAACCCACCAUUGCGAUGGAACACAUAGAGAAUCCUGUUGAGGGUGACAAUGGAACUCCUGUGAGGAGUAAGAGACAUAGGACUACAAAGUCCUUUGGUGAUGAUUUCAUUGUGUACCUCGUGGAUGACACACCCAGGACUAUUUCAGAAGCCUGUGCAUCUCUUGAUGCUGACUACUGGAAGGAAGCUGUACAUAGCGAGAUGGAUUCCAUCUUAGGUAACAGAACCUGGGAGAUCACUGACCGUCCUUAUGGGUGAAAACCUGUAGGAUGUAAGUGGGUGUUCAAGAAGAAGCUUAGACCUGAUGGUACGAUUGAAAAGUACAAGGCACGGCUUGUGGCCAAGGGUUAUACCCAGAAAGAAGGUGAAGACUUCUUUGAUACUUACUCACCCGUGGCUAGAAUGACCACAAUUUGGGUGCUACUAUCACUUGUUGCCUCACAUGGUCUUCUCGUUCAUCAAAUGGACGUUAAGACAGCUUUCCUCAAUGGAGAGUUGAAGGAGGAAAUUUACAUGGAUCAGCCAGAUGGUUUUGUAGUACCUGGUUAGUAAGGAAAGUUGUGCAAGUUAUUAAAGUCUUUAUAUGGCCUUAAACAAGCUCCUAAAGAGUGGCAUGAGUAGUUUGAAAGAACAUUAACUGCUGCCGGCUUUGUAGUAAACGAUGGUGACAAGUGCGUGUACUAUCGCUAUGGUGGUGGCGAAGGAGUUAUUCUUUGUCUGUAUGUCGACGACAUAUUGAUCUUUGGAACGAAACUUGAUUUAAUCAAGGAGGUUAAGGAUUUCUUAUCUCGCUAUUUUGAGAUGAAGGAUCUAGGAGUAGUUGAUGUUAUCUUAAACAUCAAGCUGUUGAGAGAUGAGAAUGAUGGGAUCACACUGCUUCAGUCUCACUAUGUGGAAAAGGUCUUGAGUCGUUUUGGGUAUAGCGACUGCACACCUUCUCCAACUACAUAUGAUGCUAGCAUGUUGCAUCGAAAGAAUCGACGGAUUGCUAGAGAUCAACUGAGGUAUUCUCAUAUUAUUGGCUCGCUUAUGAUUUGGCGAGUGCCACGAGGCCAAACAUCUCGUUUGCUGUUAGCAAGCUGAGUCGAUUUGUGUCAAAACUAGGAGAUGAUUAUUGGCAUGCGCUUGAGAGAGUUAUGCGCUAUUUGAAAGGCACCGCGAGCUAUGGGAUUCACUACACCGGGUAUCCAAGGGUACUGGAGGGUUAUAGUGACUCAAACUGGAUAUCUGAUGCUAAUGAGAUUAAGGCCACAAGUGGUUAUGUUUUUACACUUGGUGGUGGCGCUGUUUCUUGGAAGUCCUGCAAGCAGACCAUCUUAAUGAGGUCAACUAUGGAAGCAGAACUCACAACAUUAGAAACUGCUACUGUUGAAGCAGUGUGGCUUCGUGAGCUCUUGAUGGACUUUCCUAUGGUUGAAAAACCAAUACCCCCUAUCCCAAUGAACUGUGAUAAUCAAACUGUGAUCGUCAAGAUAAACAGUUCUAAGGACAAUAUGAAGUCCUCAAGGCAUGUGAAGAGGAGACUGAAAUCUGUUAGAAAAUUGAGGAACUCCGGAGUUAUUACGUUGGAUUAUAUCCAAACGUCAAAAAAAUUGGCAGAUCCCUUCACAAAGGGUCUAUCACGUAAUGUGAUAGAUAAUGCAUCGAUGGAGAUGGGUUUGAGACCCACCGCAUGAGUUGUCCAUAGUGGUAACCCACUCUUUGUGAUCGGAGAUCCCGUGAAGUAGAAGUGGGAGACAAGCUGUUGGUCAGCUGGGAGGAGAGUAUCCCUAUAUUACCUGUCCCACUCCAUGAAGAUGCAACACUCUCCUAAUCUGCAUGGCAGGUUGAUACUUAUCUUAAUGUGUUCCAAGUGGCUUAUUCGGGUAAGCAGAGAUGUUGUCCUGCGGAACAUCUUCUGAGGAACACACCUAUAUGAAUUUGAUUGUUAACGUCGCAGUCUGUGAGAAUUGGGUGUUCUCUAAUAAAUUCAUGAAAAGGCCCUGGAGUAUGACGUAUAAGCUCCACCCGCAGGGAAGCCUUGCGGCAGCCCAGUAUCGGUCAAGAAUUUGUGUGAAACUAGUCUCGCAGAAAAUUUGUAGUUCAAGGCAUAGUCCACUAUUCAAGUUGUGAUCUAGUGUAGCAUAAAUCUCUAAGUGGAAGUUCAACUUCAAAGUCUCCACUAAGCCCCGGUAUAUAAACAAUGUUUUGGAACUAAAUGAUGAGAUGUGCCAAUGAGACUUUGUGGGGGAUUGUUGGAAUUUUGCUAGUAUGCCUUUGGCCCAAAGCCCAACUAAAAUUCUGAAAUUCUCUUCGCCCAUUCAUGCACACAUGUGAGUGGAGUGAGUGAGACUAAAGUUUAGUCCCACCCCGGAAGUUGAGAGAGAGCACCUCUUUAUAAGGUGAGCUCUUCUACCACUUGUAUGAGCAUGAGAGUAGGAGACCUACACACGCGCUGCUCCUCCUCGCUCACCACGCCACGCCUGGUCACGACGCGCCGCGGGUUGCGGGAUUGAGCCGAGCCGAGGUCAGAGCUAUGCACGUUGUCUAUUUUUUGCUACCCCGGAAAAUUAAUGAGUCAUUAAUUAAUAAUUAAUGGACGUGUUAAUUACUAAACCGUUUCCGAUUCUUUUGGAUCAUGACGACUCGGACGUGGGGUUUACUCCCACGACCUACCAGGCCCGCACUAUAUAGUCCGGCAGACGUGUACCCUAGCUGUCGCCGCUUCGUAUGGUUUCUCACCACCGUUCCAGAUCAUUGCGUCGCCAAGCAAGUCUUCUCCAUCCCUCCUUUCGGCGUGCACCGGGAGAAGGGACAGCAGGCCUCCGGAACCCCGCCUCUCGUGAUCCUGUAUGGGAGAGGGGCGAUCAGGUUUUUGGGGAGCGCACUCGCGCGACUUCUGGCAGCGACGACUUCGCGAAUGACGACUUCUUCCCUGACCUCGGCAACCUCAUCCUCGACGACAUGGGCGACAACGUCAACGCCGGCGGUCCUGCACCCGCUGCACCGUAUGUUAUUCUAUCCUUCUUGUUCGAGAUCGUGGUAGAAUUCAGGUUUCUAGUAUAUGCCCUAGAUGUGAUCUGUUCAUCUACUAUGCUAGUUCGCAUGAUUAGUUUAAUCUCUGCUAUUGCUGUCAUGAUCUAUUUCCUAUUUAUUCGGAUUAAAUCUCGUAGUAAUUUGCUCAUUUUUCCAAUAGUACCAUCUAAUAGAUGAUGUAAAUCUCCUCUAGUUUGACGUUGUUGAGCUAAUUUACAAAAAAAAAACCUCAUCAUUAUUGGACGUCCUUAACAGCUCAAGAACAAGUUGGGGUCGAACUAAUGGAUUUUACACUUUUACAUUAAAGGUUUAGCUAAAGCUAGCAGGUGUUUUUAAACCUGAAUUUUUUUUUCCUCCUGAAUUUCUUUGUAUUUUCUUAUUGACACUAUUUAUACAAUCAUCUGACAAAGAUUAGCUAAAGAUGUUUGUAGAUACGUUGAAACCUGAAAAGCUUCUUUGGUUAUCCUUUUAAUAGUUCUACGUUUAAUUUCUCAUAGGUCAUAAUUCUUAUGUAAUACCAAGAUGCAUUGUGGUAGUGUACAUGUGUUCAAUUCAGGUUGUUAUUCACAAUUUGCGACAAAAUUUAGCUCACGCUACAUUUAAAUAUGUUGAAAUGUGAAUGCUCUUUUUCUUCUCCUUUCUACACCUUGCAUCGGAUUGCAUCCCUUUAGUUAUCCAACAUUUUGUACAACAUGUAGAGAUUAGGAAGUUCAUCAUAGUUUGUCUAUUUCCGUGCUAAUAAAUGUAUGAAAUCUGCAUUUCCAAGCUACUAGGACAAGUAAAAAAUAAUAAUUUUACUAUAGGAUUCAAAAACAGCAGUUCUGAAGUGCACUUUAUUUAUUUUUGAAAGUGAUCACAUUUUGUUUCAUUUUUCUAUAGACAAAUCUACUAAUACAUACUCACGAUAAAACUAUAAAAAUUCUAGUCCGCACAUUGGGCGGGCCACCCGGCUAGUUAGUCUAAAGAUAACAAAAUGAGUCUGGAAUUUGAAUUAAAUUGAAGUAUUUUCUUGGACUUUCAAAUUAAGUUUUAUUAAAGUAGUAAGGACUAUCCACAUCCUUGGCUUGCCCCUGAUCAAUUAUUUCCAGAGAAGCAUUCGAUUCAUCAAUCAAUUACAUUGAUUUUAGUGGCUGGUACUUCUCCUCAACAUCAGUAUAUUCACCGUGGCCACUCCAAAUCGGCAAGAAUGAGGUACCAGUGCUCUGCAGCAGUGCAAGCUAAUUGCUUCUCAUGUGAAGGGGUGCGGGCGCAGGAGAGGUAUUUCUGGUGGGCCAAGGGACUAAGAAGCGACUGUGGCAGCGGUAUAGAUGCCCGCAAAGCCCCAUAGUUUGUUUUUCGUUUACAGGAAAAAUGCACAUCCAUACCAACCUUGGGAAUAUAGGACCGUAUUGGAUGGAAAACCAUGUCCGGAUGGUUGCGAGCGGUUUGAGGGUUAGCUUUUGUAACGCCCGGUUAGUUAUGCUAUAGCAAUUCCCUGCUAAUGAUGUCACGUCACCACGAUUACUAUUGUUAACCUCACAAUGAUUCAAUCCCCUUCAAAUUCAAAUUUAAAAUAAAGGUAAACAUCAAAAGUUUUCAAACAUUAAAACUAAAAUCUUUGAGAGGUGACAAAUAAUGCAUAAGUAAUUAUGGUGGAGAAACCACACUUUAAUCAAAUGUUUAAAUACUCUAAAAUGAAAAAAACAGUUGCUUAAACUAUUAUUUAAAUGCUUUUAAAAUAGUAAAAAUCUUCUAACUAAAUUAUUUGGGUACCAAACUUUUGGUGGCAGUGGUAUAUUUAGUAGAAUUAAUUUAGAUGCUAAUUAUAUAAUUUACAAAAUUAGAGUAAAUUGAAAAAUAGGAUAAAACGGAAAAGGAAAGACAAAACAAAUAAAAGCAAAAGGGGCCAACCCCUCGCUGGGCCUCGACCUAGCUGCCACUAGGCUAGCUAGGCUGGCCCCGGCGCCUCCCUUAACCCCCCCCCCCACUCCCCAUCGAACCCAAGCCCGAUCGCCCCACUUCCCCCACACCCCCUCGCCAGCCUCCCCACCUCUUGAUCCCAUCUGGAUCGGGGAGGGUAUUGCCCCCAUCGACCCCGUUGCCGUCGCCGGAUUGCCCGCCGAUGUCGCCAGGCCUCCUCCCCGCCGCCCGUCUCCGGCUCGCCUCCCCUCUCGCUCCUCUUCCCCGACCCGAUCUAGAUCGUGAACGAGCAAUGAGCUCGAAGCCCCCUUCACCGGCGCCAUCACCGUGCGCCACCACCACCGCCUGAGGACCUCACCGUCGCCGAAUCUAGCGUCGCCUCCUCGUAUCCCUCCCCUACUCGCGUCCUCAAGCCAGGACGAGCCCCUUCUCGGCAACGCUGUGAGACGCCCCCGUUUCCCUCCUCUUUCCACCGCGUUCAUCGCGCCGCCCGCCGUGCCCCUCGCCGUGCGCACGCCCACCACCGCACCAGCCCCCGCUCCGCGCACGACCCUACCCGCGCCCGCGCCAUGAUCCCCUUUUCCGCCCUACCUUCCUGCGCUCGCCGCGGUCCCGAUGCUCCCCCGCGCCCUCUUUCGGGGGCGCCGACCUCCCCUGUCCCGCUGCUCGGCGCCGUGCCUCGCAAUCGCUCUACUGCUAAGUUACUACUGCGCUGCGGCCGUCGCCUCUUCCUUCUGCUCCGCUAGCGCCGAAGCUCCCGAUUGGCUCCACCACUUCUCACGUUAAACCGCCGGCCUAAAUGGCCUAACCCCGGGCUAAUGAACCCCCACUAACCCACUGACACCGGGACCCACAUUCCCUAAUUAACCAUUUAAUAAAUUAAAACUCUUAAAUUAACAUUAGUGUAUGACAUGUGCGUCCCCUAUUAAUUAAUAAUUUUACUGCUAGUUUUCUUAGUUUCUGUUUUUCUGCAUAUUUCUUUUGUAUUUGAACAGGCUUUAUACAAUAAUAUUUAGCGUCUCAUACACAUACAAAUGUAAUUAUAGCAUAUACAUACAAAUAGUCUCAUCAAAUCAUGUGAUCAUCAUAAUCAUCAUCCAUCACAAAGUGAUCUCUCGUCAUCAUCUCGAAAAUAGCGAUACUAGUCUCGAUUACUUGCAACUACAUCGUCAUCCAUCUAAACAAUGAUAUACGCGAGAAGAGCUAUCACUAUGAGUGAGAGCGGAACUAUGCAGUACAUGAGUUUGUAUCCCUCUCUCACAUUAGCGUGAACCUAAACUAACUACUGGCUGUUGCUCGGAAACCGGAAAACGGUACACCUGGGCCUGACACUCCGGCCACUCGUCGUAUACUCCUGGCGUAGCACUUCUUCGCCAUCGAUGAUCUAUGCACCUGCAUCGUCACAUGAGUCGAUGAUAUGCAACAUAUAUAGUUGAGCAACAGAAAGAGACAGACGUGGCAAAAGUAGAAGCAACAUAUCAUAAGCAUAAAUAACAAAGCUCAUCGUACGCAAAAUGCCCUAACUAGAGUGAUCUGCGCUAGUCAAGGAGGACGGUUUAAUUACAUCACAAAUAAUGUUUCGUCGUGCAUUACUCAAAGUUCCGUCAUACAGAAAGUAUGAACUAAAUGGACACAUUGUCAUAUUUCGAAAAUCACUCCCACAUGUCGUGCCAUCCAUCCAAGUCAAGGAGAUAGUGCCCGAGCUUAGUGAAAGGCUUUAGGUCAAGAUGCUGAGUGGCUACGCGUGUUCGGACGUCUUCCCACGACAUUUGUCCUUCUUCAUAGAACAUCCCUGUUUUUUCGACGACCUCCUUCAUCACUAGAAGAAAAAGGGCCUGUUGUCCCGGUUCUGGAACCGGGACUAAAGGGUCGGUACUAAUGCCCUGUCCCUUUAGUCCCGGUUCAAUCCAGAACCGGGACAGAUGGGCCUCCACGUGGCCUGUGCGCGGAGCCCAGGCAGGAGACCCUUUGGUCCCGGUUGGUGGCACCAACCGGGAACAAUAGGCAUCCACGCGUCAGCAUUUCUGUGGUUGGGGUUUUUGUUNNNNNNNNNNNNNNNNNNNNNNNNNNNNNNNNNNNNNNNNNNNNNNNNNNNNNNNNNNNNNNNNNNNNNNNNNNNNNNNNNNNNNNNNNNNNNNNNNNNNNNNNNNNNNNNNNNNNNNNNNNNNNNNNNNNNNNNNNNNNNNNNNNNNNNNNNNNNNNNNNNNNNNNNNNNNNNNNNNNNNNNNNNNNNNNNNNNNNUGGUGUUUCAUAUAUUGUGUUAGCUAGCUAUAAUUAAUAGAGAAAAGUGUCCUCUCUUAUGUCCGUGCUUGGUCGACGCUACGUACUAUACAUACGUAUAGAGAGGACUAGACACGCUAGCUAGCUAGUAAGCAAACGAAGGAAACAGAAGAUCGUCAUGAACAUAUAUGCAUACAGGACUAGACACGCUAGCUAGCUAGUAACCAAACGAAGUUCAACUAGUAAUGGCGCACCACUCCCACGGUGCGCCAUUAGUAGUUUUGAAAAAAAUUAAUUUUUUUUUUUACUAAUGGCGCACUGUGGAUGUGGUGCGCCAUUAGUAUUUGGACACUAAUGGCGUACCAACACAUGGUGCGCCAUUAGUAUAUAGUAAUGGCGCACCACAGGUCUGGUGCGCCAUUAGUGUCAAUUCCAUCUAUAGCCCUUUUCCUAGUAGUGUUAGGGACGGUCUCAAUGAAACAACCCACCAUGUACUCCUGCAUGGCCUCUCAUCGAUACCUUUACCGAAACAUGUGCAACACAUUCCUCAUAUUACCGACAUAAUCAUAUCACCCUAGCCCAUCACCCAGAUGAACCAGACCUGACACAACUAUAAGCAUAGCAGGCAUAGCAAGGUAGGAAUCACAUACAUGGCUCAAUCAACUCCUACACAUGCUAGUGGGUUUCAUCUAGUUACUGUGGCAAUGACAGGUCAUGGAGAGGAUAAGGGUUCAACUACCGUAGCACACAGCAGUUUGAAUGGCGUUGUCUUAAUGCAGUAAACAAGAGCAGAGGCGAGAACAUGGGUUGUAUCGGAAUGAUCAAUGGGUUGCUUGACUGAUGGAGUGGUAGUGGGAUACUACCCUUCAGUUGGAUACUCGUGAAUAUCCUCGGAGGCAGAACCUACCACGAAGAACACAUCGGAACACAAUCAACACAUGACGAUAUGCAACACUAUGAUGCAUGCUAUGACAUGGCAUUAUGAAUGUGUCUUGGCCUAAUGCAAGCUAAAAUAGAAAGGGAUGAACUCAUUUGAAUCAAAGAUUCAAAUAUUAGCUCAUUAAACAUGGCCUUAGUAGUGCAUUUCCUUAUUCUGCUUAAACAGCAAGGUAAACUUGUUUUGUCAUACAUGAAACCAUUACAGAUGGAUGUAUUGAAUUUUUCUGAUAAUUUUUCAUAUAUAAAUUAUUUCAUUUGGAGUUACGGUUGAAUUUCUAUGAUUUUUAGAAGUUUUAAACAUUUUCUGGAAUUUCCUGAAUAAAAAUAAAUCCAGAAAAUGCAUUACUGCGUCAGUAUUGCAUCAUGCUGACCUCAGCAGGUCAAAGGCGCCAGCCCAGGUCAAAACUGACUGGUGGGCCCCUUCUGUCAGUCUCUCAGUUAAAUAAUAGGAUUAGAUUAACACUAAUUAGCUGUCAGUGGGGCCUGGGCCCACAUGUCACUGACUGAUUAAAAUAAAAUUAGUUAAAACUAAUCCUUGAUUAGUUAGCAGACCGGCCCCUCCUGUCAUAGACUCAGGGGGGUCUACCUGGGCCCACCCAGGGUCAAACUGGGUCAAACUCGCCGGCGUUGAGCCGCCGGCGAGACCCGAGACGGUGGCGCAGCUCGGAAAACGCCUACAGGGCACGAGCGAGGCCGUUCUUGGGCUCGUUGGAGAGCUCUUGCAGCCGCGCAUCUAGUGGUGGUGGGGGCCGGAGACGACGACGGCGAGCUCCAAGGCGGCGGCUGGAGUUCGGCCAUGUGCGGGGUGUGGGCUGUGGCGUGCAAACGUGGAAACUGAAGCGCUAGCGAGGCACUACGCGAUGCGGCAAGCACGUUGCAUAGCACGGGAUGAUCCAAUGGUCGCCGGAGCGGCGCCGGCGACAAGCUCGAGCCGAGACGAGCUUCGGCCAUGGUGGAACUAUGGCCUAGAGGGUGCAAACGCGUGGAAAAGAAGAGGGGAAAGGUGGCGGAGCUCACAGGGAGGUCGAUGAGCAGCUCAAUGGGCUCGGGGGUCACCGGAGUGAGGCGAAUCGAUGAGCGGCGUCCGGCGGGUACCGAGGUUGAAGACGAUCCGAUGGCGGCGAUGCAGGGACUCCGGCGAUGCGUGGCUCAGUGGGGAGGGCGAGGGCGUCACAGCGGAGCUUCUGGACAGGUCAGAGAGGCGAGGGGGUGACGGAGGGCGCGACUACGGCGGUGAGACGGCGACGGGUGCGUCGGCCAUUGCGGGAGAGGGAGAGGGAGACAAGUGGGAGAGUGAGAGAGGAUGAGAGGGGGACGUGGGGGUCGCGUGGCAUUCCCUGGACGUCUCCCAGCAUCGGCGGAAGCAGGAGGUGGCCGGCGUGUGGCCGCGGGCGCCGGCCACGCGCUCCACGUCCUUCUGGCGUGAGGAGGACGACGACUGGCAGCGCCAGUAGGCUGGGCCGAGCCAGGGGGCUGGCCAGCACAGGUAAGGCCCAGGUGGGCAUCUCCCUCUUUUUUUUAAUUUGUUUCUGUUUUCUAUUUAACUGUAACUGUUGGGCUUUAUUUAAAAUACUAAAACAUUUCCAAAAAUCCUGAAAAUAAUUGUGGGCUCUGUUUGGAUUAUUUCCAACAGCAGACAUUUAUUUCCAGAAUUAUUUGAGCAUUUAAAUGCCCAAAUUCAAAUACUUAUGAUUUAAAUCAAUGACCUUCUAUUGACCUCGAAAAGUUGUGCACCAAUUUUGCCAGAGGUUCUAACCCAAGACAAAGAGGGUGAACUUUUUAGAAGGGCAUUUCAGGUUCAUUGAAAAUAAUUUUAGUAAUCCCUAGUUGUUUCCAGGGGGGUGUUGGGGGUUUCUGCCUUCCCCAAUUCAAAUUUAAGAGGAAUUUAAACAUGAUGCACAUUCUAAUGCUUGAUCUAGCUAGGGUGUGACAACUCACCCCCACUCAAAAGAAUCUCAUCCCGAGAUUUAGGAUCCUCUGGAAAGAAGGUGGGGUACUCGAGUCGAAGACGAUCCUCCCUUUCCCAAGUGGCUUCUUUCUCGGAAUGGUGUGACCAUUGAACCAUGAGAAACUUGAUAUUAUGACGUCGAGUAGUAUGCUCGGCUUGAUCAAGGAUACGAACGGGAUAUUCCUGAUAAGAGAGGUUAUCUUGUAGAUCAAGCGUUUCGUGGUCCACUCCACGGAUAGGAUCCGCGAAGCAACGCCUGAGUUGUGAAACGUGGAAGACAUCAGGAACUCUGGAAAGAUGCGGAGGUAGUUCCAAUUGGUAGGCAACUUCUCCUUGUUUGGCAAGAAUGCGAACGGGUCCAAUGUAACGAGGAGCCAAUUUGCCUUUGAUACCGAAACGAUGGGUUCCUUUUAACGGGGUAACCCGAAGGUAAGCCUUCUCAUCGACUUCAUAAGUCAUAGAGUUAUGUUUAUGAUCAUAUUGACUCUUUUCACGAGAUUGGGCUGUUUUCAAUUUCUCACGAAUAACGCGAACCUGCUCUUCCGCUUCCUGAAUCAUAUCCGGGCCAAAGAGUUGUCUUUCCCUGGUUUCUGACCAGUUAAGGGGUGUUCGAUAUUUUCGUCCAUAGAGAACUUUGAAAGGAGCUUUGCCCAAGCUAGCUUGAUAACUAUUGUUAUAAGCAAACUCUGCGAAUGGGAGGCAUUUCUCCCAACUCAUUCUGAAUGAGAUAACAGAAGCUCAGAGCAUAUGUUCCAGAAUUUGAUUGACUCGCUCUACUUGACCACUUGACUGAGGAUGGAAGGCGGUACUAAAAGAGAGACGAGUUCCCAUAGCAUUUUGGAAACUUUCCCAAAAUCGAGAGGUGAAGAGACUCCCACGCUCUGAGUUAUUUUCCAAUGGGACACCAUGGAGAGACACUAUUCGGGAGAUGUAUAAAUCGGCUAGCUGGCUAGCAGUGAUACUCUCACGAACAGGUAGGAAAUGGGCUACUUUGGAAAGACGGUCGAUGAUGACGAAGAUGGCAUUAUUCCCUCUCUUGGUCCUGGGAAACCCAGUAAUGAAAUCCAUACUGAUUUUAUCCCAUUUCCAUUCAGGAAUAGCCAAAGGUUGAAGGGUGCCAGUAGGCCGUUGAUGCUCUGCUUUAACACGAAUACAGACGUCACAGCUAGCAAUGUAUCGAGCAAUUUCUCUCUUCAUCCUAGUACACCAAAACCUCUCGCGUAGGUCUUGAUACAUUUUUGUGCUACCGGGAUGAAUGGUGAGAGGGGAUUCAUGAGCUUCCUUAAGGAUCAAUUGGCGUAGAUGUUGUUUCUUGGGAACCACCAAACGGUUCUCAAAGAAGACAGCACCCCGCUUAUCCAUGGAAAAACAUUUAGCAACUCCGCUAGCAAUGUUUUCCUUAAUCCGGGAUAUGCCCUUAUCAUACCGCUGGGCAGUUAUGAUCUGAUCCAUAAGGUUAGGUUUCGCCACCAGGGUGGAUAGGAAUCCUCGAGGAACAAUGUGAAGAUUAAGCUUACGGAAUUCCUCAUGGAGAAGUGGUUGACUUUGUUGUAACAUCAGGUUGUUACAACAGGAUUUACGGCUUAGCGCAGCAGCCAUGACAUUGGCUUUGCCCGGUGUGUAGGUUAUUCCUAAGUCGUAAUCCGAGAUCAACUCAACCCAACGUCUUUGCCUGAGAUUCAAAUCUGGUUGGGUGAAGAUAUAUUUCAAGCUUUGGUGAUCGGUGAAGAUCUCGCAACGAUUACCGAGGAGGUAAUGUCGCGAAGUUUUAAGUGCAUGGACUACAGCUACCAGCUCUAGAUCAUAUGUGGGAUAAUUUUCCUCAUGUGGGUGUAAUUGCCAUGAAGCGUAGGCAAUUACCUGAGGAUCUUGCAUGAGUAUGCAACCUAGUCCUUGUCGCAGAUGUCAGGCGUCUUUUCAGUUCCUGAAAGCUGAACUCGCACUGUGGAGUCCACUCGAACUUUUUAUCUUUCUUGAGGAGUUCAAUUAGAGGUUUAGCAACCUUGGAGAAACUCUCGCCGAAGCGGCGGCAAUAGCUCGCUAAGCCAAGGAAGCUCCAAACUUGCUUGACCGUCUCAGGUGGAGUCCAAUCAAGGACCGCUUGAACUCGCUCGGGAUUGACGGCAAUACCCUUACCAGAGAUUACAUGGCCUAGAUAGGUUACUUCUGGCAACCAAAAUUCACACUUGGAGAACUUGGCAUAAAGGCGAUGCUCUCGAAGUUUCAUCAAUACCAGCCUUAGAUGUUCGGCAUGUUCCUCUUCAUUCUUGGAGUAGAUGAGUAUGUCAUCGAGGUAUACUACGACGAAUUUAUCCAAGUACUCCAUGAAAACCGAGUUCAUUAACCGGGAGAAGGUAGCCGGGGCAUUGGUUAAACCGAAGGACAUAACGGUGUACUCGUAUUGGCCAUAACGAGUAACAAAGGCCGUUUUGGGAAUGUCCCCGUUUCUGAUUUAGAUUUGAUGGUAGCCCAACCUCAAAUCCAUCUUGGAAAAGACUGAGGAUCCAGCGAGCUGAUCAUACAGAUCGUUGAUCCUGGGAAGUGGGUAUUUGUUCUUGAUGGUGACAAAGUUGACAGGUCGGUAAUCCACAACCAUUCGAUCUGUUCCAUCCUUCUUCUUGACGAAGAGGAUGGGGCAAGCCCAAGGAGAGGAACUAGGACGGAUGAAACCCUUUUUCAAGGACUCAUCGAGUUGGUUCUUAAGCUCGGCUAGUUCUAAGGGUGCCAUCUUGUAGGGUCUUCUAGAAAUUGGAACGGUUCCUGGAACAAGGUCUAUCACAAACUCGACAUCCCUGUCAGGUGGAACACCUGGCAGUUCUUCUGGAAAGACAUCCGGAAAGUCUCGGACUACCGGAACAUCCUCAAGGUCUGGAAGGGGGUUGGCAUUUAGGGAGUAAAGUUGGCGCUUGGCCACUCGAGUUAAGACAUUAACUGUCUUGCCCAAUGGGUGAGUAAGUUGAACGGUUCUAGUGGCACAGUCAAGCUUAGCAUAAUGAGCUGACAUCCACUCCAUACCUAAGAUGAUGUUUAUGUCCGAGGACUUGAGAGCUAUUAAGGAUACAAGGAAGACAAGUCUAUCGACAAGAAUUUCGUUCCCAUGGCUUACUCUAGAAGUUUGCCAUCUAGAGCUAGGGGUUUGAAUUUCCAUGGUAGAGGGCAUGUCACAGAAUGUCGUGUUGUGCAAUCGAGCAUAGUUCUCGGAUAUGAAUGGAUGAGAUGCUCUAGUAUCGAAAAGAACAGAUGUCGGAUGGCAGUUAACAAGGAGCGUACCAAGGACGAGGUUGGGAUCCUCAUGAGCCUCCUCGGCUGAAACAUAGUUGACAUGGCCACGUGCAGUGGUGGCUGGCUUGGCGUAGAAUGUUUUCCCCGCGGGCUUACCACGGCCAACGGACUUUCCAGUUUGAUUGGGGUUGUUGUUCUGGGGACACUCUCGGCUAUAGUGACCCGGCUCUCCACACUUAAAGCAUGUCACCACAUUGGGGCGUGGAGCAGCAUUAGCAGUAGGGCCACCAUAGGGCUUGGGCGGUGCAAAUUGCUGGUUGGGACGUGGUGCCUCAAAGGAUGGCCUCGGGAUGAACCUGGGUGGCAGUGCCGUGCUUGGAAUCCACACCCGGCGCUUCUGAGCUCUAGAGCCGGAUGAAGAGCCAAAAUCACGGGAGUGCUUGCAUGAAGCGUCAUAAUCAGUCUGGCCUUUCUCAGCACUGAUGGCUUUAUUGACCAACUUCUGAAAGGAGGUGCACUCGGGCAGACGAAGAUCGCGGUGAAGCUCAGGGCUAAGUCCCUUGCGGAACCUUGCCUGCUUCUUAGCAUCAAUAGAUACCUCUUUAGGGGCAUAACGUGCCAGAUUCCGAAAUUCACGACCGUAAGCAUCCACAGUCAGUCUUCCUUGGGUGAAGUUGCAGAACUCCUCCCUCUUGCGAUCCAUGAGACCUUCCAGAAUGUGAUGCUCACCGAAAGCCUCACAGAAUUCAGCCCAAGUAGUGAUUUGGCCGACCGGGCGCAUAGCUUCGAAGUUUUCCCACCAAAGGCUAGCAGGGCCUUCGAGGUGAUAGGCAGCAUAAGUAACCUUGUCGGCUGCGGCUGCGUUGGCAGAACGUAGCUUGUGGGUGAUGCUGUGAAGCCAGUCAUCCACAUCGAGGUACUCGACGGAAUGGUUAAACUUUGGUGGGUAUAGCUUGAUAAAGUCAUUGAUUGACACCAAUCAUUUCGUGGGUGGCGUGCAGUGUUCUGCUCAAUCCGCUCCAACAGGCGGUUGGUCUGACGCUUCUUUAUUUCCGCCUCCAGCAUUACUUCGGCCAGAGAAGGCGGGUGAGGCAGAUUUUCACCUCUAGCAGCACUGGCUUCCCCCUGCUCCAGGGCAGCAGGGUUGCUGCGGGUGUUGACCAUCCUAGGAGAAAACAAGACAACGGUUUAGACAAGGAUGUCUCAAAUUAGCAAGGAUGUGCAGAAUGUAAUGGAUAACACGGAAUGCAGAGAUGUUCAUCCGUAUGUCAUGGUAAUAUAAAACUGCCAUAUAUAUACCAACGGUCAUACACAUCAUACAUAGUUUAGUACAAGCCCAGGCUACAAUACAACUAUGAUGAAAGACGUUACAUCUCAUCGGAGGCAUUCCAAGCUCCUAUACAUUAUUGUCUACACCUCCAAAAUUGAUUACACGCAAAGUCAUAUUCCAAAAGUCACGCAGGACAGUGGAGAUACAGCUACUACAAUACUAGUGGUACUACUACUAACUCAGACAGCUCCGUAGUAGUCCUCAUAGAAGUCACCUCCAUAGCCUGGAAGUUCAACGGGACCAUCCGGGAACAGACGGUCCUGAGGAGCCUGUGGACCAUAGGGGCUAGGAUGGUGUCUUGGACCAACAAACGGUGGCCUGCGGGAACCACGGGGUGGGGUGAUGCCUCCCACAUCACGCCAAUCCACCACGUCUGGCAAAGCAGACCUCACAGGAUACAGAUCCCUUGUAUCCAUACAUCUAGCUUGCACCGCAGGUGCAAACCGAGCCAAUGUGGCCCAAUGAUCAGCACGGGUAUUAAAAAGCUCCAGCCUCAAGGCCCGAUUCUCUCGGUCCUUAUCUUCGAGCAUCUCAGCAGUGGUACGAGUUAAUGAAUCCUCCUGAGUGGAGACAGCAUAGAUAGCCUGAAGAUACCCUUGCGCUCCCGGAAGUGAAGCUGGCAUGUAUCGGAAGUCGGUGUUCCGAAGCAGGCCAGUCCGGACUCGCAUGAUGGUCAUCAUGUAAUAGGCAGCAUCCUGCACAGCAAUCUCAACAGUAACCCCGAGUCCAUAGGAAUAGUGAAGGGGCUCGGUAGAUCCAGGAUAAGAAGGAAAUAUCCUGACAGUGCAGAAAUACUGGCUUUGAUUAAAGUCUCGGAAUUGCUCUUCGACGGUGUAUUCGAGAUACCAACGGUAACCCGUCUCGAUCAUGACCCGGACUAACAUAGCAGUAUGACCGGGCACGUCGAGCCACCGGGUUAGGCGAACCACUUGGUUUUGAGCACGGUUGGCCAUCUGAAAGCACAACCACAAUGCAAAGACAUCAGAAUUUCUAGGGAAAAUUGGACAGCAUAACAGCUGUAAAUGCUCAGAAAAAGAUUUGAGACAUCCACAACAGUUCGCAAUACCACUCAAUAACAUCAUAUCAAGGUUCUGAUCCAAAUAGCAACAUACUAAAAAUAGUAGAAACUGAACUGGGGCUUGUAACAACAAUCCUAUAAGCUACUACGGAUUAGUAACACGUGAACCUGAUAGAAGAAGAGAGCCUAGUCCUUAACCCACGUUGAAUGAGAAGGGAAUGACUCAGAUAAGAGGCAUAGGGUAAAGGAGUAAAAGAGACUUACGUUCCCUCCCACAAUCAAUUCCCCUACAUAUAACUAAAGCAUUUCCAGACUCGACAUCGACCAGUUUGGCUCAACGAACCUACAAGCAGUCUGGCUCUGAUGCCAACGCUGUCAGGACCCCGAUUCCAAGCCACAUCGAUCUAGCCGGUAACACCUCAUAUCACUUUGCGGCCUCACGCACGAUAUUCCACGGGUGUCGCCUUACCAUGGCCCGGGACCGUUUGCGCCUUUUGGCUCACGUAUAUGAUAGUGUUGUUAGCAUCCAUAUGACAGAGAACCUGGGCCGACAUGGCUAGUCGUGAACCCAAAGCGGCACAGACCUAUGGAGACAGGCAUACAUGAAUCACAUCGAGCAUGUCGGUCAUCAGCGAGUGAUUCCGGGCUGUAGCACUGGGCUAACAGGACUCCGGGGAACCCGGGCUGUAGCAGGCUAGGCAGGACUCCGGAAGUCACCGCGUGACAUUUCCCCGAAGGGACAGACAUAGGAACGAAGUGAAUCACAUGCCGGCCAUUCAAGUGUCCUAAGUAGUAGUGCUGGGCUAGCAGGACUCCGGUGAACCAGGCUGUAGCGGACUACUAUGGCUCGAGGAACACUAGACUACAUUUCCCCAUAAGGAAGGCUGCCAAGGAUAAACAACUAGAUUGUUGGAUCCCACUCAUACCAAGCAUUUCAAUCAUACACACAAUAUGCCCGAUAUGAGUACAUACAACAUGGCAUCACAACAAAACUCUACAACUCAAGUACUUUAUUUAAAUGCUCCAGAGAGCCAUACAUAACAUGUUCAUACAGAUAGGGGUCACAUGACCCGACACUCAAGUCAUACAAUCAUACAAGCACAUGCGGAAGCAACCGGUCUGAGUACAGACACUAGAAAGAAAGAAGGCUCCUCGAGGCCUGUCUAUCUACAUAGGGCCCUCCAUGGCCAGGAUCACCACCUGGGUGGCUAGUCACUCGUCGAUGUCAAGGUCUACAUAGAACCCAUAGGAGGGGGCGGUGUUGUCGUCUGAAAACGGUAAUUAAGCAAACAUGAGUACAAAGGUACUCAGCAAGUCUUACAACAGAACCUACUAUACAUGCUUAUUCUCAAGAAGGUGGUGGGGAUAUUGCAGCAAGCCAGCUUUGACUCUUGGCUAAACUAUCCUACGGAACAUCUCUAGUAAAAUAGUUUUCGCACACGAGUCCACUACUCACCAACACAAUACUCCACCGGGGAUCCUCCCUCGUCAUCCUAUGAGAGGGUGUCGGGGGUGUCUGAUCCCUCGCACACCUAUGGGGAUCAGCGGACCGAGCCCCUUUUGGUUCGGUAGGGGGCGGUGGAUGCACAAAGAGUAGAUCGAGGCGAAACACAUGAGCGAGACAAUCGAUUUACCCAGGUUCGGGCCACACGGAUGCGUAAAACCCUACUCCUGCUUUGGUGGUUGUAUUGAGUUUUUUCUCGGGAGCAGCUGGCGAGACCGAGCGUGAGAAUGGCUGUCCCCCCCCUGUUGCGCAUGGGCCUCCUUUUAUAUGUCUAAGGGGUCACCGACACGUGGCAACAGAGGUAAGGGUAAAAAUGUAAAAGGGGUGGUAGUUGGCUCCACCGCCUACAUGUCGCAUCCUACCUAACUCUGACGGCAGGGGACAAGGGCAUUAAAUGCCCGUCUGUGUCACCUUGACGGCCCAGAGAGGGACCACUAGGAACGCCACCGUUUGCCACGACGGUUCCUUGUCAGCGUCUGCUUGCCAUUGCAUGCCCCCGGCUGCACAGCCUCCCGCCACGUACGCCAGGAAUGGCCCCAGGGCGACACGUUGGUGGGUGAGCUGGAGCGCGGGCUGCGGGGUAGUGGCUUGCCGCGGCAAGUGCCUUGCCGCGGGUGUUGUCUUGUCACGUCCGGGAGCUUGCCGCUCACCGGGUCUUGUCGGGGCACGCGGUGCGCCGCAGCGAGUCUCUUGAGAUGCUUUGGUUGUCUUCCCGGCAAGCUCCUCUUGCCGGGGUCUCGUCUCCUUCCCGGCAAGCUCCUCUUGCCGGGGCCUUGUUCCCUUCCCGGCAAGCUCCUCUUGCCGGGGCCUUGUUUGGAUCUUGGAUACUUUGUUCUUGAAUGGCUCCAGAGGAACCAUGGAGGGUCUUGGCGGUCGCCCGGCAAGCCUUGCCGCGGGUCGCUGCGACUACCCAUGCACAAGUUCGGGGUACUAAGGUACCCGUACUUUAGCACACCGACAGGAGCCCCCAGGCCUGGGCCAUACACGGUGCCGAGCGCUGUUGGGCCAGGCCCAAAACAGUGCAAGGGCACGCGCGGCCUGGGUCACGCCAUAACUGAUUCCGUAUCCACCGCGCUCUCCCCAAACGGCACGCGUCAAACGCGGCAUCGUGGGAGAGAUCGUGGGCGGUUUUCGAGGUGCCCACUCCCCACGAUCACGGGGUGGGGAGAGACCGCCCCAUCCGUCGCCUCGGUUCUGCACGCCUGCCACGCGGUUCCCGUGCACUUGGGGUCGCGGGCGGCGGAAGCGGGAAACGGGGCCGUCGUGGGUCGAGGGAGUGGGUCGGCCCCGGCUCCCCGCGUCUUGAUUCGCUGAGCGGGGCGGCCGAGCCCCCACCUUGCUCCUUUAUAAAGAGCGGGAGGGGAGGACGGGAGCCUGCAUCCUCCCAUCUUCUCCUUCCUUCAGCUCCUGCUCCCCUCCCCCCAUUCGCCAUGGAGAGAGGGAACCCUGGUCCUUCGUCAGUGGCGGCAAGGGUUGCCGCCAGGCAGCGCAUCCCUCCCUCUCCCGCACCCGUGGCGGCGGAGCCAGCCAUAAGGGGAAGAGGGAGGGGGCGAAGUCGUGGACGAGGCCGUGGCGCUCGGGGAAGAGGUGGGCGAGGCGGCGCGUCGGCUUCGCCUCCGCCGGCGGCUCUUCUUCCCGCGGUGGCCCAUGCCGGGGACGACCCUUGCGAGUUAUUCGUCAGGCUGCGCCGGGCGCCCCGCCGUCGCCUCUGACUCCCGGAUCCGUUUGCGGAAGUGGUGGAGUUGGACCCGCCCGAGACGCUGAGGCUGCAGAUGAGGGCUGUGGGAUCAGCGGCACGCGGGUCCGCGCCGAAUUCCCAGCCCCCGGCGUGAUUUAUCUUGGCCGAGGGUGGAAGACGUUCGCCCGCAUCCACAGCUUGACACCGGGGCUGACCCUCCACUUCAAGUUGGUGGAGGGUGAUCUCCUCUCCGUCAAGGUCUUCGGGUGCUUCAGCGUCCGGGCCCGGUGCUGCGUGGAAAGCUCCUCCGAUAGCGAAGGCUCCUCCUCGAGCAAGAGUGACGAGGAGGGAACGACAGCGGCGACGAGGGGAGCGGGCGGCAGGAUGGCGGGUCCGACUAGGUGUCGGGCGCCGCUCCGCGCGGCACCAGCAACCCCAUCAUCCGGGUCGCCGGCUCCUUGAACUCCCCGGGGGCGUCUCCUUGGGCGGCUGGCGUAGGGAGGCUGCGAAAGAGGAAGAGGGCAGGCGGCAAGGCCGUCAGGUCGGAGUACGAUGGCGUGGUGCCCUCGACAGCGUGCUGACGUCCUGCCGCCUCGUCUUCGAGCCCCCCUUCCGGCGCUGCCAUCACCAUCCAGCCUUGAAGGCCCCCGGGAUGUUCUCUUGGUGUCUUCUGGCACCCGUAGUUCCCCUAGGCACUCCUUUUGCCCUUCUCGCCUCCUUGACCUACCUCCUGAAAAGAGGGGCAGGAAAGAGAUUACGGGCAUCUUAUCUUUUUGAUUUGUAAGCCCUCGGGCCUUAGUUGCAUCUAAAACUUGUAAUCCUCUCUUUCAUGUUUUCCAUUCUCCAUGUACUGUACCUGCGUGGAAUGUUUUAAUGAAAAGGGGAUGCUUGCCAGGUUACUCGUCUCGCGGGUAGAACCCAUGCCAAGGAGCAAAUCCUUGGUAUCUCACAGAUAGACACUCCCUCCCCAGCAACAGGCCCUGCCACAUACCCACGUCGCUCGACCUUUCUCACGCUCUUGACGGAGGCAGAGACGAGGCGGGUGCGGCCCCUCGUUUCAUCCCUUUCCCGCCGCGACUGCGACCAAAGCUUGGCCCUGGGGCCCCAGGGACCAAAGCUAAGGGAGCACGGUGGCUUUCGGGAAGAAGCGAGGUUUUGUAUUCCCAGUCCAAAAGAGAAUGCACGAAGAGGGAUGAAAGACUUAUCUGAGACUGCAGCCCCCGGCAACUCUGGCUUGCCGUGGGGUGAACCUUGGUACUUGCAGCCUCCAGCAACUCUGGCUUGCCGGGGUUCGGAUGCCGGCACGUCCUUCUUCUCCCUUUCGUCCUCACGCGGUCCGACAAGGAUAUGCAAGCCCUGCGAACCAAAGGAAACAAAGGAAGGACAAAGGGACGCACACUAGACCUCUAAGUUAGGGGUUAGCUGCUGUUAGGCACUAUCAACCCUAACCGAGGACUCGACUCGACCUAGCAUGCAUGCUGUAACUCUGGGCGCCAGCGCUUCAUUAUCUUGUGCUCAAGGUCUGUGCCUGGCUUUGUACAAAGGAUUACAUGCAACAGCGUCAAGACUUGUACAAAAGGGUGGUUGCCGGACAGGGUCCGACAACCGCGCCUUACGGGUAAAACUUACAAAGAAGCUUGAUAUUCCAGGAGUUGCUCACUAGUACGCCAUCUUCGGUCUCCAGGCGGACAGUGCCAGGCCUGGUGACUCGUUUCACCCGGUAAGGGCCUUCCCACUUCGGCGUCAACUUGUUGGAAUUCUUGGCGGACUGAACGCGCCGAAGAACAAGGUCGCCUUCCUCGAGGCUCCUAGCAUUAACUUUGCGGCUAUGAUAGCGGCGCAAAGCUUGCUGGUAGCGAGCGGCUCGCACAGCAGCCUGGAGACGAUCUUCCUCAAGGAGCAGCGCGUCAUCUUGCCGCAGCUGCUCUUGCUCAAGCUCAUCAUAGCACUCGAGGUGACCCGUAUACGAGUUCCAUGGGGAUAACUGCCUCCGCUCCAUAGACUAGAGCGAAGGGUGUCUGCCCGGUGGCUCGAUUUGGCGUCGUCCUGAUCGACCAAAGAACCACCGGCAGCUCCUUGAUCCAGUUGCGUCCGCGCUUGUGCAGCCUGUCAAAUGUUCUGGUCUUGAGCCCGUGCAGCACUUCAGCAUUCGCCCUCUUAGCUUGGCCGUUGCUUCUCGGGUGAGCGACAGAAGCAAAGCAGAACUUGGCGCCAAGAUCUUGGACGUACUGCAUGAAGGCGCGGCUUGUAAAUUGUGUACCGUUGUCGGUGAUUAUCCUGUUAGGGAUUCCGAAACGGCAAACAAUCGACCUGAAGAAUUUGAUCGCGGACUGCGCCGUCACCUUCCUCACUGGUUCCACUUCCGGCCACUUUGUGAACUUGUCGAUUGCAACGUACAAGUACUCAAAGCCCCCGACGGAUCGGGGGAAGGGGCCGAGGAUAUCGAGCCCCCAGACCGAAAAUGGCCAGGAUAAAGGGAUCGUCUGGAGAGCUUGAGCUGGCUGGUGUAUCUGCUUGGAAUGGAACUGGCACGCUUCACACUUGGUUACUUGUGCAGUUGCAUCCUGGAGGGCUGUCGGCUAGAAGAAGCCUUGUCGGAAUGCUUUUCCGACAAGAGCUCUUGCGCCAAUGUGGUGACCACAUAUGCCUCCAUGUAUCUCUGCCAACAGCUUCUGUCCAUCUUCCCGAGGAAUACACUUCAAUUUCACACCGUUGAGUCUUCUUCUGCACAGUGUGUUGUCAACAAACUGGUACAUACUGGACUGCCGGGCUACUCUUUCUGCUUCUUCUGGUUCCUCGGGAAGCUCUCCUGUCUGAAGGAAACGGACGGUCUGCUACGCCCAUGUUGGAGCCUGUGGCUCGACAACAAGGACUAAAGGCACAUCUGCUGCUGUGGGAACGCCUACUUCUACGGCAGGAGCCUGCGACUCUGCCGGAGCUUGACAUUCCCCGACAAGCUUGCCGGAGCAGAGCUUGCCGGGAGUGUCUGCUGCAAUGGAACAAACCCUGGGGCUUGCCGGAGUAGACUGCUCCUCAGCACUCUUGGCGUCGAUCUUGGGGACCUUCUUGGCGGCGUCUUCGGGGAGCUUUGCCGGGAGAUAGUCACCAGAGAUCAACUUCCUCUUCUUGCUCUGUCCACUUGAUGGUGCCACGGAUGGCUGAGUUAGCUUGAGCACAAAGGUCCCUGGUUCCACAGGUAACUUAAGUGCUGCGCACUUUGACAGGCGAUCGGCAAUGUCAUUCUCAGCUCUUGGAACAUGUUCCAUUUGCAGGCUGUCAAAGCGCUCUUCCAGCUUCCUCACUUCAUCAACGUAAGCUUCUAUCAAUGGACUUUGGUAAUCUUUGUUCACUUGGCGGACGACAAGCUGCGAGUCACCCCUAACAAUGAGCUUCUUAAUCCCAAGUUCUGCCGCGAUCCUGAGACCGGCAAGCAAGCCUUCUUACUCUGCAGUAUUGUUUGUCGCUUGCUCCUUGGGAAAGUGCAUCUGGACUAUGUACUUGAGGUGCUCCCUGGUGGGUGCGACAAGCAGUACACCAGCACCGGCGCCUUGCAGCGAGAAAGCACCGUGAAAGUACAUGAGCCACUCUUUGCUUGCUUCCUUGGCGGGGAUGCUCGUCUCCGGAAUUUCUUCGUCUGGAGUUGGCGUCCACUCUGCUAUUAACUCUGCCAAUGCUCCGCUCUGGAUUGUUGAUGUACUCUCAAACUUGAGGCCAAAGCUUGACAGUUCCAGUGCCCACUCGACAAUCCUGAAUGUUGCUUCUGGAUUUUGCAAUAUCCUUUUCAGCGGAAAGCGAGUGACAACUGUGAUCUCGUGUGCUUGGAAGUAAUGACGUAGCUUUCUCGAGGCCAUGAGGAGGCCGAAAAGCAGCUUCUGCACACUAGAGUACCUUGACCUAGCCCCCUGUAAAAGGGAGCUGACAAAGUAAACUGGGUGCUGCACCAUUUUCUUCUGUAUCUCCUCUUGUAUCUGCGCAGAUCCUUGGUUGUCGGGACCAGAGCUUGUCGGGGAAGCCCCCUGCUUGUCGCUGGAUGUGCUUGCCGCGGCCGCUGGCUCGUCGUCGGCCUCCCUUUCCGCUACUAACGCAGCACUAACCACUUGAUUGGUUGCCGCUAUGUACAGGAGCAACUUCUCUUGUGGUUUAGGCGCGACAAGUGUUCGGGUGGACGACAGGUAUCUCUUCAAGUCUUGCAGCGCAGCCUCCGCUUCCGGAGUCCAUCUCAUUGGACCUGCCUUUUUCAAAAUUUGAAAAAGGGCAGGGCGCGCUCAGCAGACCAAGGGAUAAACCUGCUAAGAGCAGCUACGCAGCCGGCAAGCUUCCGUACAUCCGUGACGCGCUUUGGUGCUUCGAUCUGCUCAAUGGCCCUGAUCUUGUCGGGGUUGGCUUCGAUUCCCCGCUGAGACACGAAGAACCCGAGAAGCUUGCCGAAAGGGACUCCAAACACACACUUCUCGGGGUUGAGCUUGAGGUUGAUCUUGCGCAGAUAUGCAAAAGUCUCUUCUAAGCCUUGGAUCAGAGUUGCCCUGUCUUUGCUUUUGACCACUAUAUCAUCCAUGUAAGCUUCUACAUUUCUGUGUAUCUAUGGCUUCAAAGCAAUAUGGACUACUCUGGCAAAUGUUGAACCAGCAUUCUUUAAUCCGAAAGGCAUCCGUACGAAACAGUACGUGCCACAUCGAGUAAUGAAUGCGGUUUUCUCCUCAUCCUCUUCCGCCAUGAAGAUCUAAUGGUAUCCUGAGUAUGCAUCAAGAAAUGAAAGCAACUCACAUCCGGCCGUGGAGUCAACAAUCUGGUCAAUGCGCGGCAAGGGAAAUGGAUCUUUUGGACAAGCUUUAUUAACAUCAGUAAAGUCAAUACAAAGCCUCCAUUUCCCAUUCGCCUUGCGCACUACAACCGGAUUGGCCAACCACAUGGGAUGGAGCACCCCUCUAACGAGGCCUGCUGCUUCCAAUUUCUUGAUUUCUUCGGCUAUGAAUUCUUGGCGCUCCACCGCCUGUUUCCUGACCUUCUGCUUGACGGGCCGCGCAUGAGGACAAACUGCAAGGUGGUGCUCAAUUACCUCCCUGGGAACACCGGGGAUGUCAGACGGUUGCCAUGCAAACACGUCGACAUUCGCCCGCGGGAAAGUAACGAGUGCGCUUUCCUAUUUAGGGUCAAGCGUGGCACUGAUGGUGAAGGUACCACCAGUGCCGUCCUCCUUGGCGGGCACCUUCUUGGUAAGUGGUGGAGCGGCCAUCGUCUUCUUACUCUUGCAGCCGGAGCUCGAUGGUGCGUCCUCGACGGCAGCGCAGCACUCCGAAGAGGUGCGCCUGCCGGAGUAGGCAUCAGAGCACUCGCCGGGCUUGGUCUUCUUCUUGCCGGUGGAGCUCGAUGGUGCGUCCUCGACGGUAGCGCAGCACUCCGAAGAGGCGCGCUUGCUGGAGUGGGUACUAGAGCUCUUGCCGGACUUGGUCUUCUUCCCCCUGGGAGCUUCAGCGGCAAGUGUCUCGCGGUCUGUCGCGGCGGCAGCUUCCCGGUAGAUCUUGUCGGCGCAGAUAAGGGCGUCCUUCUUGUCGCCAGGGACAGAGAUGACGCUUAUCGGGCCCGGCAUCUUGAGCAUGUUGUAGGCAUAGUGAUAGGCUGCCAUUAACUUGGCGAGCGCGGGACGGCCAAGUAUCCCAUUGUAGGGCAAUGGGAAAUCGGCAACGUCGAAGGUGACCCUCUCAGUCCUGAAGUUCAUCUCACUGCCGAAUGUCACCGGCAGCGCGACUUUUCCCUUCGGCUUGCUCCUUCCCGGGUUAAUUCCUUGGAAUGUACCGGUUUCUUCGAGCUCACUGUCUGGGAUCUGGAGUUUCUGGAGCACAGCGGAGGAGAUCAGAUUCAGGCCGGCCCCGCCGUCAACUAGCAUCUUGGUGACCUUGAGGUUGCGGAUUGUUGGGGAAACCAACAACGGCAAGCACCCGACCGCAGUCGUGCGAUCAGGGUGGUCCUCAAUGUCAAAGAUGAUCGGCGUGCUGGACCACUUCAGAAGCUUGCGUGAUUCGACAGGUGGCUCUGCCGCAUUAACUUCCCGGAGCCACUGUUUGAGUUGGCGGUGGGAAGUGUGCAGAGAAGCGCCACCGUCAACACACAAGACUUCUGUAGCCUUCUGAAACUCCUGCUCGCUGUUCUCAACAUCAUCCAUGUCUUCGUCGUCGUCUUCGUCUUCGUCCUUAUCGCGGCCGCGAGGAGGUCUGUCUCCUUGCCGCUGCUUGGCCUUGCCACGGCUCCCUCCCGGGCCAGCGCGGUUCUUGCCGGCUUCUCCAUCGCCUCCUUGGGCUCUCUCCUUGUCGCGCCGCUCGUACUCACCUCUUUGUUGCUGGACAAGCUGCUCGACCCUCUUGCAGUUCUGGAGAUCAUGGCCCUUGGUGCGGUGGAUCUUGCAGUACUGCUUGUCGGAGCUGCCCUGCUUGUCGGCGGCCGCCACAGCCUGGCAGUUGGUACACGCGGCAACCUCUUUGCCGGAGCUGACAACUUUGGCUUGCUUGGCGGGGCCGUCAUCGCUGGACUGCUCAACGACCAGUACCUCUUUGCCGCUCUUCUUCUUGUUGGGCCUCCGGUUUUUGCUUGCCGGGGCGGCAUCCUCACUGUCAGAUAUCCCUGCUCUAGCAUCCUCUCCGGGGAGUUUCCUCCCUUCUUCAGCGCGUGCGCACUUGUCGGCCAGGGCGUACAGCUCGCUGACGUCCUUGAUCCUGCUCAUCGCCAUCUCCUCCCGCAUCCUGCAAUUACGCAUGUUCUGAUGGAACGCGCUGAUAACCGCGGUAGGGUGGAUGUCUGGGAUGUUGCGCUGCACGCGGCUGAAUCUCUGGAUAUACUUGCGCAAAGGUUCUCCUUCCUUCUGGGCAAGCAGGUGGAGGUCACUCUCUUGGCCGUGUGGUUUGUGGCCGCCUGUAAAGGCGCCGACAAACUGGUGGCACAAAUCCGCCCAAGAGGAUAUGGAGUUGUCCGGCAAGUGCAUGAGCUAGGAUCUGACUUCGGGCUUGAGCACGAGCGGGAAGUAGUUGGCAAGGACCUUGUCGUCUCGUCCCCGGCAGCUUGCACCGCAAUGGUGUAGAUGCUGAGGAACUCCGACGGGUGUGACUUGCCGUCGUACUUCUCCGGCACGUCUGGCUUGAAAUGCUUCUGGUUGGGCCACUGGACUUGCCGCAGCUCAUGGGUGAACGCGGGACAACCCGCCGCGUACGGCAAGUUACCUGGCUCUCCGGGUGCAUGCAUGUCAACAGAGGGCCCAGCGCACAGGUCAGAUUGACGCCGCGCUUCCCUUCGGCGCUCGAUGCAUGUUCAAGUGUCUUCUUGCUGUCUCUGAUGAAGAACUUGGCGUUGAUCGCGGUGAGCUCGCGGAUCUGACGACGCGGUGGAGUAGCCGUCGAGGUGGAUCCGGUGAGUCGGCGAUCUCGGCCUUCGGGGCGGAGAGUGCACAGUGGUUGCACCCUCACCGGUCUUGUCGCCACCGGCUCGCGCCUGGCUGACUUGCCGCGGCAGCGAUGCGCUCUGCUGCCGUGGGUUGUCACCAUUGGCGCAGCCGAUGAUGCUCUGAAUAGUGGCCCUCCAGUCAUCGAUCUUCUCUAGUGCUGGAGGGUAGUCUAGGAGCAGCUGGGCACGCGCCAACGGUUCCGUCGGAGUGGUGGGCGGCGGCAGCGAACGGUGCGAGGAGCGAGAUAUGCUCGGACUCCUAACCACGUUAGAAGGAGCAACAUCCCGUCCAAGCGACCGCGCCGCGCUCGCGCCAGCACGUUGGCGUGCCUGCUGAUCCUGAGCACUUCGGGAUCCGCCAGCUUGAUCUUGGCCCAGCAGGCGUAUGGUACAGUGGGUACCAUGACGCUACUGGUCCCGCGCCUCCUGGGAUGGGCGCGGUGCGUGUACGGACACCGAGGUCUCGGAGUGCGCGCGGUCGUCGUGGGAGGCGACCGCGCUACCGACGUGCGCCGCAGCCAGGCACUUGGACCUGGCAGUGCCAUGAGUCUCCCCGUCGGCGCCCGCCCUUCCGCCGGCGCCUACUUCACCCGCCGUUCGCUCCGGCGAUGGCGGGCUCGACGCGGACGGAGCGGCUACCUCCGAAGCCUUCUUCUUCGGCGGCAUGUUGAUGAAGACGAUGAAGAUUCGGCUCGCGCGAACGCCGGAUCAGGUUCGCACUACCUCGACGCACCCCCUACCUGGCGCGCCAAAGAUGUCGGGGGUGUCUGAUCCCUCGCACACCUAUGGGGAUCGGCGGACCAAGCCCAUUUUGGUUCGAUAGGGGGCGGUGGAUGCACAAAGAGCAGAUCAAGGCGAAACACACGAGCAAGACGAUUGAUUUACCCAGGUUCGGGCCGCACGGAUGCGUAAAACCCUACUCCUGCUUUGGUGGUUGUAUUGAGUUUUUGCUCGGGAGCGGCGAGUGCUACAGUACACUCAAGCAGCUGGCGAGACCGAGCGUGAGAAUGGCUGUCCCCCUCCCCCUGUUGCGCAUGGGCCUCCUUUUAUAUGUCUAAGGGGUCACCGAUACGUAGCAACAGAGGUAAGGGUAAAAAUGUAAAAGGGGUGGUAGUUGGCUCCACCGCCUACAUGUCGCAUCCUACCUAACUCUGAUGGCAGGGGACAAGGGCAUUAAAUGCCCGUCUGUGUCACCUUGACGGCCCAGAGAGGGACCGCUAGGAACGCCACUGUUUGCCACAACGGUUCCUUGUCAGCGUCUGCUUGCCACCGCAUGCCCCCGGCUGCACAGCCUCCCGCCACGUACGCCAGGAAUGGCCCCAGGGUGACACGUUGGUGCGUGAGCUGGAGCGCGGGCUGCGGGGUAGUGGCUUGCCGCGGUAAGUGCCUUGCCGCGGGUGUUGUCUUGUCGCGUUCGGGAGCUUGCCGCUCACUGGGUCUUGUCGGGGCGUGCGGUGCGCCGCAGCGAGUCUCUUGAGAUGCUUUGGUUGUCUUCCCGGCAAGCUCCUCUUGCCGGGGUCUCGUCUCCUUCCCGACAAGCUCCUCUUACCGGGGCCUUGUUCCCUUCCCGGCAAGCUCCUCUUGCAGGGGCCUUGUUUUUCUCUUGGAUACUUUGUACUUGAAUGGCUCCAGAGGAACCAUGGAGGGUCUUGGCGGUCGCCCGGCAAGCCUUGCCGCGGGUCGCUGCGACUGCCCGUGCACAAGUUCGGGGUACUAAGGUACCCCUACUUUAGUACACCAACAGAGGGCCAUCCUCGGUACUCACACUUAUCUUGAGUAUUUAGUAGUAUCCAUUUACUUGUCUAUGAACUGUAUAGGCAACCAAGUAGUCCUUUACCGCGGACGUGGCUAUUCGAAUAGUUUUAUACCCUGCAGGGGUGUACUUCGUCAUACACGCUUUCACCACUUAUCGCCGUUUACACGACAUGUACUCGGCAACCUUCAAGCGGAAGCCCAGCGAGGGUGUCGGCCACGGCCUACCUAAACACUUAAGUCUCUAGUCCAGGUUUAUCGCCUAUCCAGGUUCCAUCGGCAGGGAGUGCGGCCGAGGUUUCCACAUACGGCCCCGAACGAUGUGAACAGGGUUCCGAGAUGCCAAACGGGCGCCCGGCAUACCCGGCCAGGUGUAUCUACCGCAACAUAGCCCACCCCUAGGGUCAGCGCUACGCACGGCCGCCAACACAUAACCUACAAACCCAGAAACUAUAUGCAACUCCUGGACAGAGUACAAGGGUGAUUAAGAAGCCGAGAGGGUCAAUUAAGGAUCCCAAUGCGUGGUAGUAGCUGAAUCUUAAAUCAACAUACAGAUCUCAGUUCUUAGGGACGGUCUCAAUGAAACAACCCACCAUGUACUCCUACAUGGCCUCUCAUCGAUACCUUUACCAAAACAUGUUCAACACAUUCCUCAUAUUACCGACAUAAUCAUAUCACCCUAGCCCAUCACCCAGAUGAACCAGACCUGACACAACUCUAAGCAUAGCAGGCAUAGCAAGGUAGGAAUCACAUACAUGGCUCAAUCAAAUCAUACACAUGCUAGUGGGUUUCAUCUAGUUAUUGUGGCAAUGACAGGCCAUGUAGAGGAUAAGGGUUCAACUACCGUAGCACACAACAGUUUGAAUCGCGUUGUCUUAAUGAAGUAAACAAGAGCAGAGGCGAGAACAUGGGUUGUAUCGGAAUGAUCAAUGGGUUGCUUGCUUGAUGGAGUGGUAGUGGGAUACUGCCCUUCAGUUGGAUACUCGUGAAUAUCCUCGGAGGUAGAACCUACCACGAAGAACACAUCGGAACACAAUCAACACAUGACGAUAUGCAACAAUAUGAUGCAUGCUAUGACGUGUCUUGGCCUAAUGCAAGCUAAAAUAGAAAGGGAUGAACUCAUUUGAAUCAAAGAUUCAAAUAUUAGCUCACUAAACAUGGCCUUAGUAGUGCAUUUCCUUAUUCUGCUUAAACAGCAAGGUAAACUUGUUUUGUCAUGCAUGAAACCAUUACAGAUGGAUAGAUUGAAUUUUUCUGAUAAUUUUUCAUAUAUAAAUUAUUUCAUUUGGAGUUACGGUUGAAUUUCUAUGAUUUCUAGAAGUUUUAAACAUUUUCUGGAAAUUCCUGAAUAAAAAUAAAUCCAGAAAAUGCAUUACUACGUCAGCAUUGCGUCAUGCUGGCCUCGGCAGGUCAAAGGCGCCAGCCCAGGUCAAACCUGACUGGUGGGCCCCUUCUGUCAGUCUCUCAGUUAAAUAACAGGAUUAGAUUAACACUAAUUAGCUGUCAGUGGGGCCUGGGCCCACAUGUCAGUGACUAAUUAAAAUCAAAUUAGUUAAAACUAAACCUAGAUUAGUUAGCAGACUGGCCCCACCUGUCAUAGACUCAGGGGGGGUCUACCUGGGCCCACCCAGGGUCAAACUCGCCGGCGUUGAGCCGCCGGCGAGACCCGAGACGGUGGCGCAGCUCGAAAAACGCCUACAGGGCACGAGCGAGGCCGUUCAUGGGCUCGUUGGAGAGCUCUUGCAGUCGCGCAUCUAGUGGUGGUGGUGGCCGGGCCUACGGUGGCCGGAGACGACGACGGCGAGCUCCAAGGCGGCGGCCGGAGUUCGGCCAUGUGCGGGGUGUGGGCUGUGGCGUGCAAACGUGGAAACUGAGGCACUAGCGAGGCACUACGCGAUGCGGCAAGCACGUUGCGUAGCACGGGAUGACCAAAUGGUCGCCGGAGCGGCGCCGGCGACAAGCUCGAGCGGAGACGAGCUUCGGCCAUGGUGGCACUAUGGCCUAGAGGGUGCAAACGCGUGGAAAAGAAGAGGGGAAAGGUGGCGGAGCUCACAGGCAGGUCGAUGAGCAGCUCAGUGGGCUCGGGGGCGACCGGAGUGAGGCGAAUCGAUGAGCGGCGUCCGGCGGGUACCGAGGUUGAAGACAAUCCGAUGGCGGCGAUGCAGGGCCUCCGGCGAUGCGUGGCUCGGUGGGGAGGGCGGGGGCGUCACGGCGCAGCUUCUGGACAGGUCAGAGAGGCGAGGGGGUGACGGAGGGCGCGACUACGGCGGUGAGACGGCGAUUAGAAAGAAAGAUUUGGUUCACUCGUACGUGAAAAAAGGAACAAGCGCUUGAUGCCUUCCUUUGCAUCGAUGCCAGACGCGGUGCUGGGAAUCGACAAGAUAACCGCCAAUCUACCAGGAUUAAAUUCCUAGCGCCUCCUUCUAGCGCCUCCCACUGAAAAUGCCCUAACGAUUUUUGAGGGAUUUUUUUACUGUGUCCUACUUCACGAAUCACGAGGCAAAUCAAGUAGGCGGCAUGGCCUGGCCGGUGAGUGCCAUUGCACUUACUUGCCCCAGCAAUUUUCCGCGUGCAUUGUAGAAUUCUUUCUCCGAGUCCUGUGAAUUAAAGAUGGUGCAGACAAAAGUAUAUCCUGUAUGCGUACAUGUGCAUGAUCAGAACAUGUUUUUACGUGCGUCUACUAUAAAUCAUGACCAUUUUUAACACAAAUCAUGACCAUUCAUGAUUAGUGAAUCAUACUGUCUUAACUUAUGUGAAAUCAUGUGGAGUAAUAUAAUAUAAUAUAAUAGAUAGAUAGAUCCAUGUUGUAUUAUUUUUUGUUUACAAAAAAUAUCUGUCAUUACACAUUUUGAUUUAUGCAUUUGUUUACAAAAAAAACAGUAACAUUUCAUGGUGGAAAGUUUGUAUUGUUUCAUACUGAACACCAAUGUUUUCCUGUAAAAGAAAAUAAUGCCUACGCAUAUGCUUUUAUAUUAUUAUUAUUCUUUCAAACUUAUUCAUACAGUAUUUUUGAUUGUGCAACCAUAAUUUUUAUUGUCUCUCUCGUUCCACUACAUGCUCUUACUCAAUGAUUUUUUUUAUAACGGGUGUUUUUAUUAACUCAAAAUAUAGUAUCAAGCGGAUACAAAACAUAAUGAGCCACACCUGGUCUCUGCAUAACUAAGAUGCAUACAGCUAAAAGCAGAUGUCUGACAAAAAUAAGAUAAGAAAAUCGACAUAUCGACAACAGUGAGUCAUAUAGUUCCGACACUAUGCCUCUGUUGAAGGACGGGGUGGAGCGAUCUGAAGAUUAUGCUGCCCUCCAUGUUGAGUAAAUACCUCCCUGGCCACUUGUUCCAACCGCAUAGACGCCGCCACGAAUAAUGGUCGGUACUCUGUUCGGUGUAGCAUACACCAUGUAGGAAGUGAGUGCUCACUUCUAGUUACUAAAUUAUGUACACACUAAUAGAAAAAGGGCCAUUUGUCCCGGUUCGUAAGGCCCAUUUGUCCCAGUUGGGGAACCGGGACUAAAGGGUCGGUACUAAAGCCCUACACAUUUAGUCCCGGUUCUUACACCAUCCGAGACAGAUGGGGCUCCACGUGGCCGCUACAGCUUGCCGUGGCAGGGGGGCCUUUUGUCCCGGUUGGUAGCACCAACCGGGACCAAUAAGCUACCACGCGUCAGCAUUUGAGGGCUAGGUUUUUUGUUUUUUUUCNNNNNNNNNNNNNNNNNNNNNNNNNNNNNNNNNNNNNNNNNNNNNNNNNNNNNNNNNNNNNNNNNNNNNNNNNNNNNNNNNNNNNNNNNNNNNNNNNNNNNNNNNNNNNNNNNNNNNNNNNNNNNNNNNNNNNNNNNNNNNNNNNNNNNNNNNNNNNNNNNNNNNNNNNNNNNNNNNNNNNNNNNNNNNNNNNNNNNNNNNNNNNNNNNNNNNNNNNNNNNNNNNNNNNNNNNNNNNNNNNNNNNNNNNNNNNNNNNNNNNNNNNNNNNNNNNNNNNNNNNNNNNNNNNNNNNNNNNNNNNNNNNNNNNCAAAUGAAGUAAACCAUUAAGUACAGAAGUUCGUCAUGAACAUAUGCAUACAAACAUAAGUGAUAUCGACCUCUCCUUCUCCGACAGAUAGGUCGAACAACAAGUUUCCGUAUAUCUAUCCGGCGCUACUAGCUACAUAUAUACAAUAUUAAGAUCUCUUACAAUAUAAUCCCCUAAUUAUAAAUGAACUCAGCUUCGAGAUGGUAUUCUCCGGCUUUAUUGAUGACGUGGUCAAGAAAGAAUCCCUCCAAUUCCUCUUGAAUUGCUUUGAUGCGAUCUUGUGGUAGGAGUUCAUCCCGCAUCUGCCACAUCUAAUUUGAAGAAGGGGGUCAAUCACCAGUAGAAUAACAGCCAUUUGUCCUGGUUCAUAAGGUUAAUUUGUCCCGGUUGGGGAACCGAGACUAAAGGGUCGUUACUAAAGCCCUACACCUUUAGUCCUGGUUCUUACACCAACUGGGACAGAUGGGCCUCCAUGUGGCUGCUGCGGCGAGCCCAGGCCGGAGGUCCUUUGGUCCCGGUUAGUGGCACUGAUACGUCUCCAACGUAUCUAUAAUUUUUGAUUGCUCCAUGCUAUUAUGUUAUCUAUUUUGGAUGUUAAUGGGCUUUAUUUUACACCUUUAUAUCAUUUUUGGGACUAACCUACUAAUCGGAGGCCCAACCCAAAUUGCUGUUUUCUGCCUAUUUUAGGUUUUCGAAGAAAAGGAAUAUCAAACGGAGUCCAAACGGAAUGAAACCUUCGAGAACGUGAUUUUCUCAACGAACAUGAUUCAGGAGACUUGGAGUGUGCGCCAAGAAACAAGGGAGGAAGGCACGAGGCAGGGGGGGCGCGGCUACCCUCUUGGGCACGCCCUCCACCCUCGUGGGCCCUCCGCUGCUCCACCGACGUACUUCUUCCUCCUAUAUAUAUCCACGUACCCCCAAACAUCCAGGAGCACCACGAAAACCUAAUUCCACCGCUGCAACCUUCUGUACCCAAGAGAACCCAUCUUGGGGCCUUUUCUGGAGGUCCACCGGAGGGGGCAUCGAUCAGGGAGGGCCUCUACAUCAACUCCAUGGCCUCUCCGGUAAUGUGUGAGUAGUUUACUUCAGACCUACGGGUCUAUAGUUAUUAGCUAGAUGGCUUCUUCUUCUCUCUUUGGAUCUCAAUAAAAAGUUCUCCUCGAUUUUCUUGGAGAUCUAUUCGAUGUAACCUUCUUUUGCAGUGUGUUUGUCGAGAUCCGAUGAAUUGUGGGUUUAUGAUCCAGAUUAUCUAUGAACAAUAUUUGAUUCUCCUAUGAAUUCUAUUAUGUAUGACUGGUUUAUCUUUGCAAGUCUCUUCGAAUUAUCAGUUCGGUUUGGCCUACUAGAUUGAUUUCUUGCAAUGGGAGAAGUGCUUAGCUUUGGGUUCAAUCUUGUGGUGUUUGAUCCCAGUGACAGAAAGGGAACCAAUACGUAUUGUAUUGUUGCCAUCGAGGAUAAAAAGAUGGGGUUUAUAUCAUAUCGCAUGAGUUUAUCCCUCUACAUCAUGUCAUCUUCCUUAAAGCAUUACUAUGUUCUCUUGAACUUAAUACUCUAGAUGCAUGCUAGAUAGCGGUCCAUGUGUCGAGUAAUAGUAGUAGAUGCAGAAUCGUUUCGGUCUACUUGUCUAGGACGUGAUGCCUAUAUACAUGAUCAUACCUAGAUAUUCUCAUAACUAUGCUCAAUUCUGUACAAUAUGGUGCACGGGGUUACAUCGGCCUGUAAAGACAUUUAUGCGAUGUGAGACAUCCGAAAAGCAACGAAAACGGGAGAUUAUACAUUUAUUGAAGAGGGCCGGUGUGACAGAUACCGUGAGGGCGUCGAGCUCAGCCAAAGACGACGGACAGCUGAGCACGGCCUGUGUCAGAGCCGGUGCGGGAGCAAGUGCAGGUGCAGGUGCUGGUGCAACGCUAGUCGAGCUGCUCCUGAAGAAGUCAACAAUGGGAAAGUCCGCUGCAUUUUUUCUGCAUUUUGCGUGCUCCAAUUGAAAAUGGCUGGAACCAAGACAGUAGACAUAUCUGCAACCACCUGUUUUCCAGCAGCUACCGCUGUCGCGACUGUCUCAGAUGAUUUCUUCUCAACCGCAAUCUCAACCUUCUUGUCGAUGUUUUAUUCGGUUAACCUCCAUCUUUCCUUUCUCUCCUCUGUGGUCUCACGGUAGUACUUCUUCCACGUGGCCCCGUCUCCGACACCGUGAACGCGUCCAUACGACGACCGAGUCUCCACCGGGAGUCCUUUCAAUAUGUUCAAUGCCCGGUUGAAUGGAGUGUCCCACUUGGGCCUUGCCAAUGCCUCAGACGGCGAGUCGCUUUCGGCCGCAAUCUUGUGCUGCUCUCUUUACAAAAGGAACACGGAUCAUUUACAAAUAUGACUAAACGUGCAGUCAAAUUGAUCAGAAACUAAAAUUACCGGCAGUCUCAUGAACUCCGUCGUGAUCGGGUCCGUCUUGAAAACCUUCUUGACUUAGUCCCAAUGGUGCCGUGCCUUGAGGACGUCAUCCUCCUACGGGAUGGUGAAGUCCGCCAAGGGGUCUGGGAUGCCAGAUUUUCGCAUUCCGUGUCCUCCUUGGCCCAUAUGGACCUCUUCCUGCCGUAACCACUGCUUCCGAGGUGGUGGCGCCCCAUGUUCCUUUGUGGAAGCCCCUUCAUGUACUUCGACUUUGUUUUGGCAGCUUCGGCCUCGCAAGCCGCCUUGAAUAUUUCAAAGUGCUCUCCCAUGAUUGUCAGAUUAUCCUUUACAAUCUCGGAGUAGGGUUGAUACGUCUCCAACGUAUCUAUUAUUUUUGAUUGCUCCAUGCUAUAUUAUCUCCUAUUUUGGACAAUAUUGGGCUUUAUAAUCGACUUUUAUAUUAUUUUUGGGACUAACCUAUUAACCGGAGGCCCAGCCUAGAAUUGUUGUCUUUUGCCUGUUUUAGGGUUUCGAAGAAAAGGAAUAUCAAACGGAGUCCAAACGGAAUGAAACCUUCGGGAACGUGAUUUUCUGAACGAACAAGACCCAGGAGACUUGGACCCUAUGUCAAGACACAAAAGAGGAGGACACGAGGUAGGGGGCGCACCUACCCCCCCCCCCCCCUCGAGGCACGCCCUCCACCCUCGUGGGGCCCCUGUUGCUCCACCGAUGUACUCCUUCCUCCUAUAUAUACCUACGUACCCCCAAACGAUCAGAUACAGAGCCAAAACCCUAAUUCCACUACCGCAACUUUCUGUAUCCACGUGAUCCCAUCUUGGGGCCUGUUCCGGAGCUCCGCCAGAGGGGGCAUCGAUCACGGUGGGCUUCUACAUCAACACCAUAGCCUCUCCGAUGAAGUGUGAGUAGUUCACCUCAGACGUACGGGUCCAUAGUUAUUACCUAGAUGGCUUCUUCUCUCUUUUUGGAUCUCAAUACAAUGUUCUCCCCCUCUCUUGUGGAGAACUAUUCGAUGUAAUCUUCUUUUUGCGGUGUGUUUAUUGAGACCGAUGAAUUGUGGGUUUAUGAUGAAGUCUAUCUAUGAAUAAUAUUUGAAUCUUCUCUGAAUUCUUUUAUGUAUGAUUGUUUAUCUUUGCAAGUCUCUUUGAAUUAUCAGUUUGGUUUGGCCUACUAGAUUGAUCUUUCUUACAAUGGGAGAAGUACUUAGCUUCGGGUUCAAUCUUGCGGUGUCCUUUCCCAAUGACAGUAGGGGCAGCAAGGCAUGUAUUGUAUUGUUGCCAUCGAGGACAACAAGAUGGGGUUUUCAUCAUAUUGCAUGAGUCUAUCCCUCUACAUCAUGUCAUCUUGCUUAAGGCGUUACUCUGUUUUUAACUUAAUACUCUAGAUGCAUGCUGGAUAGCGGUCGAUGAGUGGAGUAAUAGUAGUAGAUGCAGGGAGGAGUCGGUCUACUUGUCUCAAACGUGAUGCCUAUAUACAUGAUCAUACCUAGAUAUUCUCAUAACUAUGCUCAAUUCUGUCAAUUGCUCAACAGUAAUUUGUUCACCCACCAUAGAAUAAUUAUGCUCUUGAGAGAAGCCACUAGUGAAACCUAUGGCCCCUGGGUCUAUCUUUAUCAUAUUAAUCUCCUAUUACUUAGUUAUUUCCUUUGCUUUUUCCUUUGCCUUUAUUUUACUUUUCAUCUUUAUCACAAAAAUACCAAACAUAUUAUCUUUAUCAUACCUAUCAGAUCUCACUCUCGUAAGUGGCUGUGUAGGGAUUGACAACCCCUAUUCGCGUUGGUUGCGAGGAUUUAUUUCUUUUGUGCAAGUACGAGGGACUCGCGCGUAGCCUCCUACUGGAUUGAUACCUUGGUUCUCAAAAACUGAGGGAAAUACUUACGCUACUUUGCUGCAUCAUCCCUUCCUCUUCGGGGAAAACCAACGUAGUUCUCAAGAGCUGGCAAGAUGGAUUUCUGGCGCCGUUGCCGCGGAGGUCUACGCAAAAGUCAACAUACCAAGUACCCAUCACAUACCCUUAUCUCCCUCAUUACAUUAUUUGCCAUUUGCUUCUCGUUUUCCUCUUCCCCACUUCACCCUUGCCUUUUUAUUCGCCCUCUCUCUCUAUCCUCCCUCUCUUUCUCUAUUUGCCUCUUUUUCCCUACUUGCUUUCUGUUUGCUUGUGUGUUAGUUGCUUGCUUGUCACGAUGGCUCAAGAUAAUACUAAAUUACGUGACUUCACCAAUACCAACAACAAUGAUUUUAUUAGCACUCCGAUUUCUCCUCUUACCGAUGCUGAAUCUUGAGAAAUUAAUACUGCUUUGCUGAAUCUUGUCAUGAAAGAUCUGUUUUCCUGCCUUCCUAGUGAAGAUGCCGCUACCCACAUAAAUAGAUUCGUUGAUUUGUGUGACAUGCAAAAGAAGAAAGGUGUGGAUAAUGAUAUUGUUAAAUUGAAGCUAUUUCCUUUUUCGCUUAGAGAUCGUGCUAAAGCUUGGUUUUCGUCUUUGCCUAAAAAUAGUAUUGAUUCAUGGAAUAAGUGCAAAGAUGCUUUUAUCUCUAAGUAUUUUCCUCCUGCUAAGAUCAUCUCUCUUAGAAAUGAUAUUAUGAAUUUUAAGCAACUUGAUCAUGAACAUGUUGCACAAGCUUGGGAGAGAAUGAAACUAAUGAUACGUAAUUGACCUGCCCAUGGUUUAAAUUUGUGGAUGAUUAUACCAAAUUUUUAUGCCGGAUUGAACUUUGCUUCUAGAAAUCUUUUAGAUUAGGCCGCAGGAGGCACUAUUAUGGAAAUCACUUUAGGAGAAGCUACUAAACUCCUAGAUAAUAUUAUGGUUAAUUAUUCUCAACGGCAUACCGAAAGUUCUACUAAUAAAAAGGUGCAUGCGAUAGAAGAAAUUAAUGUUUUGAGUGGAAAGAUGGAUGAACUUCUGAAAUUAUUUGCUAAUAAGAGUAUUUCUUCUGAUCCUAAUGAUAUGCCCUUGUCUACUUUGAUUGAGAAUAAUAAUGAAUCUAUGGAUGUGGAUUUUGUUGGUAGGAACAAUUUUGGUAACAACGCGUAUAGAGGAAAUUUCAACCCUAGGCCUUAUCCUAGUAAUCUCUCUAAUAAUUAUGGUAAUUCCUACAGCAAUUCUUAUGGAAAUUAUAAUAAGAUGCAUACUGAUUUUGAAUCUAAUAUUAGAGAAUUUAUUACUUUGCAAAAGAAUUUCAAUGCUUUGAUUGAAGAAAAAUUGCUUAAGAUUGAUGAUUUGGCUAGGAACAUUGAUAGAAUUACUCUUGAUGUUGAUUCUUUGAAACUUAGAUCUAUUCCACCUAAGCAUGAUGUCAAUGAGUCUCUCAAAGCCAUGAGAAUUUCCAUUGAUGAGUGCAAAGAAAGAACCACUAGGAUGCGUGCUAAGAAAGAUGCCUUUAUAAGAGCGUGUUCUUCUAGUUCCUAUGAAAAUAAUGAUGAAGAUCAAAAAGUUAUUGAUGUGCUCCCUAUUAAAUCUUUGUUUUGCAAUACGAAUCUUGAUAAUCAUGGGACUGAAUAUGAUCCACCUUUACCUAGAAGGCGUUCCAAGAAUUCAGAAUUUGUUGAUCUUGAUGGUAAAACUGAUAAAGGUGGGAUUGAAGAAAUUAAAACCCUAGAUGUUGCUAAACCCACUAUUAUGGAUUUCAAGGAACUUAACUAUCAAAACUGCCCUUUGAUUGAUUGUAUAUCCUUGUUACAAUCCGUGCUAAAUUCUCCUCAUGCUUAUAGUCAAAAUAAAGCAUUUACUAAACAUAUCGUUGAUGCCUUGAUGCAAUCUUAUGAAGAAAAACUUGAAUUGGAAGUUUCUAUCCCUAUAAAGCUUUAUGAUGAGUGGGAACCAACUAUUAAAAUUAAAAUUAAAUAUCAUGAAUGCUAUGCUUUAUGUGAUUUUGUGUGCUAGUGUUUCCACGAUUCCAAAGACUUUGUGUGAUUUGUUAGGUUUCCAUGAUUUUGAUGAUUGCUCUUUAAACUUGCACCUUGCGGAUUCCACUAUUAAGAAACCUAUGGGAAGAAUUAAUGAUGUUCUUAUUGUUGCAAAUAGCAAUUAUGUUCCCGUAGAUUUUAUUGUUCUUGACAUAGAUUGCAAUCUUUCAUGUCCUAUUAUUCUUGGUAGACCUUUCCUUAGAACGACUGGUGCAAUUAUUGAUAUGAAGGAAGGAAAUAUUAGAUUCCAAUUUCCAUUAAGGAAAGGCAUGGAACACUUUCCUAGAAAGUAAAUUAAAUUACCUUAUGAAUCUAUUAUGAUAGCCACUUAUGGAUUGCCUACCAAAGAUGGCAAUACCUAGAUCUAUCCUUGCUUGUUAUGCCUAGCUAGGGGCGUUAAACGAUAGCGCUUGUAGGGAGGCAACCCAAUUUUAUUUUUACUCCUUGAUUUUUGCUCCUGUUUAGUAAUAAAUAAUUUAUAUAGCCUCUGUUUUGCUUGUGUUCUUUGUGUUUAAUUAGUGUUUGUGCCAAGUAGAACCGUUAGGAAGACUUGGGGAAAGUCAUGUUACACUUGCUGUAAAAAACUGAAACUUCAGCGCUCACGAGAACUGCUGCCGUUUUUAUUUGGAAAGUGCUAUUUAGUUAAUUAUUUUUUCAGAUAAAUUCCUCACAUCCAGAAAUUUAUUUUAGAAUUUUUGGGGUUCCAGCUCUUGAGCUAGCUACAGAGUACUACCGACUGUUCUGUUUUUGAAAGAUUCUGUUUUUCGUGUGUUGUUUGCUUAUUUUGAUGAAGCUAUGGCUAGUAAAAUAUUUUAUAAACCAUAGAGAAGUUGGAAUACAGUAGGUAUAACACCAAUAUAAAUAAAUAAUGAGUUCAUUACAGUACCUUGAAGUGGUCUUUUAUUUUCUUUCGCUAACGGAGCUCAUGAGAUAUUCUACUUUAAGUUUUGUGUUGUGAAGUUUUCAAGUUUUGGGUAAAGAUUUGAUGCAUUAUGGAACAAGGAGUGACAAGAGCCUAAGCUUGGGGAUGCCCAUGGCACCCCCAAGAUAAUCUAAGUACACCUAAAAGCCAAAGCUUGGGGAUGCGCCGGAAGUCAUCCCCUCUUUCAUCUACUUCUAUCGGUAACUUUACUUGGAGCUAUAUUUUUAUUCGCCACAUGAUAUGUGUUUUGCUUGGAGCGUCUUGUAUUAUUUGAGUCUUUAUUUGUUAGUUUACCACAAUCAUCCUUGCUGUACACACCUUUUGAGAGAGUCAUACAUGACUUGGAAUUUGUUAGAAUACACUAUGUGUUUCGCUUAUAUCUUUUGAGUUAUAUAGUUUUGCUCUAGUACUUCACUUCUAUCGUUUAGAGCACGGUGGUGGAUUUGUUUUAUAGAAACUAUUGAUCUCUCAUGCUUCACUUAGAUUAUUUUGAGAUUCUUAAUAGCAUGUUAAUUUGCUUAAAAUCCUAAUAUGCUAGGUAUUCAAAGUUAGUAAAAUUUUCUUAAGAGUGUUUUGAAUACUAAGAGAAGUUUGAUGCUUGAUGAUUGUUUUGAGAUAUGGAGGUAAUAAUAUCAAAGUCAUUCUACUUGAGUAGUUGUGAAAUUGAGAAAUACUAGUGUUGAAGUUUGCAUGUCCCGUAGCACGCACGUAUGGUAAACGUUGUGUAACAAAUUUGAAACAUGAGGUGUUAUUUGAUUGUCUUCCUUGUGAGUGGCGGUCGGGGACAAGCUAUGGUCUUUUCCUACCAAUCUAUCCCCCUAGGAGCAUGCGCGUAGUACCAAGGUUUUUGAUGACUUGUAGAUUUUUGCAGUAAGUAUGUGAGUUCUUUAUGACCAAUGUUGAGUCCUUGAAUUAUACGCACUCUCACCCUUCCAUCCUUGCUAGCCUCUUCGGUACCGUGCAUUGCCCUUUCCCACAUUGAGAGUUGGAGCAAACUUCGCCAGUGCAUCCAAACCCCGUGAUAUGAUACGCUCUUUAACACAUAAACCUCCUUAUAUCUUCCUCAAAAUAGCCACCAUACCUACCUAGUAUGGCAUUUCCAUAGCCAUUCCGACAUAUAUUGCCAUGCAACUUUCCACCAUUCCGUUCAUCAUGACACAUUCAUCAUUGUCAUAUUGCUUAGCAUAAUCAUGUUGUUGACAUAGUAUUUGUGGCAAGGCCACCGUUCAUAAUUCUUUCAUACAUGUCACUCUUGGUCCAUUGCAUGUCCCGGUACACCGCCGGAGGCAUUCAUAUAGAGUCCUACUUUGUUCUAGUAUCGAGUAGUAAUUAUUGAUUCGUAAAUAAAUAGAAGUGUGAUGAUCAUCAUUAAUAGAGCAUGGUCCCAAAAAGAAAAAAAGGAAGUGCCAAAAAAGGCCAAAUAAAAAAAUAUAAAAAAGGGGGGCAAUGCUACUAUCCUUUUUUUCCACACUUGUGCUUCAAAGUAGCACCGUAAUCUUCAAGAUAGAGAGUCUCUUGAUUUGUCACUUUCAUAUACUAGUGGGAAUUUUUCAUUAUAGAACUUGGCUUGUAUAUUCCAAUAAUGGGCCUCCUCAAGUGCCCUAGGUCUUCGUGAGCAAGCAAGUUGGAUGCACACCCACUUAGUUUCUUUUGUUGAGCUCUCAUACAUUUAUAGCUCUAGUGCAUCCGUUGCAUGGCAAUCCCUACUCAUUGCAUUAACAUCAAUUAAUGGGCAUCUCCAUAGCCCAUUGAUUAGCCUCGUUGAUGUGAGACUUUCUCCUUUUUGUCUUCUCCACAUAACCCCACUCAUUAUAUUCUAUUCCACCCAUAGUGUUAUGUCCAUGGCUUGCAAUCAUAUAUUGCAUGAAAGUUUAUAGGUUUGAGAUCACUAAAGUAUGAAACAAUUGCUUGGCUUGUCAUCGGGGUUGUGCAUGAUGAGAGCAUUCUUGUGUGACGAAAAUGAAGCAUGACUAAACUAUAUGAUUUUGUAGGGCUGAACUUUCUUUGGCCGUGUUAUUUUGAGAAGACAUAAUUGCUCAGUUAGUAUGCUUGAAGUAUUAUAAUUUUAUGUCAAUAUGAACUUUUGUCUUGAAUGUUUCAGAUCUGAAUAUUCAUACCACAAUUAAAAAGAAUUACAUUAAAAUCAUGCCAUGUAGCACUCCGCAUCAAAAAUUCUGUUUUUAUCAUUUACCUACUCGAGGACGAGCAGGAAUUAAGCUUGGUGAUGCUUGAUACGUCUCCAACGUAUCUAUAAUUUUUGAUUGCUCCAUGUAUAUUAUCUAUUGUUUUGGACAAUAUUGGGCUUUAUUAUCCACUUUUAUAUUAUUUUUGGGACUAACCUAUUAACCGGAGGCCCAGCCCAGAAUUGUUGUUUUUUGCCUGUUUUAGGGUUUCGAAGAAAAGGAAUAUCAAACGGAGUCCAAACGGAAUGAAACCUUCGGGAACGUGAUUUUCUCAACGAACAAGACCUAGGAGACUUGGACCCUCCAUCAAGACAUAAAAGAGGAGGCCACGAGGUAGGGGGCGUGCCUACCCCCCCCCCCCCCGGCGCGCCCUCCACCCUCGUGGGCCCCCCUGUUGCUCCACCGACGUACUCCUUCCUCCUAUAUAUACCUACUAUUGGGGAACGUAGCAGAAUUUUAAAAUUUUCUAUGCAAGAUCAAUCUAUGGAGUCAUCUAGCAACGAGGGAGAGAGGAGUGCAUCUACAUACCCUUGUAGAUCGCGCGCGGAAGCGUUCAAGAGAACGGGGUUGAUGGAGUCGUACUCGUCGUGAUCCAAAUCACCGAUGACCAAGUGCCGAACGGAUAGCACCUCCGCGUUCAACACACGUACGGUUGGGAAGACGUCUCCUCCUUCUUGAUCCAGCAAGGGGGAAGGAGAGGUUGAUGAAGAUCCAGCAGCACGAUGGCAUGGUGGUGGAUGCAGCAGGAUCCCGGCAGGGCUUCGCCAAGUGCAAGCGGGGAGGAGAGGUGUUACGGAAGGAGAGGGAGGCGCCAAGAGAAAGGGUGCGGCUACCCUCCCUCCCCCCCUCUUUAUAUAGGGGCCUUGGGGGGCGCCGGCCCUAGGAGAUGGAUCUCCAAGGGGGGCGAAGGCCAAGGGGUGGCUUCCCCCCCAAGCCAAGUGGGGGGCGCCCCCACCCCUAGGGUUUCCCAACCCUAGGUGCAGGGGAGGCCCAAGGGGGGCGCACCAGCCCACUAGGGGCUGGUUCUGCUCCCAAUUCAGCCCAUGGGGCCCUCCGGGAUGGGUGGCCCCACCCGGUGGACCCCCGGGACCCUUCCGGUGGUCCUGGUACUAUACCGGUGACCCCCGAAACCUUUCCGAUGGCCGAAACUGUACUUCCUAUAUAUAAAUCUUUACCUCCGGACCAUUCCGGAACUCCUCGUGAUGUCCGGGAUCUCCUCCGGGACUCCGAACAUAUCCUGGGUUACUACAUACUAAUAUCUCUACAACCCUAGCGUCACCGAACCUUAAGUGUGUAGACCCUACGGGUUCGGGAGACAUGCAGACAUGACCGAGACGCCUCUCCGGUCAAUAACCAACAGCGGGAUCUGGAUACCCAUGUUGGCUUCCACAUGCUCCAUGAUGAUCUCAUCGGAUGAACCACGAUGUCGAGGAUUCAAUCAAUCUGUAUACAAUUCCCUCUGUCAAUCGGUAGGUUACUUGCCCGAGACUCGAUCGUCGGUAUCCCAAUACCUCGUUCAAUCUCGUUACCAGCAAGUCACUUUACUCGUGCCGUAAUGCAUGAUCCCAUGAUCAACCACUUGGUCACAAUGAGCUCAUUAUGAUGAUGCAUUACCGAGUGGGCCCAGAGAUACCUCUCCGUCAUACGGAGUGACAAAUCCCAGUCUCGAUUCGUGCCAACCCAACAGACACUUUCAGAGAUACCUGUAAUGUUCCUUUAUAGUCACCCAGUUACGUUGUGACAUUUGGCACACCCAAGGCACUCCUACGGUAUCCGGGAGUUGCCCAAUCUCAUGGUCUAAGGAAAUGAUACUUGACAUUCGGAAAAGCUACAGCAAACGAACUACACGAUCUUUGAGCUAUGCUUAGGAUUGGGUCUUGUCCAUCACAUCAUUCUCCUAAUGAUGUGAACCCGUUAUCAAUAACAUCCAAUGUCCAUAGUCAGGAAACCAUGACUAUCUUUUGAUCAACGAGCUAGUCAACUAGAGGCUCACUAGGGACGUGUUGUCUUCUAUGUAUUCACACAUGUAUUACGAUUUCCGGAUAACACAAUUAUAGCAUGAACAAUAGACAAUUAUCAUGAACAAAGAAAUAUAAUAAUAACCAUUUUAUUAUUGCCUCUAGGGCAUAUUUCCAACAGUCUCCCACUUGCACUAGAGUCAAUGUCUAGUUACAUUGUGAUGAAUCGAACACCCUUGAAGUUCUGGAGUUGAUCAUAUUUUUCUCUAGGGAGAGGUUUAGUCAAUGGAUCUGCCACAUUCAGGUCCGUAUGUACUUUACAAAUCUCUAUGUCUCCAUUUUGAACAACUUCACGAAUGGAGUUGAAGUGACGCUUGAUAUGCCUGGUCUUCCUGUGAAACCUGGGCUCCUUGGCAAGUGCAAUAGCUCCAGUGUUGUCACAGAAUAGAGUCAUCGGGCACGGUGCAUUGGGUAUGACUCCUAGGUCGGUAAUGAACUCCUUCACCCAGACUGCUUCUUGUCCUGCCUCCGAGGCUACCAUGUACUCCGCUUCACAUGUAGAUCCCGCCACAACGCUUUGCUUGCAACUCCACCAGCUUAUUGCCCCACCAUUCAAAAUAUACACGUAUCCGGUUUCCGACUUAGAGUCAUCCAGAUCUGUGUCGAAGCUAGCAUCGACGUAACCCUUUACGACGAGCUCUUCGUCACCUACAUAAACGAGAAACAUAUCCUUACUCCUUUUUAGGUACUUGAGGAUAUUCUUGACCGCUGUCCAUGUUAGGGAACGUUGUAAUUUCAAAAAAAUUCCUACGCACACGCAAGAUCAUGGUGAUGCAUAGCAACGAGGGGAGAGUCUGAUCUACGUACCCUUGUAGAUCGCAACGGAAGCGUUGACACAACGUAGGGGAAGUAGUCGUACGUCUUCUUCCCGAUCCGACCGAUCCAAGCACCAUUACUCCGGCACCUCCGAGUUCUUAGCACACGUUCAGCUCGAUGACGAUCCUCGGGCUCCGAUCCAGCAAAGUGUCGAGGAAGAGUUCCGUCAGCACGACGGCGUGGCGACAAUCUUAAUGUACUACCGACGCAGGGCUUCGCCUAAGCACUACAACAGUAUGAUCGAGGUGGAAUUUGGUGGCAGGGGGCACCGAACACGGCUAAGGAACGAUCUCAAUGAUCAACUUGUGUGUCUAGAGGUGCCCCCUGCCCCCGUAUAUAAAGGUUGCCAGGGGGUGGGCUGGCCGGCCAAAGGAGGAGGGCGCAGGAGGAGUCCUACUCCUACCGGGAGUAGGACUCCCCCCCCCAAUCCUAUUCCUAAUAGGACUCCUCGAGAGAGAGAGAGGGAGAAGGGGGCCGGCCACCUCUCCUAGUCCUAAUAGGACUAGGGGAGGGGGGAGGCGCGCAGCCCACCUUGGGCUGCCCCUUUCGCCUUUCCACUAAGGCCCAAUAAGGCCCAUUUGGUUCCCGGGGGGUUCCGGUAACCUCCCUAUACUCCGGUAAAAUUCCCGAUUUCACCCGGAACACUUCCGAUGUCCAAACAUAGGCUUCCAAUAUAUCAAUCUUUAUGUCUCGACCAUUUCGAGACUCCUCGUCAUGUCCGUGAUCACAUCCGGGACUCCGAACAACCUUCGGUACAUCAAAAUGCAUAAACUCAUAAUAACUGUCAUCGUAACGUUAAGCGUGCGGACCCUACGGUUCGAGAACAAUGUAGACAUGACCGAGACACGUCUCCGGUCAAUAACCAAUAGCGGGACCUGGAUGCCCAUAUUUGCUCCUACAUAUUCUACAAAGAUCUUUAUCGGUCAGACCGCAUAACAACAUACGUUGUUCCCUUUGUCAUCGGUAUGUUACUUGCCCGAGAUUCGAUCGUCGGUAUCCAAUACCUAGUUCAAUCUCGUUACUGGCAAGUCUAUUUACUCGUUCCGUAAUACAUCAUCUCACAACUAACAUCUUAGUUAUAAUGCUUGCAAGGCUUCUGUGAUGUGUCUUACCGAGAGGGCCCAGAGAUACCUCUCCGACAAUCGGAGUGACAAACCCUAAUCUCGAAAUACGCCAACCCAACAUCUACCAUUGGAGACACCUGUAGUACUCCUCUAUAAUCACCCAGUUAUGUUGUGACGUUUGGUAGUACCCUAAGUGUUCCUCCGGCAAACGGGAGUUGCAUAAUCUCAUAGUCAUAGGAACAUGUAUAAGUCAUGAAGAAAGCAAUAGCAACAUACUAAACGAUUGGGUGCUAAGCUAAUGAAAUGGGUCAUGUCAAUCAGAUCAUUCAACUAAUGAUGUGACCUCGUUAAUCAAAUAACAACUCUUUGUUCAUGGUUAGGAAACGUAACCAUCUUUGAUUAACGAGCUAGUCAAGUAAAGGCAUACUAGUGACACUCUGUUUGUCUAUGUAUUCACACAUGUAUUAUGUUUCCGGUUAAUACAAUUCUAGCAUGAAUAAUAAACAUUUAUCAUGAUAUAAGGAAAUAAAUAAUAACUUUAUUAUUGCCUCUAGGGCAUAUUUCCUUCAGUCUCCCACUUGCACUAGAGUCAAUUAUCUAGAUUACACAGUAAUGAUUCUAACACCCAUGGAGCCUUGGUGCUGAUCAUGUUUUGCUCAUGGAAGAUGCUUAGUCAACGGGUCUGCAACAUACAGAUCCGUAUGUAUCUUGCAAAUCUCUAUGUCUCCCACCUGGACUAGAUCCCGGAUGGAGUUGAAGCGUCUCUUGAUGUGUUUGGUCCUUUUGUGUAAUCUGGAUUCCUUUGCUAAAGCAAUUGCACCAGUAUUGUCACAAAAGAUUUUCAUUGGACCCGAUGCACUAGGUAUGACACCUAGAUCGGAUAUGAACUCCUUCAUCCAGACUCCUUCGUUCGCUGCUUCCGAAGCAGCUAUGUACUCCGCUUCACAUGUAGAUCCCGCUACGACGCUUGUUUAGAACUGCACCAAUUGACAGCUCCACCGUUUAAAGUAAACACCUAUCCGAUUUGCAAUUUAGAAUCGUCCGGAUCAGUGUCAAAGCUUGCAUCAACGUAACCUCUUACGGUGAGCUCUUUGUCACCUCCAUAUACGAGAAACAUAUCCUUAGUCCUUUUCAGGUACUUCAGGAUGUUCUUGACCGUUGUCCAGUGAUCCACUCCUGGAUUACUUUGGUACCUCCCUGCUAAACUUAUAGCAAGGCACACAUCAGGUCUGGUACACAGCAUUGCAUACAUGAUAGAGCCUAUGGCUGAAGCAUAGGGAACAUCUUUCAUUUUCUCUCUAUCUUCUGCAGUGGUCGGGCAUUGAGUCUGACUCAACUUCACACCUUGUAACACAGGCAAGAACCCUUUCUUUGCUUGAUCCAUUUUGAACUAAUUCAAAAUCUUGUCAAGGUAUGUGCUUUGUGAAAGUCCAAUUAAGCGUCUUGAUCUAUCUCUAUAGAUCUUUAUGCCUAAUAUGUAAGCGGCUUCCCCGAGGUCUUUCAUCGAAAAACUUUUAUUCAAGUAUCCCUUUAUGCUAUCCAGAAAUUCUAUAUCAUUUCCAAUCAGCAAUAUGUCAUCCACAUAUAAUAUCAGAAAUGCUACAGAGCUCCCACUCACUUUCUUGUAAAUACAGGCUUCUCCAAAAGUCUGUAUAAAGCCAAAUGCUUUGAUCACACUAUCAAAGCGUUUAUUCAAACUCCGAGAGGCUUGCACCAGUCCAUAAAUGGAUCGCUGGAGCUUGCACACUUUGUUAGCUCCCUUUGGAUCGAUAAAACCUUCUGGUUGCAUCAUAUACAACUCUUCUUCCAGAAAUCCAUUCAGGAAUGCAGUUUUGACAUCCAUCUGCCAAAUUUCAUAAUCAUAAAAUGCGGCAAUUGCUAACAUGAUUCUGACAGACUUAAGCAUCGCUACGGGUGAGAAGGUCUCAUCGUAGUCAACCCCUUGAACUUGUCGAAAAACUUUUGCGACAAGUCGAGCUUUAUAGACAGUAAUAUUACCGUCAGCGUCAGUCUUUUUCUUGAAGAUCCAUUUAUUCUCAUUUGCUUGCCGAUCAUCAGGCAAGUCAACCAAAGUCCAUACUUUGUUCUCAUAUAUGGAUCCCAUCUCAGAUUUCAUGGCUUCAAGCCACUUUGCGGAAUCUGGGCUCACCAUCGCUUCUUCAUAGUUCGUAGGUUCAUCAUGAUCUAGUAGCAUGACUUCCAGAAUUGGAUUACCGUACCACUCUAGUGCGGAUCUCACUCUGGUUGAUCUAUGUGGUUCAGUAGUAUCUUGUCCUAAAGUUUCAUGAUCAUCAUCAUUAGCUUCCUCACUAAUUGGUAUAGGUGUCGCAGAAACAGUUUUCUGUGAUGUACUAUUUUCCAAUAAGGGAGCAGGUACAGUUACCUCGUCAAGUUCUACUUUCCUCCCACUCACUUCUUUCGAGAGAAACUCCUUCUCUAGAAAUGAUCCAUUCUUAGCAACGAAUGUCUUGCCUUCGGAUCUGUGAUAGAAGGUGUACCCAACAGUCUCCUUUGGGUAUCCUAUGAAGACACAUUUCUCCGCUUUGGGUUCGAGCUUAUCAGGUUGAAGCUUUUUCACAUAAGCAUCGCAGCCCCAAACUUUAAGAAACGACAACUUUGGUUUCUUGCCAACACUACAGGAAUCGGCUACUUUGCCAUGUGCCACGGCGGACGGCAAAGGCCCGAACGGCGGACGGCAAAGGCCUUUGCCGUCAGCGGCGGACGGCAAAAGGCUCCGGCAAAGUAGGCUUCGGUAAACAGGUUCUUUGCCGUCUACUAUUGACGGCAAAGUCUUUGCCGUCUGCGGCGGACGGCAAAGAGAGAGCAGCAGACGGCAAAGACGGCGGACGGCAAUAAUUGCGCUGUCAGUCCGUUAAGUGGCUAACGGAAGGCCUUUGCCGUCCGCCGCUGACGGCAAAAUUUCUAGGGUCUUUGCCGUCCGCCGUAUGAUGUCAUCUACACGUCACUACGUGGCAGGUUCUUUGCCGUCUGCCACUGACGGCAAAGUCUUUGCUGUCUGCCACUGUAGGCAAACUGACCAAAUGGGUCAGCUCCCAGGAAGCACAGGUGGACGCCACGUGGCUUCUUUGCCAUCCGCGGCAGACGGCAAAGAGCCCGUUGCCGUCGGUGGUAGACGGCAAAGAGCCUGCAUAUUGGCUCUUUUUUCUGUUUUUUCAUAUACCCAACCAUUUUCACAGCAAAUAGAUGAUACAUAUAUAUUUUUCACAUGGCAAGUUCACAGCAAACAUAUGAGAUAUCCAACACAUAUAAUUGCAUCAUACAUGCAUAGUUCCAUCAACCAUACAUAGCAAGUUCGACAUACAUGCAUCCAACCAUACAUAUUACAAUAGUGUCAUCCUACCAUACAUGCAUAGUUCAUAGAUACAAAGGAAACAUAGUUCAUCCAAACAAGCACUCCAUCUAUGCAAGCUUCCGUGAAGUGAAUGAAUUCUGCAAAAUGGGAAAUAAGAAAGUUAGAAGAAGAAGAUUGGAAGAAGAAGAAGUAGAAGAAGAAUAUAUAUAUAUAUAUGACAUUUAUGCGCUAAUUUAGGUGAAAUUGAUCAUUUGUGAGCUAACUUAGGUGAAAUGGAUCGUUUAUGAGCUAACCUAGGUGCAAUGGAUCGCUUAUGAGCAAACUUAAGUAAAAUGCAUCAUUUUAGAGGUAACCUAGGUAAGAUGGAUCAUUUUGGAGCUAACCUAGGUAAAAUGGGUCAUUUUAGAGCUAACUUCGGUAGAAUGGAUCAUUUAUGAGCUAGGUAAGGUUAAAUGGAUCAUUUUAGAACUAACUUAGGUAAAAUGGAUCGUUUAUGAGCUAACUUAGGUAAAAUGGAUCGUUUUUGAGCUAACUAAGGUGAAAUGAAUCGUUUUUGAGCUAACUAAGGUGAAGGGCAUCAUUUUUGAGCUAACUAAGGUGAAAUGGAUCGUUUUUGAGCUAACUAAGGUGAAAUGAAUCGUUUUUGAGCUAACUAAGGUAAAAUGGAUCGUUUUUGAGCUAACUUAGGUGAAAUGGAUCGUUUUUGAGCAAACUUAGGUGAAAUGGNNNNNNNNNNNNNNNNNNNNNNNNNNNNNNNNNNNNNNNNNNNNNNNNNNNNNNNNNNNNNNNNNNNNNNNNNNNNNNNNNNNNNNNNNNNNNNNNNNNNNNNNNNNNNNNNNNNNNNNNNNNNNNNNNNNNNNNNNNNNNNNNNNNNNNNNNNNNNNNNNNNNNNNNNNNNNNNNNNNNNNNNNNNNNNNNNNNNNNNNNNNNNNNNNNNNNNGGAUCGUUUUUGAGCUAACUAAGGUGAAAUGGAUCAUUUUUUAGCUAACUAAGGUGAAAUGGAUCGUUUUUGAGCAAACUUAGGUGAAAUGGAUCAUUUAAGAGCUAAUUUAGGUGAAAUGGAUUGUUUUUGAGCUAACUAAGGUGAAAUGGAUCGUUUUUGAGCAAACUUAGGUGAAAUGGAUCAUUUAAGAGCUAAUUUAGGUGAAAUGGAUCGUUUUUGAGCAAACUUAGGUGAAAUGGAUCAUUUAAGAGCUAAUUUAGGUGAAAUGGAUCGUUUUUAGCUAACUUAGGUGAAAUGGAUCGUUUAGGAGCUACUCUAGGUAAAUUGGGUCAUUUUAGAGCUAACUUGGAUAAACUAGAUCACUUAUAAGCUAACCUAGGUAAGAUGGGUCAUUUUGGAGCUAACUUAGGUAAAAUGGAUCGUCUAUGAGCUAACUAAGCUAAUUAUGCAAUUUUUGACAUAAGUAAGCUAAGUAUAGAUUGUUUUAGAGCUAACUUAGGUAAAAUGGAUGGUUUUGGAGGUCAGUAAGCUUAUUUAGUCAUUUUGGAGGAGAAGAAGCUAAGUCUACGUCAUUAUGGUAAGCAUUGGAGGAAAUAAAGCUAAGUCUAGGUCUUUAUGCAUGUGUUAAGCAAAACACUAGAUAAACUUACCAAGAUCCAGGAGGUGUAGGAGUGGGGUGGCUCGUGUCGGUAGCUGGAGAAGGAUCGUGCGAUGCUUGUCUGGAGUUACGCUGCACCAAAGAUCAUUUCCAAUGUCUUGUUAGCAUGAUGACACUCAAAUGUUAAGACUAGUAAGUAAUGUCCAUUCAAAUAAAACUCACCGUGGUCCCAGGAGCAAUCACUGGCAUCGGCGGAGCGGUCUGACCUGUCUUCUCGCACACAGACUGCACAUUUGGUUUUGACGACUCAGUCAUACUAGUUAGUAAUGAGACAAACACUACAUGAAUGUUUUGGCUAAUCUGCAGAUGAAACUUACCACAAGGAGCUCGUACAUGGCCCUUGCCUGCAUGUCAUUCCGUGCCCUCUCCUCCUCCACCAUCUUUGUCGUCCUCUCCUCCAACUCCCGCUGCCUCUCCGCCGCCUCCGCCAGAAGUUUCUCCGUUCUAUCUCUCUCACUCUGUAUGGCAGCCUGCAACACCACUCACAUGACAAUUUGUAAUCAUUGAUGGAAGCGCACACAAUGUAAUGGAGAAAGAUAACUGAGUAUGUAUCACUAACCUUGAUGGCGACUUGCACUGGCCGUUCACGAGGCCUUAUCUUAGGAGCGGAGCUCGACUGGCGCGCCUUGAUCUCCGAGAGAGUGCUAGGACAACGGAUAAGUCCAUCUCCAAUGGCUAUGGAGCCAUGGGACCUCCCGUCACCAGAUAUCAUCAACAGCUCUGGAUCAAUGGGACCCUGGCUCGGGUUAAAGUCCUCCCCUUUCCUCGCCUUCCCCUCAUCUCUAUAUCUCACGAGCUUGUUGUGGGAGGAGAUGUUGGUGAAGUUGUUUGCAUCAUCGAGGUCAGACUGAGAGAAAGCCUUGACUUUCUUGAAAGAGGCAGUGUGGGCCAUGGCAUACAGGUCGUACACCUCUGGCACCUUAUCCGCCUUAUUAUAGCAUGCCUGAAAGAGAGAAACAAUGAAAAUUAGUAAUUAAAGGGCUCAAGCUAGCAUGAUGAAUGAAUUGCAUGAAUCAUGAAGCAAACCACAUACCCAGUUGCGCCCGAACUGAUAUAAGUUGGAGCUGCCUUGAUGGUGUGGCACACCUUCCAUUUUUGCACGUUUGUCCUUGGCCUCCUUGUGGGGGGCUAGCCAUCGUUGUGAGCACCACUCAUCGACCAACACCUCCCAACAAUCCAUCCGAUCCGCACACCAUCUCGGAGGCGCCUAAGUUAGCAAAUAGAAACUUGAGCGCUACGGCUAAGAAUUACUAAAUGAAGGAACUUAAGUAGAGAAGGCCUUGAGAAUUACCUUCAUGUAAUGCUCCUUACUCAGGAACUUAUCGCAGCAUGCCGGCUUGGUCUUCUUGAUACCACGCAAGGCGUAGUAGUCUCGAACAGCCUGCACCCGAGCCUCGUGCCGUAAGUUCUGGAGUAGGCGCUUGCAGACGUUCUCGAUAACAUGUGCCGCGUCCUCCUCGUAUCCCUCCUCACACCUGUAGAAUGUCUGCAAUCAAAUGAGACAAUGUUGAUUAGUACAAUUAAUAACUAGCUAGUUGAAGAUUUUUAAAUGUGUAAAGGAGAAAUUACCCAGAACUUUCUGAUCACCAUGUCUGCCCUCGUGUCACACACGACACCGUCGAUAAUCUCAUUUGGCAGGGCCGGGGCAGCCACGUAGUGCUCCCAGCUCAAUCCAAGCUCUGGAAGCCGACCCUCACCAGGCAACGUGACAAACCCCGGGAAGUUUUGCCGGCAAAGAACUCCAAGGACGGAGUUGGGCCGGCGGACACUAUGAUGGUGGUCCCAACCCCUGCAGCAUGACAAGGCCAACGCAUUAGUUAUUUGAAAAAAUGUGAAUGCACAAGGUACAAAAAUAUUAAAUGCACUUACGUACCUCUCCCCAUCAGGGAAAAUCAACCACCUCUGCUCGCGGGUCACCGGCACGGACGGGAGCCGUGUAGCACCACGCUGGUAGACGGUGCCCCCCUCCUCCUCAAGAUCAGUCGGCUCCCCGCCAUCAUCAGCAUGACCACUCGGCUCCUUGGGCUGAUCCGGCCAGGUACCCCAUCCGGACGUGUGCUCCUCCGGGGUCAUGUGGGCCGAACUCUCGUGGGCUGAAGACCCGUGGACCGGAGGCUCAUGGACCGGAGUUCGUGUAGCCUCCUCCUCGGACGAGUCCACCCUAGCAGUCACGUGCUUGGGUGAAACGGUUGGGGGUGGCGGCGAGGAAGGCACCGUAGCAGUCACCCUACCUCCUCUCCCAGGACCACGUGCCCCACCUCCUCUCUUCCUACCUCGUCCCCUGCUGGGCACCAUGGUCGACGAAGAAGGGCCCGGCGGUGUGGCCAUACUGUCCAGCAACGCUCGGCGGAGAGGUGCGUCUGGAAUGGAAGACCUCAGACCACGCUCCCGACCAGUGCCCACCAUCUUUCAACACCUGCCAUGACAAACAGUAAAUGAAAUUAGUACAACAUAAAAAAGGACCGACAUGAAUAAUAAUAUGUGUAUCACUUAAGUGUAUCAUCAUCAAGUACAACAUAAAAAAAUGUAAUACCGGACACUACUAAUAAUCUCGAUCAGUAUCAUCAAUAAAUGCAUAAUCAUCAUCAUCACUAUAAUCAAUGACGGGCUCAUAGGGUUCAUUGGCAUCAACAUGUGCAAGGCCACCUUGACGUAAUCGGUCAAGCAUUGACAGGUCAUCCGCAGCAGUAACCUCUUCUUGUUCCGGCUCUUCUUGUUCCUCCUCUGGGGUGAUGUCGGAUUCAUUGUCGCUGUCUACUUCAAUGUUUUGGGGUGAAGUAUAGCGGUUCUUGAAACGCUUUUUGGAAAGACGUGUCUCUUGGAAGAAUUCUCCUUCAUAUGUGUCUGGGUUAAUGUGAGGUUCAUAAUCCUCUUCCUUUGCGGGAGAAAGUCUAGCACGUGGCGGCACUUCAUAAACGACAUCCCAACCUUUCAGAUUUGGAUUAGUUUGGCAGGCCCACGGUAGAUAGAAUACUUGGGUCGCCUGUUGAGCCAUAAUAUAGACAUCAAGAACAUCUAAACGAGUGCUUUGGUUGAUUUCAACUAGCCCUACAUGUUCAUGAGUCCUUCUAGUCUCGUUUGGCUGAAACCAAUAACAUUUGAAGACUACGACAUUUUGUGGGUUUUCACCAUAGAACAGAAGUUCAUAAAUUGCUUCAACUCUCCCAUAAUACUCGGUACCUCCUUUGCCGAUAGCAGAUACACAACAAUUUGUUGACUUUGGGUCCGCCAUAGAUAGCUCUUUGCCAUAGGUACGAAAGCGAUACCCGUUGAUGUCGUACUUGUCAAAUGAACGGACCUUAUAGUCAAAACCAUUAGCGACUUGUCUCAAUUCGGCGUCCAUAGAGUCUGGAUUAGCCUACAGGUUUAAUAUGAAAGGAUUGUUGCAUUAUGCACAAAUUAGCGAAUGAAAUGAAAUUGUCUAAUAGAAAUUACCGUUUGUUUGAACCAAGAGAUGAAACCGGGAUAGCCACCUCCUUGCUUUGCGAGAAGCUCAUACUCUUCGACAGAAUCCUUUUGGAUCUCCGCUCCAUACGAGAAUAUGGUGACGUAUCGACUGUAUGACAUAUCCAGGAAUAAGAGUAGUUCAAAGGAAAUAGAAGUUGCGAAACAAUGUAUCGAGAACUUACUCGAUGUACGGCCGCACUUCUAUCAGGUUGUUGAAGAUAUACAAUGAAAUGGUCCGCCAUUCUUUGUUAUCCAAAGAUACUGGAUGUGAAACACCAGCUGGUGCGAGAUUCCCUUUGAAUAGGCUGAGGUUGGAUCCACCCUUUUUAGGCUCGUCAGCAUUGUACCGAGGCUUCGGAUUAUGCAAAUGACGAUUUUUGGCUUCGUAGUGCGCUGUUACGAAGUUUGCCACCUCCUCUGUGAUGAAUGCCUCAGCCAUCGAUGCUUCAAUUCUACGUUUAUUUUUACAUUUUUCUCGAAGCGUGUUCUGCAUCCUCUCAGUUGGGUAGCACCAACGAUUUUGCACGGGCCCCCCCAAUCUUGCCUCGGUCGGGAGAUGCAAAAUCAAAUGCUGCAUUGGAUUAAAGAAGCCCGGUGGAAAGAUUUUCUCUAACUUGUAGAUCAACUCCGGCGCCAACUCUUCCAUUUCUUCUAGCACGCCAGGAGAUAGUUAUUUCGCACAAAGAACACGGAAGAAAUAGCUGAGUUCUGCCAGUACUAGCCAUUCAUCCUCAGGGAUGAAGCCACGCAACAUCACCGGCAUUACCCGCUCAAUCCAUAUUUGCUCCCCUCUUUAGAUUCGCUGCAUACCCAUCGGGGAACAUCAACUGCUGUUGCACCCACAAGAGAAUUUCCCUCAUAGCUGGCCUUCCAAGAUUGAACCAUGCCUUUGGCUUCGUCUAGUUCUGCUUUCCUUUCGGUUCUUUCAUGUUUUGUAACGGCCUAUCACAUAGCGCCUCCAGAUCGACUCUAGCCUUAGUAUUAUCCUUUGACUUCCCAUCCAUGCCGAACAAUGUACCAAAAAGUGCCUCGGUGAUAUUCUUCUCAGUGUGCAUCACGUCGAUGUUGUGUGGGCAAAGGAGGUCUUUGAAGUAAGGCAGAUCCCAUAAGCAUGUUUUGUGAGUCCACGCAUGCUUAGUAUUAUACCCCUUGAAGUACCCUGGACAUUGUGGAUCUGGCUCGAGAGCGUUUAACUGAUCCAGGGUCUGUUGGCCUGUCAAUGCAGGUGGUGCAGAGUUUUUGACAACUCUACCCCUGAUGAAGUUCUUCUUGUCUUCCCUGAACUUAUGGCGAGGAUCCAGGAACUGUCUAUGCAUGUCGAAGCAAGAAAACUUGCGACCGGCCUGAAGCCAACGAAACUCAAGAGCUCCCUGGCAUGUGGGGCACGGGAACCUUCCAUGCACACACCAGCCAAUGAAUAGCGCAUACGCCGGCAAGUCAUGCGUCGAGUACAUGUACUAGACACGCAUUAUGAAGUUCCGUUUGCUAAAGGCAUCGUAUGUCUUGAACCCAUUAUCCCAAGCUUCUUGCAAUUCGUCCUUAAGCGGCUGCAUGUACACAUUCAUAUUUUUGCCCGGAUAGUUGGGUCCUGGAAAUAUCAACGUUAGGAAAAUGUUCUUUCUUUGCAUAAUCUGUGCGGGGGGGAGAUUGAGUGGAAAGACAAAUACGGGCCAACAACUGUAUUGGGCUGCCAUCAUACCAAACACACUGAACCCAUCCGUGCUGAUGCCGACUCGAGAAUGCCUCGGAUCUGCCGCUUUGUCAGCAUGUAAUUCAUCAAACUUUUUCCACGCAACACCAUCCGAUGUGUGUACCAUCAUCAGAUUCCCAUCUGCAUCUAGUGCGGUUCUUUUGCCUGUUUUGUGCCAUGUCAUCUGUCUGGCCGUCUCUUUGACCAUGAAAAGACGUUGAAGUCUUGGUACAAUUGGCAUAUACCGAAGAACACUAACGGGGAUUUUGGUCUGUGUCUUCUCACCCAUACCGUUGUCUACCACAAUAUACCUGGAAGACUUGCAAAUGGGACAAUAGUUCAAGUCCGCAUAGUCAAGCCUAAAUAAGGCACAUCCUUUCUCACAGGCAUGUAUCUUCUCAUAGGGCAUCUUCAGUGCAUGGAGGAUUUUGUCCGACUGGUACAGGUUUGCAGGCAUUACAUGUCCUUUGGGUAGAAAGCGUCCAAAUACUGUCAUAAUUGCGUCAUAGCAUUCUCUACCCAAGUUGAACUGAGCCUUCAGAGCCAUUACUUGUGAGAUGGCAUCCAACUGACAAAGCUCAGUGUGCUCGCGGAGCGGACGUUUCGAAGACUCCAACAUUUCAUUGAAGGCCUUUGCAGAUUCCUCCAUCUCCUCGUCCGAAUCCCGAGCAUCAUCAUAGUCUUGCACCAUGUUUUCCAUCCCGGUACCAUGCUCGUCGGUGCGACGACGAUCCACCUCAGCUCGGUCACGUUGGGCAGACUCACCAUGAAAUGUCCAGACCGUAUAAUCGGGCGUAAAACCACUCUUCUGCAGGUGUUUGCCCAUUUCAGCCUCUCUCUUCUUUUCCCAAUUGCCGCACCGGAAAUAGGGGCACCAGGUUUUCUUUUGGCCAUUUGCAAAUGCGGCUUGCACAAACCCCUUAGUUUUUGUGAACCAUUCAGCGCUCCAUUUGUUCUGACCAGUGUGACCGGUAUACAUCCAAGCACGGUCACUCAUCUUGACUUUCAGAGCUACUGGACACACAACAAUUAUAUAUGUAAUUCACCAUGUAUAUAUUCAUCAGUUGAUCUACUGUGUCAAUUUUAUUACGUCCAUGCAACCUACACUCUAAUAGGUAAUGAUAGGUCCUAAUCCCACCCGUGUAUGUGUAGAUUGGGUUCAUUUUCCCAUGCUAUGCUCCGGAUCCGACGCAAAAUUUCGGCAGCACCUCCCCGUUAUUCUCCUGAUACACGUCUCUGCAAUAAACAGAGAGGAUGUGUACCCGGAGAACAACAGGGGAGGCACUGACGAAAUAUAUGCGUCGGAUCCGGAGCAAAGCAUAUGGGAAAACGAACCCAAUCUACACAUACUCGGGCUGUCCAUGGAUAGCGUUGGACAAUUCGAAAGAAUCAAGGUUAUAAAUAUGCAAAUGCAUGCAUAUUUAUAAAUAUGACGCUUUCGAAUGGGAGACACAUAUUGGUUACGCAUACUGAUGAUUCAAGACACAUAUAUAGCUAGCUAUCAAGUUUCAUCGGAAUAGAUCAAAUAAUUAAUGGGGGAGGAGGACUUGUCAUUUGUGCUCACCCACGAACGAAGGGCAGAGCUCGUCAAACGCACGGCGAGGUCGUCGAACACCAAACCUCGCAGCGAUGAAACAACUGCACAUUUAAAACUACACGAUCAACACAAUUAUAUAUGAUGUUUUUCAUAACUAAAUCGAAAAAUAUAUAACCUAACUAAUAAUUCACAAAUAUAUGACCCCGUCGGCCUCUGGAAGGCCGAAGAACACCUUAAUUUUCGGGAGGUGUCGGUGGUCGGGGUGCCCUGUCGGUGUCGGGGUGCCGUGUCGGGGUCGGGGUCUCGGGGUCGGGGUGUCGGGUCGGGGUGCCNNNNNNNNNNNNNNNNNNNNNNNNNNNNNNNNNNNNNNNNNNNNNNNNNNNNNNNNNNNNNNNNNNNNNNNNNNNNNNNNNNNNNNNNNNNNNNNNNNNNNNNNNNNNNNNNNNNNNNNNNNNNNNNNNNNNNNNNNNNNNNNNNNNNNNNNNNNNNNNNNNNNNNNNNNNNNNNNNNNNNNNNNNNNNNNNNNNNNNNNNNNNNNNNNNNNNNNNNNNNNNNNNNNNNNNNNNNNNNNNNNNNNNNNNNNNNNNNNNNNNNNNNNNNNNNNNNNNNNNNNNNNNNNNNNNNNNNNNNNNNNNNNNNNNNNNNNNNNNNNNNNNNNNNNNNNNNNNNNNNNNNNNNNNNNNNNNNNNNNNNNNNNNNNNNNNNNNNNNNNNNNNNNNNNNNNNNNNNNNNNNNNNNNNNNNNNNNNNNNNNNNNNNNNNNNNNNNNNNNNNNNNNNNNNNNNNNNNNNNNNNNNNNNNNNNNNNNNNNNNNNNNNNNNNNNNNNNNNNNNNNNNNNNNNNNNNNNNNNNNNNNNNNNNNNNNNNNNNNNNNNNNNNNNNNNNNNNNNNNNNNNNNNNNNNNNNNNNNNNNNNNNNNNNNNNNNNNNNNNNNNNNNNNNNNNNNNNNNNNNNNNNNNNNNNNNNNNNNNNNNNNNNNNNNNNNNNNNNNNNNNNNNNNNNNNNNNNNNNNNNNNNNNNNNNNNNNNNNNNNNNNNNNNNNNNNNNNNNNNNNNNNNNNNNNNNNNNNNNNNNNNNNNNNNNNNNNNNNNNNNNNNNNNNNNNNNNNNNNNNNNNNNNNNNNNNNNNNNNNNNNNNNNNNNNNNNNNNNNNNNNNNNNNNNNNNNNNNNNNNNNNNNNNNNNNNNNNNNNNNNNNNNNNNNNNNNNNNNNNNNNNNNNNNNNNNNNNNNNNNNNNNNNNNNNNNNNNNNNNNNNNNNNNNNNNNNNNNNNNNNNNNNNNNNNNNNNNACUAAAUCUAAACCUAAAACAAAACUAAAACUAAACCUAAAACUAAAACUAAAACUAAAUCUAAACUAAAACUAAAAAGGAAAAAAACAGAAAAAAAAUAGAAAAAAGGAGGUUGGGGCUCACCUUCUGCAGCGCCGGUGGAGGAGGGGGCGGGGCGGUGGAGGAGCUGGCUGGGGCGCGGGGCGGCCUGGGGCGGCGCGGGGCCGGGCCCGAUGCGGUGGGGCGCGGGGCGGCGGUGCGUGCGGACCCUAUGGUUCGAGAACAAUGUAGACAUGACCGAGACACGUCUCCGGUCAAUAACCAAUAGCGGGACCUGGAUGCCCAUAUUGGCUCCUACAUAUUCUACGAAGAUCUUUAUCGGUCAGACCGCAUAAUAACAUACGUUGUUCCCUUUGUCAUCGGUAUGUUACUUGCCCGAGAUUCGAUUGUCGGUAUCCAAUACCUAGUUCAAUCUCGUUACUGGCAAGUCUCUUUACUCGUUCCAUAAUACAUCAUCUCACAACUAACAUCUUAGUUAUAAUGCUUGCAAGGCUUAUGUGAUGUGUCUUACCAAGAGGGCCCAGAGAUACCUCUCCGACAAUCGGAGUGACAAACCCUAAUCUCGAAAUACGCCAACCCAACAUCUACCAUUGGAGACACCUGUAGUACUCCUUUAUAAUCACCCAGUUACGUUGUGACGUUUGGUAGUACCCAAAGUGUUCCUCCGGCAAACGGGAGUUGCAUAAUCUCAUAGUCAUAGGAACAUGUAUAAGUCAUGAAGAAAGCAAUAGCAACAUACUAAACGAUCGGGGGCUAAGAUAAUGAAAUGGGUCAUGUCAAUCAGAUCAUUCAACUAAUGAUGUGACCUCGUAAAUCAAAUAACAACUCUUUGUUCAUGGUUAGGAAACAUAACCAUCUUUGAUUAACGAGCUAGUCAAGUAAAGGCAUACUAGUGACACUCUGUUUGUCUAUGUAUUCACACAUGUAUUAUGUUUCCGGUUAAUACAAUUCUAGCAUGAAUAAUAAACAUUUAUCAUGAUAUAAGGAAAUAAAUAAUAACUUUAUUAUUGCAUCUAGGGCAUAUUUCCUUCAGUCCAGUGUUCCAUGCCGGGAUUACUUUGGUACCUUCCUACCAAACUUACGGCAAGGUUUACAUCAGGUCUGGUACACAGCAUAGCAUACAAGAUAGACCCUAUGGCCGAGGCAUAGGGGACGACACUCAUAUUUUCUCUAUCUUCUACCGUGGUCGUGCAUUGAGCCGUGCUCAAUCUCGUACCUUGCAAUAUAGGCAAGAACCCCUUCUUUUACUGAUCCAUUUUGAACUUCUUCAAUAUCUUGUCAAGGUACGUACUCUGUGGAAGACCAAUGAGGCGUCUCGAUCUAUCUCUAUAGAUCUUGAUGCCUAAUAUAUAAGCAGCUUCUCCAAGAUCCUUCAUUGAAAAACACUUGUUCAAGUAGGCCUUUAUGCUUUCCCAGAAUUCUAUAUCAUUUCCCAUCAACAAUAUGUCAUCCACAUCCAAUAUGGGAAAUUCUACAAAGCUCCCACUCAGUUCUUGUAAAUGCAGGCUUCUCCAUAAGUCUGCGUAAACCCAAACGCUUUGAUCAUCUCAUCAAAAUGAAUGUUCCAACUCCGAGAUGCUUGCACCAGCCCAUAAAUCGAGCGUUGGAGCUUGUACACCUUGUCAGCAUUCUUAGGAUCGACAAAACCUUCUGGCUGCAUCAUAUACAAUUCUUCCUUAAGGAAACCAUCAAGGACUGUUGUUUUGACGUCCAUUUGCCAUAUCUCAUAAUCAUAGAAUGCGGCAAUUGCUAACAUGAUUCGGACGGACUUCAGCUUCGCUACGGGUGAGAAAGUCUCAUCAUAGUCAACCCCUUGUACUUGCCGAUAACCCUUAGCGACAAGCCGAGCUUUAUAGAUGGUCACAUUACCAUCCGCGUCUGUCUUCUUCUUAAAGAUCCAUUUAUUUUCUAUGGCUCGCCGACCAUCGGGCAAGUCAGUCAAAGUCCAUACUUUGUUUUCAUACAUGGAUCUUAUCUCGGAUUUCAUGGCUUCCAGCCAUUUCUCGGAAUCCGGGCCCGCCAUUGCUUCUUCAUAGUUCGAAGGUUCACCGUUGUCUAACAACAUGAUUUCCAAGACAGGGUUGCCGUACCACUCUGGUGCGGGACGUGUCCCCGUGGACCUACGAAGUUCAGUAGCAACUUGAUCUGAAGUUUCAUGAUCAUCAUCAUCAACUUCCUCUCUAGUCGGUGCAGGCACCUUAGGAACAUUUUCUUGAGCUGCGCCACUUACCGGUUCAAGAGGUAAUACUUCAUCAAGUUCUACUUUCCUCCCACUUAUUUCUUUCGAGAGAAACUCUUUCUCUAGAAAGGACCCAUUCUUGGCAACAAAGAUCUUGCCUUCGGAUCCGAGGUAGAAGGUAUACCCAAUAGUUUCUUUAGGGUAUCCUAUGAAGACGCAUUUUUCCGAUUUGGGUUCGAGCUUUUCAGGUUGAAGUUUCCUGACAUAAGCAUCGCAUCCCCAAAGUUUUAGAAAUGACAUCUUAGGUGUCUUCCCAAACCAUAAUUCAUACGGCGUCGUCUCAACGGAUUUCGACGUAGCCCUAUUUAAAGUGAAUGCGGCAGUCUCUAAAGCAUAGCCCCAAAAUGACAGCGGUAAAUCAGUAAGAGACAUCAUAGAUCAUACCAUAUCUAAUAGAGUGCGAUUAUGACGUUCGGACACACCAUUACGCUGAGGUGUUCCAGGCGGCGUGAGUUGUGAAACUAUUCCACAUUUUCUUAAGUGUGUGCCAAAUUCGUGACUCAAGUAUUCUCCCCCACGAUCUGAUCGCAAGAACUUGAUUUGCCUGUCAUGUUGAUUCUCAACCUCACUUUGAAAUUCCUUGAACUUUUCAAAGGUCUCAGACUUGUGUUUCAUUAAGUAGACAUACCCAUAUCUACUCAAGUCAUCAGUGAGGGUGAGAACAUAACGAUAGCCACCACGAGCCUCAACACUCAUUGGACCGCACACAUCAGUAUGUAUGAUUUCCAAUAAGUUGGUUGCUCGCUCCAUUGUUCUUGAGAAAGGAGUCUUGGUCAUUUUACCCAUGAGGCAUGGUUCGCACGUGUCAAAUGAUUCGUAAUCAAGAGACUUUAAAAGUCCAUCUGCAUGGAGCUUCUUCAUGCGUUUGACACCUAUGUGACCAAGGCGGCAAUGCCACAUGUGGGACUAUCAUUAUCAACCUUACAUCUUUUGCUAUUCACACUAUGAAUAUGUGUAACAUUAUGCUCGAGAUUCAUUAAGAAUAAACCAUUCACCAAUGGAGCAUGACCAUAAAACAUAUCUCUCAUAUAAAUAGAACAACCAUUAUUCUCGGAUUUAAAUGAGUAGCCAUCUCAAAUUAAACGAGAUCCUGAGACAAUGUUCAUGCUCAAAGCUGGCACUAAAUAACAAUUAUUGAGGUUUAAAACUAAUCCCGUAGGCAAAUGUAGAGGCAGCGUGCCGACGGCGAUCACAUCGACCUUGGAACCAUUCCCGACGCGAAUCGUCACCUCGUACUUCGCCAGUCUCCGUUUAUUCCGCAGCUCCCGCUUUGAGUUACAAAUGUGAGCAACUGCACCGGUAUCAAAUACCCAGGAGCUACUACGAGUACUGGUAAGGUACACAUCAAUUACAUGUAUAUCACAUAUACCUUUAGUGUUGCCGGCCUUCUUGUCCGCUAAGUAUUUGGGGCAGUUCUGCUUCCAGUGACCACUUCCCUUGCAAUAAAAACACUCAGUCUCGAGCUUGGGUCCAUUCUUUGGCUUCUUCCCGGCAACUUGCUUAGCGGGCGCGGCAACUCCCUUGCCGUCCUUCUUGAAUUCUUCUUACCCUUGCCUUUCUUGAACUUAGUGGUUUUAUUCACCAUCAACACUUGAUGUUCCUUUUUGAUUUCCACCUCUGCUGAUUUCAGCAUUGAAUAUACCUCAGGAAUGGUCUUUUCCGUCCCCUGCAUAUUGAAGUUGAUCACAAAGCUCUUGUAGCUUGGUGGAAGCGACUGAAUGAUUCUGUCAAUGACCGCGUCAUUCGGGAGAUUAACUCCCACCUGAGUCAAGCGGUUAUGCAACCCAGACAUUUUGAUUAUGUGCUCACUGACAGAUCUAUUUUCCUCCAUAUUACAGCUGAAGAACUUGUCGGAGACUUCAUAUCUCUCGACCCGGGCAUGAGCUUGAAAAACCAUUUUCAGCUCUUCGAACAACUCAUAUGCUCCGUGUCUCUCAAAAUGCUUUUGGAGCCCCGGUUCUAAGCUGUAAAGCAUGCCGCACUGAACGAGGGAGUAAUCAUCAGCACGUAACUGCCAAGCGUUCAUAAUGUCUUGGUUCUCUGGGACAGGUGUGUCACCUAACGGUGCUUCUAGGACAUAAUCUUUCUUGGCAGCUAUGAGGAUGAUCCUCAGGUUCUGGACCCAGUCCGUAUAGUUGCUGCCAUCGUCUUUCAGCUUGGUUUUCUCCAGGAACGCGUUGAAAUUGAGGACAACGUGGGCCAUUUGAUCUACAAGACAUAUUGUAAAGAUUUUAGACUAAGUUCAUGAUAAUUAAGUUCAUCUAAUCAAAUUAUACAAUGAACUCCCACUCAGAUAGACAUCCCUCCAGUCAUCUAAGUGAAACAUGAUCCGAGUUAACUAGGCUGUGUCGGAUCAUCACGUGAGACGGACUAGUCAACAUCGGUGAACAUCUUCAUGUUGAUCGUAUCUUCUAGACGACUCAUGCUCGACCUUUUAGUCUUCUAUGUUCCGAGGCCAUGUCUGUACAUGCUAGGCUCGUCAAGUAAACCUAAGUGUAUUGCGUGUGUAAGUCUGGCUUACACCCGUUGUAUUCGAACGUUAGAAUCUAUCACACUCGAUCAUCACGUGGUGCUUCGAAACAACGAACCUUCACAAUGGUGCACAGUUAGGGGGAACAGUUUCUUGAAAUUAUUUCGAGGGAUCAUCUUAUUGAAGCUACCGUCGUUCUAAGCAAAUAAGAUGUAAAACAUGAUAAACAUCACAUGCAAUCAAAUAGUGACAUGAUAUGGCCAAUAUCAUUUUCUCCUUUUGAUCUCCAUCUUCGGGGGUCCAUGAUCAUCAUUGUCACUGGCAUGACACCAUGAUCUCCAUCAUCAUGUCUUCUUGAAGUUGUCUCGUCAUCUAUUACUUCUACUACUAUGGCUAACGCUUUAGCAAUAAAGUAAAGUAAUUACAUGACGUUUAUGUUGACACGCAGGUCAUAAAAAAUAAAGACAACUCCUAUGGCUCCUGCCGGUUGUCAUACUCAUCGACAUGCAAGUCGUGAUUCCUAUUACAAGAACAUGAUCAAUCUCAUACAUCACAUAUAUCAUUCAUCACAUCCUUUUGGCCAUAUCACAUCACACGACACAUGCUGCAAAAACAAGUUAGACGUCCUCUAAUUGUUGUUGCAAGUUUAUACAUGGCUGCUAUAGGUUUCUAGCAAGAACGUCUCUUACCUAUGGCAAAACCACAACGUGAUAUGCCACUUUCUAUUUACCCUUCAUAAGGACCCUUUUCAUCGAAUCCGAUCUGACUAAAGUGGGAGAGACAGACACCCGCCAGCCACCUUAUGCAACUAGUGCAUGUCAAUCGGUGGAACCAGUCUCACAUAAGCGUACGUGUAAGGUCGGUCCGGGCCGCUUCAUCCCAUGAUGCCACCGAAUCAAGAUAAGACUAGUAACGGCAAGCAAAGUGACAAUAUCCACGCCCACAACUGCUUUGUGUUCUACUCGUGCAUAGAAACUACGCAUAGACCUAGCUCAUGAUGCCACUGUUGGGGAAUGUAGCAGAAUUUUAAAAUUUUCUAUGCAUCACCAAGAUCAAUCUAUGGAGUCAUCUAGCAAUGAGGGAGAGAGGAGUGCAUCUACAUACCCUUGUAGAUCGCGCGCGGAAGUGUUCAAGAGAACGGGGUUGAUGGAAUCGUACUCGUCGUGAUCCAAAUCACCGAUGACCAAGUGCCUAACGGACAGCACCUCCGCGUUCAACACACGUCCUUUUGGGAAGACGUCUCCUCCUUCUUGAUCCAGCAAGGGGGAAGGAGAGGUUGAUGAAGAUCCAGCAGCACCACGACGUGGUGGUGGAUGCAACAGGAUCCCGGCAGGGCUUCACCAAGCGGAAGCGGGGAGGAGAGGUGUUACGGAGGGAGAGAGAGGCGCCAAGAGCAAGGUUGCGGCUGCCCUCCCUCCCCCCCUCUUUAUAUAGGGGCCAUGGGGGGGCGCCGGCCCUAGGAGAUGGAUCUCCAAGGGGGGCGAAGGCCAAGGGGUGGCUCCCCCCCCCCCAAGCCAAGUGGGGGGCGCCCCCACCCCUAGGGUUUCCCAACCCUAGGCGCAGGGGAGGCCCAAGGGGGGCGGACCAGCCCACUAGCGGCUGGUUCCCCUCCCAAUUCAUCCCAUGGGGCCCUCCGGGAUGGGUGGCCCCACCCGGUGGACCCCCGGGACCCUUUCGGUGGUCCCGGUACAAUACUGGUGACCCCCGAAACCUUCCCGAUGGCCGAAACUGUACUUCCUAUAUAUAAAUCUUUACCUCCAGACCAUUCCGGAACUCCUCGUGACGCCCGGGAUCUCAUCCGGGACUCCGAACAACUUUCGGGUUACUAUAUACUAAUAUCUCUACAACCCUAGCGUCACUGAACCUUAAGUGUGUAGACCCUACGGGUUUCGGAGACAUGCAGACAUGACUGAGACGCCUCUCCAGUCAAUAACCAACAGCGGGAUCUGGAUACCCAUGUUGGCUCCCACAUGCUCCAUGAUGAUCUCAUCAGAUGAACCACGAUGUCGAGCAUUCAAUCAAUCUGUAUACAAUUCCCUUUGUCAAUCAGUACGUUACUUGCCCGAGACUCGAUCAUCGGUAUCCCAAUACCUUGUUCAAUCUUGUUACCGGCAAGUCACUUUACUCAUACCAUAAUGCAUGAUCCCGUCAUCAACCACUUGGUCACAUGAGCUCAUUAUGAUGAUGCAUUACCGAGUGGGCCCAGAGAUACCUCUCCAUCAUACGGAGUGACAAAUCCCAGUCUCGAUUCAUGCCAACCCAAUAGUCACUUUCAGAGAUACCUGUAAUGUAACUUUAUAGUCACCCAGUUACGUUGUGACGUUUGGCACACCCAAGGCACUCCUACGAUAUCUGGGAGUUUUGUUGGAAAUAUGCCCUAGAGGCAAUAAUAAAAGCAUUAUUAUUAUAUUUCCUUGUUCAUGAUAAUUGUCUUUAUUCAUGCUAUAAUUGUGUUAUCCGGAAAUCGUAAUACAUGUGUGAAUAACAGACACCAACAUGUCCCUAGUAAGCCUCUAGUUAACUAGCUCGUUGAUCAACAGAUAGUCAUGGUUUCCUGACUAUGGACAUUGGAUGUCAUUGAUAACGAGCUCACAUCAUUAGGAGAAUGAUGUGAUGGACAAGACCCAAUCAUAAACAUAGCAUAAAGAUCGUGUAGUUCGUUUGCUAGAGUUUUUCCAAUGUCAAGUAUACUUUCCUUAGACCAUGAGAUCGUGUAACUCCCGGAUACCGUAAGAGUGCUUUGGGUGUACCAAACAUCACAACGUAACUGGGUGACUAUAAAGGUAUACUACGGGUAUCUCCAAAAGUGUCUGUUGGGUUGACACGGAUCAAGACUGGGAUUUGUCACUCCGUAUGACGGAGAGGUAUCACUGGGCCCACUCAGUAAUGCAUCAUCAUAAUGAGCUCAAAGUGACCAAGUGUCUGGUCACGGGAUCAUGCAUUACGGUACGAGUAAAGUGACUUGCCGGUAACGAGAUUGAACGAGGUAUUGGGAUACCGACAAUCGAAUCUCGGGCAAGUAACAUACCGAUUGGCAAAGGGAAUUGUAUACGGGGUUGCCUGAAUCCUCGAUAUCGUGGUUCAUCCGAUGAGAUCAUCGUGGAGCAUGUGGGAGCCAACAUGGGUAUCCAGAUCCCGCUGUUGGUUAUUGACCGAAGAGUCGUCUCGGUCAUGUCUGUCUGUCUCCCGAACCCGUAGGGUCUACACACUUAAGGUUCGGUGAUGCUAGGGUUGUAGGAAUAUGUAUAUGCAGUAACCCGAAUGUUGUUCGGAGUCCCGGAUGAGAUCCCGGACGUCACGAGGAGUUCCGUAAUGGUCCGGAGGUAAAGAAUUAUAUAUGGGAAGUGCUAUUUCGGCCAUCGGGACAAGUUUUGGGGUCACCGGUAUUGUACCGGGACCACCGGAAGGGUCCCGGGGGUCCACCGGGUGGGGCCACCUAUCUCGGAGGGCCCCAUGGGCUGAAGUGGGAAGGGACCCAGCCCAAAGUGGGCUGGGGUGCCUCUCCCCUAGGGCCCAUGCGGCUAGGGUUUGGGGGAAACCCUAAAAGGGGGCGCCCCCUUGCUUGGGGGGCAAGCCCCCCACCCCUUGGCCGCCGCCCCCCCCUCCCCCUAGGAAAAUAGAUCUCCUAGGGCCGGCGCCCCCCCCCCUUGGCCCUCCUAUAUAUAGUGGGGGAGGGAGGGCUAUUCUCUCAUGCCUUUGGUUGCCUCCCUCUCCCUCUCCGACACCUCCUCCUCCUCCAUAGUGCUUGGCGAAGCCCUGACGGAGUUCUGCAGCUCCACCAUCACCACGCCGUCGGUCUGCUGCUGGAGCCAUCUUCCUCAACCUCUUCUUCCCUCUUGCUGGAUCAAGAAGAAGGAGACGUUACGCUAACCGUACGUGUGUUGAACGCGGAGGUGCCGUCCGUUCGGCGCUAGGAUCUCUGGUGAUUUGAAUCACGUCGUGUACGACUACUUCAUCCACGUUCUUUGAACGCUUCCGCUCGCGAUCUACAAAGGUAUGUAGAUGCAUCCGAUGACUCGUUGCUAGAUGAACUCAUAGAUAGAUCUUGGUGAAACCGUAGGAAAUUUUUUGUUUUCUGCAACGUUCCCCAACAGUGGUAUCAGAGCUAGGUCUAUGCGUAGUUCUUCUUGCGCGAGUAGAACACAAUUUGUUGUGGGCGUAGAUGUUGUCAACUUUCUUGCCGCUACUAGUCUUAUCUUGCUUCGACGGUAUUGUGGGAUGAAGCGGCCCGGACCAACCUUACACGUAUGCUCACGUGAGACAGGUUCCACCGACAAACAUGCACUAGUUGCAUAAGGUGGCUAGCGGGUGCCUGUCUCUCCUACUUUAGUUGGAGCGGAUUCGAUGAGAAGGGUCCUUAUGAAGGGUAAAUAGAAGUUGAAAAAUCACGUUGUGGCUUUCACGUAGGUUAGAAAACGUUCUUGCUAGAACCCUACUUCAGCCACGUAAAACUUGCAACAACAAUUAGAGGAUGUCUAACUUGUUUUUGCAGCAAGUGCUUUGUGAUAUGAUAUGGCCAAAGUUGUGAUGAAUAAUACAUAUGUGAUGUAUGAGAUGUUCGUGCUAUUGUAAUAGGAAUCACGACUUGCAUGUCGAUGAGUAUGACAACCGGCAGGAGCCAUAGGAGUUGUCUUUAUUCUUUUAUAUGACCUGCGUGUCAUUGAGAAACGCCAUGUAAAUUACUUUACUUUAUUGCUAAACACGUUAGCCUUAGUAGUAGAAGUAAUAGUUGGCGAGCAACUUCAUGGAGACACGAUGAUGGAGAUCAUGAUGAUGGAGAUCAUGGUGUCAUGCCGGUGACAAGAUGAUCAUGGAGCUCCAAGAUGGAGAUCAAAGGAGCUAUGUGAUAUUGGCCAUAUCAUGUCACUAUUAUUAUUUGAUUGCAUUUGAUGUUUAUCAUGUUUUGCAUCUUGUUUACUUAGAACGACGGUAGUGAAUAAGAUGAUCCCUCAUAAUAAUUUCAAGCAAGUGUUCCCCCUAACUGUGCACCGUUGCGACAGUUCAUUGCUUCAAUGCACCACGUGAUGAUCGGGUGUUUGAUUCAAACGUUCACAUACAACGGGUGUAAGACAGAUUUACACAUGCAAACACUUAGGUUGACUUGACGAGCCUAGCAUGUGUAUAGACAUGGCCUCGGAACACAGAAGACCAAAAGGUCGAGCAUGAGUCGUAUAGAAGAUACGAUCAACAUGAAGAUGUUCAUCGAUGUUGACUAGUCCGUCUCACGUGAUGAUCGGACACGGCCUAGUUGACUCGGAUCAUGUUAUACUUAGAUGACUAGAAGAGGGAUGUCUAUCUAAGUGGGAGUUCAUUCAAUAAUUUGAUUAGAUGAACUUAAUUAUCAUGAACUUAGUCUAAAAUCUUUGCAAUAUGUCUUGUAGAUCAAAUGGCCAACGUAGUCCUCAACUUCAACGCGUUCCUAGAGAAAACCAAACUGAAAGAUGAUGGCAGUAACUAUACGGAAUGGGUCUGGAACCUGAGGAUUAUCCUCAUAGCUGCCAAGAAAGAUUAUGUCCUACAAGCACCGCUAGGUGAAGCUCCCGUCCCAUGGAACCAAGAUGUUAUGAACGCUUGGCAGACACGUGCUGAUGACUACUCCCUCGUUCAGUGCGGCAUGCUUUACAGUUUAGAGCCGGGGCUCCAAAAGCGUUUUGAGAGACAUAGAGCAUAUGAGAUGUUCGAAGAGCUGAAAAUGGUGUUUCAAGCUCAUGCCCGGGUCGAGAGAUAUGAGGUCUCCGACAAAUUCUUCAGUUGUAAGAUGGAGGAAAAUAGUUCUGUCAGUGAGCACAUACUCACUAUGUCUGGGUUACAUAAUCGCUUGACUCAGCUGGGAGUUAAUCUCCUGGAUGAUGCGGUCAUUGACAGAAUCCUCCAGUCGCUUCCACCAAGCUACAAGAGCUUUGUGAUGAACUUCAAUAUGCAGGGGAUGGAAAAGACCAUUCCUGAGGUAUUUACAAUGCUGAAAUCAGCAGAGGUAGAAGUCAAGAAGGAACAUCAAGUGUUGAUGGUCAAUAAAACCACUAAGUUCAAGAAGGGCAAGGGUAAAAAGAACUUCAAGAAGGACGGCAAGGGAGUUGCCGCGCCCGGCAAGCAAGCUGCCGGGAAGAAGCCAAAGAAUGGUCCCAAGCCCGAGACUGAGUGCUUUUAUUAUAAGGGAAGCGGUCACUGGAAGCGGAACUGCCCCAAAUACUUAGCGGACAAGAAGGCCGGCAAAACAAAAGGUAUAUGUGAUAUACAUGUAAUUGAUGUGUACCUUACCAGUACCCGUAGUAGCUCCUGGGUAUUUGAUACUGGUGUAGUUGCUCACAUUUGUAACUCAAAGCAGGGGCUGCGGAAUAAGCGGAGACUGGCGAAGGACGAGGUGACGAUGCGCGUCGGGAAUGGUUCCAAGGUCAAUGUAAUCGCCGUCGGCACGUUACCUCUAUAUUUACCUUCGGGAUUAGUUGUAAACCUUAAUAAUUGUUAUUUAGUACCAGCUUUGAGCAUGAACAUUGUAUUGGGAUCUCGUUUAAUUCAAGAUGGCUACUCAUUUAAAUCCGAGAAUAAUGGUUGUUCUAUUUAUAUGAGAGAUAUGUUUUAUGGUCAUGCUCCUAUGGUGAAUGGUUUAUUCUUAAUGAAUCUCGAGCGUAAUGCUACACAUAUUCAUAGUGUGAGUACCAAAAGAUGUAAGGUUGAUAAUGAUAGUCCCACAUACUUGUGGCACUGCCGCCUUGGUCACAUAGGUGUCAAACGCAUGAAGAAGCUCCAUGCAGAUGGACUUUUAGAGUCUCUUGAUUAUGAAUCAUUUGACACGUGCGAACCAUGCCUCGUGGGUAAAAUGACCAAGACUCCGUUCUCAGGAACAAUGGAGCGAGCAACCAACUUAUUGGAAAUCAUACAUACUGAUGUGUGCGGUCCAAUGAGCGUUGAGGCUCGCGGUGGCUAUCGUUAUGUUCUCACCCUCACUGAUGACUUGAGUAGAUAUGGGUAUGUCUACUUAAUGAAACACAAGUCUGAAACCUUUGAAAAGUUCAAGGAAUUUCAGAGUGAGGUUGAGAAUCAACGUGACAGGAAAAUCAAGGUUCUACGAUCAGAUCAUGGAUGCGAAUACUUGAGUCACGAAUUUGGCACACACUUAAGAAAAUGUGGAAUAGUUUCACAACUCACGCCGCCUGGAACACCUCAGCGUAACGGUGUGUCCGAACGUCGUAAUCGCACUCUAUUAGAUAUGGUACGAUCUAUGAUGUCUCUUACCGAUUUACCACUAUCUUUUUGGGGCUAUGCUUUAGAGACUGCCGCAUUCACUUUAAAUAGGGCUCCGUCGAAAUCCGUUGAGACGACACCGUUUGAAUUAUGGUUUGGGAAGAAACCUAAGCUGUCGUUUCUAAAAGUUUGGGGAUGCGAUGCUUAUGUCAAGAAACUUCAACCUGAAAAGCUCGAACCCAAGUCGGAAAAAUGCGUCUUCAUAGGAUACCCUAAAGAAACUGUUGGGUAUACCUUCUACCUCAGAUCCGAAGGCAAGAUUUUUGUUGCCAGGAAUGGAUGCUUUCUAGAGAAGGAGUUUCUCUCGAAAGAAGUAAGUGGGAGGAAAGUAGAACUUGAUGAAGUGUUACCUCUUGAACCGGAAAAUGGCGCAACUCAAGAAAAUGUUCAUGAGGUGCCUGCACCGACUAGAGAGGAGGUUAAUGAUGAUGAUCAUGAAACUUCUGAUCAAGUUGCUACUGAACUUCGAAGGUCCAUAAGGACACGUUCCGCACCAGAGUGGUACGGCAACCCUGUCUUGGAAAUCAUGUUGUUAGGCAACGGUGAACCUUCGAACUAUGAAGAAGCGAUGGCGGGCCCGGAUUCCGACAAAUGGCUAGAAGCCAUGAAAUCCGAGAUAGGAUCCAUGUAUGAAAAUGAAGUAUGGACUUUGACUGACUUGCCCGUUGAACGGCGAGCCAUAGAAAAUAAAUGGAUCUUUAAGAAGAAGACAGACGCGGAUGGUAAUGUGACCAUCUAUAAAGCUCGGCUUGUCGCUAAGGGUUAUCGACAAGUUCAAGGGGUUGACUACGAUGAGACUUUCUCACCGGUAGCGAAGCUGAAGUCCGUCCGAAUCAUGUUAGCAUUUGCCGCAUUCUACGAUUAUGAGAUAUGGCAAAUGGAUGUCAAAACGGCAUUAAUUAAUGGUUUCCUUAAGGAAGAAUUGUAUAUGAUGCAGCCGGAAGGUUUUGUCGAUCCUAAGAAUGCUGACAAGGUGUGCAAGCUCCAACGCUCGAUUUAUGGGCUGGUGCAAGCAUCUCGGAGUUGGAACAUUCGCUUUGAUGAGAUGAUCAAAGUGUUUGGGUUUACUCAGACUUAUGGAGAGGCCUGCGUUUACAAGAAAGUGAGUGGGAGCUCUGUAGCAUUUCUCAUAUUAUAUGUAGAUGACAUACUUUUGAUGGGAAAUGAUAUAGAACUCUUGGACAGCAUCAAGGCCUACUUGAAUAAGAGUUUUUCAAUGAAGGACCUUGGAGAAGCUGCUUAUAUAUUAGGCAUCCAGAUCUAUAGAGAUAGAUCAAGAUGCCUCAUAGGUCUUUCACAAAGCACAUACCUUGAUAAGAUAUUGAAGAAGUUCAAUAUGGAUCAAUCUAAGAAGGGGUUCUUGCCUGUGUUACAAGGUAUGAAAUUGAGCUCAGCUCAAUGUCCGACCAUGGCAGAAGAUAUAGAAGAGAUGAGUGUCAUCCCCUAUGCCUCAGCCAUAGGUUCUAUUAUGUAUGCCAUGCUGUAUACCAGACCUGAUGUAAACCUUGCCGUAAGUUUGGUAGGAAGGUACCAAAGUAAUCCCGGCAAGGAACACUGGACAGCGGUCAAGAAUAUCCUGAAGUACCUAAAAAGGACUAAGGAAAUGUUUCUCGUUUAUGGAGGUGACGAAGAGCUCGUCGUAAAGGGUUACGUCAACGCUAGCUUCGACACAGAUCUGGAUGACUCUAAGUCACAAACCGGAUACGUGUAUAUUUUGAAUGGUGGGGCAGUAAGCUGGUGCAGUUGCAAGCAGAGCGUCGUGGCGGGAUCUACAUGUGAAGCGGAGUACAUGGCAGCCUCGGAGGCAGCACAUGAAGCAAUUUGGGUGAAGGAGUUCAUCACCGACCUAGGAGUCAUACCCAAUGCGUCGGGGCUGAUCAAGCUCUUCUUUGACAACACUGGAGCUAUUGCACUUGCCAAGGAGCCCAGGUUUCACAAGAAGACAAGGCACAUCAAGCGUCGCUUCAACUCCAUUCGUGAAAAUGUUCAAGAUGGAGACAUAGAUAUUUGUGAAGUACAUACGGACCUGAAUGUAGCAGAUCCGUUGACUAAACCUCUCCCUAGAGCAAAACAUGAUCAACACCAGAAUUCCAUGGGUGUUCGAUUCAUCACAAUGUAACUAGAUUAUUGACUCUAGUGCAAGUGGGAGACUGUUGGAAAUAUGCCCUAGAGGCAAUAAUAAAAGCAUUGUUAUUAUAUUUCCUUGUUCAUGAUAAUUGUCUUUAUUCAUGCUAUAAUUGUGUUAUCCGGAAAUCGUAAUACAUGUGUGAAUAACAGACACCAACAUGUCCCUAGUAAGCCUCUAGUUAACUAGUUCGUUGAUCAACAGAUAGUCAUGGUUUCUUGACUAUGGACAUUGGAUGUCAUUGAUAACGAGAUCACAUCAUUAGGAGAAUGAUGUGAUGGACAAGACCCAAUCAUAAACAUAGCAUAAAGAUCGUGUAGUUCGUUUGCUAGAGUUUUUCCAAUGUCAAGUAUCCUUUCCUUAGACCAUGAGAUCGUGUAACUCCCGGAUACCGUAAGAGUGCUUUGGGUGUACCAAACGUCACAACGUAACUGGGUGACUAUAAAGGUAUACUACGGGUAUCUCCGAAAGUGUCUGUUGGGUUGACACGGAUCUAGACUGGGAUUUGUCACUCCGUAUGACGGAGAGGUAUCACUGGGCCCACUCGGUAAUGCAUCAUCAUAAUGAGCUCAAAGUGACCAAGUGUCUGGUCACGGGAUCAUGCAUUACGGUACGAGUAAAGUGACUUGCCGGUAACGAGAUUGAAUGAGGUAUUGGGAUAACGACGAUCGAAUCUCGGGCAAGUAACAUAUCGAUUGGCAAAGGGAAUUGUAUACGGGGUUGCUUGAAUCCUCGACAUCGUGGUUCAUCCAAUGAGAUCAUCGUGGAGCAUGUGGGAGCCAACAUGGGUAUCCAGAUCCCGUUGUUGGUUAUUGACCGGAGAGUCGUCUCGGUUAUGUCUGCCUGUCUCCCGAACCCGUAGGGUCUACACACUUAAGGUUCAGUGACGCUAGGGUUGUAGGAAUAUGUAUAUGCAGUAACCCGAAUGUUGUUCGGAGUCCCGGAUGAGAUCCCGGACGUCACGAGGAGUUCCGGAAUGGUCCGGAGGUAAAGAAUUAUAUAUGGGAAGUGGUAUUUCGGCCAUCGGGACAAGUUUCGGGGUCACCGGUAUUGUACCGGGACCACCGGAAGGGUCCCGGGGGUCCACCGGGUGGGGCCACCUAUCCCGGAGGGCCCCUUGGGCUGAAGUGGGAAGGGACCCAGCCCAAAGUGGGCUGGGGCGCCUCUCCCCUAGGGCCCAUGCGGCUAGGGUUUGGGGGAAACCCUAAAAGGGGGCGCCCCCUUGCUUGGGGGGCAAGCCCCCCACCCCUUGGCCGCCGCCGCCCCCCCCCCCUAGGAGAAUAGAUCUCCUAGGGCCGGCGCCCCCCCCCUUGGCCCUCCUAUAUAUAGUGGGGGAGGGAGGGCUAUUCUCUCACGCCUUUGGUUGCCUCCCUCUCCCUCUCCAACACCUCCUCCUCCUCCAUAGUGCUUGGCGAAGCCCUGACGGAGUUCUGCAGCUCCACCAUCACCACGCCGUCGUGCUGCUGCUGGAGCCAUCUUCCUCAACCUCUUCUUCCCUCUUGCUGGAUCAAGAAGAAGGAGACGUUACGCUAACCGUACGUGUGUUGAACGCGGAGGUGCCGUCCGUUCGGCGCUAGGAUCUCCGGUGAUUUGAAUCACGUCGUGUACGACUACUUCAUCCACGUUCUUUGAACACUUCCGCUCGCGAUCUACAAAGGUAUGUAGAUGCAUCCGAUGACUCGUUGCUAGAUGAACUCAUAGAUAGAUCUUGGGGAAACUGUAGGAAAAUUUUCUGCAACGUUCCCCAACAAGUUUCACAAUCUCAUGGUCUAAGGAAAUGAUACUUGACAUUCGGAAAAGCUACAGCAGAUGAACUACACGACCUUUGAGCUAUGCUUAGGAUUGGGUCUUGUCCAUCACAUCAUUCUCCUAAUGAUGUGAUACCGUUAUGAAUGACAUCCAAUGUCCAUAGUCAGGAAACCAUGACUAUCUUUUGAUCAACAAGCUAGUCAACUAGAGGCUCACUAGGGACGUGUUGUGGUCUAUGUAUUCACACAUGUAUUACGAUUUCCGGAUAACACAAUUAUAGCAUGAACAAUAGACAAUUAUCAUGAACAAAGAAAUAUAAUAAUAACCAUUUUAUUAUUGCCUCUAGGGCAUAUUUCCAACACCUACGUACCCCCAAACGAUCAUAUACGGAGCCAAAACCCUAAUUCCACCGCCGCAACUUUCUGUAUCCACGAGAUCCCAUCUUGGGGCCUGUUCCGGAGCUCCGCCAGAGGGGGCAUCGAUCACGGAGGGCUUCUACAUCAACACCAUAGCCUCUCCGAUGAAGUGUGAGUAGUUCACCUCAGACCUACGGUUCCAUAGUUAUUAGCUAGAUGGCUUCUUCUCUCUUUUUGGAUCUCAAUACAAUGUUCUCCCCCUCUCUUGUGGAGAACUAUUCGAUGUAAUCUUCUUUUUGCGGUGUGUUUGUUGAGACCGAUGAAUUGUGGGUUUAUGAUCAAGUCUAUCUAUGAAUAAUAUUUGAAUCUUCUCUGAAUUCUUUUAUGUAUGAUAGGUUAUCUUUGAAAGUCUUUUCGAAUUAUCAGUUUGGUUUGGCCUACUAGAUUGAUCUUUCUUGCAAUGGGAGAAGUGCUUAGCUUUGGGUUCAAUCUUGCGGUGUCCUUUCCCAGUGACAGUAGGGGCAGCAUGGCACGUAUUAUAUUGUUGCCAUCGAGGACAACAAGAUGGAGUUUUCAUCAUAUUGCAUGAGUCUAUCCCUCUACAUCAUGUCAUCUUGCUUAAGGCCUUAAUCUGUUUUUAACUUAAUACUCUAGAUGCUUGCUGGAUAGCGGUCGAUUAGUGGAGUAAUAGUAGUAGAUGCAGGCAGGAGUCGGUCUACUUGUCUCGGACAUGAUGCCUAUAUAUAUGAUCAUACCUAGAUAUUCUCAAAACUAUGCUCAAUUCUGUCAAUUGCUCAACAAUAAUUUGUUCACCCACCGUAGAAUACUUAUGCUCUCGAGAGAAGCCACUAGUGAAACCUAUGGCCCCCGGGUCUAUCUUUAUCAUAUUAAUCUCCUACUACUUAGUUAUUUCCUUUGCUUUUUACUUUGCCUUUAUUUUACUUCGCAUCUUUAUCACAAAAAUACGAAAAAAAUUAUCUUUAUCAUAUCUAUCAAAUCUCACCCUCGUAAGUGGCCGUUUAGGGAUUGACAACCCCUAUUCGCGUCGGUUGUGAGGAUUUAUUUGUUUUGUGCAGGUACAAGGGACUCGCGCGUAGCCUCCUACUGGAUUGAUACCUUGGUUCUCAAAACCUAUUUGAUUGCCGUAGCACGAUCGCGCUUCCUCGGGCGCUAUUGUCUCAAAAAUACCGUCGUCCAUCUCCGUGACCUCCAGUCUACUACUCAUGAGCUGGUUUGGGCGCCGUGGCCUCUUUGCUUUCGGUUCUAGACCAGCUCCGCUAGUCUCGGCGCCUGUCUCAGUCUCAUCGCCGAUCUGCAUGUCGGUAUCAGUCCCCGAUGCGACAUCACAGUUGCUGCAACAUGGGAAAGGGAGACCACGUCAGUGCUGGGGGGUCUGAAAAUCGGAACACACUUUCGCGCGUUGCGGGCCGCCUCUCAGACAGCUACUGGGGAGGCGGCGGAGUACCUGGGUGCGCGGCGAAUCCCCGGGAACUCGGUGACCAACUUCCUUCCCGUGUGGCGCAUGGAGACGACGGCGACCCCGGCGAAGAGCAGCUUAGCCGCGAGCUGCACAGCCUCGUCCACCUCCUAAGUUGGGACCUCCGUGCGAGCGUUGCGGGGCCGCCACUCGGAUGGCUUCUGGAAGGCGGUUGUACAUGGGCACAUGGUGAAUCCCGGCGAGAGCUUGCCAUUGGCGCGCUCAAGUAGACGACGACGUCCUCGACGAAGAGCAGCCCGGCCAGCUCGCCUCACUAUCGUUUGAUUAGAAAUGAAAGAUUGGGAAGAAGCAGACUUGAGCCUGCAGGGAAAGGAUAAGGUGACGAUGCAGUCUCCACUCGUUCGGGGCGACACUCGUACUGAAUGUAUGAGAAAUCUGACGUGGCAGAGACCCCAAGAUACUCCCUCCAUUUAUUUUUAGUCUGCAUAUAAAGUUUGGUCAAAGUCAAGAUUUGUAAAUUUUAACUAACUUUAUAAUAAAAAAAUAUCAACAUUCACAAUAUGAAAUCAAUAUUACCAGAUGCGUCAUGAAAUGUAUUUCCAUACUAUAUAGUUUUGGUAUUGUAGAUGUUCAUAUUUUUUUAUAUAUAUGGGAAGUAGAGGCACUCUUCUAUACUAUAUUCAGAUGUAUGAUAUCUGUUAUUUAAGCGCUUGAAUUUUACAUACGAAUAUUUAUUAUUAAAUAUGUACCCCUACAAUAGCUAGGCCGUGCAGUUGCACGGGUAGAUGACUAGUGAUUACAAUCUUGUUUGUGUGCAAGUCAAGCUUAUCUAGUUUACACGUAACAACUUGUAGAACAUUACAAAAUUUAUGCUUGCUAAUAACUUUUAGAACACUACAACACUUGACAUGUAAAAGGAAUUUGACUGAGUCAUGGCCUACUAAAGCAAGUUACAUUACUAGUCUUAUCUAUCUUAACAGACCACACAAGAUUACAAACUAAGUACCGUGACAGCCAUGCUUAUCUAGUUUAUGCGUAACAAUUUGCAGAAAAUUACAAACUUAGUUUCAGAAAGAUAGGCAAUCUAGAUUAGUGUUUGAGCUGUAAAGUGAAUAAGAUGAGUCAUGCAUGUUAUCACACCUUUUUGGUGGUCGAAUGAUAGUGCAACAACAAGGAACUUUAAUGACCAGUCCAAGAAUACACUUGUAAGUAGUGCCACCAAACAGAACAUACCAAAUGAUCAUUCCAUGGCAGCUAUAAAUAGCCCCAUAGCAUGACGAUCAUCCUUCCUCAUCCAUCAUUCUCAUAAGUAGAGCACAUCAUUUAAGCCAAGCAAGUUGUGGUCAAUACAAAUCCACCAUGAAGACCUUUCUCAUCCUUGCCCUCCUUGCUAUCGUGGCGACCACCGCCACAACCGCAGUUAGAGUUCCAGUGCCACAAUUGCAGCCACAAAAUCCAUCUCAGCAACAGCCACAAGAGCAAGUUCCAUUGGUACAACAACAACAAUUUCUAGGGCAGCAACAAACAUUUCCACCACAACAACCAUAUCCACAGCUGCAACCAUUUCCAUCACAACAACCAUAUCUACAGCUGCAACCAUUUCCGCAGCCGCAACUACCAUAUUCGCAGCCACAACCAUUUCGACCACAACAACCAUAUCCACAACCGCAACCACAGUAUUCGCAACCACAACAACCAAUUUCACAGCAUCAACAGCAGCAGCAGCAACAACAACAACAACAACAACAACAACAAAUCCUUCAACAAAUUUUGCAACAACAACUGAUUCCAUGCAUGGAUGUUGUAUUGCAGCAACACAACAUAGCGCAAGGAAGAUCACAAGUUUUGCAACAAAGUACUUACCAGCUGUUGCAAGAAUUGUGUUGUCAGCACCUAUGGCAGAUCCCUGAGCAGUCGCAGUGCCAGGCCAUCCACAAUGUUGUUCAUGCUAUUAUUCUGCAUCAACAACAACAAAAACAACAACAACAACAACAACAACAACCAUCGAGCCAGGUCUCCUUCCAACAGCCUCAGCAACAAUAUCCAUUAGGCUAGGGCUCCUUCCGGCCAUCUCAGCAAAACCCACAGGCCCAGGGCUCUGUCCAGCCUCAACAACUGCCCCAGUUCGAGGAAAUAAGGAACCUAGCGCUACAGACACUACCUGCAAUUUGCAAUGUCUACAUCCCUCCAUAUUGCACCAUCGCGCCAUUUGGCAUCUUCGGUACUAACUGAGAAGAAAAUAACUCUAGUACUAGAUAUAUGAAACACCGUUUUCUCAGUCCAUGGUUUGGUCGUUGUAGCGGUGAAAAAAUAAUGUGGCAUGCACUAUCAUGUAAGAACCCAAACUAUACUAGUUCAAACUUGGGAAUAAAAGACAAACACAGGUCUUGUCUACAUAUUUAUGUUGCAUCUAUUUAUAUAUUAAAAGUAAUAUAAGGUGAACCAGGAGCAAGGUAAAUAUGCUAGAAAAUUGCACGUUAAUUAGAAAUUACUAGCCCUCAAUCUGGUAAAUCUUAACAAAUAGAAUUAUCUUGACCGUUAGAUUUAUGUAACAUAUAUAAUGCUCUGGGCCUCCAACGACUGUACGUGACACAUCUGAACGCACAUAUCUUAAAGAAAAUAUAUUUGGUAAAUGGUGGGCCUCUUUAAAAAGAGAACUCACGUACAUGCACCAACUAAGAAAAACACAUACAUGUAAACGGGAAAAGGAUGAGAUUUUCUCACGUACGUGCUCCCUGGCUCCACCCCGUUGAAAAAAUAUACAUCUGGAGGCCACUUUGUUUCCUCAUCAAAAAAAAACUUACGUUAAAAAGAUUGCAUGCAUCCCAGGGAAAAUAGUCAAGAAGAAGUCGGCUCUUCCUUACAAAAACAAGGAACGUGUUAAGUUGACUUCAAAGAAAAAAGGAACAUGUUAAGUUAAAAAAAACAAGAAACCUGUUAAGUUAGAAAAAAACAAGGAACGUGUUGUCCUAGGAAAGAUAUGUGUCAAAUCUUACAAAAAAAAAGAAUACACACACGUACGUUCAUGCACUUGGAAAAUAGAAAAAAAAGGAACAUCACGUAUGUAUACACUUCGGAAACUCAUUACAUGACCAUGUCUGAUAUACUCCUCUAAUGCUUAAUAUUAGUGCCUAAUAAUUUAUAUUUAAAAUUUAAUUUACUGAUCAAAUAUCCCCACUGUAUAAAUUUUAAUUUGGCACAUUGUUUGGCUAUAGUAUGAACCUAAAUUUCCUCUUAUUAUUAUAUAUCAUGGUAAUAAUCCAAAGGCGACUAAUCUGCGCCGGCGCACCGGCGCAAUCAAUUCGGCCCGACACAGCGCGGCCGUUUGAUUAGAUUGCAUUUAACCGUCAGAUCUGGAAUCAUUUUAUUUCCAAUUAAACGGAUUCAACCAAACAGCAGAGAGGAAAACAAAGCAGCGCCGCCGCCAACACUAGCCAUGGACGACCGAUGUAGCAAAACCUUGAAGAACCGCCGCCGGUCGCCACCCUUGCCGCUGGUCGCCGCCCUCGCCGCCUGUGUUUCUCAUCGGCUUCAUGCAUGCAACAACAUGCACUCGUGAUUGCAGGCUUGCAGCUCCGGCUCUGGGGGACAUGGCCGCAUCUCCAGUAGCGCCGGCCGCCGGCCGCAGCACCUGUCGUUGUGGUCACGCUGUACCUCGCCGUGUGCCCUCCCAAGGAUCUUGCUGGUUCCAACAAAAAACGAUACCUGUUGUAGCAAAAAAGUUUAUCGCUUCCAGCAAAAAAGCUUACCGCUACAGCCCGCCAUCAUCAUUGUAGCAAAAAUGUUAACUCGAUGUAGCUUCUGUGGUUGCCGACUGCAGCCAAAAAUGACGUGGUUGUAGCAAAACACAAAAGAAAAACUCCGGCCGUCCGCUGUGUAUGGUGGUAACAAACCCUAUAGCCGGUGGUAGCGAAAAACUUCAUUGUUUGCAGCAAAAAAAUGUUGUCGCCCAUCGUCGAGGUUGCAUCAUCUUCAUGAAUUAUGUCGCAAAAAAACGUUGUCGCCGGUAGUAGCAAAUGAAGCCGCCGGUAGAAACAAAACAAGACACUGGUUCCAGCCAAAAAAAAAUCAGCGACAGAACCUUUUGUUGGUUCCAACAAAAAAACUUGUCGGUUGUAGCAUCCCUCGCCGCCGGAUGUAGCAUCUCCCAGGGCUGGUUGCAACACUCCAUAAAAAAAGGUUGUCUACGAGCGCAUCCAUGGCAACUGCUGCACCGUCAGCAACGAGGGGAAGAGGAGGCAAUGAAAAUCGUUCGAGUCGUAGCUCCACAGGACGCGGGUGCAGCAUAGGGAGUCCAAAAAUCUGUCACAAGCAAGAUGCGCCUUGCCAUCCUCCUGCGCAGGAGAGAGAAGAAAAAGGAAUAAGAGGAAGAAGAAAGGAAACGGGAGAAAGAAAAAAAGAAACGAUUGGUUGUGGGCUCAGGCAAUUAGUCAAACGAGGGGCACGCGGGGCCGCAGGAUACAGCGCAAUCGAACGAAGUGCGCGCGUCUGGCCGAAGACUCAGCUGGACUGCCGGCUGGAAAUGUUUCCCUAAUACAAAGGCUUUUCUGAAUGACAAGUCGUCUGAGUUAUCGGCUAACUAGAAAAAAGAUAAAUAUGCUAGAUAAUUCCAUAAUCAUUAGAAAUAUCUAGCCUUUAAUUAUGUAAAUCAGAAAAUCACAACCGUUGGAUUUACUUUAAAGGUAAAUUUCUCUAAAUUCCCACCAUUGCCAGUAUGUAGAAACAUGUGCUGCUUCAAUUCUCCCUUAAUCACCAAUCAAUCAACAACAGAAAACAUACCGCAGUUCAAAAAACUGAACAAAAAAAAGAAAAAAAGAAGAAAGGACAAGAUACACGCAUGUACACGACAGCCUUGGCUUGAAACACAUCAGUAAAUCAAGUGUCCACCUCCCUUACACAGAAUAAAUUCUAGGGAAGAAAAUAAUAGUGCAACCUAACCUUAUACGUACUAUUCUAUCCUCACGUCCCAUGAGGUUUACUAGCCUACUGCCGCCGCAUCAUGCCAUCCUCUCCUUUCAGCUCCCAUGCUCUCCAGCACCCUCCUUGCGGCGCCACUACUCGCCUAGGGAUAUUGCUGCUCAGACCGUGGAGCUUAACCUGCUUCUUCUUCAGCAAAUAUGGAACUGCUUUAGGAUCCUUCUGACAUCAGCGCGUAUGGGCCUCAUUAUACUGCAGCUCCUGGACCUCCUACAAUUGGUUGGCUAUGGCCAGUUGAUCGAUUUGCUGAUGUCCAGGUCUGUUUGCUGGCACAUAUGCUUUGGAAAUAGGCCACUAUGUUUGUACUUCAAAAUUGUUUCUGUAUUCUUUAGUGGUACAUCCUUUUAAGCGCCAGUUUUUUAUGUUAAUUCAUGCUGACAACACUUAACCUAGCCUUUCAUGUUCACGUACUAAAUACAGGAGCAAGUAAAAACAACAGACCACCUAAUUGCUCUGCAAGUUCUACAUAGGAAAAUUUGUCAUGUUCUACGAUCGCACUAUCCCACCCUUCUCUCUUGGUAUGGGCGCCAAUUGAGGGAUUGAUAAAAUUGAAACGAAGCCGUCACAGGGCUGGAAGUACCGCUAGCCUGGUUCGCACUGCAACCUACCCAACGCCAUCAGAAACUAGCAACUGAGUCAGGUGUUGAUCGAUUCUCUCAAAUUGCUCUCAUGUAAGUACUACCCCUUGCAUGUGCGUACAUACCUUUGUUGCAUUCUCAAACAGAUAGAACAUGUAUGAUCGGUGCAUGGCUAUUUUUCAUCACAUGACAUCCAGAUAACAAGCAUGAAAGGACUACAUUGGAGAUCAAAAAAUAUUGGUUCCUGGCUAGAGUACCACUACCUAUGGACUUGUCUCCAUAGAAUUUGUUCCCAAGAUGUUAUUUUAAUUAACCUCUUUAGCUUUCUUCCAUUGCAAACGGUGAUGUGCAUCUUGGUAUAUACGUGACCAUCUUGCACAUGUAUACACAAGAGGCUCAGACGGAGGUGUUGGAUUCUGGACGAGGGAAUAUAAAGCAGGAGUGAGCGAAGUGUAAAUAAUGGUGGGAGUACCGAUUGGUGUUAUGAAGAAAAAUGCCAUCAAAAGAUUGAUUAGUGUCAUGGAAGAUUAAUUUCUGAAUGCGAAUAUAUAUGUUACAUUGGUUUGGAUCUUUUUGAGAUAAUUGCACCUAAAUUAGGUUCUUUCUUAUUUCAUAUGUAUACCUUAUUUCAGUAAAAGUUCACAACGAACUUAGUAGGACAAAUAUAAUUUUGUUUGUUCUUUCUGUUGUCCGCCACCAAAGCUCAAUUUGAACUCUCUAGAAAUGGACAAUGAUUUAUGCAUUCUAUAUCUUCUUGAUUGAUUAGCCAUGACAAGGAAAUAAAAGGAUUGACUGAUAUAGCAUAACUUUGGAACGAUUAGAGGUUACUACAAAUAAGAGUAGUGUCUGUUGGAAUUUUGCUAGUAGGCCUUUGGCCCAAAGCCCAACUAAAAUUCUGAAAUUCUCUUGGCUCAUUUAUACACACAUGUGAGUUGAGUGAGUGAGACUAAAGUUUAGUCCCACCCCGGAAGUUGAGAGAGAGUUGCACCUCUUUAUAAGGUGAGCUCUUCUACCACUUGUAUGAGCAUGAGAAGAGGAGACCUACACGCGCGCUCCUCCUCCACGCUCGCCACGCCUCGUCGCGCCGCGCCGUGCCGCGGGUUGCGGGAUUGAGCCGAGCCGAGGACGUUUUCUAUAUUUUUGCUGCUCGGGAAAAAUUAAUGAGUCAUUAAUUAAUAAUUAAUGGACACAUUAAUUACUGAACCGUUUCCGAUUUUUUUGGAUCGUGACGACUCGGACGUGGGGUUUACUCCCAGGACCUACCCGGCCCGCACUAUAUAGUCAGGAAGAUGUCUACCCUAGCCGCCGCCGCUUCGUAUGGUUUCUCACCAUCGUUACAGAUCAUUGCGCCGCCAAGCAAGUUUUCUCCAUCCCUCCUUUCGGCGUGCACCGGGAGAAGGGACAGCAGACCUCCGGAACCCCGCCUCUCGUGAUCCUAUACGGGAGAGGGGCGAUCAGGUUUUUGGGGAGCGCACUCGCAUGACUGCUUGCAGCGACGACUUCGCAAACGACGACUUCUUCCCCGACCUCGGCAACCUCAUCCUCGACGACAUGGGCGACAACGUCAACGCCGGCGAUGCUACACCCACUGCACCGUAUGUUAUUCUCUCCUUCUUGUUCGAGAUCGUGGUAGAAUUCAUGUUUCUAGUAUAUGUGCCCUAGAUGUGAUCUGUUCAUCUACUAUGGUAGUUCGCAUGAUUAGUUUAAUCUCUGCUAUUGCUGUCAUGAUCUAUUUCCUAUUUAUUCGGAUUAAAUCUCUUUGUAAUUUGCUCAUUUUUCCAACAAUCCAAAAACCUGAUUAUAGGAAAUUUACUCCGAGUGGUUUUGCUGCGCAUCUGAAAGCCGCUUGCCUUUAAGGGGGCGCAAUAUAAGAGGUGGCGCACCAGAGCAGUCUACUGGUUUCAGAUCAUGGGCUGCUAUGACGCCACCAAGGGCAAGCCUGAGGGCGAUCUUAAUCCAGCACAGCUGGAAGCUUUCAAGAAGAUCAAUACCCUCUUUAAAGGCACGCUUCUGAGUGUUCUUGAUGACUCCAUUGUAGAUUCGUAUAUGUCGUUUGACAACGGCAAGAACAUGUGGGCUACGCUCGAGGCCAAGUUUGGUGCCUCGGACGCCGGCAGCGAGUUGUACGUCAUGGAGCAAUUAUAUGACUCCAAGAUGACUGAUGGGCGCCCUGUUGUACAUGGGCGACUUCUUCCCCGACCUCGGCAACCUCAUCCUCGACGACAUGGGUGACAACGUCAAUGCCAGCGGUGCUACACCCACUGCACCGUAUGUUAUUCUAUCCUUCUUGUUCGAGAUCGUGGUAGAAUUCAGAUUUCUAGCAUGUUCCCUAGAUGUGAUCUGUUCAUCUACUAUGCUAAUUCGCAUGAUUAGUUUAAUCUCUGCUAUUGCUGUCAUGAUCUAUUUCCUAUUUAUUCGGAUUAAAUCUCGUAGUAAUUUGCUCAUUUUUCCAACAGUGCCAUCCAAUAGAUGAUGUAAAUCUCCUCAAGUUUGACGUUGUUGAGCUAAUUUACAAAAAAAACCUCAUCAUUAUUGGAUGUCCUUAACAGCUCAAGAACAAGUUGGGGUCGAAAUAAUGGAUUUUACACUUUUACAUUAAAGGUUUAGCUAAAGCAAGCAGGUGUUUUUAAAACUGAAUUUUUUCCUCCUGAAUUUCUUUGUAUUUUCUUAUUGACACUAUUUAUACAAUCAUCUGACAAAGAUUAGCUAAAGCUGUUUGUAGAUACGUUGAAACCUGAAAAGCUUCUUUGGUUAUCCUUUUAAUAGUUCUACGUUUAUUUUCUCAUAGGUCAUAAUUCUUAUGUAAUACCAAGAUGCAUUGUGGUAGUGUACAUGUGUUAAAUUCAGGUUGUUAUUCACAAUUUGCGACAAAAUUUAGCUCACGCUACAUUUAAAUAUGUUGAAAUGUGAAAGCUCUUUUUCUUCUCCUUUCUACACCUUGCAUCGGAUUGCAUCCCUUUAGUUAUCCAACAUUUUGUUCAACAUGUAGAGAUUAGGAAGUUCAUCAUAGUUUGUCUAUUUCCGUGCUAAUAAAUGUAUGAAAUCUGCAUUUCCAAGCUACUAGGACAAGUAAAAAAUAAUAAUUUUACUAGAGGAUUCAAAAACAGCAGUUCUGAAGUGCACUUUAUUUAUUUGUGAAAGUGAUCACAUUUUGUUUCAUUUUUCUAUAGACAAAUCUACUAAUACAUACUCACGAUAAAACUAUAAAAGUUCUAGUCCGCACAUUGGGCGGGCCACCCGGCUAGUUAGUCUAAAGAUAACAAAAUGAGUCUGGAAUUUGAAUUAAAUUGAAGUAUUUUCUUGGACUAUCCACAUCCUUGGCUUGCCCCUGAUCAAUUAUUUCCAGAGAAGCAUUCAAUUCAUCAAUCAAUUACAUUGAUUUUAGUGGCUAGUACAUCACCUCAACAUCAGUAUAUUCACCGUGGCCACUCCAAAUCGGCAAGAAUGAGGUACCAGUGCUCUGGAGAAGUGCAAGCUAAUUGCUUCUCAUGUGAAGGGGUGCGGGCGCGGGAGAGGUAUUUCUGGUGGGCCAAGGGACUAAGAAGCGACCGUGGCAGCGGUACAGAUGCCCGCAAAGCCUCAUAAUUUGUUUUUGGUUUACAGGAAAAAUGCACAUCCAUACUGGCCCGGGGAAUAUAGCACUGUAUUGGAUGGAAAACAAUGUCCGGAUGGUUGUGUGCGGUUUGAGGGUUAGCUUUUGUAACGCCCGGUUAGUUAUGCUAUAGCAAUUCCCUGCUAAUGAUGUCACGUCACCACGAUUACUGUUGUUAACCUCACAAUGAUUCAAUCUCGUUCAAAUUCAAAUUUAAAAUAAAGGCAAACAUCAAAAGUUUUCAAACAUUAAAACUAAAAUCUUUGAGAGGUGACAAAUAAUGCAUAAGUAAUUAUGGUGAAGAAACCACACUUUAAUCAAAUGUUUAAAUACUCUAAAAUGAAAAAAAAACAGUGACUUAAACUAUUAUUUAAAUGCUUUUAAAAUAGUAAAAAUCUUCUAACUAAAUUAUUUGGGUACCAAAACUUUUGGUGGCAGUGGUAUAUUUAGUAGAACUAAUUUAGAUGCUAAUUAUAUAAUUUACAAAAUUAGAGUAAAUUGAAAAAUAGGAUAAAACGAAAAAAGGAAAAACAAAACAAAUAAAAGCAAAAGGGGGCAACCCCUCGCUGGGCCUCGGCCUAGCUGGCCACUAGGCUAGCUAGGCUCGCCCCGCCGCCUCCCUUAACCCCCCACUCCCCGUCGAACCCAAGCCCGAUCGCCCCACUUCCCCCACACCCCCUCGCCGGUCUCCCCACCUCUUGAUCCCAUCUGGAUCGGGGAGGGUAUUGCCCCCAUCGAACCCGUUGCUGUCGCCGGAUCGCCCGCCGACGUCGCCAGGCCUCCUCCCCGUCGCCCGUCUCCGGCUCACCUCCCCUCUCGCUCCUCUUCCCUGACCCGAUCUGGAUCGUGAACGAGCAAUGAGCUCGAAGCCCCCCUUCACCGGCGCCAUCACCGUGCGCCACCACCACCGCCUGAAGACCUCACCGUCGCCGAACCUUGCGUCGCUGUAACACCCUCGAUGCGACUAUAUCUCCCACGUGUCGAGGCACGACUUAGAGGCAUAAUCGCAUUGAAGGCAUAUGUCGCAAGUGAGGUAGUCUUCACACAACCCAUGUAAUAUAAUAAGGGAAAGAGAUACAUAGUUGGCUUACACUCGCCACUUCACACAAUUACAUGAAUAAAACAUUACAUCAACCAAGUACACUCAUGGUCCGACCACGGAACCAAAAUAAAGAAGAACCCCAAAAGCGACAAAGGUCCCCGAUCGACCCCAACUGGGCUCCACUACUGAUCAAUUAGAACGAAACAGCUCAACGGACAAAGUCUUCAUCGAGCUCCUCCUGAGCUUGGUUGCGUCCUGCUCGGACUCAUCGGCACCUCCAAGCUGGUUUUGGAAGUAUCUGUGAGCCACGGGGACUCAGCAAUCUCGCACCCUCGCGAUCAAGACUAUUUAAGCUUAUGGGUAAGGUAAAGGUAUGAGGUGGAGCUGCAGCAAGCGACUAGCAUAUAUGGUGGCUAACCUAUUCGCAAAUGAGAGCGAGAAGAGAAGGCAAAGCACGGUCGAUAAAAGUAUGAUCAAGAAGUGAUCCUAGACUACCUACGUCAAGCAUAACUCCAACAACCGUGUUCACUUCCCGGACUCCGCCGGAAAAAGACCAUCACGGUUACACAUGCUGUUGAUUCAUUUUAAUUAAGGUCAAUUUUAGAUUUUCUACAACCGGACGUUAACAAAUUCCCAUCUGCCCAUAACCGCGGGCACGGCUUUCGAAAGUUCAAAUCCCUGCAGGGUGUCCCAACUUAGCCCAUGACAAGCUCUCACGGUCAACGAAGGAAUAGACCUCCACCCGAGAUAUUCCGAUCAGACUCGGUAUCCCAGUACAACAAGACAUUUCGACAGGGUAAAACUAAACCAGCAACACCGCCCGAUGCGCCGACAUCCUGAUGGGAGCUGCACAUAUCUCGUUCUCAGGGCAACACUGGAUUGUCUAAACUUCCGGUAGGCCAGCCCAGAGUUGCCCCUGGUGGCCACCGGCGGCUGACGGUUUGGACCAACACUUAGACAAGCACUGGCCCGGGGGGGUUAAAAAACGAUGACCCUCAGGAGCGCGACUCCCAAGGGAAAAGAAAAGGCUAGGUGGCAAAUGGUAAAGCCAAUGUUGGGCAUUGCUGGCAAAGCUUUACUUAAGGCGAACUGUCAAGGGGUUCCCAUUAUAGCCCAACCGCGUAAGGGACGCAAAGUCCAGGAACAUAACACUGAUAUGACGGAAACUAGGGCGGCAAGAGUGGAACAAAACACCAGGCAUAAGGCCGAGCCUUCCACCCUUUACCAAGUAUAUAGAUGCAUUAAUUAAAUAAGAUAUAUAGUGAUAUCCCAACAAGUAAACAAAUGUUCCAACAAGGAACGGCCUCCAAUCUUCACCUGCAACUAACAACGCUAUAAAAGGGGCUGAGCAAAGCGGUAACAUAGCAAUUCAACGGUUUGCUAGGACAAUGGUGGGUUAGGGGCUGAACAUGGCAAUUUGGGAGGCUGACAAGCAAGUGGUAGGCAUUGUAGCAAUGGCAUAGCAAAAGAGUGAGCAUACUAGCAUAGCAAAGAUAGUAGUGACUUCGAGGGUAUGAUCAUCUUGCCUGAAAUCCCGCAAGGAAGAAGAACGAGUCCAUGAAGAAGACAAACGGGCGUAGUCGAACGGGUCCUCACAAUCACGACGUUAUCGGAACCAACCCGAAGAAGCAAUCACCGGAAAAGAAGCACACACAACAUAGUAAACACCCAACACAUCAACAUGGCAAGAUGCACAAUCGAGUAUGAUGCAUGUCCGGUUUAAAGAGGCAUGGCAUGGCAAAGUGCACAAACAACCCUACAAAUUAAGUGGAGCUCAAUAUGCAACGGUUGCAUAUUGACGAAACACCACGUCAAUUAUUUAGUUCGAUCUCGUUUAUGUACCCAACAAUAUUAAAUGUUGUUAAAACAUGGCAAGAGGGGAAACAUGAUGAAACUAUCUAAUCUAGGCAAGUUUAAAUGAGGCCGGAAGCAACGAACAACAAUUCCGGAAAAUCCUCAUGUGUAAAUAUUAGGUUAGGUCCUGAUCUGUCCUAAACACAAUUUAAGCGUUGUUUAACAUGCAAGAUGAGGCCACCACGUUAAACUAGGCAAAAUUCUACCCGAUUUACAUAUAAAGAUUAUUAAAAUCGGAGUUACGGUUAAUUAGAUAUGAAUAAAAUCAUUUUAGCAUGGCAUGGGAGCAAACUUAAACAAACAUCAUUUUAGACAUUUUUUAAUUGUUGUUAUCAUGAUGCGGAUGACAUGAACAAGUUUAACGCAAUUUUAAUUAAGACUUGACAAGAGCAUUAUCAUGAAGCAUUGUCACCGUGGUGGAAGGAAAAAGGGGGUGCCACGGCAACGAAUCCGAAAAUGAUGCCAUGGCAACAUAUCGGUUCCGGUAACUCGAUUGAGAUCCCGGUGCAAACGAAAAAAACGACGGGAGCGUGACACGCGAUAGGAGGUGGGGUGAUCCCGGAUAUCGGGUUCCCACAAUAUGGUGACAAAGCAAAAGAGGGGCGACGUGCACCGAACAACUCCGACACGGAGCAAACACGAGCAUUUCAUACAUCACACAUGCAUUCGUUCACGGGCAUCGUUCCGGCGGUUAUACCUUUGAAGCGAGCAUCAUCGAAACGGAUCGAGUUCGACGGUAGGGGUACACGUGUCGACGAGGAAGUAGUUGUACACGGGGUCGUCGUGGGAAGUAGUCAUUCUCGCGAUGGUAGUGGAAGUAGGGGUACAUGACGACGUAGAGGUGCUCGCGACGGUAGUCGUUCACGUUUGCGUUUCACGGGUCUUCGGCGACGGUUGUCGUACAUGGUCCACAAGACGUCGAUCGUUCGGGGUCCGAUUUGCGGAUCUUGCCGACAUGAAGGGGUACUUGGCGUUCUCCGGACUUGCUGGUCUCGUCGAAACGAAGGGGUACUUGGUACAAUCCUCGUAGUCGUGCACUUGUCGUCAAGGGACUAGAUGGAUCCGAGGCUUCCGGAGGCGACGGUAGUGGGACUUGGUGAAUCCGAGUUCUUCAGAGGUCGUCAUGGUACUUGGUGAAAUCCUCGGAGAUGGACUUGACGCACGAAAGGUCUUCGGUGCCACGGUACUUGUCUGAUCACACACGGAGAUGCAUCGAUGGAUCUCUGACUCGUCCUGGCGAUGGACGAACUUGGCGAAAACCCCGAAGGCGGUCUUGAGCUUCCCUGGUUACCGCACCUUGGCAGAGACCAGAGGAACGACGAGGCCAGCGGGCAGCAACCGAAGAUGCCUGAGGUCUGUGGGCGUCCAGAUCAGGUGGCCUUCUGGCUAGGCAAGGACGACGAGGAGGAUGCCGAGGCGCGGGGACGAGGUAGGAGGCGGCACGGGAGCACGGCGCGGGCGUGGGCGCUCCUGGUGGGCGCAGAGGACGACGACGGCAGGCCAUGGCAGGGGCGGAGGCGCGGUUCCCUGGACCGGUAGGGCCGCGGCGGCGCUGUGGUGCCCGGCGGCCUCGGCGACGCGGCGAGGGAGGGGAUCCGGCGGGGCGCGAGGGAGCUCGGUGGCGGCGCAGGCUGCAGUGCCCGACAGAUGGAGGAGGCGCGGCAGGGUGGCUCCGGCCAGGGCACGGCGCGGGGAGCGCAAGACGGCGGCGAGGAGGCCGAUGAGGCUCCGACCUGGUACUUGGAUCGAAGGAGGAGGGAGGAUGAGGGGAGCCGGAGGGAGAUCGAGAGGGGGGUUCGAGCAGCUGGGGAUGGGGAUCGGGCUGCGAGGGAAAAUGGGGGUCGGGCACGAGAGAGAGAGAUCGAGGGGAGAUGGCGGCGCUGCGGGAACGAGAGGGAGAUGAGUGUGGUGCAGGAGCUGGGCUUCGGGCCUUCUAGGGUUAGGAGGGAGUGGGCCAGGGAGGCCGGCCGAGGAGAGAGAGGCCCAGGUGGGCAGGGGCGCGGCCUGCGGGGAAGGAUGGGCCUAGGGAGGCCUGAGGCUGCAGCUGGGCUGGACUCUCUUUCCCUCUUUCUCUAAUUUUCUUUAGCAGCAAAUGAUUAAAGAGAAAGAAAAGAAAGAGGGGGUUAGGGAAAGGAGUCGGACACGCGGAUAAUUUUCCCGGACUCACAAAAUUGCACUUGUUCCGAGAAAAAUGAAGUGGGCAAGAUUGCAAGAAUUAAAUUCAAGGACAAUUGAAUUUAAUUAGAAAGGUUGCACAAGGACUAGGAUUUAGGAGAGUCCAAAAAUGUUGAGAAAUUAGGAGGAGCCUCAAUAAAUGGGAAAAGAGAUGUUGGCAAAGUUUGGGGACCAAACUUGAAGUAGAAAGGGAGUGGGGAUUUUUCCAGUGUGUUUUGGUUAAUUCCGAAAGAAUGGAAUAUUUUAUAAUAGCCCCACUAAUAUCGGGACGAUAUGUUAUAAAGAGAAGUCAUCCUUCCCUCGAUUUAAAUGGAUCGAAGAUCCAUAUGAAUUAUUUAGUUGAGAUGCAAAAGAUUAUGACAUGAUGACAUGAUGCAAUGCACAUGAUGACGUGACAUGGUGCAACACGCAAGCACAUGACAACGCAACAACAUCGAAUAACUGCACGACACCUGGCACAUCGGUCUCGGGGCGUUACAGUCGCCUCCUUGUAUCCCCCCCCUACUCGCAUCCUCAAGCCAGGCCGAGCCCCUUCUCGGCAACGCUGUGAGACGCCCCCGUUUCCCUCCUCUUUCCACCGCAUUCACCGCGCCGCUCGCCGUGCCCGUCGCCGUGCGUGAGCCCACCACCGCACCAGCCCCCGCUCCGCGCACGACCCUACCCGCGCCCGCGCCAUGAUCCCCUUUUCCGCCCUACCUUCACGCGCUCGCCGCGAUCCCGAUGCUCCCCCGCGCCCUCUUUCGGGCGCGCCGACUGCCCCUGUCCUGGUGCUCGCCGCCGUGCCUCGCCACCGCUCUACUGCUACGUUACUACUGCGCUGCGGCCGCCGCCUCUUCCCGCUGCUCCGCUAGCGCCGGAGCUCCCGGUUGGCUCCACCACUGCUCACGUUAAACCGCCGGCCUAAAUGGCCUAACCCCCGGCUAAUGAACCCCCACUAACCCACUGACACCGGGACCCACAUUCCCUAAUUAACCAUUUAAUAAAUUAAAACUCUUAAAUUAACAUUAGUGUAUGACAUGUGCGUCCCCUGUUAAUUAAUAAUUUUACUGCUAGUUUUAUUAGUUUCUGUUUUUUCUGCAUAUUUCUUUUGUAUUUGAACAGGCUUUAUACAAUAAUAUUUAGCGUAUCAUACACAUACAAAUGUAAUCAUAGCAUAUACAUACAAAUAGUCUCAUCAAAUCAUGUCAUCAUCAUAAUCAUCAUCCAUCACAAAGUGGUCUCUCGUCAUCAUCUCGAAAAUAGCGAUACAAGUCUCGAUUACUUGCAACUACAUCGUCAUCCAUCUAAACAAUGAUAUACGCGAGAAGAGCUCUCACUAUGAGUGAGAGCGGAACUAUGCAGUACAUGAGUUUGUAUCCCUCUCUCGCAUUAGCGUGAACCUAAACUAACGACUCGCUGUUGCUCGGAAACCGGAAACCGGUACACCUGGGCCUGACACUCCGGCCACUCGUCGUAUACUCCUGGCGUAGCACUUCUUCGCCAUCGAUGAUCUAUGCACCUGCAUCGUCACAUGAGUCGAUGAUAUGCAACAUAUAUAGUUGAGUAACAGAAAGAGACAGACUUCGCAAAAAUAGAAGCAACAUAUCAUAAGUAUAAAUAACAAAGUUCAUCCUACCCAAAAUGCCCUAACUAGAGUGAUCUUCGCUAGUCGAGGAGGACGGUUUAAUUACAUCACAAAUAACGUUUCGUCGUGCAUAACUCAAAGUUCCGUCAUACAGAAAGUAUGAACUAAACGGACACAUUGUCAUAUUUCGAAAAUCACUCCAACAUAUCGUACCAUCCAUCCAAGUCAAGGAGAGAGUGCCCGAGCUUAGUGAAAGGCUUGUGGUCGAGACGCUGAGCGGCUACGCGUGUUCGAAAGUCUUCCCACGUCAUUUGUCCUUCUUCAUAGAACAUCCCUGUUUUUUCGACGACCUCCUUCAUGAUGAUUUGGACAAGUUCGCACUGGAAGUGAUAUAACUCAUCUCGAAGUGGAUGAUCCUCGAUAUCUCCUAAGUUCUUUGCCCAUUGCAGAAUAUGGGCAUCGCUGAAUUUAGGUGACAUGCAAAGGUUCCGGUGAUCUCGUCUAUACUCCAUCAUAUGGACAUAGAAUCGAUCAUCAAGAGAAUCACUCGGUUGCUGGAUGCAGCUGAAGUGGGUCUUAUGGGCCUGCCGUCCCUUUUCUUCUUGUCCUUGACCUCUCCACCCCGUGCAUCGUAGUAAAACGUAGCACUGUCGAGAAUAGACUUGAUGUGGGUGUAAUCCUUUUUGUUAAUGUUCUUCGACGAGUCCACAGUAUCGGGGGUAGCGGAUAAUGAGGACGGCGCUGAAGGAAAUAUGCCCUAGAGGCAAUAAUAAAGUUAUUAUUUAUUUCCUUAUAUCAUGAUAAAUGUUUAUUAUUCAUGCUAGAAUUGUAUUAACCGGAAACAUAAUACAUGUGUGAAUACAUAGACCAACAGAGUGUCACUAGUAUGCCUCUACUUGACUAGCUCGUUAAUCAAAGAUAGUUAUGUUUCCUAACCAUGAACAAAGAGUUGUUAUUUGAUUAACGAGGUCACAUCAUUAGUUGAAUGAUCUGAUUGACAUGACCCAUUCCAUUAGCUUAGCACCCGAUCGUUUAGUAUGUUGCUAUUGCUUUCUUCAUGACUUAUACAUGUUCCUAUAACUAUGAGAUUAUGCAACUCCCAUUUACCGGAGGAACACUUUGGGUACUACCAAACGUCACAACGUAACUGGGUGAUUAUAAAGGAGUACUACAGGUGUCUCCAAUGGUAGAUGUUGGGUUGGCGUAUUUCGAGAUUAGGGUUUGUCACUCCGAUUGUCGGAGAGGUAUCUCUGGGCCCUCUCGGUAAUGCACAUCACAUAAGCCUUGCAAGCACUGCAACUAAUAUGUUAGUUGUGAGAUGAUGUAUUACGGAACGAGUAAAGAGACUUGCCAGUAACGAGAUUGAACUAGGUAUUGGAUACCGACGAUCGAAUCUCGGGCAAGUAACAUACCGAUGACAAAGGGAACAACGUAUGUUGUUAUGCGGUCUGACCGAUAAAGAUCUUCGUAGAAUAUGUAGGAGCCAAUAUGGGCAUCCAGGUCCCGCUAUUGGUUAUUGACCGGAGACGUGUCUCGGUCAUGUCUACAUUGUUCUCGAACCGUAGGGUCCGCACGCUUAAUGUUACGAUGACAGUUAUUAUGAGUUUAUGCAUUUUGAUGUACCGAAGGUUGUUCGGAGUCCCGGAUGAGAUCACGGACAUGACGAGGAGUCUUGAAAUGGUCGAGACGUAAAGAUUGAUAUAUUGGAAGCCUAUGUUUGGACAUAGGAAGUGUUCCGGGUGAAAUCGGGAUUUUACCGGAAUACCGGAAGGGUUACCGGAACCCCCCGGGAGACUAAUGGGCCUAUUGGGCCUUAGUGGAAAAAGAGAAAAGGGGCAGCCCAUAGCUGGCCGGCGCCCCCCCCCUUUCCCCAAGUCCUAGUAGGACUAGGAGAAGGGGCCGGCCCCCCCUCUUUCUCCUUUCCCCCCGAGAGUCCUAAUUGGAAUAGGAUUGGAGGGAGGAGUCCUACUCCCGGUGGGAGUAGGACUCCCCUGCGCCUCCCUCUCCCUGGCCGGCCGGCCCCCCUUCCUCCAACCUUUAUAUACGGGGGCAGGGGACACCCCAAGACACACAAGUUGAUCCUUGAGAUCGUUCCUUAGCCGUGUGCGGUGCCCCCUGCCACCAAAUUCCACCUCGAUCGUACCGUUACAGUGCUUAGGCGAAGCCCUGCGUCGGUAGUACAUCAAGAUCGUCACCACGCCGUCGUGCUGACGGAACUCUUCCUCGACACUUUGCUGGAUCGGAGCCCGAGGAACGUCAUCGAGCUGAACGUGUGCUAAGAACUCGGAGGUGCCGGAGUAACGGUGCUUGGAUCGGUCGGAUCGGGAAGAAGACGUACGACUACUUCCUCUACGUUGUGUGAUCGCUUCCGCAGUCGGUCUGCGUUGGUACAUAGACAACACUCUCCCCUCUCGUUGCUGUGCAUCACCAUGAUCUUGCGUGUGCGUAGGAAAAUUUUCGAAAUUACUGCGUUCCCCAACAGGCGCGCCCGCCGCUGCGCAAAAUAAGUACACCUCCAAUUAAUUACACUCCAUCGUUCAAAUGAAUGAUUGAAAUCGAAGGAAGGAUAUCUGCGCGGAUGACUUACACGAGAUGAUAAGCCAUGAGAAUCGCCUCCUUGUCCUUAUUGGCAAGCAUGAAAUCGACGAUGUAUUCCUCGCGUAUUCACGGUGCUUUGCACGGACUCCCAAGAAGCCCUCGUGCAUGAAGUACGGGUCAGCAACACAGAUAUGAGGUAUCUGCUCAACCCCGAUGAGGUAGUUCAUGUGCAAGGCAUAAAGGCGGACAAACGUAAAAUCCAGCUUCUUUAAGUGAAACAUGUUGAAGAUGUAAUCGAAUCGAAGGAAAAACUUCUUCGAGGGGAAUGUGUCGACGUACGACAAUUGCCGCGGCACGUUAACCACGUAGAGAGGGUAUCCUGGAUUUUUCGAGGCGAUGAGGCCUUUCUCUAUCCGCAACACGUCGUCAUGAAGUCUCCUUAGAUUGCCGGAUCUGGCCCCUAGUGCUGCUUUCGGUAGGAUUGGUUCACCGGGAUACGCCAUUUUGCCGCUCCGGGGAUAUCUAUACGGUCUUGAACCCGAGGCUGCUGAGGCGGCUGGAUCAUAGAAGCAGCUUUGUUGGCUUUCCUCGGUGUAUUCCUAAGCUUCUUUGCUACCGGAAGGUCGUCUAUAAUAUGUUCAGCCUCCGGAGGCGGCAAUUCAAGCACCGACUCAUGACGCUCAAACCCUUAGUAGGCGCCAGUAUUGAGAUACUAUUGAGUGUCAUUGUCAUCCUCAUCUAUGGCGGUGUCACCAGCGACAAAUGGAGCCUCUUCCUCACCCCGUCCGCUAUCACCCAGCACGACAGCCGGCGCUAAUUGGGUAGGUGGGGUGUUGAUGUUCAUACCUAACUGCGUGCUCGUGUGUGUGCUCCCGGCCGUCUCCAAACAAAGCAGACUCUUUGGCCACAAUAGGACCCACCCAUUGCAAUCACCAAGCCGCUGCGGGAUCUUGUCGUCAUUCCCCCUAGUACCGGAGGAGCCAAAUUCUCCUGGCCUGGUUUGACACUGGCCACGGAAACUUUGAAGAUGUCCAGGGGGAUCGAUCGGCCGUGGAACAAUGGUUCCUUCAGCUUCAUUAUCGUCACCUUCCCCACGUCCACCUCCUGGUAGCGGAUGCUGUACAAUAUGGUGCACGGGGUUAUAUUGGCCUGCAAAGACAUUUCUGUGAUGUGAGAUAUCCGAAAGGCAACGGAAAUGGGAGAUUAUACAUUUAUUGAAGAGGGCCGGUGUGACAGAUACCGUGAGGGCGUCGAGCUCAGCCAAAGACGAAGCACCGCUGAGCACGUCUGGUGUCGGAGCCGGUGCCGGAGCAGGUGCGGGAGCCCGUGCGGGAGCAGGUGUAGGUGCCGGUGCAACGCUAGUUGAGCUACUCCCGAAGAAGUCAGCAAGGGGAAAGUCUGCUGUAUUUUUUUCUGGAUUUUGCAUGCUCCAAUUGAAAACGGCCGGAACCAAGACAGAAGACAUAUCUGGAACCACCUGUUUUGCGGCAGCUAUCGCAGUUGUGACUGUCUCAGAUGAUUUCUUCUCAACCGCAAUCUCAACCUUCUGGUUGAUGUUUUCUUCAGUUAACCUCCGUCUUUCCUUUCUCUCCUCUGUGGUCUCACGGUAGUACUUCUUCCAUGUGGCGCCGUCUUCGACACCGUGCACGCGUCCAUACGACGGCCGAUUCUCCACCGGGAGUCCUUUCAAUAUGUUCAAUGCCCGAUUGAAUGGAGUGUUCCACUUGGGCCUCGCCAACACCUCAGACGGUGAGUCACUUUCGGCUGCAAUCUUGUGCUGCUCUCUCUACAAAAGGAACAAGGAUCGUUUACAAAUAUGACUAAACGUGCAGUCGAAUUGAUCAGAAACUAAAAUUACCGGCAGUCCCAUGAACUUCGUCGUGAUCAGGUCAGUCUUGAAAACCUUCUUGACUGAGUCCCAAUGGUGUCGUGCCCCGAGGACGUCAUGCUCCCGCGGGACGGUGAAGUCCGCCAAGGGGUCUGGGAUGCCCAGACUUUCGCGUUCCGCGUCCUCCUAUGCCCAUAUGGACCUCUUCCCGCCGUAACCACGGCUUCCGAGGUGGUGGCGCCCUAUGUUCCUUUGUUGAAGCCCCUUCAUGUACUUCGACUUUUUUUGGCAGCUUCGGCCUCGCAAGCCGCCUUGAAUUUUUCAAAGUGCUCUCCCGUGAUUGUCGGAUUAUCCUUUACAAUCUCAGAGUAUGGUUCCUUUUUGUCGACAAUCCGAUGUUUCAACCUUGUUUUCCAGGUGCCCAACGCGUCACUAAACUUGGUCAUGGCGUGUUUGUUUAUCUUCUUCAUUGCCGGGUCCUUAUUUGGAUCUUUAUAAUCCAUUUCAUUCCGGCCCGGGAACAACAAUAUCUGGUGCAGCUUCUUUAGGAGAGAGGGCCUCAUAUUAUCUAUCUUCUGUAGUUUCCCAUCAUUGAUCGUGGCAGUUGUCCGUACGAUGCAGCCUACUUGAUUGCCGUAGCACGAUCGCGCUUCCUCGGGCGCUAUUGUCUGAAAAACACUGUCGUCCAUCUCCGUGACCACCAGUCUAGUAGUCAUGAGCAGGUUUGGGCGCCGUGGCUUCUUUGCUUUCGGUUCUAGACCAGCUCCGCUAGUCUCGGCGCCGGUCUCAGUCUCAUCGCCAGUCUGCAUGUCGGUAUCAGUCCCCGAUGCGAUAGGUCGGCCCAGCAACAACAUUCGUUGAUCGUCGGCAAGGCUCAAAAAUUCAUCUGCCGCCAGGUAGACGUGUCGCAAUCACCAGAACCCUAUCCUUCAUCGUUGCUAGCCAUGUUUCCUACGAUUAUGCCUAGUCAAUUAAUUUUAGACCUAAUAAAAUGAAUAAUGACAUAAAACAGGCCAAUGUUUUGCAGGAUUACAACUCAACCCAUUGCAGAUUAGAAAACAAGCCCGUGUGAAUGCACAGGCUGACCACUAGUCUAUCUAUACCUAUACCUACCUAUACUAAUUACAGACUCCCAAGUAAUUCCCACGUUAAUUAGUAAUUAAGAGCCGUUAAUCUUGUGGGACCAAAUUAUUACGACAGUCCACGAUCUCUUUUCUCUCUGUGUAAAAAAAAAGGUCCACGAUCUCUUUUCUCCGUUGUAAAAGAUAAAGGCAACUCAGGUCCACGAUCUCUUUUCACGGUUGUGAAAGAUAAAGACAACUCCCGUCUUCUUCUAAUCUAUAGUUCUAUACCUCCACGACCCCUUCCUCUCCCCAUUUAAAAGGAACAAGCUGAACCAAUAUCUAAGCAUGCAAUUGGUUCCUGUGCGGUCUUGACCUUCCAUCCGUCCACUGCUCGAUCGGCCCUCCCUCAACUACAAGCUGACAAGCCACCAUCGCCAUCCAGCGGCACGCCACCGUUCAUGCAUGUGUUUUUGCCCUUCAAUCUGAAGGAGAUGCGUUGGCUACUCAAGUAACUCUGUUUGUUUUGUUCAAACCAAUUUCGUUAAUUCGGUUCUUUGAUUAUCUUAUUGACAUGGCCUGUGAGUUUUGUGCUAGUGAUACAGGGCCUGUCUACUAGAUUCUCUCCUUGCAACUUCUAUUGUUGUCUCGAUUUGGUGUGGUCAAGAUCCUUGCCCCACCACAAGCAGCACCUUUGCACCAUCGGGGAAAUCUGUCAUAGCAAACAGAGGUAUGUAACAUGCUUUGGUGUUUUCCUCUUUCGUUUAGAUCACUAGAGUUGCUCAACCACACCAUUCAUUGAUUAGUAGUUGGCCUGAGAAGUUGCUCGGUCACCUGCAGCGUCUGAUCCCCUUCUUGACCCUCUCAUUCUGGUCAUUAUCCACCGGCAGGUCAAUGCCAAACGGAUCGUUCGUUGCCGCCACCUUGCGGAGACCGAUGUUUGGCUGCCCUCCUGCCAUCCUGGCGCUCUGGUACCGGUCACUGUGCCGUUGUUCUAGAAGAACUAUGUCACACGAAGCGAGAUAUCUUCUUACUAAUCUGGAACAUAAGUGUUUCUUCUUACUAGGAUUCGCUCACCGGUGCAUUCAUCUCUUUUUGGAAAAUACGGCCUUCAUAUUUCACACGCCUAUACAUGGGUGCUGUCCCAACAAUAAUCCAUCUAAUCCAUGAUGCACAUUCAUGAAGACUGAUGUGACUGAAUUAAUAUAUCAAUCUGGUGCUUCCGGAUCAGCACUUGAAGAAGCAACCCCUUUAGUUCAUAAAUAUAUCAUACGAAAGUCAGGGGAGAAAUCAACUAAGUCAUGUGUGCUUUUCUAAUUAUUUACUAUACACUAAUUCCAUUUUUUCAGUAGAAGGCUAGGAUACGUGGAUUGUGGCAGCACAGAAGUAAACCGAUGAGCUACGUUGGCCGUUCACCAGUCAUCGGAUCAGCAGCCAUGUCGACCAGAGGGACGGAACAGUUCUAUAUUAGGCGAUGGAUACAUGUGGAAGCAACUAAGCAUAUGUGGAUGCAUGUGAUCGCAUAGGUAAGGCCAUAGCUGUUCAAGCCCUACAGGAUCUUUAUUGCUGGUUUUAAUUAUGAGUUUACAACACCAUCUAUACAUACUACUUAUCCAUUUAUUUCCUUACCUUCUUUGUUUCUUUCUCUCCUUGAUCCCCUGUCAAAAGGGCAUCAACAUCCAUAUGCGCAACGGCACACGCAACAAACUAUGACUUCGGUUGCAUGUCCAACGGCAACCACAGUACAUGAUGAUAUCAUGUUUGCUGCAAGACGAAGUACAAGUUCAUAAUUUGGUCUUUUGCAUGGUCCCUUAGUAAAUUCACUUCUGCUUCGGUACACCCCCCCUAAACACAUAGACGGCCCAGAUUAGUCGAUACCUCUUCAUAAGUAAGGGCAUGAUGGUCAUAUAUUAAAAACCAUUCGUCCCCUGUAUAUGUGUACAGUGAGAUGGGCCGGCCCAUCUUUCCCUUUUUUUCUGAUUUGAUCCUGACAGGAAUCGAACCAGAUAGUUCCUGGUACAUAGUUGGACGUGAUAACCAACCAGCCGACUUAGGCACCUAUGGUUAGAUAGUUCUUUCUCGUCCUUUUCUUCUUUCCUCUUUCCUCUUUCUUAUUUCCUUUUUUCUUGUUUUUUCAAACGUUGUUUUGGGUUUUCAUUUCCCUUUUUUUCUUUUUCGUUUUCUUUUCCUUUUUAUGUUCCUUUUGUUUUACCUUUUCUUUUGCAAUGUGCAAAAUUUUUCAGUUUCCUUUAUAAAAAAUUAAUGAACCUUUUUUAAUAUUGAUGAUUUUUUUUUCAAAGUCGAUGAACUUUAUUCAAGAUUGAUGAUUUUUUUCUAAAUUGAUGAACCUUUCUCAAGAUGAAUAUAGUUUUUUCAAAGUAGAAGAUUUUUUUUCAAAAUUGAUAAAAUUUUGCAAAAUCGAUGAUUUUAAAAAAAUCAUGAACUUUUUUCAAAUCCUUGUACUUUUUUUAAUCAAGAUGCAUGGGUUAUUUUUAAUUCAUGGAACUUUUAAUUUACGGACAUUUUGCCAAUCCGCUUAUUUUUUUCAAGUCCAUGAACUUUUCCAAAAGGGCGAACCCUUUUUUAUAGUCAAUGGUCAAAGGUCAAGCAUGUCAAUGGUCAACUUUUUGUCCAGGUUAACCAUGAAGAAGUUUUUUUUUGGUCGAACCACGAAGAAGCGAUCGAGCGUAUGCUCUUGGCGAGCGACAGCUGAUCGCUCCUGUAGUUUGGCCAGCCCAUGAAAGGUGGUGUUCAAGCGAUGUGUCCACUAAGUAGCGCAGAAAGCGGUGACUAGGCGCUCCCACUGUACAGGGAGUAGCGUCGCACAAACCGGCGCACACACCCCUUCGUCCAAGGUCUGGCCCAUUUUCCUUUUCUAUUUUUACCUUGAAAAAAUAGGUGCAUGAAGUAGGAUUCAAACUAUGAACCUUUGUGAUUACUUCCACCCACUAUAACAAACUAGGAUAGCUCACUUCUUGCGUCUAAUUACUUCUUUUUUAGAGCAUCUUCUCAGUCUGUUUUUUCUUUUGCUUUUGUUUGGCCUUUUUAUUCCGUUUUAUUCAUUUUUUAUUUGUCUUUGUUUCUUCUUAUUUUCAUUUUGUUAAAUUCAUGAUUUUUUAAAUCUAUGAGCUUAUUUUAAGGAUGUUGAGAAAUAACAUGCUCCCAGACAAAACCUUCUGGCCUACCGGAUACUCUUUGUAGAACAUGGUAUAGUUUUGGACAUCAUUCAAAUGAUCCCAACUUUUGUAGGAUGGUGGGCAUUUCCCGUGGUAGGCAUCAUUGACAGGUUUGAAUGACUUCUGACACCGUAUGCAAGUUGCGACACGUCCGAUCAUUUAUCGGUCUUUUUUCACCGGAAAAACUCUAGAAAAUGCAAAACUUGUUGAGAAUCCAAAAAACUUAGCUUGGUGUCUUGAAUUGGUCGUACAAGGCCAUGAAAAAAUUUGGGGCCAUUUCAAGGAUGUCAAGAAACAACGUGCUCUCAAACAGAGCCUUCUGGCAACCGAACACCCUUCAUUGAACAUGGUCUAGUUUUGGACAUUCUUGAAAUGACCCCAACUUUUUGAAGUAGAUGAGCAUGCCCAUGGUAGACAUCCAUGUCAAGUUUGAAUGAUUUCUGACACCGUAUGCAAGUCGCGACACGUCCGGCCAUUUAUCGACCUUUUUUGGCCGAGGAAACUCCAGAAAAUGCAAAAUUCAUCAAAAAACAAAACAACUUGGCAUGGUGCACUUAGUUGGCCAUACAAGGUCAUAUAAAAAAUUGGGGCAAUUUCAUGGGUGUGGAAACACAACAUGCUCUCAGACGGAGCUUUCUGACCUACCUGAUGAAGGAAAUAUGCCCUAGAGGCAAUAAUAAAGUUAUUAUUUAUUUCCUUAUGUCAUGAUAAAUAUUUAUUAUUCAUGCUAGAAUUGUAUUAACCGGAAACAUAAUACAUGUGUGAAUACAUAGACAAACAGAGUGUCACUAGUAUGCCUCUACUUGACUAGCUCGUUAAUCAAAGAUGGUUAUGUUUCCUAACCAUGGACAAAGAGUUGUCAUUUGAUUAACGGGAUCACAUCAUUAGUUGAAUGAUCUGAUUGACAUGACCCAUUCCAUUAGCUUAGCACCCGAUUGUUUAGUAUGUUGCUAUUGGUUUCUUCAUGACUUAUACAUGUUCCUAUAACUAUGAGAUUAUGUAACUCCCGUGUGCCGGAGGAACACUUUGUGUGCUACCAAACGUCACAGCAUAACUGGGUGAUUAUAAAGGUGCUCUACAGGUGUCUCCAAAGGUACAUGUUGGGUUGACGUAUUUCGAGAUUAGGAUUUGUCACUCCGAUCGUCAGAGAGGUAUCUCUCGGCCCUCUCGGUAAUGCACAUCACUUAAGCCUUGCAAGCAUUGCAACUAAUGAGUUAGUUGCGGGAUGAUGUAUUACGGAACGAGUAAAGAGACUUGCCGGUAAUGAGAUUGAACUAGGUAUUGGAUACCGACGAUCGAAUCUUGGGCAAGUAACAUACCGAUGACAAAGGGAACAACGUAUGUUGUUAUGCGGUCUGACCGAUAAAGAUCUUCGUAGAAUAUGUAGGAGCCAAUAUGGGCAUCCAGGUCCCGCUAUUGGUUAUUGACCGGAGACAUGUCUCGGUCAUGUCUACAUUGUUCUCGAACCCGUAGGGUCCGCACGCUUAAGGUUUCGAUGACAGUUAUAUUAUGAGUUUAUACGUUUUGAUGUACCGAAGGUUGUUCGGAGUCCCGGAUGUCAUCACGGACAUGACGAGGAGUCUCGAAAUGGUCGAGACAUAAAGGUUGAUAUAUUGGAAGCCUAUGUUUGGAUAUCGGAAGUGUUCCGGGUGAAAUCGGGAUUUUACCGGAGUACCGGGAGGUUACCGGAACCCCCCGGGAGAUAUAUGGGCCUUAGUGGGCCUUAGUGGAAAAGAGAAGAGGCAGCCAGAGAUGGGCCGCGCACCCCUCCCCUCCCUUGGUCCGAAUAGGACAAGGAGAGGGGGCCGGCCCCCUUNNNNNNNNNNNNNNNNNNNNNNNNNNNNNNNNNNNNNNNNNNNNNNNNNNNNNNNNNNNNNNNNNNNNNNNNNNNNNNNNNNNNNNNNNNNNNNNNNNNNNNNNNNNNNNNNNNNNNNNNNNNNNNNNNNNNNNNNNNNNNNNNNNNNNNNNNNNNNNNNNNNNNNNNNNNNNNNNNNNNNNNNNNNNNNNNNNNNNNNNNNNNNNNNNNNNNNNNNNNNNNNNNNNNNNNNNNNNNNNNNNNNNNNNNNNNNNNNNNNNNNNNNNNNNNNNNNNNNNNNNNNNNNNNNNNNNNNNNNNNNNNNNNNNNNNNNNNNNNNNNNNNNNNNNNNNNNNNNNAUCCUACUCCCGGAGGGAGUAGGACUCCUCCUGGCGCGCCUCUCCUAGGCCGGCCGCACCCCUCCCCCCCCUUGAGCCUUUAUAUACGGAGGCAGGGGCACCCCAGAGGAACACAAGUUGAUCCACGUGAUCAUAUUCUUAGCCGUGUGCGGUGCCCCUGCCACCAUAGUCCUCGAUAAUAUUGUAGUGGUGCUUAGGCAAAGCCCUGUGACAGUAGUACAUCAAGAUCGUCACCACGCCGUCGUGCUGACGGAACUCUUCCCCGACACUUUGCUGGAUCGGAGUCCGGGGAUCGUCAUCGAGCUGAACGUGUGCUAGAAUCGGAGGUGCCGUAGUUUCGGUGCUUGAUUGGUCGGGCCGUGGAGACGUAUGACUACAUCAACCAAACGCUUCCGUUGUUGAUAUACAAGGGUACGUAGAUCACAUUCUCCCCUCUCGUUGCUAUGCAUCACCAUGAUCUUGCGUGUGCGUAGGAUUUUUUUUGAAAUUACUACGUUCCCCAACACCUGAACACCCUCAUUUGAACAUGGUCAGUUUUUAGAUAUCCUUCAAAAGACCACAACUUUUCCAAAAAGGUGAGCAUGCACAUGGUAGGCAUAUAUGCCAAGUUUGAACGAUUUUUGACACUGUAUGCUAGUUGCGACACGUUCGGCAAUUUUCGCCAUUUUUUGACAAAGAAAUCUCCAGAAAAUGUAGAAUUUUUAGAAAACCAAAAAACCCUGGCAUGGUGCCUUGAAUUCUUCAUACAAGCCAGUGAAAAAAAAUAGGUCAUUUGACGGAUGUCGAGAAAAAACAUGCUCCCAAACGGAGCCUUCUUACCUACCCCUACACCCUAUGUUGAACAUGGUGAUUUUUUCUACACGAACACAAAAAAAAUGUUCGAGAAAAUUCAAAAAAUUUUCUUUCAAAUUUUUAUUCGUAUUUUUCUUGAAGUUCCAAAUUUAAUAGUGAAUUUUCCUAAAAUGUUAAAUCAAAAAUGUUCGUGUGGAAAAUUUUGUUUGCUCUUUGUAAAAAUGUUUGUGUUUUGACAUUAUGAGCAAUUUGAAAAUACAAAUACAUUCUGAGGAAUUCAUAAAUGUCGCAUUUUGAAGUAAUUGUUCGUAGUUUCAGAAAAUGUCCGUGUUUUCAGUUUUAUAUCUCUUUUAAGAAAAUGUUCGUAUUUAAAAAAAAUUGUUUGUAGUUUCAAGAAAUGUUCUCGUUUUCAAUUCUGCUCUUAUUUUUCUAAAACAAAGUUUGAGAGUCUGAAACAUUGCUCACUAAAGGUUUGAAUUUUAAAAAUAUGUUCACAGAUUUUGAAAUUUUUUGGGUUUAAAGCAUAUUUACUUUGUCAAACAGAAAUUCACAUACGGAAUUUUGAAAAAAAUAAUCGUUUUUGGACUAGUGAUGUUAUGCACUCGCGGGAGCUUGUGUGUUAGAUCCGCGCACCCAUUUUAGUAUUUGUGAAUUGGUGUUGAAGUGUUGCCGCUCUAGCUAAUUCUUUAGGUGUGACACUGCUAUUGUGUCGGUUGCGUUAGGCAGGCGAAGUGGCUAGGGCGUAAUUUUUGUUGAUUUUCCAGCCCAAAUGGAUCGGCCCAGGUUAUCUGUGCCUGUGUCCUGCGAACAUAUGGCACAUUCCAGCGUACGUACGAAAAUGGAUAGGAUUUGUCAAAAGUCUAAAUUACCCAUUAUACGCUUUGUGAGGGGGGUGUAUCGAAGCGUUUCUCCACAUAAAUUAUAUUUGUCCACAUACACCACAUACAUAAAAACAGGUAGAAGCGGUUGCAUGGUGAAAAUGUCCUCUCAAUAUGCAUGCCUAUGAAUACUAUCACCAGAAAGCCAAGGACUAACAAUUAUUCAGGGGUCAAGAUUGAAGACAGACGUCCAAGAUUGGAAGUCGGCCGGCCUAAGAGGGGCAAAACCAUUGUACAUUAUAUUGUAUGGACCUAGCAAGAUCCUAAAGAUAAGUGAUAAUGGAGAUCAUGGGGGCCACCCUUAUAACCAUAUGUCCAAAUGUUCUUAUUUGUUUAUUUUUCUUUUCUCUUUUCGGAAGAAUCCAUCCUGCCUCUAUGGUCAUCCUGACCACUUCGUAUUGUUAUCUAAUCUCCUCCCUUAAUUAAUAUAAAGAAUUACCGCAGCUGAAUUCACUAAAAAAAGUAUUCAGUUUAUUUUAAUUUAUUCAACUAUUAUGGCAUAUCAAUUGGAUUGCAAGUUCUUGGCGGUUGCAUUUGAAUCAUAUUUGAUGUGCACAAAGGCUUCAGUGUCAAGGUGGUCGGACGAGUAUUUAUGUCCAUUAUAUAUGCGUUAGCUUGAGAUCAUCAGGCACCUGUUAUGCAUCUGUCCAGUUAAAAGGAUGUUCAGACUCAGGCUUGCCCUACCAUAUAUGGCUGUGACACUCUGAACCAAGCAAGUUGGUCAUAUAUGUCGAGCACUAUUAACUCUUUGGAAGAAGAUCCACCAAGUACAGAAAACAAAUCAAAUAUCUUCUUAACCUUAUCACCAGAAAAAUUAGCAAGAGAUGAAUAGUAACAUUUUAAAGAAGAAAGAUAUGUUUGAAAAGGGAUAUAUAUUAUGGCGACGAUUAGAACAGCCCUUGACGAAUGGUGCCUAGCCUGCGAAAGUUUCUUAUGAAUAUAGUCAACACUCUAUAUCAACUGUUGUAAGAUUUUAGAAAUAUUUUUGGGGACAUAUGAUACAUGUCUAUUAUACAUAUGAUUCAACAGAAGUUUGAUUGAAUACAUAUUUAAAACGUGACUGACUUCUAUAUGGACGGAGUAUUUCACAAAGGACUCACUGCCAACUGUGUGAAUAUUCCAAGAUAGUUAGUGCACAUAAAUGUUCAAAUCCAUAGCUGCAUAAAUAUACAAAAGCAAUGUGUUAGACCACUACACAUGCUUCUGAAAGGAGGCAAAAAAAUGUAUGCUUGAUUGAUGACCGUUCAUGCAUGAAAUUAAUUUUUGAUUUCUAAUUAUUUUGGUCAUAUAAUGGAAAUAGAGACAUUAUAAAGAUCCAACAGCAUGCUAUCACACACGUGUGAACACAGACACACACAAAUAACAUUUGCCGAGCACUCACAAAUAAAAGGUGUGGCUACUCUUGGGUGUUCUACAGCUGGCUUAAAAAAACACGUAUGAAACAUGAUCCCCAAAAAUCUGAAAUUCGCAACAUAUGAAAAUCCACCCUCAAACAUAUUUCUAGUGUCUCAAUUCUUUUAGUUUCAGAUGGUAUGUCCAGCCAAAGUAGUUGUACACAUACAUUACUAUGUUCUAUUAUUUGAGAUUCUAAGAGAACAUUUAGUAACUAGCCCGUGCGAUGCACGGGUUCACGACUAGUAUAUAUAAAGCUUAAUGGUGCCUAAGAAAGCUCGCACAAUUUUACAGUGGCUAUGGAAAUGUGUUGCCAAACUGAGACAUAAGAUUUUCAUUUGGCAUCCAGAGUUGCAGACCGCUUGUGUUAUCCUUAAUCCAUGGCCACUCUAAUUUUUCCGGCUGGGCCUUCCCUGUGGUACCGCGGCAAGGCUUGCGUGUGUAUAUGUUUCCUUUAACUACCACUAGCACAUAUGCCCAUGCGUGCGUUGCAAUGGGAGAGAUAAUGGCAUAUCCACCAAUAUAUCUAGCAGCAUGACCCAACAACAUCCGAAUGAUGUCACCCGACGACGGCAGGAAGGCACGCACAGAGGUCUAGUAAAAACUCAUCAAUUGUACGGGCAUGGUUAAUUCGCGUGAAUUCAAGGGUGUGAGAUUAGUUAGUGUUGGUCCCACAAUUGAAUUCGGGGGGUGAUUAGUUAGUGUGGGCCCACCCUUGAAUUCACCGGGGGAGACAAAAUAAUUAGGGCGAGGAGAGAUUUACGGGGCUUGGUCCCCAGAUGCGUUGCGGCAGUCAUUAUUCGAGCAUUGCAAUGCUCGCACGUGAGGAGCUCCUUUUCCAAUUGUAUAUUAAGAAGCAUGCUAUAGAUACAAUGUUUUUGAUACAUUUUUGUACGAUGAUCCUGAUCUUAAAGGGCCUUCUAAUUUUUAAAUCUUAAAGGCAUUAUUUGUAAGUUGUCGUGAAAAAAAUCUCGCUAAAAGGGUUGUGUUAGACCAUCUUCAGUACAUUAGAAAUAACGAAUUAUAAUUCCUUGGCAUUUGAACAAACAAUCCCUACUUAUUUACACAUACAAUACUUUUGGUAUGAUUUUGAAAUCUUGAAGGCAUUAUUGUAAGUUGAAGCAAUUUUGAAAUCUCACUAAAAGGUCUGGUAAGCUUUAGAAAUAACUAAUUAUAAUUUUGCAAAAAAAAGAAAUAACUAAUUACUAAUUUUGGUAUGAUUUAUUGUCUGGGUAGUAGUUCCUUUGCAACAUUAUUCUCUCCUUUCUUGAAGGAACUCUUGCCUGCUCCCUCGCCAUGCUCCCAUCCAUGCUCCCACUCCAUCCUAUGGUUGUCCUUUUUUCCUUUUUCUUUCUAAACUAAUCAUCUCCCCCCCUGAUUUUAAGGGGAUGGGGCCGGGCCUUAUUUUGUUCCAAUUAAAUCAUGCCACGUAUGCGGGAGCAUUUUGUCCCUCCUUCUAGCGCCUCCCACUGAAAAUGCCCUAAAAGUUUUUGAGGGAUUUUUUUACUGUGUCCUACUUCACGAAUCACGAGGCAAAUCAAGUAGGCGGCAUGGCCUGGCCGGUGAGUGCCAUUGCACUUACUUGCCCCAGCGAUUUUCCGCCUGCAUUGUAGAAUUCUUUCUCCGAGUCCUGUGAAUUAAAGAUGGUGCAGACAAAAGUAUAUCCUAUAUGCGUACAUGUGCAUGAUCAGAACAUGUUUUUACGUGCGUCUACUAUAAAUCAUGACCAUUUUUAACACAAAUCAUGACCAUUCAUGAUUAGUGAAUCAUACUGUCUUAACUUAUGUGAAAUCAUGUGGAGUAAUAUAAUAUAAUAUAAUAGAUAGAUAGAUCCAUGUUGUAUUAUUUUUUGUUUACAAAAAAUAUCUGUCAUUACACAUUUUGAUUUAUGCAUUUGUUUACAAAAAAACAGUAACAUUUCAUGGUGGAGAGUUUGUAUUGUUUCAUACUGAACACCAAUGUUUUCCCGUAAAAGAAAAUAAUGCCUACGCAUAUGCUUUUAUAUUAUUAUUAUUCUUUCAAACUUAUUCAUAUAGUAUUUUUGAUUGUGCAACCAUAAUUUUUAUUAUCUCUCUCGUUCCACUACAUGCUCUUACUCAAUGAUUUUUUUAUAAUGGGUGUUUUUAUUAACUCAGCCAAAACAUAAUGAGCCACAUCCGGUCUCUGCAUAACUAAGAUGCACACAGCCAAAAGCAGAAGUCUGACAAAAAUAAGAUAAGAAAAUCAACAUAUCGACACCAGUGAGUCAUAUAGUUCCGACACUAUGCCUCUGUUGAAGGACGGGGUGGAGCGAUCUGGAGAUUAUGCUUCCCUCCAUUUUGAGUAAAUACCUCCCUGGCCACUUGUUCCAACCGCAUAGACGCCGCCACGAAUAAUGGUUGGUACUCUGUUCGGUGUAGCAUACACCAUGUAGGAACUGAGUGCUCACUCCUAGUUACUAAAUUAUGUACACACUAGUAGAAAAAGGGCCAUUUGUCCCGGUUCGUAAGGCCCAUUUGUCUCAGUUAGGGAACCGGGACUAAAGGGUCGGUACUAAAGCCCCACACCUUUACUCCCGGUUCUUACACCAACCGAGACAGAUGGGGCUCCACGUGGCCGCUGCGGCUUGCCAUGGCAGGGGGGCCUUUUGUCCCGGUUGGUAGCACCAACCGGGACCAAUAAGCUACCACGCGUCAGCAUUUGAGGGGCUUGGGUUUUUGUUUUUCUUCUGAAGGGGAGGGGAGGGGUGUUGGGGGUUUUGGGGGGUUUUGUAUGGUUAAUUUUGGGGGGUUUCAUAUAUUGUGUUAGGUAGUAAUUAAUUAAUAGAGAGAAGUGUCCUCUCUUAUCUCCGUGCUUGGUCGACGCUACGUACUAUACGUAUAGAGAGGCCCUCGACACACUUGCCAGUAAGCAAAUGAAGGAAACCAUUAAGUACAGAAGUUCGUCAUGAACAUAUGCAUACAAACAUAAGUGAUAUCGACCUCUCCUUCUCUGAGAGAUAGGUCGAACAACAAGUUUCCGUAUAUCCAUCCGGCGCUACUAGCUACUUAUAUACAAUAUUAAGAUCUCUUACAAUAUAAUCCCCUAAUUAUAUAUGAACUCAGUUUCCAGAUGGUAUUCUCGGGCUUUAUUGAUGACGUGGUCAAGAAAGAAUCCCUCCAAUUCCUCUUGAAUUGCUUUGAUGCGAUCUUGUGGUAGGAGUUCAUCCCGCAUCUGCCACAUCUAAUUUGAAGAAGGGGGUCAAUCACUAGUGGAAUAACAGCCAUUUGUCCAAGUUCAUAAGGCUCAUUUGUCCCGGUUGGGGAACCGAGACUAAAGGGUCGUUACUAAAGCCCUACACCUUUAGUCCCGGUUGUCGGUGUCAAAACCGGCGGAUCUCGGGUAGUUGGUCCCGAACUGUGCGUCUAGGCCGGAUGGUAACAGGAGGCAAGGAACACAAUGUUUUACCCAGGUUCGGGCCCUCUCGAUGGAGGUAAAACCCUACGUCCUGCUUGAUUAAUAUUGAUGAUAUGGGUAGUACAAGAGUAGAUCUACCACGAGAUCAAGGAGGCUAAACCCUAGAAGCUAGCCUAUGGCAUGAUUGUUGUGUAUGGAGUUGAUUGCCUACGGACUACAACCCUCCGGUUUAUAUAGACACCGGAUAGGGUUAGGGUUACAUAGAGUCGGUUACAAUGGUAGGAGAUCUUGAAUAUCCGCAUCGCCAAGCUUGCCUUCCACGCCAAGGAAAGUCCCAUCCGGACACGGGACAAAGUCUUCAAUCUUGUAUCUUCAUAGUCCAGGAGUCCGGCUACCCGAACACCCCCUAAUCUAGGACUCCCUCAGUAGCCCCUGAACCAGGCUUCAAUGACGACGAGUCCGGCGUGCAAAUUGUCUUCGGCAUUGCAAGGCGGGUUCCUCCUCCACGUCCUUCAUAGAAGAUUGUAAACACCAAGAGUAGUGUCCGGCUCUGCAAAAUAAGCUUCCACAUAUUUCCGUAGAGAGAAUAAUAUUAACACAAAUCAAAUCUGCUGACGUAUUCCGCAGUGCGUCAUCACACUGCAGCCAAGUCCUUCACUCGAAUCGUUUUCACUUUUCCACCUCAGCGUGUUUUGCGAGGCGGUUUCCUUGGCACGUCUUGUCAAAGUAGAUAUCGUGUACCCCCCUUUUACGGGAUUCUCAUCAAUACAGACAUGGGUAACCCAACCGCGCCACUUAUCUCGACGCUUGGGAGGCAAGCGAGUUUUACUAGGCAGGUGGGGACGCACAACCGCAUCUACCCAUAUAAGGGGAUAAGGAUCCACCUUUUUACCUACGCCUUCUUCCUCCUUUGCCUAUCCAUCUCCUGCGCACCCGAGCUCCAGCGCCCAAGCCCGCACUUCCCACCUCGACCUUCUCCAGCAAUGUCCGGAGCGGGAGGCAAGUGGAUGGUCUCUACCACCACGGAGGGUAAAAUCAAGAAGCUAAGGAAGGCCGGAUACCUGUCCAAGGACAUCGCGCACUGGCUUCCCGAAGAGGGGCAGCUUCUCCCCACCCCAAGGCCCCAUGAGAGGGUAGUAUUUCUCCCCCACUUCCUCCGCGGACUGGGUUUUCCACUCCACCCAUUUGUCCGGGGGCUCAUGUUCUACUACGGCCUGGAUUUCCACGAUCUGGUCCCGAACUUCAUCCUCAACAUCUCGGCGUUUAUCGUCUUUUGCGAGGCUUUUCUCCGCGUCCGCCCUCAUUUCGGCCUCUGGCUCAAGACCUUCAACGUCAAGCCCAAGGUGGUGUGCGGCAGCCAGGCGGAGUGCGGAGGCGCCAUGGUGGGCAAGAUGGCCAAUGUCAUAUGGUUCGAGGGCUCUUUUGUGGAGACCCUAAAGGGAUGGCAAUCUGGGUGGUUUUACAUCACCGAGCCGCGCGAUCCGAAAUGGACCGCAGCCCCCGAGUUCCGAUCCGGACCCCCCAAGCGGCUUGUGUCCUGGAAAGAGACGGGCCUGUCAUGGGGUGACGAAAAUGAGGUGACCGGAUUGCAAACAUGCAUCCAGUCCCUGGUGAACAAGCCAGUCUGGCUUGUUAAUGUAAUCCAGGUUAUGCUCGUCCGCCGGAUCCUCCCGUGCCAACAACGGGAUUUUAAUCUAUGGGAGUUCGACCCGGUGCAGCAUCAAACCCUCAGCAGGCUCUUCGACACGACGUACGAAGACGCCUGGAAGAUGCUAUUAAAGGGCGUCGAGGCUCCCGCAUCCGCUUCCGAGGACCGCGAAUACAGCUCGCAGCGUCACGCUAGCGAGGUAAGCCAUCUACACCUUUUAUAGGAUGUUCAAGCUUUUUUCAUAGUUUGACUCUAUGUGGGAUCUAAACUCCCUUACCUUUGAAAGGCUUGGCGGGCAAUAUCCGGACCGAUUAACUGUCCGGCUCCGCUGCCCGAAGACCCAGCCCCAGCUCUACUAGUGAAGCUGCUGGUUCCGGAGCCUUAUGUGGUGCCGAAGACGAAGGCCAAGAAGAAGAAGACCACAGGGACUCGAAAGAGUGCAUGCAACGUGGUGGUGUCGGACUCGUCAUCUGACGAGUCCAAGACGCCCUCCUCCCAUGAAAACGAGGAGGAGGAAGAAGAAAACUCCCCCCCCCCCCCAGCGGAGGGAGGAGAGAAGAGGAAGGCCGCCCCAACGGGGGAGGCCGAGGGGUCUAGGAAAAGGAAGACCCCUCCGCCAGACUACGCCCCCGACGCCGAAGAGGGCGAAGAGGAGUGGCCGAACAGGGCCAAACGUCCGGCGAAAUCGUAAGUUCGGAUAUCAGAGUAACUCAUGAUGUUCCUUUGUUGCACAGCUUUCCCUAAUGUCGAAUGUAAUUAUGCAGUCCGCCCCGGGCCAAAUUCGACGAAUCAUCGUGCGGCUCCCUGGACUCAUCGGACGUGAACUCAGUUCCGCCCGCUGUCUCCCCCCGCACUGUGGACGACGCCGAAGUGGCGUCGCGACAAGCCCCGGGGCAGGAGGAGGUGGUCCCGGAGGAGCCACAAGGCAACCUCCCGGACUCCAGGAGUGAAGGGGACAAGACCCCCCAGGGCUCCAAGUCUGGCUUUGAGCCGGACACCGCACCGGAAUCUACAACAGUUCCGGACCGCGGUAGGCGAACUCCUUCCAAGAGGAGUAAGCCUUCUGAGCCGGCGUCCUCCGUCCAGCCGAAGGCGCCGGAAAAUCUGCUGGAGGAGCUUAAGGGCGCCUCCAUCGACGAGGAGCACCAUGCCAUCAUGAGUAUGGUGGUCCAGAAGGUUCGGUCCGCCAAAAGCGGACUGACUGAAGCUUGUAAAAAUAUGUAAAAAUAUUACCGUAUAGACAGUAGCCCCUGAUGCUCUGUUUGGCGUUCGGAAAGAAAAGCUGGAUAGAGGAUCUAUUAAAUAUCGCAGGAGUCUAACUAAAAAGCAGUCAAUAUACGUAUGCAGGCUUCGCUGCUGGCCACCGCUGCACUGACUGCGGAGGUGGGUGCCCUGAAACAGGGCCUCGAGCGGACCGAGCAAGAGCUCGGCCUUGCCAAACGGCAGCUCGAGGAGAAAGAAGGUAAGAAAUACCUUACAGAAAAAGUGCCUAUAAAAAGACCUGAUUGCAAAAAAUAACAGGAUUGUACUGCUUAUUGUAGGGGCCACGACUGAGGUGGCGACCCUCAAGCAGGCGCUGUCCGAGGCCAAAAAGAAAACGGCCGUGGAGUGCACCGAGCGAGAGAAACUUGAGGCCCAGGUCAGCGAGGUGCAGCAGGAGCUUCAGGCUCUCAUGAAAAAACAUGAGAGUUUGGAGCUUGAGUCCAAGACGCAAGCGUAUGAGCUCGCGGCGGCCCUUGAGACUGCCAAGUCUGCCAAGGCCGAAGCCCAAAAGGCCCUCCAAGAGUUGGAGGAGAUGAAAAAGAUAGCGGCGGGUAAGGCAUUCUUUAUGCAAAGCAGAAGUAUAAAAGUGAAGUACUUGUUACUUACCCGAAUCCAGAGCUCUCCAGGGGCAUUCGCAGAUCUUCCCCGCGGCGUAUCUGACGCCGCUGCAUUCUACCGAGCCGAAGAGGGCAGCUCGACGGAGAAGGUGUUCUGGUUUCAGUAUGCUGAGGCCGGACACCCUGUGCCCUUGAGCGACCAGCUGAAACAGCUGGUCGAGCUCCACAAGGCGGCCGAGCAGGCCAUGAAGGGCUUCAUAGUUCGGCUGUGGCCCGGAGAGGCCCUGCCUGGGAGCUACUUCGGGUUGGUGUGGCGACUGGUGGAGGCCUGUCCAAGGCUCGAGGUCAUUAAGUGCUCCGUCUGCAUCGAAGGUGCCCGUAGGGCCCUUGCCCGUGCAAAGGUGCACUGGGGCAAGCUGGACGGUGAGAAGCUUGUGAGGGACGGGCCGCCGCCGGGGAAGGAGCAUCGCAAGCCCGAGAACUACUAUAAGGAUGUUCUAGCGGGUGCCCGCCUUGUGGCGGAUGAAUGUACCAAGGAUGUAAUUUUUUAAUGAACUCGCUCGUGUUUAUCCUGUGUGCUGAAAAGUUGUUCAUAUGCGCUAAGCAAUGCUUGUUGAAUUUAAAAUAUUACUUUCUGUGCGGCCGUUUAUCAAAAAUUGAGAGAUGGCCAGUCGGCGGCUUCUGCCCCCAUGCCACUAGUGCUGGGGUGUUCGGGAUAAACCUGAGCGCUCUUUUUCCCAUAGUUGGAUCCUUCGAGGGAGGCGCUCAGCACAACGAACCAGGCAAUCGGACUAUAAUGCUUGAACACUCUAACUUAGCCAUAGAACUCUAUAAUUUUAAAUUUCGGCGAAGCCCCUAGUUCGGAAGACCGAGUUCGGGGCGCUAUCCACGCCUUGGCCGGACAAAGCCGGCUCCUCGCUCGAAGCGGCAUAAGUCUUUAGGGACUCGAAAAACCUGUCGAACAGCGACCGGUCUCUCACCAUAUCAUGACAGUCAGUUUUACCUUUCUCCACUGAGGUGCUUAACCCAGCUCAACCGGGGCACAAUCGCAGUGGUUCUCCUAGUGCUACCUUAGCCGAUAUAGCGGAACGUAAGGCACCAAAACAUAGGAGCCAGGCAAACGCAACUAUUGACCCAAAUCAUGAUACGGAGCCGAUGCAUAUAGUGCUAUAAGUUCGGGGUGCCGUACUUGUGAAAGUGUACGGACUUCUCACGCCAUAUUUAUGGGUACUAAAGCCCCUGACGUAUUUUGCCGUACCACGGUGUACGGGUGCAACAUGUCAUAAACAUAUAUAUGAAAAGGUGAUAAUGCGAAAAAUAGACAGAAAGCUAUCCAUUGUUUAUAGAGAGGCUAUUUAUCAAAGCCGAACGAUACAAAUAGUGCGGUAAGCAAAAAAUAUUGGACUAUUUAGUAUGUCCUGACCAGGAGCAGGCCGCGGAAUUGUGUUUAAAACAGGUAUACCGCUCGUAACAGAGACCACCUGGGAGUUCCAUAAUGCGGCAUGGCUUGUCUUCCUCCCUGGAUCUUGCAUCGUUUGUGCGGCCGUCGAAUUGCCGAACAGGUCGUCCGAAGUAUGGAGUCCUGAAAGUAAGAAAAAAAUUAAAAAAAGAAUCCGGCAGCCCCUAGUACGUUUUAAGUCGUAUUUUGGGCGUGCCGUUAUUGCCCCUUCCCCUGUGCCCAUGGUAUUUCAAGGGCGUAGUUAUGUACGCGGGGUACUGGUUUCGCUAUGUCGCGAAAGCUGGGGUUGGGGCCACAUUGCUACGCUUGCUUAGAGUGUGCCAGGCGGUCCUGCUGUGGGUUACUCCAGGGGCGCCUGGCAGUGUCUGGCUUUUUAAUGGCCGGACUAGAGAAUUGCCUGAGAAGGCUACUUUGUACCUCCGCUGCGAGAGCCGCCGUAUGCUCCCCCAUAUGGAGGGAGCGUUCGGUGUUUCCGUUGACCGUAAUUACUCCUCGAGGGCCUGGCAUCUUGAGCUUGAUAUAUGCGUAGUGCAGCACCGCAUUGAACUUUGAGAAUGCAGUUCGUCCGAGCAGGGCGUGAUAGCCACUGCGAAACGGGACUAUAUCGAAGAUUAACUCUUCGCUUCGGAAAUUGUCCGGGGAUCCGAAGACCACGUCAAGUGUUACUGAGCCUGUACAGUUGGCUUCUACACCUGGUAUAAUGCCUUUAAAGGUCGUUCUUGUGGGCUUAAUCCUUGAGGGAUCUAUGCCCAUUUUCCGCACUGUAUCCCGAUAAAGCAGGUUCAGGCUACUGCUGCCGUCCAUGAGGACUCUUGUGAGAUGAAAUCCGUCGAUGAUUGGGUCGAGAACCAAUGCGACGAAGCCGCCAUGACGGAUGCUAGUGGGAUGGUCCCUUUGAUCAAAAGUGAUUGGGUAGGAGGACCAUGGGUUGAACUUUGGGGCGACUGGCUCCAUCGCGUAUAUGUCUCGCAGCGCACGCUUCCGCUCCCGCUUGGGAAUGUGGGUUGCAUUUAUCAUGUUCACCGUCCGCACUUGUGGGGGAAAGCCCUUCUGUCCAUUGUUGUUCGGCGGCUUGGGAUCCUCAUCGUCGUUGUGCAGCCCCUUUUUCUCUGUUUUUGGCCCUUAACUUGCCUGCCUGCUUGAACACCCAACAAUCCCUAUUAGUGUGAUUGGCUGGCCUUUCGGGGGUGCCAUGUAUCUGGCACAAGCGAUCGAGUAUUCGGUCCAAACUGGACGGGCCCUGAGUAUUCUUUUUGAAUGGCUUUUUCCGCUGACCGGAUUUAUAGCCUUUGAAUCCGGCAUUGACUGCCGUGUCUUCAUUGCUGUUGCUGCUAACGCGGCGUUUUUGCUUAUUCCGACGUGUCCUGCCACUUUUGUCCUUGGUAUCCGAAUUACCAGGGUUCUUUGAUAAGUUGUUACUGCGAGCUAGCCAGCUAUCUUCUCUCGCGCAAAAGCGGGUCAUGAGUGUCGUGAGGGCUGCCAUGGAUUUCGGCUUUUCCUGUCCCAGGUGCCGGGCAAGCCACUCGUCGCAGAUGUUAUGCUUCAAGGCUGCCAGGGCCUCUGCGUCCGGAUAGUCGACUAUCUGGUUUUUCUUUGUUAGGAACCAUGUCCAGAAUUGUCUGCCGAUUCCUCUGGCUGCUGAAUUAUGUGGCUUAAGUCGUCGGCAUCCGGUGGUCGCACGUAAGUGCCCUAGAAGUUGUCGAGGAAUGCGGCUUCCAGGUCCUCCCAAGAACCGAUUGAGUCUGCUGGCAAGCUGUUAAGCCAAUGCCGGGCCGGUCCUUUAAGUUUGAGCAGGAGCUAUUUGAUGGCGUGUAGAUCAUCGCCGCGUGCCAUGUGGAUGUGAAGGAGAUAAUCCUCGAUCCAUACCGCCAGAUCUGUUGUGCCAUCGUAUGAUUCGAUGUUUACGGGUUUGAAACCCUCUCGGAUUUUAUGAUCCAUUACUUCGUUCGUGAAGCAUAGCGGGUGUGCGGCGCCUCUGUAUUGGGCUAUAUCAUGACGCAGCUCGGAAGAGCUAUGUCUGUUGUGUUCGGCCCGGCCGGAUUUGUUGUAUCCGGAGUGAAGAUCAUUGUCACAUGCUGUAGGGUGGCUGCGCGAUCCGUAGAUCGAUCUUUUUUGUCUUGCCUUAUCCUCCAGUAUGUCUCGCAGAUCGGGCGCAUUUUCCCGUGCCUUAUUUACGCACCGUCGGGGCAUGGCUUGGGUGGAGGGCCGAGAGGCCUCUCUGUCGCGGCCGUGAGGUGGCCGGUCUGCCAUGUCAUUCGCUGGUGACGUAGGUACUUCCUCCUCUGAUCGGGGUAGCGGCCUGCGCUUCGGGUAACUCUUGGAGGGGCGUUCGUGUUCAUACUCUUCGGCUGCAAGGACUUCAGUCCAUCUGUCAGCUAGCAAAUCUUGGGCGGCUGUAAGCUGUUGCUGCUUUUUCUGGAGGCUGCUUGCCAUGGCUAAAAGCCUGUGUUUAAAACGCUCUUGUUCGGCGGGGUCUGAUGGUAUGACGAAUUUGUCGUCAUCGAGGCUUGCCUCGUCUCCAGAGGGAGGCGUAUAGUUAUCAUCCUCGACUUCUCGGUCUGCCGCUCUCUCAUGAGGGCUGGCUACUCCAUCUCCCUGUGCCGAAUCUUGCUGAGGUGGGUGUUCUUCGGCGUUAUCCGGGGUAGUAUUAUCUCCCGUGCCGGAAUCACCGUUUUUGCUUUGGCUGUUUCUUGGGGGCGUCAUCCCCCACUAUUCCAUCACCAUCUCCAUCUUUUGGAGUAUCCACCAUAUAUAUGUCAUAUGACGAGGUGGCCUUCCAGCGCCCUAUAGGUGUUGGUUCCUAUUCGUCUCCUACUUCGUCGUCCAUGCCGUCGAUGUCUUCGGAGCCGAAGUCACGCAUGUCGGUUAAAUCAUCGACAGUGGCUACAAAGUGGGUGGUGGGUGGGCUUUGAAUUUCCUCAUCGUCCGUAUCCCACCCUCGCUGACCGUAGUCCGGCCAGGGCUCUCUUGAUAAAGAGAGAGACUUAAGAGAAUUCCGGAUGUCACCAAAAGGCGAAUGCUGAAAGAUGUCUGCGGCGGUGAACUCCAUUAUCGGCGCCCAAUUGGAUUCGAUUGGCAGGGGCGCAGGGGGUUUGGAGUCCGGGAAGGAGUCCGGAUCCUCGGAGUCACGGGUCGUCCAGAGUGCGGGGCUAGCGUUCAGCUCGAUCGCUUUCGGGAUCGCAGCCCCUGAGGUGACGUCCAGCCACUCAUCCUCGAUUGGCGCAAUAGGCAUCGAGUUAGGGGUCAGAACCGAUGCGUGUGCGGCCUCCAGGACACUGUCCGGGGGCAGAGCUAGAUCAUGCCCCUCGAGAUAGUGCGGCGCGCUUGACCGUGGCUCGAGCCCGUCGAAGAUCAAGUCUCCGCGGAUGUCAGCCGUGUAGUUUAAGCUUCCAAACCUGACUUGAUGGCUAGGGGCGUAGCUUUCGAUCUGCUCCAGGUGGCCGAGCGAAUUGGCCCGCAGAGCAAAGUUGCCGAAGACGAAGAUCUGUUCGGGGAGAAAAGUAUCACCCUCGACCGCAUCGUUGUUGAUGAUCAAAGGAGCCAUCGGGCCUAAAGGCGACGACACAGAGGAACUCUCAAUGAAAGCACCAAUGUCGGUGUCAAAACCGGCGGAUCUCGGGUAGUGGGUCCCGAAUUGUGCGUCUAGGCCGGAUGGUAACAGGAGGCAGGGAACACGAUGUUUUACCCAGGUUCGGGCCCUCUUGAUGGAGGUAAAACCCUACGUCCUGCUUGAUUAAUAUUGAUGAUAUGGGUAGUACAAGAGUAGAUCUACCACGAGAUCAAGGAGGCUAAACCCUAGAAGCUAGCCUAUGGCAUGAUUGUUGUGUAUGGAGUUGAUUACCUACGGACUACAACCCUCCAGUUUAUAUAGACACCGGAUAGGGUUAGGGUUACAUAGAGUCGGUUAUAAUGGUAGGAGAUCUUGAAUAUCCACAUCGCCAAUCUUGCCUUCCACGCUAAGGAAAGUCCCAUCCGGACACAGGACAAAGUCUUCAAUCUUGUAUCUUCAUAGUCCAGGAGUCCGGCUGAAGGUCUAGUCCGGCUACCCGAACACCCCCUAAUCCAGGACUCCCUCACCGGUUCUUACACCAACUGGGAGAGAUGGGCUUCCACGUGGCCGCUGCGGCGAGCCCAGGCAGGAGGUCCUUUGGUCCCGGUUAGUGACACUGAUACGUCUCCGACAUAUCUAUAAUUUUUGAUUGCUCCAUGCUAUUAUGUUAUCCAUUUUGGAUGUUAAUGGGCUUUAUUUUACACCUUUAUAUCAUUUUUGGGACUAACCUACUAAUUGGAGGCCAAACCCAAAUUGCUGUUUUUUUUGCCUAUUUUAGGUUUUCGAAGAAGAGGAAUAUCAAACGGAGUCCAAACGGAAUGAAAACUUCGGGAACGUGAUUUUCUCAACGAACAUGAUCCAGGAGACUUGGAGUGUGCGCCAAGAAAUAAGGGAGGAAGGCACGAGGCAGGGGUCGCGCCUACCCCCCUUGGGCGUGCCCUCCACCCUCGUGGGCCCUCCACUGCUCCACCGACGUACUUCUUCCUCCUAUAUAUAUACACGUACCCCCCCAAACAACCAGGAGCACCAUGAAAACCUAAAUCCACCGCCGCAACCUUCUGUACCCGAGAGAUCCCAUCUUGGGGCCUUUUCCGGAGGGGGCAUCGAUCACGGAGGGCCUCUACAUCAACUGCAUGGCCUCUCCGAUGAUGUGUAAGUAGUUUACUUCAGACCUACGGGUCCAUAGUUAUUAGCUAGAUGGCUUCUUCUCUCUCUUUGGAUCUCAAUACAAAGUUCUCCUCGAUGUUCUUGGAGAUCUAUUCGAUGUAAUCUUCUUUUGCGGUGUGUUUGUCGAGAUCCGAUGAAUUGUAGGUUUAUGAUCCAGAUUAUCUAUGGACAAUAUUUGAUUCUCCUCUGAAUUCUUUUAUGUAUGAUUCGUUUAUCUUUGCAAGUCUCUUCGAAUUAUCAGUUUGGUUUGGCCUACUAAAUUGAUCUUUCUUGCAAUGGGAGAAGUGCUUAGCUUUGGGUUCAAUCUUGCGGUGUUCGAUCCCAGUGACUGAAAGGGAACCGAUAUUUAUUGUAUUGUUGCCAUCGAGGAUAAAAAGAUGGGGUUUAUAUCAUAUUGCAUGAGUUUAUCCCUCUACAUCAUGUCAUCUUCCUUAAAGCAUUACUCUGUUCUCUUGAACUUAAUACUCUAGAUGCAUGCUGGAUAGCGGUCGAUGUGUGGAGUAAUAGUAGUAGAUGCAGAAUCGUUUCAGUCUACUUGUCUCGGACCUGAUGCAUAUAUACAUGAGCAUAACUAUAUAUUCUCAUAACUAUGCUCAAUUCGAUCAAUUGCUCGACAGCAAUUCGUUUACCCACCGUAAUACUUAUGCUCUUGAGAGAAGCCACUAGUGAAACCUAUGGCCUCGGGGUCUAUCUUCUAUCAUAUUAAUCCUCCAAUACUUAGUCAUUUCUAUUUCUAUUUAUUUUAUUUUGCAUCUUUUAUUUCUCUUUAUCAUAAAAAUACCAAAAAUCUUAUCUUAUCAUAUCUAUCAGAUCUCACUGUCGUAAGUGACCGUGAAGGGAUUGACAACCCCUUUAUCGCGUUGGUUGCGAUGUUCUUAUUUGUUUGUGUAGGUUCGUGGGACUUGAGCAUGAUCUCCUACUGGAUUGAUACCUUGGUUCUCAAAAACUAAGGGAAAUACUUACGCCGAUUUAUUUCAUCACUCUUUCUUCUUCAAGGGAAAACCAACGCAAUGCUCAAGAGGUAGUGUCGGUGUCAAAACCGGCGGAUCUCGGGUAGUGGGUCCUGAACUGUGCGUCUAGGCCGGAUGGUAACAGGAGGCAGGGAACACGAUGUUUUACCCAGGUUCGGGCCCUCUUCAUGGAGGUAAAACCCUAUGUCCUGCUUGAUUAAUAUUAAUGAUAUGGGUAGUACAAGAGUAGAUCUACCAUGAGAUCAAGGAGGCUAAACCCUAGAAGCUAGCCUAUGGUAUGAUUGUUGUAUAUGGAGUUGAUUGCCUACGGACUACAACCCUCCGAUUUAUAUAGACACCGGAUAGGGUUAGGGUUACAUAGAGUCGGUUACAAUGGUAGGAGAUCUUGAAUAUCCGCAUCGCCAAGCUUGCCUUCCACGCCAAGGAAAGUCCCGUCCGGACACGGAACGAAGUCUUCAAUCUUGUAUCUUCACAGCCCAGGAGUCCGGCUGAAGGUAUAGUCCGGCUAUCCGAACACCCCCUAAUCCAGGACUCCCUCAGUAGCCCCUGAACCAGGCUUCAAUGACGACGAGUCCGGCACGCAAAUUGUCUUCGGCAUUGCAAGGCGGGUUCCUCCUCCAAGUCCUUCAUACAAGAUUGUAAGCACCAAGAGUAGUGUCCGACUCUGCAAAAUAAGCUUCCACAUAUCGCCAUAGAGAGAAUAAUAUUAACACAAAUCAAAUCCGCUGACGUAUUCCGCAGUGCGUCAUCACACUACAGCCAAGUCCUUCACUCGAAUCGUUUUCACUUUUCCACCCCAGUGUGUUUUGCGAGGUGGUUUCCUUGGCACGUCUUGUCAAAGCAGAGAUCGUGUCCCCUUUGUUUACGGGAUUCUCGUUAAUACGGACGUGGGUAACCCAACCGCGCCACUUAUCAUGGCGCUUGGGAGGCAAGCGAGUUCUACUAGGCUGGUGGGGACGCAUAGUCGCAUCCGCCCAUAUAAGGGGAUAAGGAUCCACCUUUUUACCUAUGCCUUCUUCCUCCUUUGCCUAUCCAUCUUCUGCGCACCCGAGCUCUAGUGCCCCAUCCCGCGCUUCCUACCUCAACCCUCUCCAACAAUGUCCGGAGCGGGAGGCAAGUGGAUGGUCUCCUCCGUCACGAAGGGCCAUGUCAAAAGGUUAAGGAAGGCCGGAUACUUGUCCAAAGACAUCGCGCACCGGCUUCCUGAGGAGGGGCAGCUUCUCCCCACCCCAAGGCCCCAUGAGAGGGUAGUAUUUCUUCCCCACUUCCUCCGCGGACUGGGUUUUCCUAUCCACCCAUUUGUCCGCGGGCUCCUGUUCUACUAUGGCCUAGAUUUCCAUGAUCUGGCCCCGAACUUCAUCCUGAAUAUCUCGGCAUUUAUCGUCGUGUGCGAGGCUUUCCUCUGCAUUCGCCCCCAUUUCAGCCUCUGGCUCAAGACCUUCAACGUCAAGCCAAAGGUGGUGCGCGGUAACCAGGCGGAGUGCGGAGGUGCCAUGGCGGGAGAAAUUGCCAACGUCCUAGGGCUCGAGGGCUCCUUUGUGGAGACCUUGAAGGGGUGGUAGUCAGGGUGAUUUUACAUCACCGAGCCACGCGAUCCGAAGUGGAUCGCAGCCCCUGAAUUCCGAUCCGGACCCCCUACACGGCUCACGUCCUGGAAGGAGACGAGCUUGUCGUGGGGCGACGAAGGAGAGUUGACCGGACUGCAAAAAUGCAUCCAGUCCCUGGUGAACAAGCAGCUCAAGCUUGUCAACGUAAUCUAGGUCAUGCUCGUCCGCCGGAUCCUUCCGUGUCAAGAACGGGACAUCAAUUUGUGGGAGUUCAACCCGGUGCAGCAACGAACUCUGAGAAGGCUCUUUGACACGACGUACGAAGUUGUCUGGAGGGGGCUAACCAAAGGCGCCGAGGCUCCCACAUCCGCCUCCGAUGACCGCGGAUUCAGCUCGCAGCGUCCUGCUGGCGAGGUAAGAUAUUUCCAUCUUUUACAGGAUAUUAAGUUUUUUCAUAGUUGACUCUAUGCGGGAUCUAAACUCCCUCACCUUUGACAGGAUUGGCGGGAGAAGUCCGGACAGAUUAACUGCCCGGCUCCCUUGCCAAGCCGGAGAAGAGGGCCAAGAAGAAGAAGGCCACGGGGACUCGAAAGAGUUCCUGGCAUAUGGUGGUGUCGGACUCGUCGUCCGACGAGUCCGAGAUGCACUCCUCCCGUGAAUACGAGGAGGAAGAAGAAACCUCUCCCCCUCCAGCGGGGGGAGGAGAGAAGAGGAAGGCCGCCCCAGUAGGGGAGGCCGAGGGGUCCAAGAAGAGGAAAACCCAUCCGCCGGACUACGUCCCCGACACCGACGAGGACGAAGAGGAGUGGCCGGACAGGGCCAAGCGUCCGGCGAGAUCGUAAUUCUUCGGAUACCAGAGUAACUCGUGAUAUUCCUUUUGUUGCACAGGUUUCGCUAAUGUCAGAUAUAAUCAUGCAGUCCACCCAAGGACGGGCACGACGAGUCGUCGAGCGGCUCCCUGGAUUCAUCGGACGCGAAUUCAGUUCCGCCUACUGCUUCCCCCUAUGCUGCAGAUGACGCCGAAGUGGCGUCGCGACAAGCUCCGGGGCGAGAGGAGGUGGUCCAGGAGGAGUCGCGAGGUGACCUCCCGGACUCCAGGAGUGAAGGGGACAAGACCCCCAUGGGCUCCAAGUCCGGCUUUAAGCUGGACACUGCGCCGGAAUCAUCAAUGGUUCCGGACCGCGGUAGGCGAACUCCUGCCAAGAGGAGCAAGCCUACUGAGCCGGCAUCCUCCGUCCAGCCGGAGGCGCCGCACAAUCUGGUGGAGGAGCUUAAGGGCGCCUCCAUCGACGAGGAGCAUCGUGCCGUCAUGAGUACGGUGAUCCAGAAGGUUCGGUCCGCCAAAAGCGGACUGACUGAAGCUUGUGCUAGCCUUCUAACAGGCUUCGAGGUAAGUAAAAAUAUGUAAAAAUAUUACCGUAUAGACAGUAGCCCCUGAUGCUCUGUUUGGCGUUUGUAAAGAAAAGCCAAAUAGAGGAUCUAUUAAAUAUCCCAGGAGUCUAACUAAAAAGGAGUCAAUAUACGUAUGUAGGCUUCGCUGCUGGCCAUCGCCGCACUGACUGCGGAGGUGGGUGCCCUUAAGCAGGGCCUCCAGCGGACCGAGCAAGAGCUCGGCCUUGCCAAACGGCAGCUCGAGGAGAAAGAAGGUAAGAUAUACCUUAGAGAAAAAGUGCCUAUAAAAAGGCUUGAUUGCAAAAAGAGUAACAGGAUUGUACUGCUUAUUGUAGGGGCUACGACUGAGGUGGCGACCUUUAAGCAGGUGUUGUCUGAGGCCGAAAAGAAAACGGCCGCGGAGCGCACCGAGCGAGACAGACUUGGGGCUCAGGUCAGCGAGGUGCAGCAAGAGCUUCAGGCUCUCAUGAAAAAACAUGAGAGUUUGGAGCUGGAAUCGAAGGCGCAAGCAUCCGAGCUUGCAAUGGCCCUAGAGGCUGCCAAGUCUGCCAAGGCCGAAGCCCUAAAGGCCCUCCAAGAGUUGGAGGAGAUGAGGAAGAUAGCAGCGGGUAAGGCAUUCUUUAUGCAAAGCAGAAAUAUAAAAGUGAACUACCUGUUACUUACCCAAAUCCGAAGCUCUCCAGGGGCAUUCGCAGAUCUUCCCAGCAGCGUAUCCGACGCCGCCGCAUUCUGCCAAGCUGAAGAGGGUAGCUCGACGGAGAAGGUGUUCUGGUUUCAGUAUUCUAAGGCCGGACACCCUGUGCCCUUGAGCGACCAGCUGAAACAGCUGGUUGAGCUCCACAAGGCGGCCGAGCAGGCCAUGAAGGGCUUCAUAGUUCGGCUGUGGCCCGGAGAGGCCCUACUUGGGAGCUAUUUCGGGCUAGUGCGGCGGCUUGUGGAGGCCUGUCCGAGGCUUGAGGUCAUCAAGUGCUCCGUCUGCAUCGAAGGUGCCCGUCGGGCCCUUGCCCGUGCAAAGGUGCACUGGGGUAAGCUGGAUGGUGAGAAGCUUGUGAAGGACGGGCCGCCGCCGGGGAAGGAGCAUCGCAAGCCCGAGAACUACUACAAGGAUGUUCUUGCAGGUGCCCGCCUUGUGGCGGAUGAAUGUACCAAGGAUGUGAUAUUUGAAUGAACUCGCUCGUGUUUAUCCUGUGCGCUGAAAACUUGUUCAUAUGCGCUAAGCAAUGCUUAUUGAAUUUAAAAUAUUACUUUCUGUGCGGCCAUUUAUCAAAAAUUGAGAGAUGGCCAGUCGUCGGCUUUUGCCCCCGUGCCACUAGUGCUGGGGUGUUCGGGAUAAACCUGAGCGCUCUUUUUCCCAUAGUUGGGUCCUUCGAGGGAGGCGCUCACCACAACGAAUCAGGCAAUCAGACUAUAAUGCUUGAACACUCUCACUUAGCCAUAGAGCUCUAUAAUUUUAAAUUUCGGUGAAGCUCCUAGUUUGGAAGACCGAGUUCGGGGCGCUAUCCACGCCUUGGCCGGACAAAGCCAGCUCCUCGCUCGAAGCGGCAUAAGCCUUUAGGGACUCGAAAAACCUCUCGAACAGCGACUGGUCUCUCGCCACAUCAUGACAGUCAGUUUUAGCUUUCUCCACUGAGGUGCUUAACCCAGCUGAACCGGGGCACAAUCGCAGUGGUUCUCCUAGUGCUACCUUAGCCGAUAGAGCGGAACGUAAGGCACCAAAACAUAGGAGCCGGGCAAACCCAACUAUUGACCCAAAUCAUGAUUCGGAGCCGAUGCAUAUAGUGCUAUAAGUUCGGGGUGCCGCACUUGUGAAAGCGUACGGACUUCUCACACCAUUAUGAGGGGUUCUGAAGCCCCUGGCGUGUUUGCCAUACCAUGGUGUACGGGUGCAAUCAUGUCAUUUAAUAAACAUAAAUGUGAAAAGAAGACAACGCAAAAAAUAGACUAGAAGCUAAGCAUUGUUUAUAGAGAGGCUAUUUAUCAAAGCCGGACGAUACAAAUACUGAAGUAAGCAAAAGAUAUUGGACUAUUCAGUAUGUCCUGACCAGGGGCAGGCCGCGGAAUUGUAUUUAAAACAGGUAUACCGCUCGUAACAGAGACCACAUGGGAGUUCCAUAAUGCGUCAUGGCUUGUCUGCCUCCCUGGAUCUUGCAUCGUUUGUGCGGCAGUCGAAUAUCCGAACAGGUCAUCCGAAGUAUGGAGUCCUGAAAGAAGAAAAAAUUAAAAAAAGAAUCCGGCAGCCCCUAGUACGUAUUAAGCCGUAUUUUGGGCAUGUCGUUAUUGUGCCCCUUCUCCUGUGCCCAUGGUAUUUCAAGGGCGUAGUUAUGUCCGCGAGGUACUGGUUUCGCUAUGUCGCGAAAGCUGGGGUUGGGGCCGCAUUGCUACGCUUGCUCAGAGUGUGCCAGGCGGUCCUGCUGUGGGUUACUCCGGGCGUGCUUGGCAGUGCCUGGCUUUUUAAUGGCCGGACCGGAGAAUUGCCUGAGAAGGCUACUUUGUACCUCCGCUGCGAGAGCCACCGUAUGCUCCUCCAUACGGAGGGAGCGUUCGGUGUUUCCGUUGACCGUAAUUACUCCUUGAGGGCCUGGCAUCUUGAGCUUGAGAUAUGCGUAGUGCGGCACCGCGUUGAUCUUUGCGAAUGCGGUUCGUUCGAGCAGGGCAUGAUAGCCACUGCGAAACGGUACUAUAUCGAAGAUUAACUCUUCGCUUCGGAAAUUAUCCGGGGACCUGAAGACCACAGCAAGUGUUACUGAGCCUGUACAAUUGGCUUCUACACCUGGUAUAACGCCUUUAAAGGUUGUUCUUGUGGGCUUAAUCCUUGAGGGAUCUAUGCCCAUUUUCCGCACUGUAUCCUGAUAAAGCAGGUUCAGGCUAAUGCCGCCGUCCAUGAGGACUCUUGUGAGAUAAAAUCCUUCGAUGAUUGGGUCGAGAACCAAUGCGGCAAAGCCGCCAUGACGGAUGCUAGUGGGAUGGUCCCUUCGAUCGAAAAUGAUCGGGCAGGAGGACCAUGGGUUGAACUUUGGGGCGACUGGCUCCAUCGCAUAUACGUCCCGUAGUGCAUGCUUCCGCUCCCGCUUGGGAAUGUGGGUUGCGUAUAUCAUGUUCACCGUCCACACUUGUGGGGGAAAGCCCUUCUGUCCAUUGUUGUUCGGCGGCUUGGGCUCCUCCUCGUCGCUGUGCAGCCCCUUGUCUCUAAUUUCGGCCCUUAACUUGCCUGCCUGCUUGAACACCCAACAAUCCUGUUAGUGUGAUUGGCUGGCCUUUCGGGGGUGCCAUGUGUCUGGCAUAAGCGAUCGAGUAUUCGGUCCAAACUGGACGGGCCCUGAGUAUUCUUUUUGAAUGGCUUUUUCCGCUGACCGGAUUUAUAGCCUUUGAAUCCGGCAUUGACUGCCGUGUCUUCAUUGCUGUCGCUGCUAACGCGGCGUUUUUGCUUAUUCCGACGUGUCCUGCCACUUUUGUCCUUGGUAUCCGAAUUACCAGGGUUCUUUGAUAAGUUGUUACUGCGAGCUAGCCAGCUGUCUUCUCCCGCGCAAAAGCGGGUCAUGAGUGUCAUGAGGGCUGCCAUGGAUUUCGUCUUUUCCUGUCCCAGGUGCCGGGCAAGCCACUCGUCGCAGAUGUUAUGCUUCAAGGCUGCCAGGGCCUUUGCGUCCGGACAGUCGACUAUCUGGUUUUUCUUUGUUAGGAACCGUGUCCAGAAUUGUCUGGCCGAUUCCUCUGGCUGCUGAAUUAUGUGGCUUAAGUCGUCGGCAUCCAGUGGUCGCACGUAAGUGCCCUGGAAGUUGUCGAGGAAUGCGGCUUCCAGGUCCUCCCAAGAACCGAUUGAGUCUGCUGGCAAGCUGUUAAGCCAAUGCCGGGCCGGUCCUUUAAGUUUGAGCGGGAGGUAUUUGAUGGCGUGUAGAUCAUCGCCGCAUGCCAUGUGGAUGUGAAGGAGAUAAUCCUCGAUCCAUACCGCCGGAUCUGUUGUGCCAUCGUAUGAUUCGAUGUUUACGGGUUUGUAACUCUCUGGGAUUUUAUGAUCCAUUACUUCAUUCGUGAAGCAUAGUGGUUGUGCGGGUCCUCUGUAUUGGGCUAUAUCACGACGCAGCUCGGACGAGCUAUGUCUGUUGUGUUCGGCCCGGGGCCGGAUUUGUCGUAUCCGGAGUGAAGAUCAUUUUCCCGUGCCUUAGUUGAGCGGUGUCGGGGCAUGCCUUGGGUGGAGGGCCGAGACGCCUCUCUGUCGGGGCCGCGAGGUGGCCGGUCUGCCAUGUCAUGCGCUGGUGAUGUAGGUGCUUCCUCCUCUGAUCGGGGUAGCUGCCUGCGCUUCGGGUAACUCUUGGAGGGGCGUUCGAGUUCAUACUCUUCGGCCGCAAGGACUUCAGUCCAUCUGUCAGGUAGCAAAUCUUGGGCAGCUCUAAGCUGUUGCUGCUUUUUCUUGAGGCUGCUUGCCGUGGCUAAAAGCCUGCGUUUAAACGCUCUUGUUCGGCGGGGUCUGAUUGUAUGACGAAUUCGUCGUCAUCGAGGCUUGCCUCGUCUUCGGAGGGAGGCGUAUAGUUAUCAUCCUCGACCUCUCAGUCUGCCGCUCUCUCAUGAGGGCUGGCUUCUCCAUCUUCCUGUGCCGAAUAUUGCUGAGGUUGGUGUUCUUCGGCGCUAUCCGGGGUAGUAUUAUCUCUCGUGUCAGAAUCACCGUUUUUGCUUUGGCGGGAUUUAGGGUGGCGCCGCUGGUGCCGGUGCUUUGGUUGUUUCUUGGGGGCGUCAUCCCCCACUGUUCCAUCGCCAUCUCCAUCUUUUGGAGUAUCCACCAUAUAUAUGUCAUACGACGAGGUGGCCUUCCAGCGCCCUACAGGUGCUGGUUCCUAUUCGUCUCCUACAUUGUCGUCCAGGCCGUCAAUGUCUUUGGAGCUGAAGUCAAGCAUGUCGGUUAGAUCGUCGAUACUGGCUACAAAGUGGGUGGUGGGUGGGCUUUGAAUUUCCUCAUCGUCCGUAUCCCACCCUCGCUGACCGUAGUCCGGCCAGGGCUCUCCUGAUAAAGAGAGAUACUUAAGAGAAUUCAGGAUGUCGCCAAAAGGCGAAUGCUGAAAGAUGUCUGUGGCGGUGAACUCCAUUAUCGGCGCCCAAUCGGAUUCGAUUGGCAGGGGCGCGGGUGGUUUGGAGUCCGGGGAGGAGUCCAGAUCCUCGGAGUCACCGGUCGUGCAGAGUGCGGGGCUAGCAUUCGGCUCGAUCGCUUUCGGGAUCGCAGCCCCCGAGGUGACGUCCAACCGCUCAUCCUCGAUUGGCGCAAUAGGUUCCGAGUUAGGGGUCGGAACCGAUGCGUGUGCGGCCUCCAGGACACUGGCCGGGGGCAGAGCUAGAUCAUGCCCCUCGGGAUAGUGCGGCGCGCUUGGCCGUGGCUCGAGCCCGUCGAAGAUCAAGUCUCCAUGGAUGUCUGCCGUGUAGUUUAAGCUUCCAAACCUGACUUGAUGGACAGGGGCGUAGCUUUCGAUCUGCUACAGGUGGCCGAGCGAAUUGGCUCGCAGAGCGAUGCCGCCGAAGACGAAGAUCUGUCCGGGGAGAAAAGUCUCACCCUGGACCGCAUCGUUGUUGAUGAUCAAAGGAGCCAUCGGGCCUAAAGGUGACGAGACAGAGGAACUCUCAAUGAAAGCACCAAUGUCGGUGUCAAAACCAGUGGAUCUCGGGUAGUGGGUCGCGAACUGUGCGUCUAGGCCGGAUGGUAACAGGAGGCAGGGAACACGAUGUUUUACCUAGGUUCCGGCCCUCUUGAUGGAGGUAAAACCCUAUGUCCUGCUUGAUUAAUAUUGAUGAUAUGGGUAGUACAAGAGUAGAUCUACCACGAGAUCAAGGAGGCUAAACCCUAGAAGCUAGCCUAUGGUAUGAUUGUUGUAUAUGGAGUUGAUUGCCUACGGACUACAACCCUCCGGUUUAUAUAGACACCGGAUAGGGUUAGGGUUACAUAGAGUCAGUUACAAUGGUAGGAGAUCUUGAAUAUCCACAUCGCCAAGCUUGCCUUCCACGCCAAGGAAAGUCCCGUCCGGACCCGGGACGAAGUCUUCAAUCUUGUAUCUUCAUAGCCCAGGAGUCCGGCUGAAGGUAUAGUCCGGCUACCCGAACACCCCCUAAUCCAGGACUCCCUCAGGUAGCAAGAUGGAUUUCUGGCGCCGUUGCCGGGGAGACUCGCGCCAAGUAAAGACAUACCAAGUACCCAUCACAAACCCUUAUCCCUCGCAUUACAUUAUUUUCCAUUUGCCUCUCGUUUUCCUCUCCCCCACUUCACCCUUGCCGUUUUAUGCGCCCUCUCUUUUUUCCUUCGCCUCUUUUCCACUUGCUUUGUCAUUAUGGCUAGUCCUUUAUCUACUCCUUUGUCUCCCGAGAAUGAAGUUCUUAAUUUUAAACAAAGGGAGGGAGAAAAUCUAAAAGAUGCUUGGUACAGAAUUUGCAACACGCAAAUUAGAUCUACUAGGAAACAAUCUACUUUUGUUCUUCUUCACAAUUUUUAUGUAGGCAUCACACCUAGGAAUAGAUAUAUUCUUGAUGCCAUUACCGGAGGGAAUUUCUUGGGUAGCCAUACUUUUGAUUCUUAUAAUGCUAUGAUAGAUCUGUUUGGCCCACCACCUCUUUUGGUUAAUGGAACUAUUUUAACUUUGGAACAUGUGAUGCAAUGGCUUGAAAUUAGUGAAAAUAAAGUUGCCACCAUAGAGUUAAUUGAAAAUUUGGAUAGAAAGAUCCACAACCAAAUUACCCAAUACGGAUCUAAGUUAGGAGUUGCUCUUAAAAGUUUUAAAGAAAAGGGACCUAUGGUUAAUGAAAAGAUAGAAAAAGAUUCCACUAGAAUUGUUAAAUUGAGGAUAUUAUUACCAACCUUGGGUCUUCCUUUUCUUCUAUUAUAAAUACUCUACCUAAUGCUAAGAUUGCCAAACUAAUGUAUGUUACAAAAAAUAAUGGUGAAACUUCUAAUAAGGAAAAUGCGGAUCUCAAAUCCAUAAGUGUUCACCCCAAUUUUCUCACUAUCCUGAAGGAACCUUUUGCUACAAAUGAUUUUCUUGAUUUCGUACCUAGGAGUUUGAUAAUUAAUAAAAACCAAGAAACUCCUAAAAGUUAUUGGUGUCUUAUUGAAGAAUCACCUUCCAAAGACGGCAAUACCUAGGUCUAUCUUCGCUUUUAUGCCUAGCUAGGGGCGUUAAACGAUAGCGCUUGUUGGGAGGCAACCCAGUUUUAUUUUUAUUCCUUGCUUUUUGCUCCUAUUUAGUAAUAAAUAAUUUAUGUAGCCUCUGUUUUGGUUUGUGUUUUUUGUGUUUAAUUUGUGUUUGUGCCAUGUAGAACCGUUGGGUAGACUUGGGGAAAGUCUUUUUGAUCUUGCUGUAAAAAACAGAAACGUUAGCGCUCACGAGAAUCGCUGACAUUUUUAUUUGGAAAGUGAUAUUUAGAUAAUUAUUUUUGCAGAUGAUUAAUAGAUAAAUUCCUCACGUCUAGAAAUUUAUUUUAUAAUUUUUGGGGUUACAGAAGUUUGCGUUAGGUACAGAUUACUACAGACUGUUCUGUUUUUGACAGAUUAUGUUUUUCGUGUAUUGUUUGCUUAUUUUGAUGAAUCUAUGGCUAGUAAAAGAGGUUAUAAACCGUAGAGAAGUUGGAAUACAGUAGGUUUAACACCAAUAUAAAUCAAGAUUGAGUUCAUAACAGUACCUUGAAGUGGUGUUUUGUUUUCUUUCGCUAACGGAGCUCACGAGAUUUUCUAUUUGAGUUUUCUGUUGUGAAGUUUUCAAGUUUUGGGUAAAGAUUUGAUGGAUUGUGGAACAAGGGGUGGCAAGAGCCUAAGCUUGGGGAUUCCCAUGGCACACCAAGGUAAAAUUCAAGGACACCAAAAAGCCUAAGCUUGGGGAUGCCCCGGAAGGCAUCCCCUCUUUCGUCUUCGUCUAUUGGUAACUUUACUUGGAGCUAUAUUUUUAUUCACCACAUGAUAUGUGUUUUGCUUGGAGCGUCUUGUAUGAUUUGAUUAUUUGAUUUUUAGUUUACCAAAAUCAUCCUUGCUGUACACACCUUUUGAGAGAGACUCACAUGAUUGGGAAUUUAUGAGAGUACUCGAUGUGCUUCACUUAUAUCUUUUGAGCUAUAUGGUUUUUGUUCUAGUUCUUCACUUAUAUAUUUUAGAGCACGGCGGUGGUUUUAUUUUAUAGAAAUAAUUGUUCUCUCAUGCUUCACUUAUAUUAUUUUGAGAGUCCUUUAGAACAACAUGGCAAUAAUAAAACUGUCAUACAAGUGCAUUGAAUACUAUGAGAAGUUUGAUACUUGAUAAUUGUUUUGAGAUAUGGAGAUGGUGAUAUUAGAGUCAUGCUAGUUGUGUAGUUGUGAAUUUGAGAAAUACUUGUGUUGAAGUUUGUGAUUCCCGUAGCAUGCACGUAUGGUGAACCGUUAUGUGACGAAGUCGGAGCAUGAUUUAUUUGUUGAUUGUCUUCCUUAUGAGUGGCGGUCGGGGAUGAGCAAUGGUCUUUUACUACCAAUCUAUCUCCCUAGGAGCAUGGGCAUAAUACUUUGCUUUGAUAACUUGUAGAUUUUUGCAAUAAGUAUGUGAGUUCUUUCUGACCAAUGUUGAGUCCAUGGAUUAUACGCACUCUCACCCUUCCACCAUUGCUAGCCUCUCUAAUACCGCGCACUUCUCGCCGAUAUCAUACACCCACCAUAUACCAUCCUCAAAACAGCCACCAUACCUACCUAUUAUUGCAUUUCCAUAGCCAUUCCGAGAUAUAUUGCCAUGCAACUUUUCAUCGUUCCAUUAUUAUGACACACUUCAUCAUUGUCAUAUUUGCUUGCAUGAUCAUGUAGUUGGCAUUGUAUUUGUGCAAAGCCACCGUUAAUAAUUCUUCAUACAUGUCACUCUUCAUUCACUUCAUAUCCCGGUACACCGCCGGAGGCAUUCACAUAGUCAUAUUUUGUUCUAAGUAUCGAGUUGUAAUUCUUGAGUUGUAAGUAAAUAAAAGUGUGAUGAUCAUCAUUAUUAGAGCAUUGUGCCAAGUGAGGAAAGGAUGGAGACUAUGAUUCCACAACAAGUCGGCAUGAGACUCCAGACGAAAAUAAAAAAAGAGGGGAAAAAGAGAAAGGCCAUAGAAAAAGAAGGCCCAAAAAAUGAGAGAAAAAGAGAGAAGGGGCAAUGUUACUAUCCUUUUUCCACACUUGUGCUUCAAAGUAGCACCAUCAUCUUCAUGAUAGAGAGUCUCCUAUGAUAUCACUUUCAUAUACUAGUGGGAAUUUUUCAUUAUAGAACUUGGCUUGUAUAUUCCAAUGAUGGGCUUCCUCAAAUUGCCCUAGGUCUUCGUGAGCAAGCAAGUUGGAUGCACACCCACUUAGUUUCUUUUGUUGAGCUUUCAUACACUUAUAGCUCUAGUGCAUCCGUUGCAUGGCAAUCCCUACUCACUCACAUUGAUAUCUAUUAAUGGGCAUCUCCAUAGCCCGUUGAUACGCCUGUUCCGGAGCUCCGCCGGAGGGGGCAUCGAUCACGGAGGGCUUCUACAUCAACAGCAUAGCCUCUUCGAUGAAGUGUGAGUAGUUGACCUCAGACCUAUGGGUCCAUAGUUAUUACCUAGAUGGCUUCUUUUCUCUUUUUGGAUCUCAAUACAAUGUUCUCCCCCUCUCUUGUGGAGAACUAUUCGAUGUAAUCUUCUUUUUGCGGUGUGUUUAUUGAGACCGAUGAAUUGUGGGUUUAUGAUCAAGUCUAUCUAUGAAUAAUAUUUGAAUCUUCUCUGAAUUCUUUUAUGUAUGAUUGUUUAUCUUUGCAAGUCUCCUCGAAUUAUCAGUUGGUUUGGCCUACUAGAUUGAUCUUUCUUACAAUGGGAGAAGUGCUUCGCUUUGGGUUCAAUCUUGCGGUGUCCUUUCCCAGUGACAAUAGGGGCAGCAAGGCAUGUAUUGUAUUGUUGCCAUCGAGGAAAACAAGAUGAGGUUUUCAUCAUAUUGCAUGAGUCUAUCCCUCUACAUCAUGUCAUCUAGCUUAAGGCGUUACUCUGUUUUUAACUUAAUACUCUAGAUGCAUGCUGGAUAGCGGUCGAUGAGUGGAGUAAUAGUAGUAGAUGCAGGCAGGAGUCGGUCUACUUGUCUCGGACGUGAUGCCUAUAUACAUGAUCAUACCUAGAUAUUCUCAUAAAUAUGCUCAAUUCUGUCAAUUGCUCAACAGUAAUUUGUUCACCCACCAUAGAAUAAUUAUGCUCUCGAGAGAAGCUACUAGUGAAACCUAUGGCCCCCGGGUCUAUCUUUAUCAUAUUAAUCUCCUACUACUUAGUUAUUUCCUUUGCUUUUUCCUUUGCCUUUAUUUUACUUUUCAUCUUUAUCACAAAAAUACCAAACAUAUUAUCUUUAUCAUAUCUAUCAGAUCUCACUCUCGUAAGUGGCCGUGUAGGGAUUGACAACCCCUAUUCACGUUGGUUGCGAGGAUUUAUUUGUUUUGUGCAAGUACGAGGGACUCGCGCGUAGCCUCCUACUGGAUUGAUAUCUUGGUUCUCAAAAACCGAGGGAAAUACUUACGCUACUUUGCUACAUCAUCCCUUCCUCUUCGGGGAAAACCAACGCAGUGCUCAAGAGGUAGCAAGAAGGAUUUCUGGUGCCAUUGCCAGGGAGGUCUACGCAAAAGUUAACAUACCAAGUACCCGUCACAUACCCUUAUCUCCCGCAUUAUAUUAUUUGCCAUUUGCCUCUCGUUUUCACCUCCCCCACUUCACCCUUGCCGUUUUAUUCGCCCUCUCUCUCUAUCCUCCCUCUCUUUCUCUAUUUGCCUCUUUUUUCCCGCUUGCUUUCUGUUUGCUUGUGUGUUAGUUGCUUGCUUGUCACGAUGGCUCAAGAUAAUACUAAAUUAUGUGACUUCACCAAUACCAACAACAAUGAUUUUAUUAGCACUCCGAUUGCUCCUCUUAUCGAUGCUGAAUCUUGUGAAAUUAAUACUGCUUUGCUGAAUCUUGUCAUGAAAGAUCUGUUUUCCGGCCUUCCUAGUGAAGAUGCCGGUACCCACCUAAAUAGAUUCAUUGAUUUGUGUGACAUGCAAAACAAGAAAGGUGUGGAUAAUGAUAUUGUUAAAUUGAAGCUAUUUCCUUUUUCGCUUAGAGAUCGUGCUAAACUUGGUUUUCGUCUUUGCCUAAAAAUAGUAUUGAUUCAUGGAAUAAGUGCAAAGAUGCUAUUAUCUCUAAGUAUUUUCCUCCUGCUAAGAUCAUCUCUCUUAGAAACGAUAUUAUGAAUUUUAAGCAACUUGAUCAUGAAUAUGUUGCACAAGCUUGGGAGAGAAUGAAACUAAUGGUACGUAAUUGCCCUGCCCAUGAUUUAAAUUUGUGGAUGAUUAUACAAAAUUUUUAUGCCGGAUUGAAUUUUGCUUCUAGAAAUCUUUUAGAUUCGGCCGCGGGAGGCACUUUUAUGGAAAUCACUUUAGGAGAAGCUACUAAACUCCUAGAUAAUAUUAUGGUUAAUUAUGCUCAACGGCAUACUAAAAGAUCUAAUAAUAAAAAGGUGCAUGCGAUAGAAGAAAUUAAUGUUUUGAGUGGAAAGAUGGAUGAACUUCUGAAAUUAUUUGCUAAUAAGAGUGUUUCUUCUGAUCCUAAUGAUAUGCCCUUGUCUACUUUGAUUGAGAAUAAUAAUGAAUCUGUGGAUGUGGAUUUUGUUGGUAGGAACAAUUUUGGUAACAGCGCGUAUAGAGGAAAUUUCAACCCUAGGCCUUAUCCUAGUAAUCUCUCUAAUAAUUACGGUAAUUCCUACAACAAUUCUUAUGGAAAUUAUAAUAAGAUGCCCUCUAAUUUUGAAUCUAAUAUUAAAGAAUUUAUUACUUUGCAAAAGAAUUUCAAUGCCUUGAUUGAAGAAAAAUUGCUUAAGAUUGAUGAUUUGGCUAGGAACGUUGAUAGAAUUACUCUUGAUGUUGAUUCUUUGAAACUUAGAUCUAUUCCACCUAAGCAUGAUGUCAAUGAGUCUCUCAAAGCCAUGAGAAUUUCCAUUGAUGAGUGCAAAGAAAGAACCGCUAAGAUGCGUGCUAAGAAAGAUGCCUUUAUAAGAGCGUGUUCUUCUAGUUCCUAUGAAAAUAAUGAUGAAGAUCUAAAAGUUAUAGAUGUGUUCCCUAUUAAAUAUUUGUUUUUCAAUAUGAAUCUUGAUAAUGAUGGGACUGAAUAUGAUCCACCUUUACCUAUAAGGCGUUCGAAGAAUUCAGAAUUUGUUGAUCUUGAUGCUAAAAUUGAUAAAGGUGGGAUUGAAGAAAUUAAAACCCUAGAUGUUGCUAAACCCACUAUUAUGGAUUUCAAGGAAUUUAACUAUGAAAAUUGCUCUUUGAUUGAUUGUAUAUCCUUUUUACAAUCCGUGCUAAAUUCUCCUCAUGCUUAUAGUCAAAAUAAAGCGUUUACUAAACAUAUCGUUGAUGCCUUGAUGCAAUCUUAUGAAGAAAAACUUGAAUUGGAAGUUUCUAUCCCUAGAAAGCUUUAUGAUGAUUGGGAACCAACUAUUAAAAUUAAAAUUAAAUAUCAUGAAUGCUAUGCUUUAUGUGAUUUGGGUGCUAGUGUUUCCACGAUUCCAAAGACUUUGUGUGAUUUGUUAGGUUUCCGUGAUUUUGAUGAUUGCUCUUUAAACUUGCGCCUUGUGGAUUCCACUAUUAAGAAACCUAUGGGAAGAAUUAAUGAUGUUCUUAUGGAUGCAAAUAGGAAUUAUGUGCCUGUAGAUUUUAUUCUUCUUGACAUAGAUUGCAAUCUUUCAUGUCCUAUUAUUCUUGGUAGACCUUUCCUUAGAAUGAUUGGUACAAUUAUUGAUAUGAAGGAAGGAAAUAUUAGAUUCCAAUUUCCAUUAAGGAAAUUCAUGGAACACUUUACUAGAAAGUAAAUUAAAUUACCUUAUGAAUCUAUUAUGAUAGCCACUUGUGGAUUGCCUACCAAAGAUGGCAAUACCUAGAUCUAUCCUUGCUUGUUAUGCCUAGCUAGGGGCGUUAAACGAUAGCGCUUGUUGGGAGGCAACGCAAUUUUGUUUUUAUUCCUUGAUUUUUGCUCCUGUUUAGUAAUAAAUAAUUUAUCUAUCCUCUGUUUUGGUUGUGUUCUUUGUGUUUAAUUAGUGUUGGUGCCAAGUAGAACCGUUAGGAAGACUUGGGGAAAGUCUUGUUACACUUGCUGUAAAAAACAGAAACUUCGGCGCUCAUGAGAACUGCUGCCAUUUUUAUUUGGAAAGUGCUAUUUAGUUAAUUAUUUCUGCAGAUGAUUAAUAGAUAAAUUCCUCACGUCCAGAAAUUUAUUUUAGAAUUUUUGGGGUUCCAGCUCUUGAGCUAGGUACAGAUUACUACAGAUUGUUCUGUUUUUGAAAGAUUCUGUUUUUUCGUGUGUUGUUUGCUUAUUUUGAUGAACCUAUGGCUAGUAAAAUAGUUCAUAAACCAUAGAGAAGUUGGAAUACAGUAGGUAUAACACCAGUAUAAAUAAAUAAUGAGUUCAUUAUAGUACCUUGAAGUGGUCUUUUAUUUUCUUUCGCUAACGGAGCUCACGAGAUUUUCUACUUUAAGUUUUGUGUUGUGAAGUUUUCAAGUUUUGGGUAAAGAUUUGAUGGUUUAUGGAACAAGGAGUGACAAGAGCCUAAGCUUGGGGAUGCCCAUGGCACCCCCAAGAUAAUCUAAGUACACCUAAAAGCCAAAGCUUGGGGAUGCCCCGGAAGUCAUCCCCUCUUUCGUCUACUUCUAUCGGUAACUUUACUUGGAGCUAUAUUUUUAUUCGCCACAUGAUAUGUGUUUUGCUUGGAGCGUCUUGUAUUAUUUGACUCUUUAUUUGUUAGUUUACCACAAUCAUCCUUCCUGUACACACCUUUUGAGAGAGCCAUACAUGAUUUGGAAUUUGUUAGAAUAGUCUAUGUGCUUCGCUUAUAUCUUUUGAGUUAUAUAGUUUUGCUCUAGUACUUCACUUAUAUAUUUUAGAGCACGGUGGUGGAUUUGUUUUAUAAAAACUAUUGAUCUCCCAUGCUUCACUUAGAUUAUUUUGAGAUGCUUAAUAGCAUGGUAACUUGCUUAAAAUCCUAAUAUGCUAGGUAUUCAAAGUUAGUAAAAUUUUCUUAAGAGUGUUUUGAAUACUAAGAGAAGUUUGAUGCUUGAUGAUUGUUUUGAGAUAUGGAGGUAAUAAUAUCAAAGUCGUGCUAGUUGAGUAGUUGUGAAAUUGAGAAAUACUUGUGUUGAAAUUUGCAUGUCCCGUAGCAUGCACGUAUGGUAAAUGUUGUGUAACAAAUUUGAAACAUGAGGUGUUAUUUGAUUGUCUUCCUUAUGAGUGGCGGUCGGGGACGAGCGAUGGUCUUUUCCUACCAAUCUAUCCCCCUAGGAGCAUGCGCGUAGUACCGAGGUUUUUGAUGACUUGUAGAUUUUUGCAAUAAGUAUGUGAGUUCUUUAUGACUAAUGUUGAGUCCAUGAAUUAUACGCACUCUCACCCUUCCAUCCUUGCUAGCCUCUUUGGUACCAUGCAUUGCCCUUUCCCACAUUGAUUGUUGGAGCAAACUUCGCCGGUGCAUCCAAACCCCGUGAUAUGAUACGCUCUUUCACACAUAAACCUCCUUAUAUCUUCGUCAAAAAAGCCACCAUACCUACCUAUUAUGGCAUUUCCAUAGCCAUUCCGACAUAUAUUGCCAUGCAACUUUCCACCAUUCCGUUCAUCAUGACACAUUCAUCAUUGUCAUAGUGCUUAGCAUAAUCAUGUAGUUGACAUAGUAUUUGUGGCAAGGCCACCGUUCAUAAUUCUUUCAUACAUGUCACUCUUGGUCCAUUGCAUAUCCCGGUACACCGCUGGAGGCAUUCAUAUAAGUCAUACUUUGUUCUAGUAUCGAGUAGUAAUUAUUGAGUUGUAAAUAAAACGAAGUGUGAUGAUCUUAAUUAAUAGAGCAUGGUCCCAAAAAGAGAAAAAAGGAAGGGCCAAAAAAAGGCCAAAUAAAAAAAUAUAAAAAGGGGGGCAAUGCUACUAUCCUUUUUUCCACACUUGUGAUUCAAAGUAGCACCGUAAUCUUCAUGAUAGAGAGUAUCUUGAUUUGUCACUUUCAUAUACUAGUGGGAAUUUUUCAUUAUAGAACUUGGCUUGUAUAUUCCAACAAUGGGCCUCCUCAAGUGCCCUAGGUCUUUGUGAGCAAGCAAGUUGGAUGCACACCCACUUAGUUUCUUUUGUUGAGCUUUCAUACAUUUAUAGCUCUAGUGCAUCCGUUGCAUGGCAAUCCCUACUCCUUGCAUUAACAUCAAUCGAUGGGCAUCUCCAUAGCCCAUUGAUUAGCCUCGUUGAUGUGAGACUUUCUCCUUUUUGUCUUGUCCACAUAACUCCACUCAUUAUAUUCUAUUCCACCCAUAGUGUUAUGUCCAUGGCUUACAAUCAUAUAUUCCGUGAAAGUUUAUAGGUUUGAGAUCACUAAAGUAUGAAACAAUUGCUUGGCUUGUCAUCGGGGUUGUGCAUGAUGAGAGCAUUGUUGUGUGACAAAAAUGAAGCAUGACUAAACUAUAUGAUUUUGUAGGGAUGAACUUUCUUUGGCCAUGUUAUUUUGAGAAGACAUAAUUGCUUAGUUAGUAUGCUUGAAGUAUUAUUAUUUUUAUGUCAAUAUGAACUUUUGUCUUGAAUCUUUCGGAUCUGAAUAUUCAUACCACAAUUAAGAAGAAUAACAUUAAAAUCAUGCUAAGUAGCACUCUGCAUCAAAAAUUCUGUUUUUAUCAUUUACCUACUCGAGGACGAGCAGGAAUUAAGCUUGGGGAUGCUUGAUACGUCUCCAACGUAUCUAUAAUUUUUGAUUGCUCCAUGCUAUAUUAUCUACUGUUUUGGACAAUAUUGGGCUUUAUUAUCCACUUUUAUAUUAUUUUUGGGACUAACCUAUUAACCGGAGGCCCAGCCUAGGAUUGCUGUUUUUUGCCUAUUUUAGGGUUUCGAAGAAAAGGAAUAUCAAACGGAGUCCAAACGGAAUGAAACCUUCGGGAACGUGAUUUUCUCAACGAACAAGACCCAGGAGAAUUGGACCCUCCGUCAAGACACAAAAGAGGAGGCCACGAGGUAGGGGGCGUGCCUACCCCCCCGGCGCGCCCUCCACCCUCGUGGGCCCCCUGUUGCUCCACCGACGUACUCCUUCCUCCUAUAUAUACCUACGUACCCCCAAAUGAUCAUAUACGGAGCCAAAACCCUAAUUACGCUGCCGCAACAUUCUGUAUCCACGAGAUCCCAUCUUGGUGCCUGUUCCGGAGCUCCGUCAGAGGGGGCAUCGAUCAUGGAGGGCUUCUACAUCAACACCAUAGCCUCUCUGAUGAAGUGUGAGUAGUUGACCUCAGACCUACGGGUCCAUAGUUAUUACCUAGAUGGCUUCUUCUCUCUUUUUGGAUCUCAAUACAAUGUGCUCCCCCUCUCUUGUGGAGAACUAUUCGAUGUAAUCUUCUUUUUGCGGUGUGUUUGUUGAGACCGAUGAAUUUUGGGUUUAUGAUCAAGUCUAUCUAUGAAUAAUAUUUGAAUCUUCUCUGAAUUCUUUUAUGUAUGAUUGGUUAUCUUUGCAAGUCUCUUCGAAUUAUCAGUUUGGUUUGGCCUACUAGAUUGAUCUUUCUUGCAAUGGGAGAAGUGCUUAGCUUUGGGUUCAAUCUUGCGUGUCCUUUCCCAGUGAUAGUAGGGGUAGCAAGGCACGUAUUGUAUUGUUGCCAUCGAGGACAACAAGAUGGGGUUUUCAUCAUAUUUUAUGAGUCUAUCCCUCUACAUCAUGUCAUCUUACUUAAGGCGUAAUAGUAGUAGAUGAGUGGAGUAAUAGUAGUAGAUGCAGGCAGGAGUCGGUCUACUUGUCUCGGACGUGUUGCCUAUAUACAUGAUCAUACCUAGAUAAUCUCAUAACUAUGCUCAAAUCUAUCAAUUGCUCAAUAGUAAUUUGUUCAUCCACCGUAGAAUACUUAUGCUCUCGAGAGAAGCCACUAGUGAAACCUAUGGCCCCCGGGUCUAUCUUUAUCAUAUUAAUCUCCUACUACUUAGUUAUUUCCUUUGCUUUUUUACUUUGCCUUUAUUUUACUUUGCAUCUUUAUCACAAAAAUAAAAAUAUCUUUAUCAUAUCUAUCCAAUCUCACUCUCGUAAGUGGCCGUGUAGGGAUUGACAACCCCUAUUCACGUUGGUUGCGAGGAUUUAUUUAUUUUGUGCAGGUACGAGGGACUGGCGCAUAGCCUCCUACUGGAUUGAUACCAUGGUUCUCAAAACCUGAGGGAAAUACUUAUGCUACUUUGCUGCAUCAUCCCUCACUCUUCGGGGAAAACCAACGAAGUGCGCAAGAGGUAGCAAGGGUUCCUUUUUGUCGACGAUCUGAUGUUUCAACCUUGUUUUCCAGGCGGCCAACGCAUCACUCAACUUGGUCAUGGCGUGUUUGUUUAUCUUCUUCAUUGCCAGGUCCUUAUCUGGAUCUUUAUUAUCCUUUUCAUUACGGUCCGGGAACAAGAAUAUCUGGUGCAGCUUCUUCAGGAGGGAGGGCCUCAUAUUAUCUAUCUUCUAUAGUUUCCCAUCGUUGAUCAUGGCAGUUGUCCGUACAAUGCAACCUAUUUGAUUGCCGUAACACGAUUGCGCUUCCUCGGGUGCUAUUGUCUCAAAAAUACUGUCGUCCAUCUCCGUGACCACCAGUCUAGUACUCAUGAGCUGGUUUAGGCGUCGUGGCCUCUUUGCUGUCGGUUCUAGACUAACUCCCCUAGUCUCGGCACCGGUCUCAGUCUCAUCGCCGGUCUGCAUGUCGGUAUCAGUCCCCGAUGCGACAACACAGUCGCUGCAACAUGGGUAAGGGAGACCACAUCAGUGCUGGGGGUCCGAAAAUUGGGACACACUUUCGCGCGUCGCGGGCCGCCUCUCAGACAGCUAAUGGGGAGGCGGCGGAGUACCUGGGUGCGCGGCGAAUCCCCAAGAACUCGGUGACCAACUUCCUUCCCGUGUGGCGCAUGGAGACGACGGCGACCCUGGCGAAGAGCAGCUUAGCCGCGAGCUGCACAGCCUCGUCCACCUCCUAAGUUGGGACCUCCGUGCGAGCGUUGCGGGGCCGCCGCUCGGAUGGCUUCUGGAAGGCCGUUGUACAUGGGCACAGGGUGAAUCCCGACGAGAGCUGGCCAUUGGCGCGCGCAAGUAGACGACGACGUCCCCGACGAAGAGCUGCCCGGCCAGCUCGCCUCACUCGCCUUUGAUUAGAAAUGAAAGAUUGGGAAGAAGCAGACUUGAGCCUGCAGGGAAAGGAUAAGGUGACGAUGCAGUCUCCACUCGUUCGGGGCGACACGCGUACUGAAUGUAUGAGAAACGUGACGUGGCAGAGACCCCAAGAUACUCCCUCCAUUUAUUUUUAGUCUGCAUAUAAAGUUUGGUCAAAGUCAAGAUUUGUAAAUUUUAACGAACUUUAUAAUAAAAAAAUAUCAGCAUUCACAAUAUGAAAUCAAUAUUACCAGAUGCGUCAUGAAAUGUAUUUCCAUACUAUAUAGUUUUGGUAUUGUAGAGGCACUCUUCCAUAUAAUGAAGUUUAUAAUAUAUGUGCUUAUAUUGUAUUACAAUUGUUUGAAUAGCUUAGCAUAUGUUCAGAUGUAUGAUAUCUGUAAUUUAAGCGCUUGAAUUUUACAUAUAAAUAUUUAUUAAUAAAUAUGUACCCCUAUAAUAGCUAGGCCGUGCCGUUGCACGGGUAGAUGACUAGUGAUUACAAUCUUGUUUGUGUGCAAGUCAAGCUUAUAUAGUUUACACGUAACAACUUGUAGAACAUUACAAAAUUUAUGCUUGCUAAUAACUUCUAGAACACUAGAACACUUGACAUGUAAAAGGAAUUUGACGAGUCAUGGCCUACUAAAGCAAGUUACAUUACUAGUCUUAUCUAUCUUAACAGACCACACAAGAUUACAAACUAAGUACCGUGACAGCCAUGCUUAUCUAGUUUAUGCGUAACAAUUUGCAGAAAAUUAGAAACUUGGUUUCAGAAAAAUACGCAAUCUAGAUUAGUGUUUGAGCUGUAAAGUGAAUAAGAUGAGUCAUGCAUGUUAUCACACCUUUUUGGUGGUGGAAUGAUAGUGCAACAACAAGGAACUUUAAUGACCAGUCCAAGAAUACACUUGUAAGUAGUGCCACCAAACAGAACAUACCAAAUGAUGAUUUUUAGAAGCAUCCAAGCACUUUCCACACAAACAAAUGCCAAUUGUGAAAGAGAUCAUUCCAUGGCAGCUAUAAAUAGCCCCAUAGCAUGAGGUUCAUCCUUCCUCAUCCAUCAUUUUCAUUAGUAGAGCGCAUCAUUUAAGCCAAGCAAGCUGUGGUCAAUACAAAUCCACCAUGAAGACCUUUCUCAUCCUUGCCCUCCCUGCUAUCGUGGCGACCACCGCCACAACUGCAGUUAGAGUUCCAGUGCCACAAUUGCAGCCACAAAAUCCAUCUCAGCAACAGCCACAAGAGCAAGUUCCAUUGGUACAACAACAACAAUUUCUAGGGCAGCAACAACCAUUUCCACCACAACAACCAUAUCCACAGCCGCAACCAUUUCCAUCACAACAACCAUAUCUGCAGCUGCAACCAUUUCCGCAGCCGCAACUACCAUAUUCGCAGCCACAACCAUUUCGACCACAACAACCAUAUCCACAACCGCAACCACAGUAUUCGCAACCACAACAACCAAUUUCACAGCAGCAGCAGCAGCAGCAACAACAACAACAACAACAACAACAACAACAAAAGCAAAUCCUUCAACAAAUUUUGCAACAACAACUGAUUCCAUGCAUGGAUGUUGUAUUGCAGCAACACAACAUAGCGCAUGGAAGAUCACAAGUUUUGCAACAAAGUACUUACCAGCUGUUGCAAGAAUUGUGUUGUCAGCACCUAUGGCAGAUCCCUGAGCAGUCGCAGUGUCAGGCCAUCCAAAAUGUUGUUCAUGCUAUUAUUCUGCAUCAACAACAAAAACAACAACAACAACCAUCGAGCCAGGUGUCCUUCCAACAGCCUCUGCAACAAUAUCCAUUAGGCCAGGGCUCCUUCCGGCCAUCUCAGCAAAACCCACAGGACCAGGGCUCUGUCCAGCCUCAACAACUGCCCCAGUUCGAGGAAAUAAGGAACCUAGCGCUACAGAUGCUACCUGCAAUGUGCAAUGUCUACAUCCCUCCAUAUUGCACAAUCGCGCCAUUUGGCAUCUUCGGUACUAACUGAGAAGAAAAUAACUCUAGUACUAGAUAUAUGAAACACCGUUUUCUCAGUCCAUGGUUUGGUCAUUGUAGCGUCGAAAAAAUAAUGUGACAUGCACUAUCAUAUAAGAAUCCGAACUAUACUAGUUCAAACUUGGGAAUAAAAGACAAACACAUGUCUUGUCUACAUAUUUAUGUUGCAUCUAUUUAUAUAUUAAAAGUAAUAUAAGGUGAACCAGGAGCAAGGUAAAUAUGCUAGAAAAUUGCACGUUAAUUAGAAAUUACUUGCCCUCGAUCUGGUAAAUCUUAACAAAUAGAAUUAUCUUGACCGUUAGAUUUAUAUAACAUAUAUAAUGCUCUGGGCCUCCAACGACUGUACGUGACACAUCUGAACGAACAUAUGGUAAAGAAAAUAUAUUUGGUAAAUGGUGGGCCUGUUUAAAAAGAGAACUCACGUACAUGCACCAACUAAGAAAAACACAUACAUGUAAACGGGAAAAGGAUGAGAUUUUCUCACGUACGUGCUCCCUGGCUCCACCCCGUUGAAAAAAUAUACAUCUGGAGGCCACUUUGUUUCCUCAUCAAAAAAACUUACGUUAAAAAGAUUGCAUGCAUCCCAGGGAAAAUAGUCAAGAAGAAGUCGGACUUUUCCUUACAAAAACAAGGAACGUGUUAAGUUGACUUCAAAGAAAAAAGGAACAUGUUAAGUUAAAAAAAAACAAGAAACCUGUUAAGUUAGAAAAAAACAAGGAACGUGUUGUCCAAGGAAAGAUAUGUGUCAAAUCUUACAAAAAAAAAGAAUACACACACGUACGUUCAUGCACUUGGAAAAUAGAAAAAAAGGAACAUCACGUAUGUAUACACUUCGGAAACUCAUUACAUGACCAUGUCUGAUAUACUCCUCUAAUGCUUAAUAUUAGUGCCUAAUAAUUUAUAUUUAAAAUUUAAUUUACUGAUCAAAUAUCCCCACUGUUUAAAUUUUAAUUUGGCACAUUGUUUGGCUAUAGUAUGAACCUGAAUUUCCUCUUAUUAUUAUAUAUCAUGGUAAUAAUCCAAAGGCGACUAAUCUGCACCGGCGCACCGGCGCAAUCAAUUCGGCUGGACACAGCGCGGCCGUUUGAUUAGAUUGCAUUUAACCAUCAGAUCUGGAAUCGUUUUCUUUCCAAUUAAACGGAUUCAACCAAACAGCAGAGGGGAAAACAAAGCAGCGCCGCCGCCAACACUAGCCAUGGACGACCGAUGUAGCAAAACCUUGAAGAACCGCCGCCGGUCGCCACCCUCGCCUCUGGUCGCUGCCCUCGCCGUCGGUCACCGCCGGUCGCCGCCCUCGCCGCCUGCGUUUCUCAUCGGCUUCAUGCAUGCAACAACAUGCACUCGUGGUUGCAGGCUUGCAUCUCCGGCUCCGGGGACAUGGCCGCAUCUCCGGUAGCGCCGGCCGCCGGCCGCAGCACCUGUCGUUGUGGUCGCGCUGUACCUCGCCGUGUGCCCUCCCGAGGCUCUUGCUGGUUCCAACAAAAAACGAUACCUGUUGUAGCAAAAAAGUAUCGCUUCCAGCAAAAAAGCUUACCGCUACAGCCCGCCAUCGUCAUUGUAGCAAAAAUGUUAACCCGAUGUAGCUUCUGUGGUUGCCGACUGCAGCAAAAAAUGACAUGGCUGUAGCAAAACACAAAAGAAAAACACUGGCCGGCCGCUGUGUAUGGUGGUAACAAACCCUAUAGCCGGUGGUAGCGAAAAACUUCAUAGUGUGCUGCAAAAAAAUGUUGUCACCCGUCGUCGAGGUUGCAUCAUCUUCAUGAAUUAUGCCGCAAAAAAACGUUGUCGCCGGUAGUAGCAAAUGAAGCCGCCGGUAGUAGCAAAACAAGACACUGGUUCCAGCCAAAAAAAAAAUCAGCGACAGAACCUUUGGUUGGUUCCAACAAAAAAACUUGUCGGUUGUAACAUCCCUCGCCGCCGGAUGUAGCAUCUCCCGGGGCUGGUUGCAACACUCCAUAAAAAAAGUUGUCUAUGAGCGCAUCCAUGGUGACUGCUGCACCGUCAGCAAUGAGGGGAAGAGGAGGCAAUGAAAAUCAUUCGAGUCAUAGCUCCACAGGACGCGGCUGCAGCAUGGGGAGUCCAAAAAUCUGUCACAAGCAACAUGCGCCGCGCCAUCCUCCUGCGCAGGAGAGAGAAGAAAAAGGAAUAAGAGGAAGAAGAAAGGAAACAGGAGAAAGAAAAAAGAAAGGAUUGGUGGUUGGCUCAGGCAAUUAGUCAAGCGAGGGGCACGCGGGGCCGCAGGACACAGCGCAAUCGAACGAAGCGCGCGCGUCCGGGCGAAGACUCGGCCGGACUGCCGUCUGGAAACGUUUCCCUAAUCCAAAGGCUUUAUCUGAAUGACAAGUCGUCUGGGUUACCGGCUAACUAGAAAAAAGAUAAAUAUGCUAGAGAAUUCCAUAAUAAUUAGAAAUAUCUAGCCUUUAAUUAUGUAAACCAGAAAAUCACAACCGUUGGAUUUACUUUAAAGGUAAAUUUCUAUAAAUUCCCACCAUUGCCAGUAUGUAGAAACAUGUGCUGCUUCAAUUCUCCCAUAAUCACCAAUCAAUCAACAACACAAAACAUACCUCAGUUAAAAAAACUGAACAAAAAAAAGAAAAAAAGAAGAAAGGACAAGAUACACGCAUGUACACGACAGCCUUGGCUUGAAACACAUCAGUAGAUCAAGUGUCCGCCUCCCUUACACGUACGUCCCAUGAGGUUUACUAGCCUACCGCCGCCGCAUCAUGCCAUCCUCUCCUUUCAGCUCCCAUGCUCUCCAGCACCCUCAUUGCGGCGCCACUACUCGCCUAGGGAUAUUGCUGCUCAGACCGUGGAGCUUAACCACAUCAGCAUCAGCACGUAUGGGCCUCAUUAUACUGCAGCACGUAUUGCGCCCCCUUAAGUCCAGGUCUGUUUGCUGGCACAUAUGCUUUGGAAAUAGGCCACUAUGUUUGUACUUCAAAAUUGUUUCUGUAUUCUUGAGUGGUACAUCCUUUUAAGCGCCAGUUUUUUAUGUUAAUUCAUGCUGACAACACUUAACCUAGCCUUUCAUGUUCACGUACUAAAUACAGGAGCAAGUAAAAACAACAGACCACCUAAUUGCUCUGCAUGUACUACAUAGGAAAAUUUGUCAUGUUCUACGAUCGCACCAUCCCACCCUUCUCUCUUGGUAUGGGCGCCAAUUGAGGGAUUGAUAAAACUGAAACGAAGACGUCACAGGGCUGGAAGUACCGCUAGCCUGGUUUGCACUGCAACCUACCCAACGCCAUCAGAAACUAGCAACUGAGUCAGGUGUUGAUCGAUUCUCUCAAAUUGCUCUCAUGUAAGUACUACCCCUUGCAUGUGCGUACAUACCUUUGUUGCAUUCUCAAACAGAUAGAACAUGUUUGAUCGGUGCAUGGCUAUUUUUCAUCACAUGACAUCCAGAUAACAAGCAUGAAAGGACUACAUUGGAGAUCAAAAAAUAUUGGUUCCUGGCUAGAGUACCACUACCUAUGGACUUGUCUCCAUAGAAUUUGUUCCCAAGAUGUUAUUUUAAUUAAUCUCUUUAGCUUUCUUCCAUUGCAAACGGUGAUGUGCAUCAUGGUAUAUACGUGACCAUCUUGCACAUGUAUACACAAGAGGCUCAGAUGGAGGUGCUGGAUUCUGGACGAGGGAAUAUGAAGCAGGAGUGAGCGAAGAGUAAAUAAUGGUGGGAGUACCGAUUGGUGUUAUGAAGAAAAAUGCCAUCCAAAGAUUGAUUAGUGUCAUGGAAGAUUAAUUUCUGAAUGCGAAUAUAUAUGUUACAUUGGUUUGGAUCUUUUUGAGAUAAUUCCACCUAAAUUAGGUUCUUUCUUAUUUCAUAUGUAUACCUUAUUUCAGUAAAAGUUCACAACGAACUUAGUAGGACAAAUAUAAUUUUGUUUGUUCUUUCUGUUGUCCGCCACCAAAGCUCAAUUUGAACUCUCUAGAAAUGGACAAUGAUUUAUGCAUUCUAUAUCUUCUUGAUUGAUUAGCCAUGACAAGGAAAUAAAAGGAUUGACUGAUAUAGCAUAACUUUGGAACGAUUAGAGGUUACUACAAAUAAGAGUAGUGUCUGUUGGAAUUUUGCUAGUAGGCCUUUGGCCCAAAGCCCAACUAAAAUUCUGAAAUUCUCUUGGCUCAUUUAUGCACACAUGUGAGUUGAGUGAGUGAGACUAAAGUUUAGUCCCACCCUGGAAGUUGAGAGAGAGUUGCACCUCUUUAUAAGGUGAGCUCUUCUACCACUUGUAUGAGCAUGAGAAGAGGAGACCUACACGCGCGCUCCUCCUCCACGCUCGCCACGCCUCGUCGCGCCGCGCCGUGCCGCGGGUUGCGGGAUUGAGCCGAGCCGAGGACGUUUUCUAUAUUUUUGCUGCUCGGGAAAAAUUAAUGAGUCAUUAAUUAAUAAUUAAUGGACACAUUAAUUACUGAACCGUUUCCGAUUUUUUUGGAUCGUGACGACUCGGACGUGGGGUUUACUCCCAGGACCUACCCGGCCCGCACUAUAUAGUCAGGAAGACGUCUACCCUAGCCGCCGCCGCUUCGUAUGGUUUCUCACCAUCGUUACAGAUCAUUGCGCCGCCAAGCAAGUUUUCUCCAUCCCUCCUUUCGGCGUGCACCGGGAGAAGGGACAGCAGACCUCCGGAACCCCGCCUCUCGUGAUCCUAUACGGGAGAGGGGCGAUCAGGUUUUUGGGGAGCGCACUCGCAUGACUGCUGGCAGCGACGACUUCGCAAACGACGACUUCUUCCCCGACCUCGGCAACCUCAUCCUCGACGACAUGGGCGACAACGUCAACGCCGGCGGUGCUACACCCACUGCACCGUAUGUUAUUCUCUCCUUCUUGUUCGAGAUCAUGGUAGAAUUCAUGUUUCUAGUAUAUGUGCCCUAGAUGUGAUCUGUUCAUCUACUAUGGUAGUUCGCAUGAUUAGUUUAAUCUCUGUUAUUGCUGUCAUGAUCUAUUUCCUAUUUAUUCGGAUUAAAUCUCGUAGUAAUUUUCUCAUUUUUCCAACAAUCCAAAAACCUGAUUAUAGGAAAUUUACUCCGAGUGGUUUUGCUGCGCAUCUGAAAGCCGCUUGCCUUUAAGGGGGCGCAAUAUAAGAGGUGGCGCACCAGAGCAGUCUACUGGUUUCAGAUCAUGGGCUGCUAUGACGCCACCAAGGGCAAGCCUGAGGGCGAUCUUAAUCCAGCACAGCUGGAAGCUUUCAAGAAGAUCAAUACCCUCUUUAAAGGCACGCUUCUGAGUGUUCUUGAUGACUCCAUUGUAGAUUCGUAUAUGUCGUUUGACAAUGGCAAGAACAUGUGGGCUACGCUCGAGGCCAAGUUUGGUGCCUCGGACGCCGGCAGCGAGUUGUACGUCAUGGAGCAAUUCUAUGACUCCAAGAUGACUGAUGGGCGCCCUGUUGUACAGCAGGCUCAUGAGAUACAGUUGCUCGCAAAAGAACUUGAGUACUUCAAGUGUGUGUUGGCGAACAAAUUUGUUGCCGGAGGCAUCAUUGCCAAGCUUCCACCUUCGUGGAACAAUUUUGCUACUUCCCUGAAACACAAGAGACAGGAGUUUUUCGUUGCGGAUCUCAUUGGUACUCUUGAUGUUGAAGAGAAGGCGAGAGCAAAGGAUACACGUGCUUGAGUUGCUAAGGGAGGUUCUAGUGCCCACAUGGUACAGAAGAAGAACUUCCAGCCCAACAAGUUCAAAAACAACAAGAACAAAACUUAGGGCAAAGGCAAGUUCGAUACAAAGAACAAGCCAUCACAUUCUACCAACUUCAAGAAGAACUCUCAUAAGAAGGGGAAGGGACUUUGCCAUGUCUAUGGUGAUCCUAAUCACUGGGCUCCGAAGUGUCCCAACCGCUUUGAGGAGCGCGAACAUGAGAAGAGCGGCAAGUCUGCUAAUGUUGUCAUCGGUGAUACUGAUAUGAAGGAAUCAGGGUACGGUAUUUUUCCUACCAUCCUUUCAGUAUUCCAAACCCCUGACUGGUUAAUUGACACCGGUGCCAAUGUACAUGUUUGUGCUGAUGCCUCCAUGUUUUCUUCUUACCAGGCCACUGGGACUUCUCCUAUGCUGAUGGGGAACGGGUCACAUGCCAUCGUUCGAGGUGUUGGUACGGUCGAUCUGAAGUUUACUUCGGGGAAGACCGUGCGUCUGAAGAACGUUCAUCAUGUGCCGUCCAUCAAUAAAAAUCUCGUUAGCGGUUCCCGUUUAUGUCGAGAUGGUUUUAAGUUGGUUUUCGAAUCCAAUAAAGUUAUAAUUUCUAAGUAUGGACAAUUUGUUGGAAAAGGCUAUGAGAGCGGAGGCUUGUUUCGCCUGUCUUUGUCAGAUAUUUGCACUAAAGUUAUUAAUAAUGUUUGCCACAACAAUGAGUCUGAUAUUUGGCAUUCACGACUUUGUCACAUUAACUUUGGUUGCAUGACGCGGCUAGCCAAUAUGAAUUUAAUUCCGAAAAUCUCUACUGUCAAAGGAUCUAAGUGCCAAGUAUGUGUGCAAGGUAAGCAACCUCGCAAGUCCCAUAAGACUGCAGAGGCAACAGACUUGGCGCCACUAGAGCUUAUACAUUCUGAUAUUUGUGAGAUGAAUGACGUGUUGACAAAAGGUGGAAAGAGAUACCUCAUGACGUUGAUUGAUGACUCCACUAGAUAUUGUUAUGUGUAUCUUAUGAAAUCAAAAGAUGAGGCUUUGGCUUUCUUCAAAAACUAUAGAGCUGAGGCAGAGAACCAACUUGAUCGAAAAAUUAAACGGCUUAGGUCCGAUCAUGGUGGAGAGUAUUUUUCCAAUGAAUUUGAUCUAUUUUGUGCGGAACAUGGUAUAAUCCAUGAGAGGAUGCCUCCCUACUCACCCCAGUCAGAUGGGGUAGCCGAAAGAAAGAACCAAACUCUAACUGAUAUGGUUAACACCAUGUUAGACACUUCGGGUCUAUCCAAGGAAUGGUGGGGGGAGGCGCUAAUGACUGCGUGUCAUGUCCUAAACCGAGUUCCCACAAAGCAUAAGACCAUGACUCCAUUUGAGGAAUGUUAAAGGAAAAGGUUGAAACUCUCUUACCUACGUACUUGGGGUUGUUUGGCGAAAGUCAAUAUACCAAUUCCCAAGAAGCGCAAGCUUGGACCAAAAAUCGUGGGUUGUGUUCUUCUUGGCUAUGCUUUUCAUAGCAUCGGCUAUAGAUUUUUGAUAAUAAAAUCUGAGGUAUCCGACAUGCAUGUUGGUACGAUUAUGGAGUCGAAUGAUGCAACUUUUUUUGAGGACAUAUUUCCUAUGAAGGAUAUGUCGAGUUCAUCAAAUCAGGAGACACCUACUCCAUCUAGUGAGGAAUUCAUUGUAAUUCCUGAACCCACCAUUGCGAUGGAACACAUUGAGAAUCCUGUUGAGGGUGACAAUGGAACUCUUGUGAGGAGUAAGAGACAUAGGACUACAAAGUCCUUUGGUGAUGAUUUCAUUGUGUACCUCGUGGAUGACACACCCAGGACUAUUUCAGAAGCCUGUGCAUCUCUUGAUGCUGACUACUGGAAGGAAGCUGUACGUAGCGAGAUGGAUUCCAUCUUAGGUAACGGAACCUGGGAGAUCACUGACCGUCCUUAUGGGUGAAAACCUGUAGGAUGUAAGUGGGUGUUCAAGAAGAAGCUUAGACCUGAUGGUACGAUUGAAAUGUACAAGGCACGGCUUGUGGCCAAGGGUUAUACCCUGAAAGAAGGUGUAGACUUCUUUGAUACUUACUCACCCGUGGCUAGACUGACCACAAUUGGGUGCUACUAUCACUUGUUGCCUCACAUGGUCUUCUCGUUCAUCAAAUGGACGUUAAGAACGCUUUCCUCAAUGGAGAGUUGAAGGAGGAAAUUUACAUGGAUCAGCCAGAUGGUUUUGUAGUACCUGGUUAGUAAGGAAAGGUGUGCAAGUUAUUAAAGUAUUUAUAUGGCCUUAAACAAGCUCCUAAAGAGUGGCAUGAGUAGUUUGAAAGAACAUUAACUGCUACCGGCUUUGUAGUAAACGAUGGUGACAAGUGCGUGUACUAUCGCUAUGGUGGGGGCGAAGGAGUUAUUCUUUGUUUGUAUGUCGACGACAUAUUGAUCUUUCGAACCAAACUUGAUUUAAUCAAGGAGGUUAAGGAUUUCUUAUCUCGCUGUUUUGAGAUGAAGGAUCUAGGAGUAGCUGAUGUUAUCUUAAACAUCAAGCUGUUGAGAGAUGAGAAUGGUGGGAUCACACUGCUUCAGUCACACUAUGUGGAAAAGGUCUUGAAUCGUUUUGGGUAUAGCGACUGCACACCUUCUCCAACCCCAUAUGAUGCUAGCAUGUUGCAUCGAAAGAAUCGACGGAUUGCUAGAGAUCAACUGAGGUAUUCUCAUAUUAUUGGCUCGCUUAUGUAUUUGGCGAGUGCCACGAGGCCAAACAUCUCGUUUGCUGUUAGCAAGCUGAGUCGGUUUGUGUCAAAACCAGGAGAUGAUCAUUGGCAUGCACUUGAGAGAGUUAUGUGCUAUUUGAAAGGCACCGCGAGCUAUGGGAUUCACUACACCGGGUAUCCAAGAGUACUGGAGGGUUAUAGUGACUCAAACUGGAUAUCUGAUGCUAAUGAGAUUAAGGCCACAAGUGGUUAUGUUUUUACACUUGGUGGUGGCGCUGUUUCUUGGAAGUCCUGCAAGCAGACCAUCUUAAUGAGGUCAACUAUGGAAGCAGAACUCACAACAUUAGAAACUGCCACUGUUCAAGCAGUGUGGCUUCAUGAGCUCUUGAUGGACUUUCCUAUGAUUGAAGAACCAAUACCCCCUAUCCCAAUGAACUGUGAUAAUCAAACUAUGAUCGUCAAGAUAAAUAGUUCUAAGGACAAUAUGAAGUCCUCAAGGCAUGUGAAGAGGAGACUGAAAUCUGUCAGAAAAUUGAGGAACUCCGGAGUUAUUACGUUGGAUUAUAUCCAAACGUCAAAAAAAUUGGCAGAUCCCUUCACAAAGGGUCUAUCACGUAAUGUGAUAGAUAAUGCAUCGAUGGAGAUGGGUCUGAGACCCACCGCAUGAGUUGUCCAUAGUGGUAACCCACUCUUUGUGAUCGGAUAUCCCGUGAAGUAUAAGUGGGAGACAAGCUGUUGGUCAGCUGGGAGGAGAGUAUCCCUAUAUUACCUGUCCCACUCCAUGAAGAUGCAAUACUCUCCUAAUCUGCAUGGCAGGUUGAUACUUAUCUUAAUGUGUUCCAAGUGGCUUAUUCGGGUAAGCAGAGAUGUUGUCCUGCAGAACAUCUUCUGAGGAACACACCUAUAUGAAUUUGACUGUUAACGUCGCAGUCUGUGAGAAUUGGGUGUUCUCUAAUAAAUUCAUGAAAAGGCCCUGGAGUAUGACGUAUACGCUCCACCCGCAGGGAAGCCUUGCGGCAGCCCAGUAUCGGUCAAGAAUUUGUGUGAAACUAGUUGCGCAGAAAAUUUGUAGUUCAAGGCAUAGUCCACUAUUCAAGUUGUGAUCUAGUGUAGCAUAAAUCUCUAAGUGGAAGUUCAACUUCACAGUCUCCACUAAGCCCCGGUAUAUAAACAAUGUUUUGGAACUAAAUGAUGAGAUGUGCCAAUGAGACUUUGUGGGGGAUUGUUGGAAUUUUGCUAGUAGGCCUUUGGCCCAAAGCCCAACUAAAAUUCUGAAAUUGUCUUGGCCCAUUCAUGCACACAUGUGAGUGGAGUGAGUGAGACUAAAGUUUAGUCCCACCCCGGAAGUUGAGAGAGAGCACCUCUUUAUAAGGUGAGCUCUUCUACCACUUGUAUGAGCAUGAGAAUAGGAGACCUACACACGCGCUCCUCCUCCUCGCUCGCCACGCCACCCCUCGUCACGACGCGCCGCGGGUUGCGGGAUUGAGCCGAGCCGAGGACAGAGCUAUGCACAUUGUCUAUUUUUUGCUACCCGAAAAAAUUAAUGAGUCAUUAAUUAAUAAUUAAUGGACACGUUAAUUACUAAACCGUUUUCGAUUCUUUUGGAUCAUGAAGACUCGGACAUGGGGUUUACUCCCACGACCUACCGGGCCCGCAUUAUAUAGUCCGGCAGACGUCUACCCUAGCUGCCGCCGCUUCAUAUGGUUUCUUACCACCGUUCCAGAUCAUUGCGCCGCCAAGCAAGUCUUCUCCAUCCGUCCCUUCGGCGUGCAUCGGGAGAAGGGACAACAGGCCUCCGGAACCCCGCCUCUCGUGAUCCUGUACGGGAGAGGGGCGAUCAGGUUUUUGGGGAGCGCACUCGCGCGACUGCUGGCAGCGACGACUUCGCGAAUGACGACUUUUUCCCUGACCUCGGCAACCUCAUCCUCGACGACAUGGGCGACAACGUCAACGCCGGCGGUGCUGCACCCGCUGCACCUUAUGUUAUUCUAUCCUUCUUGUUCGAGAUCAUGGUAGAAUUCACGUUUCUAGUAUAUGCCCUAGAUGUGAUCUGUUCAUCUACUAUGCUAGUUCGCAUGAUUAGUUUAAUAUCUGCUAUUGCUGUCAUGAUCUAUUUCCUAUUUAUUCGGAUUAAAUCUCGUAGUAAUUUGCUCAUUUUUCCAAUAGUACCAUCUAAUAGAUGAUGUAAAUCUCCUCUAGUUUGACGUUGUUGAGCUAAUUUACAAAAAAAACCUCAUCAUUAUUGGACGUCCUUAACAGCUCAAGAACAAGUUGGGGUCGAACUAAUGGAUUUUACACUUUUACAUUAAAGGUUUAGCUAAAGCUAGCAGGUGUUUUUAAACCUGAAUUUUUUUCCUCCUGAAUUUCUUUGUAUUUUCUUAUUGACACUAUUUAUACAAUCAUCUGACAAAGAUUAGCUAAAGCUGUUUGUAGAUACGUUGAAACCUGAAAAGCUUCUUUGGUUAUCCUUUUAAUAGUUCUACGUUUAUUUUCUCAUAGGUCAUAAUUCUUAUGUAAUACCAAGAUGCAUUGUGGUAGUGUACAUGUGUUAAAUUCAGGUUGUUAUUCACAAUUUGCGACAAAAUUUAGCUCACGCUACAUUCAAAUAUGUUGAAAUGUGAAAGCUUUUUUUUCUUCUCCUUUCUACACCUUGCAUCGGAUUGCAUCCCUUUAGUUAUCCAACAUUUUGUACAACAUGUAGAGAUUAGGAAGUUCAUCAUAGUUUGUUUAUUUCGGUGCUAAUAAAUGUAUGAAAUCUGCAUUUCCAAGCUACUAGGACAAGUAAAAAAUAAUAAUUUUACUAUAGGAUUCAAAAACAGCAGUUCUGAAGUGCACUUUAUUUAUUUUUGAAAGUGAUCACAUUUUGUUUCAUUUUUCUAUAGACAAAUCUACUAAUACAUACUCACGAUAAAACUAUAAAAGUUCUAGUCCGCACAUUGGGCGGGCCACCCGGCUAGUUAGUCUAAAGAUAACAAAAUGAGUCUGGAAUUUGAAUUAAAUUGAAGUAUUUUCUUGGACUUUCAAAUUGAGUUUUAUUAAAGUAGUAAGGACUAUCCACAUCCUUGGCUUGCCCCUGAUCAAUUAUUUCCAGAGAAGCAUUCAAUUCAUCAAUCAAUUACAUUGAUUUUAGUGGCUGGUACUUCUCCUCAACAUCAGUAUAUUCACCGUGGCCACUCCAAAUCGGCAAGAAUGAGGUACCAGUGCUCUGGAGCAGUGCAAGCUAAUUGCUUCUCAUCUGAAGGGGUGCGGCCGCAGGAGAGGUAUUUCUGGUGGGCCAAGGGACUAAGAAGCGACUGUGGCAGCGGUAUAGACGCCCGCAAAGCCCCAUAAUUUGUUUUUGGUUUACAGGAAAAAUGCACAUCCAUACCAGCCUGGGGAAUAUAGGACCGUAUUGGAUGGAAAACCAUGUCCGGAUGGUUGCGAGCGGUUUAAGGGUUAGCUUUUGUAACGCCCGGUUAGUUAUGCUAUAGCAAUUCCCUGCUAAUGAUGUCACGUUACCACGAUUACUGUUGUUAACCUCACAAUGAUUCAAUCCCCUUCAAAUUGAAAUUUAAAAUAAAGGCAAACAUCAAAAGUUUUCAAAUAUUAAAACUAAAAUCUUUGAGAGGUGACAAAUAAUGCAUAAGUAAUUAUGGUGGAGAAACCACACUUUAAUCAAAUGUUUAAAUACUCUAAAAUGAAAAAAAACAGUUGCUUAAACUAUUAUUUAAAUGCUUUUAAAAUAGUAAAAAUCUUCUAACUAAAUUAUUUGGGUACCAAACUUUUGGUGGCAGUGGUAUAUUUAGUACAACUAAUUUAGAUGCUAAUUAUAUAAAAAGGAAAAGCAAAAGGGGGCAACCCCUCGCUGGGCCUCGGCCUAGCUGCCACUAGGCUAGCUAGGCUGGCCCCGCCGCCUCCCUUAACCCCCCCCCCCCACUCCCCAUCGAACCCAAGCCCGAUCGCCCCACUUCCCCCANNNNNNNNNNNNNNNNNNNNNNNNNNNNNNNNNNNNNNNNNNNNNNNNNNNNNNNNNNNNNNNNNNNNNNNNNNNNNNNNNNNNNNNNNNNNNNNNNNNNNNNNNNNNNNNNNNNNNNNNNNNNNNNNNNNNNNNNNNNNNNNNNNNNNNNNNNNNNNNNNNNNNNNNNNNNNNNNNNNNNNNNNNNNNNNNNNNNNNNNNNNNNNNNNNNNNNNNNNNNNNNNNNNNNNNNNNNNNNNNNNNNNNNNNNNNNNNNNNNNNNNNNNNNNNNNUUGAUCCCAUCUGGAUCGGGGAGGGUAAUGCCCCAAUCGACCCCGUUGCCGUCGCGGGAUUGCCCGCCGACGUCGCCAGGCCUCCUCCCCGCCACCCGUCUCCGGCUCGCCUCCCCUCUCGCUCCUCUUCCCCGACCCGAUCUGGAUCGUGAACGAGCAAUGAGCUCGAAGCCCCCUUCACCGGCGCCAUCACCGUGCGCCACCACCACCGCCUGAAGACCUCACCGUCGCCGAACCUUGCGUCGCCUCCUCGUAUCCCUCCCCUACUCGCGUCCUCAAGCCAGGCCGAGCCCCUUCUCGGCAACGCCGUGAGACGCCCCCGUCUCCCUCCUCUUUCCACUGCGUUCACCGCGCCGCCCGCCGUGCCCCUCGCCGUGCGCACGCCCACCACCGCACCAGCCCCCGCUCCGCGCACGACCCUACCCGCGUCCGCGCCAUGAUCCCCUUUUCCACCCUACCUUCCUGCGCUCGCCGCGGUCCUGAUGCUCCCCCGCGCCCUCUUUUGGGGGCGCCGACUGCCCCUGUCCCACUGCUCGCCGCCGUGCCUCGCCAUCGCUCUACUGCUAAGUUAUUGCUGCGCUGCGGCCGUCGCCUCUUCCCGCUGCUCCGCCAGCGCCGAAGCUCCCGAUUGGCUCCACCACUUCUCACGUUAAACCGCCGGCCUAAAUGGCCUAACCCCCGGCUAAUGAACCCCCACUAUCCCACUGACACCGGGACCCACAUUCCCUAAUUAACCAUUUAAUAAAUUAAAACUCUUAAAUUAACAUUAGUGUAUGACAUGUGCGUCCCCUAUUAAUUUAUAAUUUUACUGCUAGUUUUAUUAGUUUCUGUUUUUUCUGCAUAUUUCUUUUGUAUUUGAACAGGCUUUAUAUAAUAAUAUUUAGCGUCUCAUACACAUAUAAAUGUAAUUAUAGCAUAUACAUACAAAUAGUCUCAUCAAAUCAUGUCAUCACCAUAAUCAUCAUCCAUCACAAAGUGAUCUCUCGUCAUCAUCUCGAAAAUAGCAAUACAAGUCUCGAUUACUUGCAACUACAUCGUCAUCCAUCUAAACAAUGAUAUACGCGAGAAGCGCUAUCACUAUGAGUGAGAGCGGAACUAUGCAGUACAUGAGUUUGUAUCCCUCUCUCACAUUAGCGUGAACCUAAACUAACUACUGGCUGUUGCUCGGAAACCGGAAACCGGUACACCUGGGCCUGACACUCCGGCCACUCGUCGUAUACUCCUGGCGUAGCACUUCUUCGCCAUCGAUGAUCUAUAAACCUACAUCGUCAGAUGAGUCGAUGAUAUGCAACAUAUAUAGUUGAGCAACAGAAAGAGACAGACUUGGCAAAAAUAGAAGCAACAUAUCAUAAGCAUAAAUAACAAAGUUCAUCGUACGCAAAAUGCCCUAACUAGAGUGAUCUUCGCUAGUCGAGGAGGACGGUUUAAUUACAUCACAAAUAAUUUUUCGUCGUGCAUAACUCAAAGUUCCGUCAUACAGAAAGUAUGAACUAAAUGGACACAUUGUCAUAUUUCAAAAAUCACUCCCACAUGUCGUGCCAUCCAUCCAAGUCAAGGAGAUAGUGCCCGAGCUUAGUGAAAGGCUUUAGGUCGAGACGCUGAGCGGCUAUGCGUGUUCGGACGUCUUCCCACGACAUUUGUCCUUCUUCAUAGAACAUCCCUGUUUUUUCGACGACCUCCUUCAUCACUGGAAGAAAAAGGGCCUGUUGUCCCGGUUCUGGAACCGGGACUAAAGGGUCGGUACUAAUGCCCUGUCCCUUUAGUCCCGGUUCAAUCCAGAACCAGGACAGUUGGGCCUCCACGUGGCCUGUGCGCGGAGCCUAGGCGGGAGACCCUUUGGUCCAAUAAGCAUCCACGCAUCAGCAUUUAUGUGGUUGGGGUUUUUGUUUUUUUUGAAGGGGGGGGCAUUGGGGGUUUUGGGGGGUUAAUUUUGGUGUUUCAUAUAUUGUGUUAGCUAGCUAUAAUUAAUAGAGAGAAUUGUCCUCUCUUAUGUCCGUGCUUGCUCGACGCUACGUACUAUACAUACGUAUAGAGAGGACUAGACACGGUAGCUAGCUAGUAAGCAAACGAAGGAAAUAGAAGAUCGUCAUGAACAUAUAUGCAUACAGAGAGAAGUAAUAUCGACCACCUCUCCUUCUCCGAGAGAUUGGUCGAACAACAAGUUCUCAUAUAUCUAUCCGACACUACCGGCUACAUAUAUACAAUAAUUAUCUCUUACAAAUAUAAUCAUACGGAUUCAGGGUCCACAUAGUAUUCUCUGUCUUCAAGGAUCACGUGGUCAAGAAAGAAUGCCGCCAAUUCCUCUUGAAUUGCUCGCAUGCGAGCUGGUGCUAGGAGUUCAUCCCGCUUCCGAAACAUCUAAUUUAAAGAAGGGGGUUAAUACAUAUAUACAUAUAUAUAUAUAUAUAUAUAUAUAUAUAUAUAUAUAUAUAUAUAUAUGAAUGAAUGAAACUCAACACGAAUGAUGGUAAUAAAAUAAAAUUGUGAAUGUUGUUAUUUACGUACUUCAUAUUGUUCGUCAGUGUAGCCCCGCUCAUAGGUCGUGUGGCGGAUGGACUCGCAAACGUAGUAUCCACAGAAAUCAUUCCUUUGUUCCUGCCACAACCACUUUAUAAGAAAUAGAGGUCAAUCAAACUGAUAAGCAAGAAUGCCAAAUGGUAUUGAUGAAACUUGUCAGGACCCCGAUUCCAAGCCACAUCGAUCUAGCCGGUAACACCUCAUAUCACUUUGCGGCCUCACGCACGAUAUUCCACGGGUGUCGCCUUACCAUGGCCCGGGACCGUUUGCGCCUUUUGGCUCACGUAUAUGAUAGUGUUGCUAGCAUCCAUAUGACAGAGAACCCGGGCCGACAUGGCUAGUCGUGAACCCAAAGUGGCACAGACCUAUGGAGACAGGCAUACAUGAAUCACAUCGAGCAUGUCGGUCAUCAGUGUGUGAUUCCGGGCUGUAGCACUGGGCUAACAGGACUCCGGGGAACCCGGGCUGUAGCAGGCUAGGCAGGACUCCGGAAGUCACCGCGUGACAUUUACCCGAAGGGACAGACAUAGGAACGAAGUGAAUCACAUGCCGGCAAGUCAAGUGUCCUGAGCAGUAGUACUGGGCUAGCAGGACUCCGGUGAACCGGGCUGUAGCGGACUACUAUGGCUCGAGGAACACUAGACUACAUUUCCCCAUAAGAAAGGCUGCCAAGGAUAAACAACUAGAUUGUCGGAUCCCACUCAUACCAAGCAUUUCAAUCAUACACACAAUAUGCCCGAUAUGAGUACAUACAACAUGGCAUCACAACAAAACUCUACAACUCAAGUACUUUAUUUAAAGGCUCUAGAGAGCCAUACAUAACAUGUUCAUACAGAUAGGGGUCACAUGACCCGACACUCAAGUCAUACAAUCAUACAAGCACAUGCGGAAGCAACCGGUCUGAGUACAGACACUAGAAAGAAAGAAGGCUCCUCGAGGCCUGUCUAUCUACAUAGGGCCCUCCAUGGCCAGGAUCACCACCUGGGUGGCUAGUCACUCGUCGAUGUCAAGGUCUACAUAGAACCCAUCGAAGGGGGCUGUGUUGUCGUCUGAAAACAGUAAUUAAGCAAACAUGAGUACAAAGGUACUCAGCAAGUCUUACAAAAGAACCUACUAUACAUGCUUAUUCUCAAGAAGGUGGUGGGGAUAUUGCAGCAAGCCAGUUUUCACUCUUGGCUAAACUAUCCUACAGAACUUCUCUAGUAAAAUAGUUUUCGCACACGAGUCCACUACUCACCAACACAAUACUCCACCGGGGAUCCUCCCUCGUCAUCCUAUGAGAGGGCCAUCCUCGGUACUCACACUUAUCUUGACUAUUUUAGUAGUAUCCAUUUAAUUGUCUAUGAACUGUAUAGGCAACCAAGUAGUCCUUUACCGCGGACGCGGCUAUUCGAAUAGUUUUAUACCCUGCAGGGGUGUACUUCGUCAUACAUGCUUUCACCACUUAUCGUCGUUUACACGACAUGUACUCGGCAACCUUCAAGCGAAAGCCCAGCGAGGGUGUCGGCCACGGCCUACCUAAACACUUAAGUCUCUAGUCCAGGUUUAUCGCCUAUCUAGGUUCCAUCCGCAGGGAGUCCGGGCGAGGUUUCCACAUACGGCCCCGAACGAUGUGAACAGGGUCCCGAGACGCCAAACGGGCGCCCGGCAUACCCGGCCAUGGUGUAUCUACCGCAACAUAGCCCACCCUUAGGGUCAGCGCUACGCACGGCCGCCAACACAUAACCUACAAACACCAGAAACUAUUUGCAACUCCUAGACAGAGUACAAGGGUGAUUAAGAAGCCGAGAGGGUCAAUUAAGGAUCCCAAUGCAUGGUAGUAGCUGAAUCUUAAAUCACACAUACCGAUCUCAGUUCUUAGGGACGGUCUCAAUGAAACAACCCACCAUGUACUCCUACAUGGCCUCUCAUCGAUACCUUUACCAAAACAUGUUCAACACAUUCCUCAUAUUACCGACAUAAUCAUAUCACCCUAGCCCAUCACCCAGAUGAACCAGACCUGACACAACUAUAAGCAUAGCAGGCAUAGCAAGGUAGGAAUCACAUACAUGGCUCAAUCAACUCCUACACAUGCUAGUGGGUUUCAUCUAGUUACUGUGGCAAUGACAGGUCAUGCAGAGGAUAAGGGUUCAACUAUCGUAGCACACAGCAGUUUGAAUCACAUUGUCUUAAUGCAGUAAACAAGAGCAGAGGCAAGAACAUGGGUUGUAUCGGAAUGAUCAAUGGGUUGCUUGACUGAUGGAGUGGUAGUGGGAUACUGCCCUUCAGUUGGAUACUCAUGAAUAUCCUCGGAGGCAGAACCUACCACGAAGAACACAUCGGAACACAAUCAACACAUGAUGAUAUGCAACAAUAUGAUGCAUGCUAUGACAUGGCAAUAUGAAUGUGUCUUGGCCUAAUGCAAGCUAAAAUAGAAAGGGAUGAACUCAUUUGAAUCAAAGAUUCAAAUAUUAGCUCAUUAAACAUGGCCUUAGUAGUGCAUUUCCUUAUUCUGCUUAAACAGCAAGGUAAACUUGUUUUUUCAUGCUUGAAACCAUUACAGAUGGAUAUAUUGAAUUUUUCUGAUAAUUUUUCAUAUAUAAAUUAUUUCAUUUGGAGUUACGGUUGAAUUUCUAUGAUUUUUAGAAGUUUCAAACAUUUUCUGGAAUUUCUUGAAUAAAAAUAAAUCCAGAAAAUGCAUUACUGCGUCAGCAUUGCAUCAUGCUGACCUCCGCAGGUCAAAGGCACCAGCCUAGGUCAAACCUGACUGGUGGGCCCCUUCUGUCAGUCUCUCAGUUAAAUAACAGGAUUAGAUUAACACUAAUUAGCUGUCAGUGGGGCCUGGGCCCACAUGUCACUGACUGAUUAAAAUAAAAUUAGUUAAAACUAAUCCUAGAUUAGUUAGCAAACCGGCCCCACCUGUCAUAGACUUAGGGGGGGUCUACCUGGGCCCACCCAGGGUCAAACUGGGUCAAACUCGCCGGCGCAGCUCGGAAAACGCCUACAGGGCACGAGCGAGGCCGUUCUUGGGCUCAUUGGAGAGCUCUUGCAGUCGCGCAUCUAGUGGCGGUGGUGGCCGGAGACGACGACGGCGAGCUCCAAGGCGGCGGCCGGAGUUCGGCCAUGUGCGGGGUGUCGGCUGUGGCGUGCAAACGUGGAAACUGAGGCACUAGCGAGGCACUACGCGAUGCGGCAAGCACGUUGCAUAGCACGGGAUAAUCAAAUGGUUGCCGGAGCGGCACCGGUGACAAGCUCGAGCGGAGACGAGCUUCGGCCAUGGUGGAACUAUGGCCUAGAGGGUGCAAACGCGUGGAAAAGAAGAGGGGAAAGGUGGCGGAGCUCACAGGGAGGUCGAUGAGCAGCUCAGUGGGCUCGGGGGCGACAGAAGUGAGGCGAAUCGAUGAGCAGCGUCCGGCGGGUACCGAGGUUGAAGACGAUCCGAUGGCGGCGAUGCAGGGCCUCCGGCGAUGCGUGGCUCGGUGGGAAGGGCGAGGGGGUGACGGAGGGCGCGACUACGGCGGUGAGACGGCGACGGGUGCGUCGGCCAUCGCGGGAGAGGGAGAGGGAGAUGAGUGGGAGAGUGAGAGAGGAUGAGAGGGGGACGUGGGGGUCGCGUGGCAUUCCCUGGACGUCUCCCGGCAUCGGCGGAAGCAGGAGGUGGCCGGCGUGUGGCCGCGGGCGCCGGCCACGCGCUCUGCGUCCUUCUGGCGCGAGGAGGACGACGACUGGCAGCGCCAGUAGGCUGGGCCGAGCCAGGUGGGCUGGCCAGCACAGGUAAGGCUCAGGUGGGCUUCUCCCUCUUUUUUUUAAUUUGUUUCUGUUUUCUAUUUAACUGUAAAUGUUGGGCUUUAUUUAAAAUACUAAAACAUUUCCAAAAAUCCUGAAAAUAAUUGUGGGCUCUGUUUGGAUUAUUUCCAAUAGCAAACAUUUAUUUGCAGAAUUAUUUGAGCAUUUAAAUGCCCAAAUUCAAAUACUUAUGAUUUAAAUCAAUGACCUUCUGUUGACCUAGAAAAGUUGUGCACCAAUUUUGCCAGAGGUUCUAACCCAAGACAAAGAGGGUGAACUUUUUAGAAGGGCAUUUCAGGUUCAUUGAAAAUAAUUUUAGUAAUCCCUAGUUGUUUCCAGGGGGGUGUUGGGGGUUUCUGCCUUCCCCAAUUCAAAUUUAAGAGGAAUUUAAACAUGAUGCACAUUCUAAUGCUUGAACUAGCUAGGGUGUGACAACUCACCCCCACUCAAAAGAAUCUCGUCCCGAGAUUUAGGAUCCUCUGGAAAGAAGGUGGGGUACUCGAGUCGAAGACGAUCCUCCCUUUCCCAAGUGGCUUCUUUCUCGGAAUGGUGUGUCCAUUGAACCUUGAGAAACUUGAUAUUAUGACGUCGAGUGGUACACUCGGCUUGAUCAAGGAUACGAACGGGAUAUUCCCGAUAAGAGAGGUUAUCUUGUAGAUCAAGCAUUUCGUGGUCCACUCCACGGAUAGGAUCCGCGAAGCAACGCCUGAGUUGUGAAACGUGGAAGACAUCAUGAACUCUGGAAAGAUGCGGAGGUAGUUCCAAUUGGUAGGCAACUUCUCCUCGUUUGGCAAGAAUGCGAAAGGGUCCAAUGUAACGAGGAGCCAAUUUGCCUUUGAUACCGAAAUGAUGGGUUCCUUUUAAUGGGGUAACCCGAAGGUAAGCCUUCUCGUCGAUUCAUAAGUCAUAGGCUUAUGUUUACGAUCAUAUUGACUCUUUUGACGAGAUUGGGCUGUUUUCAAUUUCUCACGAAUAACGCGAACCUGCUCUUCCGCUUCCUGAAUCAUAUCCGGGCCAAAGAGUUGUCUUUCCCCGGUUUCUGACCAGUUAAGAGGCGUUCGACAUUUUCGUCCAUAGAGAACUUCGAAAGGAGCUUUGCCCAAGCUAGCUUGAUAACUAUUGUUAUAAGCAAACUAUGCGAAUGGGAAGCAUUUCUCCCAACUCAUUCCGAAUGAGAUAACAGAAGCUCGGAGCAUAUCUUCUAGAAUUUGAUUGACUCGCUCUACUUGACCACUUGAUUGAGGAUGGAAGGCGGUACUAAAAGAGAGACGAGUUCCCAUAGCAUUUUGGAAACUUUCCCAAAAUCGAGAGGUGAAGAGACUCCCACGGUCUGAGUUAAUUUCCAAUGGGACACCAUGGAGAGACACUAUUCGGGAGAUGUAUAAAUCGGCUAGCUGGCUAGCAGUGAUACUCGCACGAACAGGUAGGAAAUGGGCUACUUUGGAAAGACGGUCGAUCACGACGAAGAUGGCAUUAUUCCCUCUCUUGUUCCUGGGAAACCCAGUAAUGAAAUCCAUACUGAUUUUAUCCCAUUUCCAUUCAGGAAUAGCCAAAGGUUGAAGGGUGCCAGCAGGCCGUUGAUGCCCUGCUUUAACACGAUGACAGACGUCGCAGCUAGCAAUGUAUCGAGCGAUUUCUCUCUUCAUCCUAGUACAUCAAAACCUCUGGCGUAGGUCUUGAUACAUUUUAUUGCUACCGGGAUGAAUGGUGAGAGGGGAUUCAUGAGCUUCCUUAAGGAUCAAUUGGCGUAGAUGUUGUUUCUUGGGAACCACCAAACGGUUCUCAAAGAAGACAGCACCCCGCUUAUCCAUGGAAAAACAUUUAGCAACUCCGCUAGCAAUGUUUUCCUUAAUCCGGGAUAUGCCCUUAUCAUACCGCUGGGCAGUUAUGAUCUGAUCCAUAAGGUUAGGUUUCGCCACCAGGGUGGAUAGGAAUCCUCGAGGAACAAUGUGAAGAUUAAGCUUACGGAAUUCCUCAUGGAGAAGUGGUUGACUUUGUUGUAACAUCAGGUUGUUACAAUAGGAUUUACGGCGUAGUGCAGCAGCCAUGACAUUGGCUUUGCCCGGUGUGUAGGUUAUUCCUAAGUCGUAAUCCGAGAUCAACUCAACCCAACGUCUUUGCCUGAGAUUCAAAUCUGGUUGGGUGAAGAUAUAUUUCAAGCUUUGGUGAUCGGUGAAGAUCUCGCAACGAUUAAGUGCAUGGACUACAGCUGCCAGCUCUAGAUCAUGUGUGGGAUAAUUUUCCUCAUGUGGGUGUAAUUGCCGUGAAGCGUAGGCAAUUACCUGACGAUCUUGCAUGAGUAUGCAACCUAGUCCUUGUCGCGAGGCGUCACAAUAGAUAAUAAAGUCCUUGGAUAAAUCAGGUGGUACCAGUACGGGAGCAGAUGUCAGGCGUCUUUUCAGUUCCUAAAAGCUGAACUCGCACUGUGGAGUCUACUCGAACUUUUUAUCUUUCUUGAGGAGUUUAGUUAGAGGUUUAGCAACCUUGGAGAAAUUCUCGACGAAGCGGCGGCAAUAGCUCGCUAAGCCAAGGAAGCUCCAAACUUGCUUGACCGUCUCAGGUGGAGUCUAAUCAAGGACGGCUUGAACUCGCUCGGGAUUGACGGCAAUACCCUUACCAGAGAUUACAUGGCCUAGAUAGGUUACUUCUGGCAACCAAAAUUCACACUUGGAGAAUUUGGCAUAAAGGCGAUGCUCUCGAAGUUUCAUCAAUACCAGCCUUAGAUGUUCGGCAUGUUCCUCUUCAUUCUUGGAGUAGAUUAGUAUGUCAUUGAGGUAUACUACGAUGAAUUUAUCCAAGUACUCCAUGAAAACCGAGUUCAUUAGCCGGGAGAAGGUAGCCGGGGCAUUGGUUAAACCGAAGGACAUAACGGUGUACUCGUAUUGGCCAUAACGAGUAACAAAGGCCGUUUUGGGAAUGUCCCCGUUUCUGAUUUAGAUUUGAUGGUAGCCCAACCUCAAAUCCAUCUUGGAAAAGACUGAGGAUCCAGCAAACUAAUCAUACAGAUCAUUGAUCCUGGGAAGUGGGUAUUUGUUCUUGAUGGUGACCAAGUUGAUAGGUCGGUAAUCCACAACCAUUCGAUCUGUUCCAUCCUUCUUGACGAAGAGGACGGGGCAAGCCCAAGGAGAGGAACUAGGACGGAUGAAACCCUUUUUCAAGGACUCAUCGAGUUGGUUCUCAAGCUCGGCUAGUUCUAAGGGUGCCAUCUUGUAGGGUCUUCUAGAAAUUAGAAUGGUUCCUGGAACAAGGUCUAUCACAAACUCGACAUCCCUGUCAGGUGGAACACCUGGCAGUUCUUCUGGAAAGGCAUCCGGAAAGUCUCGGACUACCGGAACAUCCUCAAGGUCUGGAAGGGGGUUGGCAUUUAGGGAGUAAAGUUGGCACUUGGCCACUCGAGUUAAGACAUUAACUGUCUUGCCCGAUGGGUGAGUAAGUUGAACGGUUCUAGUGGCACAGUCAAUCUUAGCAUAAUGAGCUGACAUCCAGUCCAUACCUAAGAUGAUGUUUAUGUCCGAGGACUUGAGAGCUAUUAAGGAUGCAAGGAAGACAAGUCUAUCGACAAGAAUUUCGUUCCCAUGGCUUACUCUAGAAGUUUGCCAUCUAGAGCCAGGGGUUUGAAUUUCCAUGGUAGAGGGCAUGUCACAGAAUGUCGUGUUGUGCAAUCGAGCAUAGUUCUCGGAUAUGAAUGAAUGAUAUGCUCCAGUAUCGAAAAGAACAGAUGCCGGAUGGCAGUUAACAAGGAGCGUACCAAGGACGACGUUGGGAUCCUCAUGAGCCUCCUCGGCUGAAACAUAGUUGACAUGGCCACGUGCAGUGGUGGCUGGCUUAGCGUAGAAUGUUUUUCCCGCGGGCUUACCACGGCCAACGGACUUUCCAGUUUGAUUGGGGUUGUUGUUCUGGGGACACUCUCGGCUAUAGUGACCCGGCUCUCCACACUUAAAGCAUGUCACCACAUUGGGGCGUGGAGCAGCAUUAGCAGCGGGGCCACCAUAGGGCUUGGGCGGUGCAAAUUGCUGGUUGGGACGUGGUGCCUCAAAGGAUGGCCUCGGGAUGAACCUGGGUGGCAGUGCCGUGCUUGGAAUCCACACCCGGCGCUUCUGAGCUCCAGAGCCGAUGAAGAGCCAAAAUCACGGGAGUGCUUGCGUGAAGUGUCAUAAUCAGUCUGGCCUUUCUCAGCACUGAUGGCUUUAUGGACCAACUUCUAAAAGGAGGUGCACUUGUGCAGACGAAGACCACGGUGAAGCUCAGGGCUAAGUCCCUUGCGGAACCUUGCCUGCUUCUUAGCAUCAGUAGAUACCUCUUCAGGGGCAUAACGUGCCAGAUUCCCAAAUUCACGACUGUAAGCAUCCACAGUCAGUCUUCCUUGGGUGAAGUUGCAGAACUCCUCCCUCUUGCGAUCCAUGAGACCUUCCGGAAUGUGAUGCUCACGGAAAGCCUCACUGAAUUCAGCCCAAGUAGUGAUUUGGCCGACCGGGCGCAUAGCUUCGAAGUUUUCCCACCAAAGGCUAGCAGGGCCUUUGAGGUGAUAGGCAGCAUAAGUAACCUUGUCGGCUUUGGCUACGUUGGCAGAACGUAGCUUGUGGGUGAUGCUGUGAAGCCAGUCAUCCACGUCGAGGGGCUCGACGGAAUGGUUAAACUUUGGUGGGUACAUCUUGAUAAAGUCAUUGAUUGACACCAACUCAUUUCGCGGGUGGCGUGCAGUGUUCUGCUCAAUCCGCUCCAGCAGGCGGUUGGUCUCACGCUUCUUUCUUUCUGCCUCCAGCAUUACUUCGGCCAGAGAAGGCGGGUGAGGCAGAUUUUCACCUCUAGCAGCACUGGCUUCCCCCUGCUCCGGGGCAACAGGGUUGCUGCGAGUAUUGACCAUCCUAGGAGAAAACAAGACAACGGUUUAGACAAGGAUGGCUCAAACUGAGCAAGGAUGUGCAGAAUGUAAUGGAUAACACGGAACACAGAGAUGUUCAUCCGUAUGUCAUGGUAAUAUAAAACUGCCAUAUAUAUACCAACGGUCAUACACAUCACACAUAGUUUAGUACAAGCCCAGGCUACAGUACAACUAUGAUGAAAGACGUUACAUCUCAUCGGAGGCAUUCCAAGCUCCUAUACAUUAUUGUCUACACCUUCGGAAUUGAUUACACGCAAAGUCAUAUUCCAAAAGUCACGCAGGACAGUGGAGAUACAACUACUACAAUACUAGUGGUACUACUACUAACUCAGACAGCUCCGUACUAGUCCUCAUAGAAGUCACCUCCAUAGCCUGGAAGUUCAACGUGACCAUCCGGGAACAGACGGUCCUGAGGAGCCUGUGGACCAUAGGGGCUUGGAUGGGGUCUUGGACCAACAAACGGUGGCCUGCGGGGACCACAGGGUGGGGUGAUGCCUCCCACAUCACGCCAAUCCACCACGUCUGGCAAAGCAGACCUCACAGGAUACAAAUCCCUUGUAUCCAUACAUCCAGCUUGCACCACAGGUGCAAACCGAGUCAAUGUGGCCCAAUGAUCAGCACGGGUAUUAAAAAGCUCCAGCCUCAAGGCCUGAUUCUCUCGGUCCUUAUAUUCGAGCAUCUCGGCAGUGGUACGAGUUAAUGAAUCCUCCUGAGUGGAGUCAGCAUAGAUAGCCUGAAGAUACCCUUGCGCUCCCGGAAGUGAAGCUAGCAUGUAUCGGAAGUCGGUGUUCCGAAGCAGGCCAGUCCGGACUCGCAUGAUUGUCAUCAUGGAAUAGGCAGCAUCCUGCACAGCCAUCUCAACAGUAACCCCGAGUCCAUAGGAACAGUGAAGGGGCUCGGUAGAUCCAGGAUAAGAAGGAAAUAUCUUGACGGUGCAGAAAUACUGGCUUUGAUUAAAGUCUCAGAAUUGCUCUUCGACGGUGUAUUCGGGAUACCAACGGUAACCCGUCUCGAUCAUGACCCGGACUAACAUAGCAGUAUGACCGGGCACGUCGAGCCACCGGGUCAGGCGAACCACUUUGUUUUGAGCACGGUUGGGCAUCUGAAAGCACAACCACAAUGCAAAGACAUCAGAAUUUCUAGGGAAAAUUGGACAGCAUAACAGCUGUAAAUGCUCAGAAAAAGAUUUGAGACAUCCACAACAGUUCGCAAUACCACUCAACAACAUCAUAUCAAGGUUCUGAUCCAAAUAGCAGCAUACUAAAAAUAGUAGAAACUGAACUGGGGCUUGUAACAACAAUCCUAUAAGCUACUACGGAUUAGUAACACGUGAACCUGAUAGAAGAAGAGAGACUAGUCCUUAACCCACAUUGAAUGAAAAGGGAAUGACUCAGAUAAGAGGCAUAGGGUAAAGGAGUAAAAGAGCCUUACGUUCCCUCCCACAAUCAAUUCCCCUACAUAUAACUAAAGCAUUUCCAGACUCGACAUCGACCAGUUUGGCUCAACGAACCUACAGGCAGUCCGGCACUGAUGCCAACGCUGUCAGGACCCCGAUUCCAAGACACAUCGAUCUAGCUGGUAACACCUCAUAUCACUUUGCGGCCUCACGCACGAUAUUCCACGGGUGUCGCCUUACCAUGGCCCGGGACCGUUUGCGCCUUUUGGCUCACGUAUAUGAUAGUGUCGCUAGCAUCCAUAUGAUAGAGAACCCGGGCCGACAUGGCUAGUCGUGAACCCAAAGAGGCACAGACCUAUGGAGACAGGCAUACAUGAAUCACAUCGAGCAUGUCGGUCAUCAGCGAGUGAUUCCGGGCUGUAGCACUGGGCUAACAGGACUCCGGGGAACCCGGGCUGUAGCAGGCUAGGCAGGACUCCGGAAGUCACCGCGUAACAUUUCCCCGAAGGGACAGACAUAGGAAUGAAGUGAAUCACAUGCCGGCAAGUCAAGUGUCCUGAGCUGUAGUGCUGGGCUAGCAGGACUCUGGUGAACCGGGCUGUAGCGGACUACUAUGGCUCAAGGAACACUAGACUACAUUUCCCCAUAAGAAAGGCUGCCAAGGAUAAACAACUAGAUUGCCGGAUCCCACUCAUACCAAGCAUUUCAAUCAUACACGCAAUAUGUCCGAUAUGAGUACAUACAACAUGGCAUCACAACAAAACUCUACAACUCAAGUACUUUAUUUAAAGGCUCUAGAGAGCCAUACAUAACAGGUUCAUACAGAUAGGGGUCACAUGACCCGACACUCAAGUCAUACAAUCAUACAAGCACAUGCGGAAGCAACCGGUCUGAGUACAGACACUAGAAAGAAAGAAGGCUCCUCGAGGCCUGUCUAUCUACAUAGGGCCCUCCAUGGCCAGGAUCACCACCUGGGUGGCUACUUACUCGUCGACGUCAAGGUCUACAUAGAACCCAUCGGAGGGGGCGGUGUUGUCGUCUGAAAACAGUAAUUAAGCAAACAUGAGUACAAAGGUACUCAGCAAGUCUUACAACAGAACCUAGUAUACAUGCUUAUACUCAAGAAGGUGGUGGGGAUAUUGCAGCAAGCCAGCUUUGACUCUUGGCUAAACUAUCCUACGGAACUUCUCUAGUAAAAUAGUUUUCGCACACGAGUCCACUACUCGCCAACACAAUACUCCACAGGGGAUCCUCCCUCGUCAUCCUAUGAGAGGGCCAUCCUCGGUACUCACACUUAUCUUGAGUAUUUUAGUAGUAUCCAUUUACUUGUCUAUGAACUGUAUAGGAAACCAAGUAGUCAUACACGCUAUUCGGAUAGUUUUAUACCCUGCAGGGGUGUACUUCGUCAUACACGCUUUCACCACUUAUCGCCGUUUACAUGACAUGUACUCGGCAACCUUCAAGCGGAAGCCCAGCGAGGGUGUCGGCCACGGCCUACCUAAACACUUAAGUCUCUAGUCCAGGUUUAUCGCCUAUCCAGGUUCCAUCCACAGGGAGUCCGGCCGAGGUUUCCACAUACGGCCCCGAACGAAGUGAACAUGGUUUCGAGACGCCAAACGGGCGCCCGGCAUACCCGGCCACGGUGUAUCUACCGCAACAUAGCCCACCCCUAGGGUCAGCGCUAUGCACGGCCGCCAACACAUAACCUACAAACACCAGAAACUAUUUGCAACUCCUGGACAGAGUACAAGGGUGAUUAAGAAGUCGAGAUGGUCAAUUAAGGAUCCCAAUGCAUGGUAGUAGUGAAUCUUAAAUCGCACAUACAGAUCUCAGUUCUUAGGGACGGUCUCAAUGAAACAACCCACCAUGUACUCCUACAUGGCCUCUCAUCGAUAUCUUUACCAAAACAUGUUCAACACAUUCCUCAUAUUACCGACAUAAUCAUAUCACCCUAGCCCAUCACCCAGAUGAACCAGACCUGACACAACUCUAAGCAUAGCAGGCAUAGCAAGGUAGGAAUUAUAUACAUGGCUCAAUCAACUCCUACACAUGCUAGUGGGUUUCAUCUAGUUACUGUGGCAAUGACAGGUCAUGCAGAGGAUAAGGGUUCAACUACUGUAGCACACAGCAGUUUGAAUCACGUUGUCUUAAUGCAGUAAACAAGAGCACAGGCGAGAACAUGGGUUGUAUCGGAAUGAUCAAUGGGUUGCUUGCUUGAUGGAGUGGUAGUGGAAUACUGCCCUUCAGUGGGAUACUCGUGAAUAUCCUCGGAGCCAGAACCUACCACGAAGAACACAUCGGAACACAAUCAACACAUGACGAUAUGCAACAAUAUGAUGCAUGCUAUGACGUAUCUUGGCCUAAUGCAAGCUAAAAUAGAAAGGGAUGAACUCAUUUGAAUCAAAAAUUCAAAUAUUAGCUCAUUAAACAUGACCUUAGUAGUGCAUUUCCUUAUUCUGCUUAAACAGCAAGGUAAACUUGUUUUGUCAUGCAUGAAACCAUUACAGAUGGAUAGAUUGAAUUUUUCUGAUAAUUUUUCAUAUAUAAAUUAUUUCAUUUGGAGUUACGGUUGAAUCUCUAUGAUUUUUAGAAGUUUUAAACAUUUUCUGGAAAUUACUGAAUAAAAAUAAAUCCAAAAAAUGCAUUACGGCGUCAGCAUUGUGUCAUGCUGACCUCAGCAGGUCAAAGGCGCCAGCCCAGGUCAAACCUGACUGGUGGGCCCCUUCUGUCAGUCUCUCAGUUAAAUAACAGGAUUAGAUUAACACUAAUUAACUGUCAGUGGGGCCUGGGCCCACAUGUCAGUGACUGAUUAAAAUAAAAUUAGUUAAAACUAAUCCUAGAUUAGUUAGCAGACCGGCCCCACCUGUCAUAGACUCAGGGGGGUCUACCUGGGCCCACCCAGGGUCAAACUGGGUCAAACUCGCCGGCGUUGAGCCGCCGGCGAGACCCGAGACAGUGGCGCAGCUCGGAAAACGCCUACAGGGCACGAGCGAGGCCGUUCUUGGGCUCGUUGGAGAGCUCUUGCAGUCGCGCAUCUAGUGCUGGUGGUGGCCGGGCCUACGGUGGCCGGAGACGACGACGGCGAGCUCCAAGGCGGCGGCCGGAGUUCGGCCAUGUGCGGGGUGUGGGCUGCGGCGUGCAAACGUGGAAACUGAGGCGCUAGCGAGGCACUACGUGAUGCGGCAAGCACGUUGCGUAGCACGGGAUGACCAAAUGGUCGCCGGAGCGGCGCUGACGACAAGCUCGAGCGGAGACGAGCUUCGGCCAUGGUGAAACUAUGGCCUAGAGGGUGCAAACGCGUGGAAAAGAAGAGGGGAAAGGUGGCGGAGCUCACAGGGAGGUCGAUGAGCAGCUCAGUGGGCUCGGGGCGACCGGAGUGAGGCGAAUCGACGAGCGGCGUCCGGCGGGUACCGAGGUUGAAGACAAUCCGAUGGCGGCGAUGCAGGGCCUUCGGCGAUGCGUGGCUCGGUGGGGAGGGCGAGGGCGUUACGGCGGAGCUUCUGGACAGGUCAGAGAGGCGAGGUGGUGAUGGAGGGCGCGACUAUGAUGGUGAGACGGCGAUUAAAAAGAAAGAUCUGGUUCACUCGUACGUGAAAAAAGUAGCAAGCGCUCGAUGCCUUCCUUUGCAUCGAUGCCAGACGCGGUGCUGGGAAUCGACAAGAUAACCGCCAAUCUACCACGAUUAAAUUCCUAGCGCCUCCUUCUAGCGCCUCCCACUGAAAAUGCCCUAAAGGUUUUGGAGGGAUUUUUUUACUGUGUCCUACUUCACGAAUCACGAGGCAAAUCAAGUAGCCGGCAUGGCCUGGCCGGUGAGUGCCAUUGCACUUACUUGCCCCAGCAAUUUUCCGCGUGCAUUGUAGAAUUCUUUCUCCGAGUCCUGUGAAUUAAAGAUGGUGCAGACAAAAAUAUAUCCUAUAUGCGUACAUGUGCAUGAUCAGAACAUGUUUUUACGUGCGUCUACUAUAAAUCAUGACCAUUUUUAACACAAAUCAUGACCAUUCAUGAUUAGUGAAUCAUACUGUCUUAACUUAUGUGAAAUCAUGUGGAGUAAUAUAAUAUAAUAUAAUAAAUAGAUAGAUCCAUGUUGUAUUAUUUUUUGUUUACAAAAAAUAUCUGUCAUUACACAUUUUGAUUUAUGCAUUUGUUUACAAAAAAAACAGUAACAUUUCAUGGUGGAAAGUUUGUAUUGUUUCAUACUGAACACCAAUGUUUUCCUGUAAAAGAAAAUAAUGCCUACGCAUAUGCUUUUAUAUUAUUAUUAUUCUUUCAAACUUAUUCAUACAGUAUUUUUGAUUGUGCAACCAUAAUUUUUAUUGUCUCUCUCGUUCCACUACAUGCUCUUACUCAAUGAUUUUUUUAUAACGGGUGUUUUUAUUAACUCAAAAUAUAGUAUCAAGCGGAUACAAAACAUAAUGAGCCACACCUGGUCUCUGCAUAACUAAGAUGCACACAGCCAAAAGCAGAUGUCUGACAAAAAUAAGAUAAGAAAAUCGACAUAUCGACAACAGUGAGUCAUAUAGUCCCGACACUAUGCCCCCGUUGAAGGACGGGGUGGAGCGAUCUGGAGAUUAUGCUGCCCUCCAUGUUGAGUAAAUACCUCCCUGGCCACUUGUUCCAAACGCAUAGACGCCGCCACGAAUAAUGGUCGGUACUCUGUUCAGUGUAGCAUACACCAUGUAGGAAGUGAGUGCUCACUCCUAGUUACUAAAUUAUGUACACACUAGUAGAAAAAGGGCCAUUUGUCCCGGUUCGUAAGGCCCAUUUGUCCCAAUUGGGGAACCGGGACUAAAGGGUCGGUACUAAAGCCCUACACCUUUAGUCCCGGUUCUUACACCAACCGAGACAGAUGGGGCUCCACGUGGCCGCUACAGCUUGCCGUGGCAGGGGGGCCUUUUGUCCCGGUUGGUAGCACCAACCGGGACCAAUAAGCUACCACGCGUCCGCAUUUGAGGGGCUAGGGUUUUUGUUUUUUUUCUGAAGGGGGGGGGGUGGGUUUGUAUGGUUAAUUUUGGGGGGUUUCACAUAUUGUGUUAGGUAGCUAAUUAAUUAAUAGAGAGAAGUGUCCUCACUUAUCUCCGUGCUUGGUCGACGCUACGUACUAUACGUAUAGAGAGGCCCUCAACACGCUAGCCAGUAAGCAAAUGAAGUAAACCAUUAAGUACAGAAGUUCGUCAUGAACAUAUGCAUACAAACAUAAGUGAUAUCGACCUCUCCUUCUCCGAGAGAUAGGUCGAACAACAAGUUUCCGUAUAUCUAUCCGGCGCUACUAGCUACAUAUAUACAAUAUUAAGAUCUCUUACAAUAUAAUCCCCUAAUUAUAUAUGAACUCAGCUUCCAGAUGGUAUUCUCCGGCUUUAUUGAUGGCGUGGUCAAGAAAGAUUCCCUCCAAUUCCUCUUGAAUUGCUUUGAUGCGAUCUUGUGGUAGGAGUUCAUCUCGCAUCUGCCACAUCUAAUUUGAAGAAGGGGGUCAAUCACCAGUAGAAUAACAACCAUUUGUCCUGGUUCAUAAGGUUAAUUUGUCCCGGUUGGGGAACCGAGACUAAAGGGUCUUUACUAAAGCCCUACACCUUUAGUCCUGGUUCUUACACCAACUGGGACAGAUGGGCCUCCAUGUGGCUGCUGCGGCGAGCCCAGGCCGGAGGUCCUUUGGUCCCGGUUAGUGGCACUGAUACGUCUCCAACGUAUCUAUAAUUUUUGAUUGCUCCAUGCUAUUAUGUUAUCUAUUUUGGAUGUUAAUGGCUUUAUUUUACACCUUUAUAUCAUUUUUGGGACUAACCUACUAAUCGGAGGCCCAACCCAAAUUGUUGUUUUCUACCUAUUUUAGGUUUUCGAAGAAAAGGAAUAUCAAACGGAGUCCAAACGGAAUGAAACCUUCGAGAACGUGAUUUUCUCAAUGAACAUGAUUCAGGAGAAUUGGAGUGUGCUCCAAGAAACAAGGGAGGAAGGCACGAGGCAGGGGGCGCGCCUACCCCCUUGGGCGCGCCCUCCACCCUCGUGGGCCCUCCGCUGCUCCACCGACGUACUUCUUCCUCCUAUAUAUAUCCACGUACCCCCAAACAUCCAGGAGCACCACGAAAACCUAAUUCCACCGCUGCAACCUUCUGUACCCGAGAGAUCCCAUCUUGGGGCCUUUUCCGGAGGUCCACCGGAGGGGGCAUCGAUCAUGGAGGGCCUCUACAUCAACUCCAUGGCCUCUCCGGUGAUGUGUGAGUAGUUUACUUCAGACCUAGGGGUCUAUAGUUAUUAGCUAGAUGGCUUCUUCUUCUCUCUUUGGAUCUCAAUACAAAGUUCUCCUCGAUUUUCUUGGAGAUCUAUUUGAUGUAACCUUCUUUUGCGGUGUGUUUGUCGAGAUCCGAUGAAUUGUGGGUUUGUGAUCCAGAUUAUCUAUGAACAAUAUUUGAUUCUCCUAUGAAUUCUAGUAUGUAUGAUUGGUUUAUCUUUGCAAGUCUCUUCGAAUUAUCAGUUUGGUUUGGCCUACUAGAUUGAUUUCUUGCAAUGGGAGAAGUGCUUAGCUUUGGGUUCAAUCUUGCAGUGUUUGAUCCCAGUGACAGAAAGGGAACCGAUACGUAUUGUAUUGUUGCCAUCGAGGAUAAAAAGAUGGGGUUUAUAUCAUAUCGCAUGAGUUUAUCCCUCUACAUCAUGUCAUCUUCCUUAAAGCAUUACUAUGUUCUCUUGAACUUAAUACUCUAGAUGCAUGCUGGAUAGCGGUCCAUGUGUCGAGUAAUAGUAGUAGAUGCAGAAUCGUUUCGGUCUACUUGUCUCGGACGUGAUGCCUAUAUACAUGAUCAUACCUAGAUAUUCUCAUAACUAUGUUCAAUUCUGUACAAUAUGGUGCACGGGGUUACAUCGGCCUGCAAAGACAUUUCUGCGAUGUGAGACAUCCGAAAAGCAACGAAAACGGGAGAUUAUACAUUUAUUGAAGAGGGCAGGUGUGACAGAUACCGUGAGGGCGUCGAGCUCAGCCAAAGACGAUGGACAGCUGAGCACGGCCUGUGUCAGAGCCGGUGCGGGAGCAGGUGCAGGUGCAGGUGCUGGUGCAACGCUAGUCGAGCUGCUCCUGAAGAAGUCAACAAUGGGAAAGUCCGCUGCAUUUUUUCUGCAUUUUGCGUGCUCCAAUUGAAAAUGGCUGGAACCAAGACAGUAGACAUAUCUGCAACCACCUGUUUUCCGGCAGCUACCGCUGUCGCGACUGUCUCAGAUGAUUUCUUCUCAACCGCAAUCUCAACCUUCUUGUCGAUGUUUUAUUCGGUUAACCUCCAUCUUUCCUUUCUCUCCUCCGUGGUCUCACGGUAGUACUUCUUCCACGUGGCCCCGUCUCCGACACCGUGAACGCGUCCAUACGACGACCGAGUCUCCACGGGGAGUCCUUUCAAUAUGUUCAAUGCCCGGUUGAAUGGAGUGUCCCACUUGGGCCUUGCCAAUGCCUCAGACGGCGAGUCGCUUUCGGCCGCAAUCUUAUGCUGCUCUCUCUACAAAAGGAACACGGAUCAUUUACAAAUAUGACUAAACGUGCAGUCGAACUGAUCAGAAACUAAAAUUACCAGCAGUCUCAUGAACUCCGUCGUGAUCGGGUCCGUCUUGAAAACCUUCUUGACUGAGUCCCAAUGGUGUCGUGCCCUGAGGACGUCAUGCUCCUACGGGACGGUGAAGUCCGCCAAGGGGUCUGGGAUGCCAGAUUUUCGCGUUUCGUGUCCUCCUUGGCCCAUAUGGACCUCUUCCUGCCGUAACCACUGCUUCCGAGGUGGUGGCGCCCCAUGUUCCUUUGUGGAAGCCCCUUCAUGUACUUCGACUUUGUUUUGGCAGCUUCGGCCUCGCAAGCCGCCUUGAAUAUUUCAAAGUGUUCUCUAGUGAUUGUCAGAUUAUCCUUUACAAUCUCGGAGUAGGGUUGAUACGUCUCCAACGUAUCUAUUAUUUUUGAUUGCUCCAUGCUAUAUUAUCUACUGUUUUGGACAUUAUUGGGCUUUAUUAUCUACUUUUAUAUUAUUUUUGGGACUAACCUAUUAACCGGAGGCCCAGCCUAGAAUUGUUGUUUUUUGACUGUUUUAGGGUUUCGAAGAAAAGGAAUAUCAAACGGAGUCCAAACGGAAUGAAACCUUCGGGAACGUGAUUUUCUGAAUGAACAAGACCCUGGAGACUUGGACCCUACGUCAAGACACAAAAGAGGAGGACACGAGGUAGGGGGCGCGCCUAACCCCCCCCCCCCCUCGAGGCACGCCCUCCACCCUCGUGGGGCCCCUGUUGCUCCACCGACGUACUCCUUCCUCCUAUAUAUACCUACGUACUUCCAAACGAUCAGAUACGGAGCCAAAACCCUAAUUCCACUGCCGCAACUUUCUGUAUCCACGAGAUCCCAUUUGGUGCCUGUUCCGGAGCUCCGCCGGAGGGGGCAUCGAUCACGGAGGGCUUCUACAUCAACACCAUAGCCUCUCCGAUGAAGUGUGAGUAGUUCACCUCAGACGUACCGGUCCAUAUUUAUUACCUAGAUGGCUUCUUCUCUCUUUUUGGAUCUCAAUACAAUGUUCUCCCCCUCUCUUGUGGAGAACUAUUCGAUGUAAUCUUGUUUUUGCAGUGUGUUUAUUGAGAUUGAUGAAUUGUGGGUUUAUGAUCAAGUCUAUGUAUGAAUAAUAUUUGAAUCUUCUCUAAAUUCUUUUAUGUAUGAUUGUUUAUCUUUGCAAGUCUCUUCGAAUUAUCAGUUUGGUUUGGCCUACUAGAUUGAUCUUUCUUACAAUGGGAGAAGUGCUUAGCUUUGGGUUCAAUCUUGCGGUGUCCUUUCCCAAUGACAGUAGGGGCAGCAAGGCAUGUAUUGUAUUGUUGCCAUCGAGGACAACAAGAUGGGGUUUUCAUCAUAUUGCAUGAGUCUAUCCCUCUACAUCAUGUCAUCUUGCUUAAGGCGUUACUCUGUUUUUAACUUAAUACUCUAGAUGCAUGCUGGAUAGCGGUCGAUGAGUGAAACCUAUGGCCCCCGGGUCUAUCUUUAUCAUAUUAAUCUCCUACUACUUAGUUAUUUCCUUUGCUUUUUCCUUUGCCUUUAUUUUACUUUUGAUCUUUAUCACAAAAAUACCAAACAUAUUAUCUUUAUCAUAUCUAUCAGAUCUCACUCUCGUAAGUGGCUGUGUAGGGAUUGACAACCCCUAUUCGCGUUGGUUGCGAGGAUUUAUUUGUUUUGUGCAAGUACGAGAGACUCGCGCGUAGCCUCCUACUGGAUUGAUACCUUGGUUCUCAAAAACUGAGGGAAAUACUUACACUACUUUGCUGCAUCAUCCUUCCUCUUCGCGGAAAACCAACGUAGUGCUCAAGAGCUGGCAAUAAGGAUUUCUGGCGCCGUUGCCGGGGAGGUCUAAGCAAAAGUCAACAUACCAAGUACCCAUCACAUACCCUUAUCUCCUGCAUUACAUUAUUUUCCAUUUGCCUCUCGUUUUCCUCUCCCCCACUUCACCCUUGCCGUUUUAUUCGCCCUCUCUCUCUCUCUCUAUCCUCCCUCUCUUUCUCUAUUUGCCUCUUUUUUCCCACUUGCUUUCUGUUUGCUUGUGUGUUAGUUGCUUGCUUGUCACGAUGGCUCAAGAUAAUACUAAAUUACGUGACUUCACCAAUACCAACAACAAUGAUUUUAUUAACACUCCGAUUGCUCCUCUUACCGAUGCUGAAUCUUGAGAAAUUAAUACUGCUUUGCUGAAUCUUGUCAUGAAAGAUCUGUUUUUCGGCCUUCCUAGUGAAGAUGCCGCUACCCACCUAAAUAGAUUCGUUGAUUUGUGUGACAUGCAAAAGAAGAAAGGUGUGGAUAAUGAUAUUGUUAAAUUGAAGCUAUUUCCUUUUUCGCUUAGAGAUCGUGCUAAAGCUUGGUUUUCGUCUUUGCCUAAAAAUACUAUUGAUUCAUGGAAUAAGUGCAAAGAUGCUUUUAUCUCUAAGUAUUUUCCUCCUGCUAAGAUCAUCUCUCUUAGAAACGAUAUUAUGAAUUUUAAGCAACUUGAUCAUGAACAUGUUGCACAAGCUUGGGAGAGAAUGAAACUAAUGAUACGUAAUUGCCCUGCCCAUGGUUUAAAUUUGUGGAUGAUUAUACCAAAUUUUUAUGCCGGAUUGAACUUUGCUUCUAGAAAUCUUUUAGAUUAGGCCGCGGGAGGCACUUUUAUGGAAAUCACUUUAGGAGAAGCUACUAAACUCCUAGAUAAUAUUAUGGUUAAUUAUUCUCAACGGCAUACCGAAAGAUCUACUAAUAAAAACGUGCAUGCGAUAGAAGAAAUUAAUGUUUCGAGUGGAAAGAUGGAUGAACUUCUGAAAUUAUUUGCUAAUAAGAGUAUUUCUUCUGAUCCUAAUGAUAUGCCCUUGUCUACUUUGAUUGAGAAUAAUAAUUAAUCUAUGGAUGUGGAUUUUGUUGGUAGGAACAAUUUUGGUAACAACGCGUACAGAGGAAAUUUCAACCCUAGGCCUUAUCCUAGUAAUCUCUCUAAUAAUUAUGGUAAUUCCUACAACAAUUCUUAUGGAAAUUAUAAUAAGAUGCCCUCUGAUUUUGGAUCUAAUAUUAGAGAAUUUAUUACUUUCCAAAAGAAUUUCAAUGCUUUGAUUGAAGAAAAAUUGCUUAAGAUUGAUGAUUUGGCUAGGAACGUUGAUAGAAUUACUCUUGAUGUUGAUUCUUUGAAACUUAGAUCUAUUCCACCUAAGCAUGAUGUCAAUGAGUCUCUCAAAGCCAUGAGAAUUUCCAUUGAUGAGUGCAAAGAAAGAACCACUAGGAUGCGUGUUAAGAAAGAUGCCUUUAUAAGAGCGUGUUCUUCUAAUUCCUAUGAAAAUAAUGAUGAAGAUCAAAAAGUUAUUGAUGUCCUCCCUAUUAAAUCUUUGUUUUGCAAUAUGAAUCUUGAUAAUCAUGGGACUGAAUAUGAUCCACCUUUACCUAGAAGGCGUUCCAAUAAUUCAGAAUUUGUUGAUCUUGAUGCUAAAAUUGAUAAAGGUGGGAUUGAAGAAAUUAAAACCCUAGAUGUUGCUAAACCCACUAUUAUGGAUUUCAAGGAACUUAACUAUGAAAACUGCCCUUUGAUUGAUUGUAUAUCCUUGUUACAAUCCGUGCUAAAUUCUCCUCAUGCUUAUAGUCAAAAUAAAGCAUUUACUAAACAUAUUGUUGAUGCCUUGAUGCAAUCUUAUGAAGAAAAACUUGAAUUGGAAGUUUCUAUCCCUAUAAAGCUUUAUGAUGAGUGGGAACCAACUAUUAAAAUUAAAAUUAAAUAUCAUGAAUGCUAUGCUUUAUGUGAUUUGUGUGCUAGUGUUUCCACGAUUCCAUAGACUUUGUGUGAUUUGUUAGGUUUCCGUGAUUUUGAUGAUUGCUCUUUAAACUUGCACCUUGCGGAUUCCACUAUUAAGAAACCUAUGGGAAGAAUUAAUGAUGUUCUUAUUGUUGCAAAUAGCAAUUAUGUGCCCGUAGAUUUUAUUGUUCUUGACAUAGAUUGCAAUCUUUCAUGUCCUAUUAUUCUUGGUAGACCUUUCCUUAGAACGACUGGUGCAAUUAUUGAUAUGAAGGAAGGAAAUAUUAGAUUCCAAUUUCCAUUAAGGAAAGGCAUGGAACACUUUCCUAGAAAGUAAAUUAAAUUACCUUAUGAAUCUAUUAUGAUAGCCACUUAUGGAUUGCCUACCAAAGAUGGCAAUACCUAGAUCUAUCCUUGCUUGUUAUGCCUAGCUAGGGGCGUUAAACGAUAGCGCUUGUUGGGAGGCAACCCAAUUUUAUUUUUAUUCCUUGAUUUUUUCUCCUGUUUAGUAAUAAAUAAUUUAUAUAGCCUCUGUUUUGGUUCUGUUCUUUGUGUUUAAUUAGUGUUUGUGCCAAGUAGAACCGUUAGGAAGACUUGGGGAAAGUCUUGUUACACUUGCUGUAAAAAACUGAAACUUCAGCGCUCACGAGAACUGCUGCCAUUUUUAUUUGGAAAGUGCUAUGUAGUUAAUUAUUUUUCAGAUGAUUAACAGAUAAAUUCCUCACGUCCAGAAAUUUAUUUUAGAAUUUUUGGGGUUCCAGCUCUUGAGCUAGCUACAGAGUACUACAGGCUGUUCUGUUUUUGAAAGAUUCUGUUUUUCGUGUGUUGUUUGCUUAUUUUGAUGAACCUAUGGCUAGUAAAAUAGUUUAUAUACCAUAGAGAAAUUGGAAUACAGUAGGUAUAACACCAAUAUAAAUAAAUAAUGAGUUCAUUACAGUACCUUGAAGUGGUCUUUUAUUUUCUUUCGCUAACGGAGCUCAUGAGAUUUUCUACUUUAAGUUUUGUGUUGUGAAGUUUUCAAGUUUUGGGUAAAGAUUUGAUGGAUUAUGGAACAAGGAGUGACAAGAGCCUAAGCUUGGGGGUUCCCAUGGCACCCCCAAGAUAAUCUAAGUACACCUAAAAACCAAAGCUUGGGGAUGCGCCGGAAGUCAUCCCCUCUUUCAUCUACUUCUAUCGGUAACUUUACUUGGAGCUAUAUUUUUAUUCGCCACAUGAUAUGUGUUUUGCUUGGAGCGUCUUGUAUUAUUUGAGUCUUUAUUUGUUAGUUUACCACAAUCAUCCUUGCUGUACACACCUUUUGAGAGAGCCAUACAUGAUUUGGAAUUUGUUAGAAUACUCUAUGUGCUUCGCUUAUAUCUUUUGAGUUAUAUAGUUUUGCUCUAGUACUUCACUUAUAUCUUUUAGAGCACGGUGGUGGAUUUGUUUUAUAGAAACAAUUGAUCUCUCAUGCUCCACUUAGAUUAUUUUGAGAUUCUUAAUAGCAUGUUAAUUUGCUUAAAAUCCUAAUAUGCUAGGUAUUCAAAGUUAGUAAAAUUUUCUUAAGAGUGUUUUGAAUACUAAGAGAAGUUUGAUGCUUGAUGAUUGUUUUGAGAUAUGGAGGUAAUAAUAUCAAAGUCGUUCUCGUUGACUAGUUGUGAAAUUGAGAAAUACUUGUGUUGAAGUUUGCAUGUCCCGUAGCACGCACGUAUGGUAAACGUUGUGUAACAAAUUUGAAACAUGAGGUGUUAUUUGAUUGUCUUCCUUGUGAGUGGCGGUCGGGGACGAGCGAUGGUCUUUUCCUACCAAUCGAUCCCCCUAGGAGCAUGCGAAUAGUACCAAGGUUUUUGAUGACUUGUAGAUUUUUGCAGUAAGUAUGUGAGUUCUUUAUGACUAAUGUUGAGUCCAUGAAUUAUACGCACUCUCACCCUUCCAUCCUUGCUAGCCUCUUCGGUACCGUGCAUUGCCCUUUCCCACAUUGAGAGUUGGAGCAAACUUCGCCAGUGCAUCCAAACCCCGUGCUAUGAUACGCUCAUUCACACAUAAACCUCCUUAUAUCUUCCUCAAAACAGCCACCAUACCUACCUAUUAUGGCAUUUCCAUAGCCAUUCCGACAUAUAUUGCCAUGCAACUUUCCACCAUUCCGUUCAUCAUGACACAUUCAUCAUUGUCAUAUUGCGUAGCAUAAUCAUGUAGUUGACAUAGUAUUUGUGGCAAGGCCACCGUUCAUAAUUCAUUCAUACAUGUCACUCUUGGUCCAUUGCAUGUCCCGGUACACCGCCGGAGGCAUUCAUAUAGAGCCAUACUUUGUUCUAGUAUCGAGUAGUAAUUAUUGAGUCGUAAAUAAAUAGAAGUGUGAUGAUCAUCAUUAAUAGAGCAUGGUCCCAAAAAGAAAAAAAAGGAAGGGCCAAAAAAAGGCCAAAUAAAAAAAUAUAAAAAAGGGGGCAAUGCUACUAUCCUUUUUUUCCAAACUUGUGCUUCCAAGUAGCACCGUAAUCUUCAAGAUAGAGAGUCUCUUGAUUUGUCACUUUCAUAUACUAGUGGGAAUUUUUCAUUAUAGAACUUGGCUUGUAUAUUCCAACAAUGGGCGUCCCCAAGUUCCCUAGGUCUUCGUGAGCAAGCAAGUUGGAUGCACACCCACUUAGUUUCUUUUGUUGAGCUUUCAUACAUUUAUAGCUCUAGUGCAUCCGUUGCAUGGCAAUUCCUACUCCUUGCAUUAACAUCAAUCAAUGGGCAUCUCCAUAGCCCAUUGAUUAGCCUCGUUGAUGUGAGACUUUCUCCUUUUUGUCUUCUCCACAUAACCCCACUCAUUAGAUUCUAUUCCACCCAUAGUGUUAUGUCCAUGGCUUGCAAUCAUAUAUUGCGUGAAAGUUUAUAGGUUUGAGAUCACUAAAGUAUGAAACAAUUGCUUGGCUUGUCAUCGGGGUUGUGCAUGAUGAGAGCAUACUUGUGUGACGAAAAUGAAGCAUGACUAAACUAUAUGAUUUUGUAGGGGUGAACUUUCUUUGGCCAUGUUAUUUUGAGAAGACACAAUUGCUCAGUUAGUAUGCUUAAAGUAUUAUUAUUUUAUGUCAAUAUGAACUUUUGUCUUGAAUGUUUCAGAUCCGAAUAUUCAUACCACAAUUAAGAAGAAUUACAUUAAAAUCAUGCCAAGUAGCACUCCACAUCAAAAAUUCUGUUUUUAUCAUUUACCUACUCGAGGACGAGCCGGAAUUAAGCUUGGGGAUGCUUGAUACAUCUCCAACGUAUCUAUAAUUUUUGAUUGCUCCAUGCUAUAUUAUCUACUGUUUUGGACAAUAUUGGGCUUUAUUAUCCACUUGUAUAUUAUUUUUGGGACUAACCUAUUAACCGGAGGCCCAGCCCAGAAUUGUUGUUUUUUGCCUGUUUUAGGGUUUCGAAGAAAAGGAAUAUCAAACGGAGUCCAAACGGAAUGAAACCUUCGGGAACGUGAUUUUCUCAACGAACAAGAUCUAGGAGACUUGGACCCUCCAUCAAGACAUAAAAGAGGAGGCCACGAGGUAGGGGGCGUNNNNNNNNNNNNNNNNNNNNNNNNNNNNNNNNNNNNNNNNNNNNNNNNNNNNNNNNNNNNNNNNNNNNNNNNNNNNNNNNNNNNNNNNNNNNNNNNNNNNNNNNNNNNNNNNNNNNNNNNNNNNNNNNNNNNNNNNNNNNNNNNNNNNNNNNNNNNNNNNNNNNNNNNNNNNNNNNNNNNNNNNNNNNNNNNNNNNNNNNNNNNNNNNNNNNNNNNNNNNNNNNNNNNNNNNNNNNNNNNNNNNNNNNNNNNNNNNNNNNNNNNNNNNNNNNNNNNNNNNNNNNNNNNNNNNNNNNNNNNNNNNNNNNNNNNNNNNNNNNNNNNNNNUGGGCCCCCCUGUUGCUCCACCGACGUACUCCUUCCUCCUAUAUAUACCUACUAUUGGGGAACGUAGCAGAAUUUUAAAAUUUUCUACGCAUACCAAGAUCAAUCUAUGGAGUCAUAUAGCAACGAGGGAGAGAGGAGUGCAUCUACAUACCCUUGUAGAUCGCGCGCGGAAGCGUUCAAGAGAACGGGGUUGAUGGAGUCGUACUCGUCGUGAUCCAAAUCACCGAUGACCAAGUGCCGAAUGGACAGCACCUCCGCGUACAACACACGUACGGUUGGGAAGACGUCUCCUCCUUCUUGAUCCAGCAAGGGGGAAGGAGAGGUUGAUGAAGAUCCAGCAGCACGACGGCGUGGUGGUGGAUGCAGCAGGAUCCCGGCAGGGCUUCGCCAAGCGCAAGCGGGGAGGAGAGGUGUUACGGAAGGAGAGGGAGGCGCCAAGAGCAAGGGUGCGGCUGCCCUCCCUCCCCCCCCUCUUUAUAUAGGGGCCUUGGGGGGGCGCCGGCCCUAGGAGAUGGAUCUCCAAGGGGGGCGAAGGCCAAGGGGUGGCUUCCCCCCCAAGCCAAGUGGGGGGCGCCCCCACCCCUAGGGUUUCCCAACCCUAGGCGCAUGGGAGGCCCAAGGGGGGCGCACCAGCCCACUAGGGGCUGGUUCUGCUCCCAAUUCAGCCCAUGGGGCCCUCCGGGAUGGGUGGCCCCACCCGGUGGACCCCCGGGACCCUUCCGGUGGUCCUGGUACAAUACCGGUGACCCCCGAAACCUUCCCGAUGGCCGAAAUUGUACUUCCUAUAUAUAAAUCUUUACCUCCGAACCAUUCCGGAACUCCUCGUGACGUACGGGAUCUCAUCCGGUACUCCGAACAUAUCCUUGGUUACUACAUACUAAUAUCUCUACAACCCUAGCGUCACCGAACCUUAAGUGUGUAGACCCUACGGGUUCGGGAGACAUGCAGACAUGACAGAGACGCCUCUCCGGUCAAUAACCAACAGCGGGAUCUGGAUACCCAUGUUGGCUCCCACGUGCUCCACGAUGAUCUCAUCGGAUGAACCACGAUGUCGAGGAUUCAAUCAAUCUGUGUAGAAUUCCCUUUGUCAAUCGGUACGUUACUUGCCCGAGACUCGAUCGUCGGUAUCCCAAUACCUCGUUCAAUCUCGUUACCAGCAAGUCACUUUACUCGUGCCGUAAUGCAUGAUCCCAUGAUCAACCACUUGGUCACAAUGAGCUCAUUAUGAUCAUGCAUUACCGAGUGGGCCCAGAGAUACCUCUCCGUCAUACGGAGUGACAAAUCCCAGUCUCGAUUCGUGCCAACCCAACAGACACUUUCGGAGAUACCUGUAAUGUACCUUUAUAGUCACCCAGUUACGUUGUGACGUUUGGCACACCCAAGGCACUCCUACGGUAUCCGGGAGUUGCCCAAUCUCAUGGUCUAAGGAAAUGAUACUUGACAUUCGGAAAAGCUACAGCAAACGAACUACACGAUCUUUGAGCUAUGCUUAGGAUUGGGUCUUGUCCAUCACAUCAUUCUCCUAAUGAUGUGAACCCGUUAUCAAUGACAUCCAAUGUCCAUAGUCAGGAAACCAUGACUAUCUUUUGAUCAACGAGCUAGUCAACUAGAGGCUCACUAGGGACGUGUUGUCGUCUAUGUAUUCACACAUGUAUUACGAUUUCCGGAUAACACAAUUAUAGCAUGAAAAAUAGACAAUUAUCAUGAACAAAGAAAUAUAAUAAUAACCAUUUUAUUAUUGCCUCUAGGGCAUAUUUCCAACAGUCUCCCACUUGCACUAGCGUCAGUAGUCUAGUUACAUUUUGAUGAAUCCAACACCCAUGAAGUUCUGGAGUUGAUCAUGUUUUGCUCUAGGGAGAGGUUUAGUCAAUGGAUCUGCCACAUUCAGGUCCGUAUGUACUUUACAAAUCUCUAUGUAUCCAUUUUGAACACUUUCAUGAAUGGAGUUGAAGUGACGCUUGAUAUGCCUGGUCUUCCUGUGAAAUCUGGGCUCCUUGGCAAGUGCAAUAGCUCCAGUGUUGUCACAGAAUAGAGUCAUCGGGCCCGGUGCAUUGGGUGUGACUCCUAGGUCGGUAAUGAACUCCUUCACCCAGAUUGCUUCUUGUGCUGCCUCCGAGGCUGCCAUGUACUCUGCUUCACAUGUAGAUCCCGCCACAACGCUUUGCUUGCAACUCCACCAGCUUACUGCCCCACCAUUCAAAAUAUACACGUAUCCGGUUUCCGACUUAGAGUCAUCCAGAUCUGUGUCGAAGCUAGCAUCAACGUAACCCUUUACGACGAGCUCUUCGUCACCUCCAUAAACGAGAAACAUAUCCUUAGUCCUUUUUAGGUACUUGAGGAUAUUCUUGACUGCUGUCUAGUGUUCCAUGCCGGGAUUACUUUGGUACCUUCCUACCAAACUUACGGCAAGGUUUUCAUCAGGUCUGGUACACAGCAUAGCAUACAUGAUAGACCCUAUGGCCGAGGCAUAGGGGAUGACACUCAUCUUUUCUCUAUCUUCUGUCGUGGUCGUGCAUUGAGCCUCGCUCAAUCUCGUACCUUGCAAUACAGGCAAGAACCCUUCUUUUACUGAUCCAUUUUGAACUUCUUCAAUAUCUUAUCAAGGUAUGUACUCUGUGAAAGACCAAUGAGGCGUCUCGAUCUAUCUCUAUAGAUCUUGAUGCCUAAUAUAUAAGCAGCUUCUCCAAGAUCCUUCAUUGAAAAACACGUGUUCAAGUAGGCCUUUAUGCUUUCCAAGAAUUCUAUAUCAUUUCCCAUCAACAAUAUGUCAUCCACAUCCAAUAUGAGAAAUGCUACAAAGCUCCCACUCACUUUCUUGUAAAUGCAGACUUCUCCAUAAGUAUGCGUAAACCCAAACGCUUUGAUCAUCUCAUCAAAACGAAUGUUCCAUCUCCGAGAUGCUUGCACCAGCCCAUAAAUCGAAUGUUGGAGCUUGUACACCUUGUCAGCAUUCUUAGGAUCGACAAAACCUUCCGGCUGCAUCAUAUACAAUUCUUCCUUAAGGAAACCAUUAAGGAAUGUUGUUUUGACGUCCAUUUGCCAUAUUCAUAAUCAUAGAAUGCGGCAAUUGCUAACAUCGUAGUCAACCCCUUGAACUUGCCGAUAACCCUUAGCGACAAGCCGAGCUUUAUAGAUGGUCACAUUACCAUCCGCGUCUGUCUUCUUCUUAAAGAUCCAUUUAUUUUCUAUGGCUCGCCGAUCAUCGGGCAAGUCAGUCAAAGUCCAUACUUUGUUUUCAUACAUGGAUCUUAUCUCGGAUUUCAUGGCUUCCAGCCAUUUGUUGGAAUUCAGGCCCGCCAUCGCUUCUUCAUAGUUCGAAGUUCACCGUUGUCUAACAACAUGAUUUCCAAGACAGGGUUGCCGUACCACUCUGGUGCGGGACGUGUCCCCGUGGACCUACGAAGUUCAGUAGCAACUUGAUCUGAAGUUUCAUGAUCAUCAUCAUCAAUUUCCUCUCUAGUCGUUGCAGGCACCUUAGGAACAUUUUCUUGAGCUGCGCCACUUACCGGUUCAAGAGGUAAUAAUACUUCAUCAAGUUCUACUUUCCUCCCACUUAUUUCUUUCGAGAGAAACUCUUUCUCUAGAAAGGACCCAUUCUUGGCAACAAAGAUCUUGCCUUCGGAUCUGAGGUAGAAGGUAUACCCAAUAGUUUCUUUAGGGUAUCCUAUGAAGACGCAUUUUUCCAAUUUGGGUUCGAGCUUUUCAGGUUGAAGUUUCCUUACAUAAGCAUCGCAUCCCCAAACUUUUAGAAAUGACAUCUUAGGUGUCUUCCCAAACCAUAAUUCAUACGGUGUCAUCUCAACGGAUUUCGACGGAGCCCUAUUUAAAGUGAAUGCGGCAGUCUCUAAAGCAUAGCCCCAAAAUGACAGCGGUAAAUCGGUAAGAGACAUCAUAGAUCGCACCAUAUCUAAUAGAGUGCGAUUAUGACAUUCCGACACACCAUUACGCUGAGGUGUUCCAGGCGGCGUGAGUUGUGAAACUAUUCCACAUUUUCUUAAGUGUGUGCCAAAUUCGUGACUCAAGUAUUCUCCCCCACGAUCUGAUCGCAAGAACUUGAUUUGCCUGUCACGUUGAUUCUCAACCUCACUUUGAAAUUCCUUGAACUUUUCAAAGGUCUCAGACUUGUGUUUCAUUAAGUAGACAUACCCAUAUCUACUCAAGUCAUCAGUGAGGGUGAGAACAUAACGAUAGCCACCGCGCCUCAACACUCAUUGGACCGCACACAUCAGUAUGUAUGAUUUCCAAUAAGUUGGUUACUCGCUCCAUUGUUCCUGAGAACGGAGUCUUGGUCAUUUUACCCAUGAGGCAUGGUUCGCACGUGUCAAAUGAUUCGUAAUCAAGAGACUUUAAAAGUCUAUCUGCAUGGAGCUUCUUCAUGCGUUUGACACCUAUGUGACCAAGGCGGCAAUGCCACAAGUAUGUGGGACUAUCAUUAUCAACCUUACAUCUUUUGGUAUUCACACUAUGAAUAUGUGUAACAUUAUGCUCGAGAUUCAUUAAGAAUAAACCAUUCACCAAUGGAGCAUGACCAUAAAACAUAUCUCUCAUAUAAAUAGAACAACCAUUAUUCUCGGAUUUAAAUGAGUAGCCAUCUCAAAUUAACCGAGAUCCUGAUACAAUGUUCAUGCUCAAAGCUGGCAGUAAAUAACAAUUAUUGAGGUUUAAAACUAAUCCCAUAGGCAAAUGUAGAGGCAGCGUGCCGACGGCGAUCACAUCAACCUUGGAACCAUUCCCGACGCACAUCGUCACCUCGUCCUUCGCCAGUCUCCGUUUAAUCCGCAGCUCCUGCUUUGAGUUACAAAUGUGAGCAACUGCACCGGUAUCAAAUACCCAGGAGCUACUACGAGUACUGGUAAGGUACACAUCAAUUACAGGUAUAUCACAUAUACCUUUAGUGUUGCCGGCCUUCUUGUCCGCUAAGUAUUUGGGGCAGUUCCGCUUCCAGUGACUACUUCCCUUGCAAUAAAAACACUCAGUCUCGAGCUUGGAUCCAUUCUUUGGCUUCUUCCCGGAAACUUGCUUAGCGGGCGCGGCAACUCCCUUGCCGUCCUUCUUGAAUUCUUCUUACCCUUGCCUUUCUUGAACUUAGUGGUUUUAUUCACCAUCAACACUUGAUGUUCCUUUUUGAUUUCCACCUCUGCUGAUUUCAGCAUUGAAUAUACCUCAGGAAUGGUCUUUUCCAUCCCCUGCAUAUUGAAGUUGAUCACAAAGCUCUUGUAGCUCGGUGGAAGCGACUGAAGGAUUCUGUCAAUGACCGCGUCAUUCGGGAGGUUAACUCCCAGCUGAGUCAAGCGGUUAUGCAACCCAGACAUUUUGAUUAUGUGCUCACUGACAGAACUAUUUUCCUCCAUCUUAUAGCUGAAGAACUUGUCGGAGACUUCAUAUCUCUCGACCCGGGCAUGAGCUUGAAAAACCAUUUUCAGCUCUUCGAACAUCUCAUAUGCUCCAUGUCUCUCAAAAUGCUUUUGGAGCCCCGGUUCUAAGCUGUAAAGCAUGCCGCACUGAACGAGGGAGUAAUCAUCAGCACGUAACUGCCAAGCGUUGAUAAUGUCUUGGUUCUCUGGGACAGGUGCGUGACCUAACGGUGCUUCUAGGACAUAAUAUUUCUUGGCAGCUACGAGGAUGAUCCUCAGGUUCCGGACCCAGUCCGUAUAGUUGCUGCCAUCGUCUUUCAGCUUGGUUUUCUCUAGGAACGCGUUGAAAUUGAGGACAACGUGGGCCAUUUGAUCUACAAGACAUAUUGUAAAGAUUUUAGACUAAGUUCAUGAUAAUUAAGUUCAUCUAAUCAAAUUAUACAAUGAACUCCCACUCAGAUAGACAUCCCUCCAGUCAUCUAAGUGAAACAUGAUCCAAGUUAACUAGGCUGUGUCGGAUCAUCACGUGAAACGGACUAGUCAACAUCGGUGAACAUCUUCAUGUUGAUCGUAUCUUCUAUACGACUCAUGCUCGACCUUUCGGUCUUCUGUGUUCCGAGGCCAUGUCUGUACAUGCUAGGCUCGUCAACUAAACCUAAGUGUAUUGCGUGUGUAAAUCUGGCUUACACCCGUUGUAUUCGAACGUUAGAAUCUAUCACACUCGAUCAUCACGUGGUGCUUCGAAACAACGAACCUUCGCAACGGUGCACAGUUAGGGGGAACACUUUCUUGAAAUUAUUUCGAGGGAUCAUCUUAUUUAAGCUACCGUCGUUCUAAGCAAAUAAGAUGUAAAACAUGAUAAACAUCACAUGCAAUCAAAUAGUGACAUGAUAUGGCCAAUAUCAUUUGCUCCUUUUGAUCUCCAUCUUUGGGGCUCCAUGAUCAUCGUUGUCACCAGCAUGACACCAUGAUCUCCAUCAUCAUGUCUUCUUGAAGUUGUCUCGUCAUCUAUUACUUCUACUACUAUGGCUAAUGCUUUAGCAAUAAAGUAAAGUAAUUACAUGACGUUUAUGUUGACACGCAGGUCAUAAAAAAAUAAAGACAACUCCUAUGGCUCCUGCCGGUUGUCAUACUCAUCGACAUGCAAGUCGUGAUUCCUAUUACAAGAACAUGAUCAAUCUCAUACAUCACAUAUAUCAUUCAUCACAUCCUUUUGGCCAUAUCACAUCAGACGGCACAUGCUGCAAAAACAAGUUAGACGUCCUCUAAUUGUUGUUGCAAGUUUUUACAUGGCUGCUAUAGGUUUCUAGCAAGAACGUGUCUUACCUACGCCAAAACCACAACGUGAUAUGCCAAUUUCUAUUUACCCUUCAUAAGGACCCUUUUCAUCGAAUCCGAUCUAACUAAAGUGGGAGAGAUAGACACCCGCCAGCCACCUUAUGCAAGUAAUGCAUGUCAAUCGGUGGAACCAGUCUCACGUAAGCGUACGUGUAAGGUCGGUCCGGGCCGCUUCAUCCCACGAUGCCGCCGAAUCAAGAUAAGACUAGUAACGGCAAGCAAAGUGACAAUAUCCACGCCCACAACUGCUUUGUGUUCUACUCGUGCAUAGAAACUACGCAUAGACCUGGCUCAUGAUGCCACUAUUGGGGAAUGUAGCAGAAUUUUAAAAUUUUCUACGCAUCACCAAGAUCAAUCUAUGGAGUUAUCUAGCAAUGAGGAAGAGAGGAGUGCAUCUACAUACCCUUGUAGAUCGCGCGCGGAAGCGUUCAAGAGAACGGGGUUGAUGGAGUCGUACUCGUCGUGAUCCAAAUCACCGAUGACCAAGUGCCGAACGGACAGCACCUCCGCGUUCAACACACGUCCGGUUGGGAAGACGUCUCCUCCUUCUUGAUCCAGCAAGGGGGAAGGAGAGGUUGAUGAAGAUCCAGCAGCACGACGGCGUGGUGGUGGAUGCAACAGGAUCCCGGCAGGGCUUCGCCAAGCGCAAGCGGGGAGGAGAGGUGUUACGGAGGGAGAGAGAGGCGCCAAGAGCAAGGGUGCGGCUGCCUUCCCUCCCCCCUCUUUAUAUAGGGGCCAUGGCGGGCGCCGGCCCUAGGAGAUGGAUCUCCAAGGGGGGCGAAGGCCAAGGGGUGGCUCCCCCCCCCAAGCCAAGUGGGGGGCGCCCCCACCCCUAGGGUUUCCCAACCCUAGGCGCAGGGGAGGCCCAAGGGGGCGCACCAGCCCACUAGGGGCUGGUUCCCCUCCCAAUUCAGCCCAUGGGGCCCUCCGGGAUGGGUGGCCCCACCCGGUGGACCCCCGGGACCCUUCCGGUGGUCCCGAUACAAUACCGGUUACCCCCGAAACCUUCCCGAUGGCCGAAACUGUACUUCCUAUAUAUAAAUCUUUACCUCCAAACCAUUUCAGAACUCCUCGUGACGCCCGGGAUCUCAUCCGGGACUCCGAACAACUUUCGGCUUACUACAUACUAAUAUCUAUACAACCCUAGCGUCACCGAACCUUAAGUGUGUAGACCCUACGGGUUUCGGAGACAUGCAGACAUGACUGAGACGCCUCUCCAGUCAAUAACCAACAGCGGGAUCUGGAUACCCAUGUUGGCUCCCACAUGCUCCACGAUGAUCUCAUCGGAUGAACCACGAUGUCGAGCAUUCAAUCAAUCUGUAUACAAUUCCCUUUAUCAAUCAGUACGUUACUUGCCCGAGACUCGAUCGUCAGUAUCCCAAUACCUUGUUCAAUCUCGUUACCGGCAAGUCACUUUACUCAUACCAUAAUGCAUGAUCCCGUGAUCAACCACUUGGUCACAUUGAGCUCAUUAUGAUGAUGCAUUACCGAGUGGGCCCAGAGAUACCUCUUCAUCACGCGGAGUGACAAAUCCCAGUCUCGAUUCAUGCCAACCCAAUAGACACUUUCGGAGAUACCUGUAAUGUACCUUUAUAGUCACCCAGUUACGUUGUGACGUUUGGCACACCCAAGGCACUCCUACGGUAUCCGGGAGUUUCACAAUCUCAUGGUCUAAGGAAAUGAUACUUGACAUUCGGAAAAGCUACAGCAGAUGAACUACACGACCUUUGAGCUAUGCUUAGGAUUGGGUCUUGUCCAUCACAUCAUUCUCCUAAUGAUGUGAUCCCAUUAUCAAUGACAUCCAAUGUCCAUAGUCAGGAAACCAUGACUAUCUUUUGAUCAACAAGCUAGUCAACUAGAGGCUCACUAGGGACGUGUUGUGGUCUAUGUAUUCACACAUGUAUUACGAUUUCCGGAUAACACAAUUAUAGCAUGAACAAUAGACAAUUAUCAUGAACAAAGAAAUAUAAUAAUAACCAUUUUAUUAUUGCCUCUAGGGCAUAUUUCCAACACCUACGUACCCCCAAACGAUCAUAUACGGAGCCAAAACCCUAAUUCCACCGCCGCAACUUUCUGUAUCCACGAGAUCCCAUCUUGGGGCCUGUUCCGGAGCUCCGCCAGAGGGGGCAUCGAUCACGGAGGGCUUCUACAUCAACACCAUAGCCUCUCUGAUGAAGUGUGAGUAGUUCACCUCAGACCUACGGUUCCAUAGUUAUUAGCUAGAUGGCUUCUUCUCUCUUUUUGGAUCUCAAUACAAUGUUCUCCCCAUCUCUUGUGGAGAACUAUUCGAUGUAAUCUUCUUUUUGCGGUGUGUUUGUUGAGACCGAUGAAUUGUGGGUUUAUGAUCAAGUCUAUCUAUGAAUAAUAUUUGAAUCUUCUCUGAAUUGUUUUAUGUAUGAUAGGUUAUCUUUGCAAGUCUCUUCGAAUUAUCAGUUUGGUUUGGCCUACUAGAUUGAUCUUUCUUGCAAUGGGAGAAGUGCUUAGCUUUGGGUUCAAUCUUGCGGUGUCCUUUCCCAGUGACAGUAGGGGCAGCAAGGCACGUAUUAUAUUGUUGCCAUCGAGGACAACAAGAUGGAGUUUUCAUCAUAUUGCAUGAGUCUAUCCCUCUACAUCAUGUCAUCUUGCUUAAGGCGUUAAUCUGUUUUUAACUUAAUACUCUAGAUGCUUGCUGGAUAGCGAUCGAUUAGUGGAGUAAUAGUAGUAGAUGCAGGCAGGAGUCGGUCUACUUGUCUCGGACGUGAUGCCUAUAUACAUGAUCAUACCUAGAUAUUCUCAUAACUAUGCUCAAUUCUGUCAAUUGCUCAACAAUAAUUUGUUCACCCACCGUAGAAUAUUUAUGCUCUCGAGAGAAGCCACUAGUGAAACCUAUGGCCCCGGGUCUAUCUUUAUCAUAUUAAUCUCCUACUACUUAGUUAUUUCCUUUGCUUUUUACUUUGCCUUUAUUUUACUUUGCAUCUUUAUCACAAAAAUACGAAAAAAAUUAUCUUUAUCAUAUCUAUCAAAUCUCACUCUCGUAAGUGGCCGUGUAGGAAUUGACAACCCCUAUUCGCGUUGGUUGCGAGGAUUUAUUUGUUUUGUGCAGGUACGAGGGACUCGCGCGUAGCCUCCUACUGGAUUGAUACCUUGGUUCUCAAAACCUGAGGGAAAUACUUACGCUACUUUGCUGCAUCAUCCCUUCCUCUUCGGGGAAAACCAAGGCAGUGCUCAAGAGGUAGCAAGGGUUCCUUUUUGUCGACGAUCCGAUGUUUCAACCCUGUUUUCCAGGUGGCCAACGCGUCGCUAAACUUGGUGACGGCGUGUUUGUUUAUCUUCUUCAUUGCCAGGUCCUUAUCUGGAUCUUUAUUAUCCUUUUCACUGCGGUCUGGGAACAAGAUUAUCUGGUGCAGUUUCUUAAGGAGGGAGGGCCUCAUAUUAUCUAUCUUCUGUAGUUUCCCAUCGUUGAUCGUGGCAGUUGUCCGUACGAUGCAACCUAUUUGAUUGCCGUAGCACGAUCGCGCUUCCUCGGGCGCUAUUGUCUCAAAAAUACCGCCGUCCAUCUCCGUGACCGCCAGUCUACUACUCAUGAGCUGGUUUGGGCGCUGUGGCCUCUUUGCUUUCGGUUCUAGACCAGCUCCGCUAGUCUCGGCGCCUGUCUCAGUUUCAUCAUCGGUCCGCAUGUCGGUAUCAGUCCCCGAUGCGACACCACAGUUGCUGCAACAUGGGUAAGGGAGACCACGUCAGUGGUGGGGGGUCUGAAAAUCAGAACACACUUUCGCGCGUCGCGGGCCGCCUCUCAGACAGCUACUGGGGAGGCGGUGGAGUACCUGGGUGCGCGGCGAAUCCCCGGGAACUCGGUGACCAACUUCCUUCCCGUGUGGCGCAUGGAGACGACGGCGACCCCGGCGAAGAGCAGCUUAGCCGCGAGCUGCACAGCCUCGUCCACCUCCUAAGUUGGGACCUCCGCGCGAGCGUUGCGGGGCCGCCACUCGGAUGGCUUCUGGAAGGCGGUUGUACAUGGGCACAUGGUGAAUCCCGGCGAGAGCUGGCCAUUGGCGCGCGCAAGUAGACGACGAUGUCCUCGAAGAAGAGCAGCCCGGCCAGCUCGCCUCACUAUCCUUUGAUUAGAAAUGAAAGAUUGGGAAGAAGCAGACUUGAGCCUGCAGGGAAAGGAUAAGGUGACGAUGCAGUCUCCACUCGUUCGGGGCGACACUCGUACUGAAUGUAUGAGAAACGUGACGUGGCAGAGACCCCAAGAUACUCCCUCCAUUUAUUUUUAGUCUGCAUAUAAAGUUUGGUCAAAGUCAAGAUUUGUAAAUUUUAACUAACUUUAUAAUAAAAAAAUAUCAACAUUCACAAUAUGAAAUCAAUAUUACCAGAUGCGUCAUGAAAUGUAUUUCCAUACUAUAUAGUUUUGGUAUUGUAGAUGUUCAUAUUUUUUUAUAUAUAUGGGAAGUAGAGGCACUCUUCUAUAUAAUGAAGUUUAUAAUAUAUGUGCUUAUAUUGUACUAUAAUUGUUUGAAUAACUUAGCAUAUAUUCAGAUGUAUGAUAUCUGUAAUUUAAACGCUUGAAUUUUACAUAUGAAUAUUUAUUAAUAAAUAUGUACCCCUAUAAUAGCUAGGCCGUGCAGUUGCACGGGUAGAUGACUAGUGAUUACAAUCUUGCUUGUGUGCAAGUCAAGCUUAUCUAGUUUACACGUAACAACUUAUAGAACAUUACAAAAUUUAUGCUUGCUAAUAACUUCUAGAACACUACAACACUUGACAUGUAAAAGGAAUUUGAUGAGUCAUGGCCUACUAAAGCAAGUUACAUUACUAGUCUUAUCUAUCUUAACAGACCACACAAGAUUACAAACUAUGUACCGUGACAGCCAUGCUUAUCUAGUUUAUGCGUAACAAUUUGCAGAAAAUUACAAACUUAGUUUCAGAAAGAUAGGCAAUCUAGAUUAGUGUUUGAGCUGUAAAGUGAAUAAGAUGAGUCAUGCAUGUCAUCACACCUUUUUGGUGGUGGAAUGAUAGUGCAACAACAAGGAACUUUAAUGACCAGUCCAAGAAUACACUUGUAAGUAGUGCCACCAAACAGAACAUACCAAAUGAUGAUUUUGAGAAGCAUCCAAGCACUUUCCACACAAACAAAUGCCAAUUGUGAAAGAGAUCAUUCCAUGGCAGCUAUAAAUAGCCCCAUAGCAUGACGAUCAUCCUUCCUCAUCCAUCAUUCUCAUAAGUAGAGCACAUCAUUUAAGCCAAGCAAGUUGUGGUCAAUACAAAUCCACCAUGAAGACCUUUCUCAUCCUUGCCCUCCUUGCUAUCGUGGCGACCACCGCCACAACUGCAGUUAGAGUUCCAGUGCCACAAUUGCAGCCACAAAAUCCAUCUCAGCAACAGCCACAGGAGCAAGUUCCAGUGGUACAACAACAACAAUUUCUAGGGCAGCAACAACCAUUUCCACCACAACAACCAUAUCCACAGCCGCAACCAUUUCCAUCACAACAACCAUAUCUGCAGCUGCAACCAUUUCCGCAGCCGCAACUACCAUAUUCGCAGCCACAACCAUUUCAACCACAACAACCAUAUCCACAACCGCAACCACAGUAUUCGCAACCACAACAACCAAUUUCACAGCAGCAGCAGCAGCAGCAGCAGCAGCAACAACAACAACAACAACAACAACAACAACAACAACCACAACAAAUCCUUCAACAAAUUUUGCAACAACAACUGAUUCCAUGCAUGGAUGUUGUAUUGCAGCAACACAACAUAGCGCAAGGAAGAUCACAAGUUUUGCAACAAAGUACUUACCAGCUGUUGCAAGAAUUGUGUUGUCAGCACCUAUGGCAGAUCCCUGAGCAGUCGCAGUGCCAGGCCAUCCACAAUGUUGUUCAUGCUAUUAUUCUGCAUCAACAACAAAAACAACAACAACAACAACAACAACAACAACCAUCGAGUCAGGUCUCCUUCCAACAGCCUCAGCAACAAUAUCCAUUAGGCCAGGGCUCCUUCCGGCCAUCUCAGCAAAACCCACAGGCCCAGGGCUCUGUCCAGCCUCAACAACUGCCCCAGUUCGAGGAAAUAAGGAACCUAGCGCUACAGACACUACCUGCAAUUUGCAAUGUCUACAUCCCUCCAUAUUGCACCAUCGCGCCAUUUGGCAUCUUCGGUACUAACUGAGAAGAAAAUAACUCUAGUACUAGAUAUAUGAAACACCGUUUUCUCAGUCCAUGGUUUGGUCGUUGUAGCGGUGAAAAAAUAAUGUGGCAUGCACUAUCAUGUAAGAACCCAAACUAUACUAGUUCAAACUUGGGAAUAAAAGACAAACACAGGUCUUGUCUACAUAUUUAUGUCGCAUCUAUUUAUAUAUUAAAAGUAAUAUAAGGUGAACCAGGAGCAAGGUAAAUAUGCUAGAAAAUUGCACGUUAAUUAGAAAUUACUAGCCCUCAAUCCGGUAAAUCUUAACAAAUAGAAUUAUCUUGACCGUUAGAUUUAUGUAACAUAUAUAAUUCUCUGGGCCUCCAACGACUGUACGUGACACAUCUGAACGCACAUAUGUUAAAGAAAAUAUAUUUGGUAAAUGGUGGGCCUCUUUAAAAAGAGAACUCACGUACAUGCACCAACUAAGAAAAACACAUACAUGUAAACGGGAAAAGGGCUCCACCCCGUUGAAAAAAUAUACAUCUGGAGGCCACUUUGUUUCCUCAUAAAAAAAAACUUACGUUAAAAAGAUUGCAUGCAUCCCAGGGAAAAUAGUCAAGAAGAAGUCGGACUCUUCCUUACAAAAACAAGGAACGUGUUAAGUUGACUUCAAAGAAAAAAGGAACAUGUUAAGUUAAAAAAAACAAGAAACCUGUUAAGUUAGAAAAAAACAAGGAACGUGUUGUCCUAGGAAAGAUAUGUGUCAAAUCUUACAAAAAAAAGAAUACACACACGUACGUUCAUGCACUUGGAAAAUAGAAAAAAAAAGGAACAUCACGUAUGUAUACACUUCGGAAACUCAUUACAUGACCAUGUCUGAUAUACUCCUCUAAUGCUUAAUAUUAGUGCCUAAUAAUUUAUAUUUAAAAUUUAAUUUACUGAUCAAAUAUCCCCACUGUUUAAAUUUUAAUUUGGCACAUUGUUUGGCUAUAGUAUGAACCUAAAUUUCCUCUUAUUAUUAUAUAUCAUGAUAAUAAUCCAAAGGCGACUAAUCUGCGCCGGCGCACCGGCGCAAUCAAUUCGGCCCGACACAGCGCGGCCGUUUGAUUAAAUUGCAUUUAACCGUCAGAUCUAGAAUCAUUUUAUUUCCAAUUAAACGGAUUCAACCAAACAGCAGAGGGGAAAACAAAGCAGCACCGCCGCCAACACUAGUCAUGGACGACCGAUGUAGCAAAACCUUGAAGAACCGCCGCCGGUCGCCACCCUCGCCGCUGGUCGCCGCCCUCGCCGCCUGCGUUUCUCAUCGGCUUCAUGCAUGCAACAACAUGCACUCGUGAUUGCAGGCUUGCAGCUCCGGCUCCGGGGGACAUGGCCGCAUCUCCGGUAGCGCCGGCCGCCAGCCGCAGCACCUGUCGUUGUGGUCACGCUGUACCUCGCCGUGUGCCCUCCCAAGGCUCUUGCUGGUUCCAACAAAAAACGAUACCUAUUGUAGCAAAAAAGUUUAUCGCUUCCAGCAAAAAAGCUUACCGCUAUAGCCCGCCAUCAUCAUUGUAGCAAAAAUGUUAACUCGAUGUAGCUUCUGUGGUUGCCGACUGCGGCCAAAAAUGACGUGGUUGUAGCAAAACACAAAAGAAAAACGCCGGCCGUCCGCUGUGUAUGGUGGUAACAAACCCUAUAGCCGGUGGUAGCGAAAAACUUCACUGUUUGCAGCAAAAAAAUGUUGUCGCCCGUCGUCGAGGUUGCAUCAUCUUCAUGAAUUAUGUCGCAAAAAAACGUUGUCGCCGGUAGUAGCAAAUGAAGCCGCCGGUAGUAACAAAACAAGACACUGGUUCCAGCCAAAAAAAUCAGCGACAGAACCUUUUGUUGGUUCCAACAAAAAAACUUGUCGGUUGUAACAUCCCUCGCCGCCGGAUGUAGCAUCUCCCAGGGCUAGUUGCAACACUCCAUAAAAAAAGUUGUCUAUGAGCGCAUCCAUGGCAACUGCUGCACCGUCAGCAACGAGGGGAAGAGGAGGCAAUGAAAAUCGUUCGAGUCGUAGCUCCACUGGACACGGCUGCAGCAUGGGGAGUCCAAAAAUCUGUCACAAGCAAGAUGCGCCUCGCCAUCCUCCUGCGCAGGAGAGAGAAGAAAAAGGAAUAAGAGGAAGAAGAAACGAAACGGGAGAAAGAAAAAAAGAAACGAUUGGUUGUGGGCUCAGGCAAUUAGUCAAAUGAGGGGCACGCGGGGCCGUAGGAUACAGCGCAAUCGAACGAAGUGCGCGCGUCCGGCCGAAGACUCAGCUGGACUGCCGGUCCAGCUGGAAAUGUUUCCCUAAUACAAAGGCUUUUCUGAAUGACAAGUCGUCUGAGUUAUCGGCUAACUAGAAAAAAGAUAAAUAUGCUAGAUAAUUCCAUAAUAAUUAGAAAUAUCUAGCCUUUAAUUAUGUAAAUCAGAAAAUCACAACCGUUGGAUUUACUUUAAAGGUAAAUUUCUCUAAAUUCCCACCAUUGCCAGUAUGUAGAAACAUGUGCUGCUUCAAUUCUCCCUUAAUCACCAAUCAAUCAACAACUGAAAACAUACCUCAGUUAAAAAAACUGAACAAAAAAAAGAAAAAAAGAAGAAAGGACAAGAUACACGCAUGUACACGACAGCCUUGGCUUGAAACACAUCAGUAGAUCAAGUGUCCGCCUCCCUUACACAGAAUAAAUUCUAGGGAAGAAAAUAAUAGUGCAACCUAACCUUAUACGUACUAUUCUAUCCUCACGUCCCAUGAGGUUUACUAGCCUACUGCCGCCGCAUCAUGCCAUCCUCUCCUUUCAGCUCCCUCCUUGCGGCGCCACUACUCGCCUAGGGAUAUUGCUGCUCAGACCGUGGAGCUUAACCUGCUUCUUCUUCAGCAAAUAUGGAACUGCUUUAGGAUCCUUCUGACAUCAGCGCGUAUGGGCCUCAUUAUACUGCAGCUCCUGGACCUCCUACAAUUGGUUGGCUAUGGCCAGUUGAUCGAUGUGCUGAAGUCCAGGUCUGUUUGCUGGCACAUAUGCUUUGGAAAUAGGCCACUAUGUUUGUACUUCGAAAUUGUUUCUGUAUUCUUCAGUGGUACAUCCUUUUAAGCGCCAGUUUUUUAUGUUAAUUCAUGCUGACAACACUUAACCUAGCCUUUCAUGUUCACGUACUAAAUACAGGAGCAAGUAAAAACAACAGACCACCUAAUUGCUCUGCAAGUUCUACAUAGGAAAAUUUGUCAUGUUCUACGAUCGCACCAUCCCACCCUUCUCUCUUGGUAUGGGCGCCAAUUGAGGGAUUGAUAAAACUGAAACGAAGACGUCACAGGGCUGGAAGUACCGCUAGCCUGGUUCGCACUGCAACCUACCCAACGCCAUCAGAAACUAGCAACUGAGUCAGGUGUUGAUCGAUUCUCUCAAAUUGCUCUCAUGUAAGUACUACCCCUUGCAUGUGCGUACAUACCUUUGUUGCAUUCUCAAACAGAUAGAACAUGUAUGAUCGGUGCAUGGCUAUUUUUCAUCACAUGACAUCCAGAUAACAAGCAUGAAAGGACUACAUUGGAGAUCAAAAAAUAUUGGUUCCUGGCUAGAGUACCACUACCUAUGGACUUGUCUCCAUAGAAUUUGUUCCCAAGAUGUUAUUUUAAUUAACCUCUUUAGCUUUCUUCCGUUGCAAACGGUGAUGUGCAUCAUGGUAUAUACGUGACCAUCUUGCACAUGUAUACACAAGAGGCUCAGACGGAGGUGCUGGAUUCUGGACGAGGGAAUAUGAAGCAGGAGUGAGCGAAGAGUAAAUAAUGGUGGGAGUACCGAUUGGUGUUAUGAAGAAAAAUGCCAUCCAAAGAUUGAUUAGUGUCAUGGAAGAUUAAUUUCUGAAUGCGAAUAUAUAUGUUACAUUGGUUUGGAUCUUUUUGAGAUAAUUGCACCUAAAUUAGGUUCUUUCUUAUUUCAUAUGUAUACCUUAUUUCAGUAAAAGUUCACAACGAACUUAGUAGGACAAAUAUAAUUUUGUUUGUUCUUUCUGUUGUCCGCCACCAAAGCUCAGUUUGAACUCUCUAGAAAUGGACAAUGAUUUAUGCAUUCUAUAUCUUCUUGAUUGAUUAGCCAUGACAAGGAAAUAAAAGGAUUGACUGAUAUAGCAUAACUUUGGAACGAUCUGUUCGUAGAGGUUACUACAAAUUAGAGUAGUGUCUGUUGGAAUUUUGCUAGUAGGCCUUUGGCCCAAAGCCCAACUAAAAUUCUGAAAUUCUCUUCGCUCAUUCAUGCACACAUGUGAGUGGAGUGAGUGAGACUAAAGUUUAGAGAGAGUUGCACCUCUUUAUAAGGUGAGCUCUUCUACCACUUGUAUGAGCAUGAGAAGAGGAGACCUAUACACGCGCUCCUCCUCCUCGCUCACCACGUCUCGUCACGCCGCGCCGCGCCGCGGAUUGCGGGAUUGAGCCGAGCCGAGGACGUUGUCUAUAUUUUUGCUGUUUGGGAAAAAUUAAUAAGUCAUUAAUUAAUAAUUAAUGGAUGCGUUAAUUACUGAACCAUUUUCGAUUCUUUUGGAUCGUGACGACUCGGACGUGGGGUUUACUCCCACGAUCUACCCGGCCCACACUAUAUAGUCAGGCAGACGUCUACCCUAGCCGCCGCCACUUCGUAUGGUUUCUCACCACCGUUACAGAUCGUUGCGCCGCCAAGCAAGUUUUCUCCAUUCCUCCUGUCGGCAUGCACUGGGAGAAGGGACAGCAGGCCUCCGGAACCCCGCCUCUCGUGAUCCUGUACGGGAGAGGGGCGAUCAGAUUUUUGGGGAGCGCACUCGCACGACUGCUGGCAGCGACGACUUCGCAAACGACGACUUCUUCCCCGACCUCGGCAACCUCAUCCUCGACUUCUGCACCGUAUGUUAUUCUAUCCUUCUUGUUCGAGAUCGUGGUAGAAUUCAGAUUUCUAGCAUGUUCCCUAGAUGUGAUUUGUUCAUCUACUAUUCUAAUUCGCAUGAUUAGUUUAAUCUUUGCUAUUGCUGUCAUGAUCUAUUUCCUAUUUAUUCGGAUUAAAUCUCGUAGUAAUUUGCUCAUUUUUCCAACAGUGCCAUCUAAUAGAUGAUGUAAAUCUCCUCAAGUUUGACGUUGUUGAGCUAAUUUACAAAAAAAACCUCAUCAUUAUUGGAUGUCCUUAACAGCUCAAGAACAAGUUGGGGUCGAAAUAAUGGAUUUUACACUUUUACAUUAAAGGUUUAGCUAAAGCAAGCAGGUGUUUUUAAACCUGAAUUUUUUUCCUCCUGAAUUUCUUUGUAUUUUCUUAUUGACACUAUUUAUACAAUCAUCUGACAAAGAUUAGCUAAAGCUGUUUGUAGAUACGUUCAAACCUGAAAAGCUUCUUUGGUUAUCCUUUUAAUAGUUCUACGUUUAUUUUCUCAUAGGUCUUAAUUCUUAUGUAAUACCAAGAUGCAUUGUGGUAGUGUACAUGUGUUAAAUUCAGGUUGUUAUUCACAAUUUGCGACAAAAUUUAGCUCACGCUACAUUUAAAUAUGUUGAAAUGUGAAAGCUCUUUUUCUUCUCCUUUCUACACCUUGCAUCGGAUUGCAUCCCUUUAGUUAUCCAACAUUUUGUACAACAUGUAGAGAUUAGGAAGUUCAUCAUAGUUUGUCUAUUUCCGUGCUAAUAAAUGUAUGAAAUCUGCAUUUCCAAGCUACUAGGACAAGUAAAAAAUAAUAAUUUUACUAUAGGAUUCAAAAACAGCAGUUCUGAAGUGCACUUUAUUUAUUUGUGAAAGUGAUCACAUUUUGUUUCAUUUUUCUAUAGACAAAUCUACUAAUACAUACUCACGAUAAAACUAUAAAAGUUCUAGUCCGCACAUUGGGCGGGCCACCCGGCUAGUUAGUCUAAAGAUAACAAAAUGAGUCUGGAAUUUGAAUUAAAUUGAAGUAUUUUCUUGGACUAUCCACAUCCUUGGCUUGCCCCUGAUCAAUUAUUUCCAGAGAAGCAUUCAAUUCAUCAAUCAAUUACAUUGAUUUUAGUGGCUGGUACUUCUCCUCGACAUCAGUAUAUUCACCGUGGCCACUCCAAAUCGGCAAGAAUGAGGUACCAGUGCUCUGGAGCAGUGCAAGCUAAUUGCUUCUCAUGUGAAGGGGUGCGGGCGCGGGAGAGGUAUUUCUGGUGGGCCAAGGGAUAAGAAGCGACCGUGGCAGCGGUACAGACGCCCGCAAAGCCCCAUAAUUUGUUUUUGGUUUACAGGAAAAAUGCACAUCCAUACCGGCCUGGGGAAUAUAGCACUGUAUUGCAUGGAAAACCAUGUCCGGAUGGUUGUGAGCGGUUUGAGGGUUAGCUUUUGUAACGCCCGGUUAGUUAUGCUAUAGCAAUUCCCUGCUAAUGAUGUCACGUCACCACGAUUACUGUUGUUAACCUCACAAUGAUUCAAUCCCGUUCAAAUUCAAAUUUGAAAUAAAGGUAAACAUCAAAAGUUUUCAAACAUUAAAACUAAAAUCUUUGAGAGGUGACAAAUAAUGCAUAAGUAAUUAUGGUGAAGAAACCACACUUUAAUCAAAUGUUUAAAUACUCUAAAAUGAAAAAAAAACAGUGACUUAAACUAUUAUUUAAAUGCUUUUAAAAUAGUAAAAAUCUUCUAACUAAAUUAUUUGGGUACCAAACUUUUGGUGGCAGUGGUAUAUUUAGUAGAACUAAUUUAGAUGCUAAUUAUAUAAUUUACAAAAUUAGAGUAAAUUGAAAAAUAGGAUAAAACGGAAAAAGGAAAGACAAAACAAAUAAAAGCAAAAGGGGGCAACCCCUCGCUGGGCCUCGGCCUAGCUGGCCACUAGACUAGCUAGGCUGGCCCCGCCGCCUCCCUUAACCCCCCACUCCCCAUCGAACCCAAGCCCGAUCGCCCCAUUUCCCACACACCCCCUCGCUAGUCUCCCCACCUCUUGAUCCCAUCUGGAUCGGGGAGGGUAUUGCCCCCAUCAACCCCGUUGCCGUCGCCGGAUCGCCCGCCGACGUCGGCAGGCCUCCUCCCCGUCGCCCGUCUCCGGCUCACCUCCCCUCUCGCUCCUCUUCCCCGACCCGAUCUGGAUCGUGAACGAGCAAUGAGCUCGAAGCCCCCCUUCACCAGCGCCAUCACCGUGCGCCACCACCACCACCUGAAGACCUCACCGUCGCUGAACCUUGCGUCGCCUCCUUGUAUCCCUCCCCUACUCGCAUCCUCAAGCCAGGCCGAGCCCCUUCUCGGCAACGCUGUGAGACGCCCCCGUUUCCCUCCUCUUUCCACCGCGUUCACCGCGCCGCCCGCCGUGCCCCUCGCCGUGCAUGAGCCCACCACCGCACCAGCCCCCGCUCCGCGCACGACCCUACCCGCGCCCGCGCCAUGAUCCCCUUUUCCGCCCUACCUUCACGCGCUCGCCGCGAUCCCCAUGCUCCCCCGCGCCCUCUUUCGGGGGCGCCGACUGCCCCUGUCCCGGUGCUCGCCGCCGUGCCUCGCCACCGCUCUACUGCUACGUUACUACUGCGCUGCGGCCGCCGCCUCUUCCCGCUGCUCCGCUAGCGCCGAAGCUCCCGGUUGGCUCCACCACUGCUCACGUUAAACCGCCGGCCUAAAUGGCCUAACCCUCGGCUAAUGAACCCCCACUAACCCACUGACACCGGGACCCACAUUCCCUAAUUAACCAUUUAAUAAAUUAACAUUAGUGUAUGACAUGUGCGUCCCCUGUUAAUUAAUAAUUUUACUGCUAGUUUUAUUAGUUUCUGUUUUUCUGCAUAUUUCUUUUGUAUUUGAACAGGCUUUAUACAAUAAUAUUUAGCGUAUCAUACACAUACAAAUGUAAUCAUAGCAUAUACAUACAAAUAGUCUCAUCAAAUCAUGUCAUCAUCAUAAUCAUCAUCCAUCACAAAGUGGUCUCUGGUCAUCAUCUCGAAAAUAGCGAUACAAGUCUCGAUUACUUGCAACUACAUCGUCAUCCAUCUAAACAAUGAUAUACACGAGAAGAGCUCUCACUAUGAGUGAGAGCGGAACUAUGCAGUACAUGAGUUUGUAUCCCUCUCUCGCAUUAGCGUGAACCUAAACUAACGACUGGCUGUUGCUCGGAAACCGGAAACCGGUACACCUGGGCCUGACACUCCGGCCACUCAUCGUAUACUCCUGGCGUAGCACUUCUUCGCCAUCGAUGAUCUAUGCACCUGCAUCGUCACAUGAGUCGAUGAUAUGCAACAUAUAUAGUUGAGCAACAGAAAGAGACAGACUUGGCAAAAAUAGAAGCAACAUAUCACAAGUAUAAAUAACAAAGUUAAUGUUUUGCAGGAUUACAACUCAACCCAUUGCAGAUUAGAAAACAAGCCCGUAUGAAUGCACAGGCUGACGACUAGUCUAUCUAUACCUAUACCUAUACCUAUACCUAUACCUACCUAUACUAAUUACAGACUCCCAAGGAAUUCCCACGUUAAUUAGUAAUUAGGAGUCGUUAAUCUUGUGGGACCAAAUUAUUACGACAGUCCACGAUCUCUUUUCUCUCUGUGUAAAAAAAGGUCCACGAUCUCUUUUCUCGGUUGUAAAAGAUAAAGGCAACUCAGGUCCACGAUCUCUUUUCACGGUUGUGAAAGAUAAAGACAACUCCCGUCUUCUUCUAAUCUAUAGUUCUAUACCUCCACGACCCCUUUCUCUCCCCAUUUAAAAGGAACAAGCUGAACCAAUAUCUAAGCAUGCAAUUGGUUCCUGUGCGGUCUUGACCUUCCAUCCGUCCACUGCUCGAUCGGCCCUCCCUCAACUACAAGCUGACAAGCCACCAUCGCCAUCCAGCGGCACGCCACCGUUCAUGCAUGUGUUUUUGCCCUUCAAUCUGAAGGAGAUGCGUUGGCUACUCAAGUAACUCUGUUUGUUUUGUUCAAACCAAUUUCGUUAAUUCGGUUCUUUGAUUAUCUAAUUGACAUGGCCUGUGAGUUUUGUGCUAGUGAUACAGGGCCUGUCUACUAGAUUCUCUCCUUGCAACUUCUAUUGUUGUCUCGAUUUGGUGUGGUCAAGAUCCUUGCCCCACCACAAGCAGCACCUUUGCACCAUCGGGGAAAUCUGUCAUAGCAAACAGAGGUAUGUAACAUGCUUUGGUGUUUUCCUCUUUCGUUUAGAUCACUAGAGUUGCUCAACCACACCAUUCAUUGAUUAGUAGUUGGCCUGAGAAGUUGCUCGGUCACCUGCAGCGUCUGAUCCCCUUCUUGACCCUCUCCUUCUGGUCAUUAUCCACCGGCAGGUCAAUGCAAAACGGAUCGUUCGUUGCCGCCACCUUGCGGAGACCGAUGUUUGGCUGCCCUCCUGCCAUCCUGGCACUCUGGUACCGGUCACUGUGCCGUUGUUCUAGAAGAACUAUGUCACACGAAGCGAGAUAUCUUCUUACUAAUCUGGAACAUAAGUGUUUCUUCUUACUAGGAUUCGCUCACCGGUGCAUUCAUCUCUUUUUGGAAAAUACGGCCUUCAUAUUUCACACGCCUAUACAUGGGUGCUGUCCCAACAAUAAUCCAUCUAAUCCAUGAUGCACAUUCAUGAAGACUGAUGUGACUGAAUUAAUAUAUCAAUCUGGUGCUUCCGGAUCAGCACUUGAAGAAGCAACCCCUUUAGUUCAUAAAUUUAUCAUACGAAAGUCAGGGGAAAAAUCAACUAAGUCAUGUGUGCUUUUCUAAUUAAUUACUAUACACUAAUUCCAUUUUUUUCAGUAGCAGGCUAGGAUACGUGGAUUGUGGCAGCACAGAAGUAAACCGAUGAGCUACAUUGGCCGUUCACCAGUCAUCGGAUCAGAAGCCAUGUCGACCAGAGGGACGGAACAGUUCUAUAUUAGGCGAUGGAUACAUGUGGAAGCAACUAAGCAUAUGUGGAUGCAUGUGAUCGCAUAGGUAAGGCCAUAGCUGUUCAAGCCCUACAGGAUCUUUAUUGCUGGUUUUAAUUAUGAGUUUACAACACCAUCUAUACAUACUACUUAUCCAUUUAUUUCCUUACCUUCUUUGUUUCUUUCUCUCCUUGAUCCCCUGUCAAAAGGGCAUCAACAUCCAUAUGCGCAACGGCACACGCAACAAACUAUGACUUCGGUUGCACGUCCAAUGGCAACCACAGUACAUGAUGAUAUCAUGUUUGCUGCAAGACGAAGUACAAGUUCAUAAUUUGGUCUUUUGCAUGGUCCCUUAGUAAAUUAUAUUUGUCCACAUACACCACAUACAUAAAAACAGGUAGAAGCGGUUGCAUGAUGAAAAUGUCCUCUCAAUAUGCAUGCCUAUGAAUACUAUCACCAGAAAGCCAAGGACUAACAAUUAUUCAGGGGUCAAGAUUGAAGACAGACGUCCAAGAUUGGCAGUCGGCCGGCCUAAGAGGGGCAAAACCGUUGUACAUUAUAUUGUAUGGACCUAGCAAGAUCCUAAAGAUAAGUGAUAAUGGAGAUCAUGGGGGCCACCCUUAUAACCAUAUGUCCAAAUGUUCUUAUUUGUUUAUUUUUCUUUUCUCUUUUCGGAAGAAUCCAUCCUGCCUCUAUGGUCAUCCUGACCACUUCGUAUUGUUAUCUAAUCUCCUCCCUUAAUUAAUAUAAAGAAUUACCGCAGCUGAAUUCACUAAAAAAAGUAUUCAGUUUAUUUUAAUUUAUUCAACUAUUAUGGCAUAUCAAUUGGAUUGCAAGUUCUUGGCGGUUGCAUUUGAAUCAUAUUUGAUGUGCACAAAGGCUUCAGUGUCAAGGUGGUCGGACGAGUAUUUAUGUCCAUUAUAUAUGUGUUAGCUUGAGAUCAUCAGGCACCUGUUAUGCAUCUGUCCAGUUAAAAGGAUGUUCAGACUCAGGCUUGCCCUACCAUAUAUGGCUGUGACACUCUGAACCAAGCAAGUUGGUCAUAUGUGUCGAGCACUAUUAACUCUUUGGAAGAGGAUCCACCAAGUACAGGAAACAAAUCAAAUAUCUUCUUAACCUUAUCACCAGAAAAAUUAGCAAGAGAUGAAUAGUAACAUUUUAAAGAAGAAAGAUAUGUUUGAAAAGGGAUAUAUAUUAUGGCGACGAUUAGAAGAGCCCUUGACGAAUGGUGCCUAGCCUGCGAAAGUUUCUUAUGAAUAUAGUCAACACUCUAUAUCAACUGUUGUAAGAUUUUAGAAAUAUUUUUGGGGACAUAUGAUACAUGUCUAUUAUACAUAUGAUUCAACAGAAGUUUGAUUGAAUACAUAUUUAAAACGUGACUGACUUCUAUAUGGACGGAGUAUUUCACAAAGGACUCACUGCCAACUGUGUGAAUAUUCCAAGAUAGUUAGUGCACAUAAAUGUUCAAAUCCAUAGCCUGCAUAAAUAUACAAAAGCAAUGUGUUAGACCACUACACAUGCUUCUGAAAGGAGGCAAAAAAAUGUAUGCUUGAUUGAUGACCGUUCAUGCAUGAAAUUAAUUUCUGAUUUCUAAUUAUUUUGGUCAUAUAAUGGAAAUAGAGACAUUAUAAAGAUCCAACAGCAUGCUAUCACACACGUGUGAACACAGACACACACAAAUAACAUUUGCCGAGCACUCACAAAUAAAAGGUGUGGCUACUCUUGGGUGUUCUACAGCUGGCUUAAAAAAACACGUAUGAAACAUGAUCCCCAAAAAUCUGAAAUUCGCAACAUAUGAAAAUCCACCCUCAAACAUAUUUCUGGUGUCUCAAUUCUUUUAGUUUCAGAUGGUAUGUCCAGCCAAAGUAGUUGUACACAUACAUUACUAUGUUCUAUUAUUUGAGAUUCUAAGACAACAUUUAGUAACUAGCCCGUGCGAUGCACGGGUUCACGACUAGUAUAUAUAAAGCUUAAUGGUGCCUAAGAAAGCUCGCACAAUUUUACAGUGGCUGUGGAGAUGUGUUGCCAAACUGAGACAUAAGAUUUUCGUUUGGCAUCCAGAGUUGCAGACCGCUUGUGUUAUCCUUAAUCCAUGGCCACUCUAAUUUUUCCGGCUGGGCCUUCCCUGUGGUACGGCAGCAAGGCUUGCGUGUGUAUAUGUUUCCUUUAACUACCACUAGCACAUAUGCCCGUGCGUGCGUUGCAAGGGGAGAGAUAAUGGCGUAUCCACCAAUAUAUCUAGCAGCAUGACCCAACAACAUCCGAAUGAUGUCACCCGACGACGGCAGGAAGGCACACACAGAGGUCUAGUAAAAACUCAACAAUUGUACGGGCAUGGUUAAUUCGCGUGAAUUCAAGGGUGUGAGAUUAGUUAGUGUUGGUCCCACAAUUGAAUUCGGGGGCUGAUUAGUUAGUGUGGGCCCACCCUUGAAUUCACCGGGGGAGACAAAAUAAUUAGGGUGAGGAGAGAUUUACGGGGCUUGGUCCCCAGAUGCGUUGCGGCAGUCAUUAUUCGAGCAUUGCAAUGCUCGCACGUGAGGAGCUCUUUUUCCAAUUGUAUAUUGAGAAGCAUUGCUACAGAUACAAUGUUUUUGAUACGUUUUUGUACGAUGAUCCUGAUCUUAAAGGGCCUUCUAAUUUUUAAAUCUUAAAGGCAUUAUUUGUAAGUUGUCGUGAAAAAAAUCUCGCUAAAAGGGUUAUGUUAGACCAUCUUCAGUACAUUAGAAAUAACGAAUUAUAAUUCCUUGGCAUUUGAACAAACAAUCCCUACUUAUUUACACAUACAAUACUUUUGGUAUGAUUUUGAAAUCUUGAAGGCAUUAUUUGUAAGUUGAAGCAAUUUUGAAAUCUCACUAAAAGGUCUGUUAGACCAUCUAUAGCUUUAGAAAUAACUAAUUAUAAUUUUGCAAAAAAAAGAAAUAACUAAUUAUAAUUCCUUAAGCAUCUGACCGAAACGACCCCGAUUUAUUGUCUGGGUAGUAAUUCCUUUGCAACAUUAUUCUCUCCUUUCUUGAAGGAACUCUUGCCUGGGUAGUAAUUCCUUUGCCCACGUAUUUGCAAGGUUAUUCUCUCCUUCAUUUUUACAGGAGCUCUCCUUCCUUAUACUAAUUGGUCAUUAUCCUCUCCUUCCUUUUUCUUUUUGCCAAACUCUCUUUCCAUAUUUAUGCCGCUAACCACGCCACUCUUUUUCCUUAUUUAUGCCCUUUGAUCACGCCACACAUCUCAUGAAAUCUAAGCCAUAUAUAUCACCCAUCUUUUUUCCUUAUUCCGGUGCUUUCCUCACAAACAGUAGUUCUCUAGGAUGCUUAACGAUUUUGAAACAGAAACAUAUAUAAAUCGGUAGAACGGGUUGUAAAGCAGCGAGGUGGUACUAAUUUAUAAAGAAACAAACCUUUUCUUUUUGUGUAAUGAUGCCUUGGUUCGGCUGGUUGCGUUGGGAAAAGGACCGGCGAAGUGGGCGAACCAAAAACGGAUAAAAUUACGGUGGUAAGAAGCGAUAGCCCUUUUAUUAGUAGGUAUGAGGAUGUCUAGGAUGUCUAGGAUGAGGAUUUACUGCACACAAGUGCGGGGGCACUCAGGUCCUGAUGCCGCCUUUUUAUUUUGGCUUCCGAUUUUCAAACUUCUAUAUCUUUUAAACAAAAAAUUCAAUUUAAGUUACGUUUUCAUAUUCGUGCUUCUCGCGGCCAGCGCUUUCAAAUAAGAUCCAUUUUGCAUACAUUUUGGUGGCUUUUGGAAACGGGCGAAUAGCUCCUAUGCGACGUUGUUGGUGUGUAUUGUCUCUCAUGCGACGUUGUUGGCUGUAAUAGCUCUCAUGCGACAUCUGCGUUGGAAAAAAUAGCUCCCAUGCGACACACCAUUUACGCGGCUAGUUGGCUGUUAGUUAGGCUGAGGUUUGGUUAGGACACUGGGGGUUAUGUGCUCUGACUGGUGGGGUCCACCUAUGGUCACGUAGACAAGAGUCAACCGUCCACGACUCGACCUGGGACUGUGUGACCGUGCUCGACUCACCCGUGCUGGACUGAGUGAGCGGUGCCGCCGUAAGCAUCUUCUCCGACAGCGGUUUCUUCUCCGCGGUGGUGGAGCGCAUUUCUCGGCAGCGGCAGAGCUAUUGCGAGGUGAGCCCGAAACCCUAGUCCCACUCCCCAGAAUUUUGGGGGAUCUGUGGCCUCAUGCUGCCCUCUGUUUCUUGGCGAUUUAGAAUCGGGCUCCAUUGGAUCCGGGGGUUGUUUCUUCUCCGUGGCCCGGUGGUGGAGCGCCUAUCUCUGUAGCGGCUAUUGCGAGUGAGUAUUUUCCAAACACUACUCGCAUUCCACUAAAUUUUGGAUAAAUCUGUGGCCUCAUGCUGCCCCUAUUUCUUGGCGUUUUAGAAUCUCGAUUGGAUAGGAGAUGGAGCGAGGGCUGGAUGAGAUGGAGCGAGGAGACAGUGCUUCAAAUCGGUAAUGCCACACUCUUUUCUUGGCGAUUUAGAAUCGAACUCGAUUUGGUAGUGACUGCCGCCGCUGCCUGCCAUUGACAAAACAGGGGAGGUUCAAGUUCUGCCACCACAUUCACAAUUAUAGUGGAAUUUUUUCCCUGUAAAGCCAAGCUCAGUGAUGGCAGUGUCCAAGACAUUGAUAGAGAUACCACCGUGAGGUUCGAUGUCGAAUUUGCAGAUGUUGAUCCCCAGGAAUUGGAGAGCAUGAAGGAGAAGGCCGUGGGCAAUUUGGUGGAGAGAAUUGGGGAGAAUAUUGUUUGGGGUCCAGAACAAGAGGUAUGUCUGCAACGUUUCGAUAACUAUAAUGGUGAAUAUGUGAGAAUUGAAGAUGGAGAAUCCAUGGUUGCUGAAAUUGAUCAGCAAGAAGGGUGGGCAACUAAACAAGUAACAUUUUAUGCAGAGCUAAUUGAUCUACAAACUCAUUCCAGAGUUGGUUAUGUGCAAUCAAAGAGGGCUGCACAGAUGGAAGAUGAUGAGUGGGUUUCACAAAAGAAGAUGUUGGCAUUGUUGACUGAACCGACUGUAGUAGCUGAAGAUACAGGGAUUGAUGCAGAUGGAGAGGAGGGAACCCAUGGUGCUAGGAAGAUUGUUGUUGACUGGAAUGUAGUAGAGUUGAAUGAAAAAACAGAUUUGGUCAUUACACCAAUAUCUGACAUUGAUAUGGCCGAAAUGUUUGGCAUUCAAGUUGAUGACAAAGAUAAGGAGAAGGAUGACAGUUCUUUGCCUGCUGAAGGAACAUAGGCCCUAGAAAUGCAAAUGAGGAUGAAGAACAGCUGAUGAGAGAGGCUGCAGAUGAUGUGGAUGAUGCAGAUGAUAAUGAGUUGGUUUGUUUGUAUGACAAAGAGAACCCAGUUAUUGAGGUGGGAAAGUUGUGGCCAAGCAUGAAGGAGUUUAGGAUGUCUUUCAGGACCUAUGCAGUGAAAAAGAGUUUGAUGCCAAGACUAUGUGGACUGAUUGAAAGAAAUUUUAUGCUCGGUGCAAAGGUUAUGAUGGUGGUGGCAAUCCUUGCAAAUGGUACUUGUCUGCCAGACUACAACCUGAUUGAAGUACAGUAAGGGUAAAUCAAAUACCACACCAGCAUACAUGUAUGACCACUUCACAGAGAGUUUCAAAGAUGACAUCACAGCUUUGGGUUACAGAGAAGAUUACUCCUAUUUUAGCCAAGACUCCAAACACUACUGCAAAGAGGCUUAAAGUUGACUUGGAGAAGCUGUACCCCAUCCAGCUGCAAUAUACCACAGUGUGGAAAGCAAAACAAAGGGCCAUGAAAUCAUUGUAUGGUGACUGGGCAAAUACAUUUAGGAUGUUGUAUAGUUUUAAAGCAGAGGUGGAGAAGAGGUCACCUGGGAGUGUGGUGGAGAUAGAUACAGAGGUAACAGAGGAUGUCAUGGUUUUAUUCAGCAAGUUUUUUAUGUGUUUGAAGCCAUGCAUAGAUGGAUUCAAAGCAGGUUGUCGUCCAUAUUUGAGCAUAGACUCAUCUUUUUUGACUGGAAAGUGGAAUGGUCAGUUGGCUGCAUGCAAUGCUCUAGAUGGACGCAACUGGAUGUUCCCAAUUGCAAUAGGAAUGUUUCAAUCAGAGACAGAGGCAUCAUGGAUAUGGUUCAUGAUGCAACUGAAAAGAUGUAUAGGGCCAGUUUCUCCUUUAGCCAUCCACACAGAUGCAUGUAAAGGGUUCGAAAAUGCAGUAAAAAAUGUUGUCCCCCAUGCUGAGCAGAGGGAGUGCUUUGGACAUAUGUGGAUGAAUCUGAUAAAAAAAUUAGAGGAGAUGAAUUUGGGCGCAUGUGGCCAGCAGCAAGAUCCUACACCAGACAGACACAUUCCUAUCACCUUGGUAAGAUAUUGGCAUCAUGUAGUGAUAAUGAAUUUGCUUCAUGGUUGAACACCCGCCAUUCUCUGUUGUGGUAUAGAUCAGGUUUUAAUACUGCCAUAAAAUGUGAUAAUAUCAAUAACAACUUGGCAGAAAGUUUUAACAACAAAGUGAAGGAUUUGAAAGACUUGCCUGUGCAUGACAUGGUGGACCAAAUAAGGAUCAUGAUCAUGCGUUUGUGGGAGUUGAGAGGAAAAAUUGCUAAUAUUUUGGAAGGGGACAAGCUUCCAGCAGUGGUACAAUAGGUGGUCAACAGGAGUAGAAAUCUUUCACAUCUAUCUGUUGAGAAAUCUUCCUUGUGGGGUGCUGAAGUUAGAGAUACAAAGAGUGGCAAGAGGCAUGUGGUAAAUACUGAGUUGCAUGAGUGUACUUGCCGAGAGUGGCAACACACUGGAAAACCAUGUGAGCAUGCCAUACUUUUUUUGGCAUCUAAACCCAGGUUAAAUAUGCACCCAUAUUUGCAUGAGUAUUAUUCAGUACAAAAAUUCAAAGCUGCAUAUGCAAGUCCAAUUCCUGCACUGACUGACCAAUCUCAGUGGCCUGAGGUGGAAAUAGAAUUUACCUUGUGUCCCCUGUCACUAGAAGAAAGGCUGGGAGGCCUAAACAGAGCAGAUUCAAAGCUUGGUUUGAGAAAGGUGGUUGUAGUAAGAAGGGGAAAAAAGAAAAGAAAAAGAAUGAUAAGCCCAAAAGGGCUCAAAAAGGUAAGAAAAAUAGGUGCAAGUUGUGUGAGGUACUUGGGCACAGAAUUGGUUCAUCCAAGUGCAUCUAUACUCCUCAGAGGACAAAGUAUGUUCAUGUUACUGUUUUUACAAGUUUUUGAUUUUGUUACUUGUUCUAGUAUCUAACCAAGUCAAAUGCUUUAUUUUUUAGGAGGAAGCGUGCAGAAAAAGCCCCACCUCUUGUUGUUGAACAAUGCUGGCCAGUGAAAAAAGCAAGACUCAAUGGCUAUAUAGAAGGAAGAGCACUAAGCAGAUAAUGUUUGGUGACAAAGAUAUGGAGCUAACUGAAACUGUUACUGCUGAACAUGAGCUAAGUGUUUCUGUUUUGGACGAUGUGAUGCAUACUGAAUCUGUUUUGCAGACGCUAGGGCAAUCUGAAACUGUUGCAGAUGAAGCAACGGUUGUGCUGCCAUGCGAAUCUGCUUUGACAACUGUGUUGCCAUGUUUGGAGGUUGUGCUGCCAAGUGUUGAGUUGCAAACUGAAGUAGUUGAACAAUUUGUGCCAUCUACUCAAUCUGCAGAAGUGCAAACUGAAGAAGUGCAAACUGAAGAAGUGGGACAUGGUCAGGUGAAAAAGUUGAGGGGGCCUAGUGGAGUUUGCAAGGGGCCAAAAAGCAAGAGCAUCAACAUCAACAAACUAUGCGCCGUGGAACCAAACGAUGGAAAAAAGCAGAAGAAAUCGAGUGGUAGAAAGAAGCAAAAGAAAUAGAGUCGAAAUCAUUCAAAUUUGAUGUGAAAACUUAAGUUUGUUGUCAUUUGAUGUGAAAACUUAUGUUCUUUCAUGUGAAAACUUAUGUGCUAUGAUGUUGAUUUGACUUGAAAUAAAAUUCAAAUUUGAACCGACAUUCAAAUUUGAACCUAUCUCCAAAUUUUUUUGAGUUCAUUUGUUUGUUCUGUGAUGUUGCAUCGUUUUAUGUACUACUAUGCACUUUGUGAAGUCCAACUCAUAGUCACUGAAAAUGCUGUACAAACAGGCUCCAAAGUAAGGGAAAACGGCCCCAUUUCUAAGCAAGUUUUUUUCGAUCUUCUCAAAAUCACCCAAAAAAGAUUUUCUUAGCUUAUAUUAUACCUAUAUAGGAUCAAUACAAAGUCUCACCUUUUUUGAAUAAGUAUUCAUAUUAUUUAAUUUAUUUUUGAAAAAACACCCUUUAAUACAAAGUCAGCAAUAAAACAAGUUUAAAAAUUUUAAAUGCAAAAAUAACUUCAGAUCCUCCUUAGUCACUCUAAAAUGAAGCUAAGGUGAUGUUUUUUGAUUUUUUUGCAUUUUCAAAACCUCAAACCCUCUUCUCACUCCUUUGAACUCUAUGCAACCUCAGUCGAGAUAGUCCAAUUUGUGAAGGUUUUUUCAUGCAAAGAUCAUUAGAUCAAGUUUAUCAUUUUAUAUCAUAACUAUGUAACAUAAAAAGGCUAUAUGCGCAGGUUUUUCAUUUUUUAGAUUUUUUUGAAUUAGUUAUACACAUUUGAAUGUUCGGUCAAACCUUUCAAAACCCCGUUGACUGCCUCAAAACCCCAUGUAACCCUAGCGCCAAACGUCCACCGUCGAUCUAACCCUAACGCCAAACUGCGGCCGUCGGAUGGGACUUCUAGAAGGAUUCCGCGGGGGCGAUCCAUGGGCUCCAAUCUGAUUGGCCAUUGUUUUUUCUCUCUGACGAACAGAUAACGUUGAGCGGGGGAGCAUCUAAGUGACCGUUGGGCCGAGUGGAUUGGGCCUGGCAAAGCCUGGCGUGCGUGCACACGGCUGUUGAGAGGGGGGAUGGGCUGCAUGCGAGCGGGUCAAUGACAUGUGGGCCAUCCUUGUCCCAUGCAUGCCAUGCAACGUCGCAGCCUAGCUAUUCUUUGCUCGUGAAAGCCUAGCCAUUUGCAUGCGGGCUUGCAUGCACGCAUCGACGCAGAGUACGGCAAGGGUGCAGCGUAUAGGUACGUCGCAUCUAAGCUAUUUUAACAAAUGCAUGUUUGAACGAGAUGGACGCGUCGGUGGUGCAGCUCCUUUUUCAGUGUCACGCGCGGAUGAACGGGCCUGUUUCCCAUGCGGCAUCACCGCCGAUGCAAGUGCCCGUGCCUCUUUGGAUGCUCUGGCCGCCGUUUUUUGAAUUAAUGCCCGCAAUUACUUAUGCCAUGCGAACGGAGAAGAGAAAAAGAUCGAGAAGGGGCACCGUGUACACAUUGACCAUGGUUGCAAUGCGGCUAUAAAAGGGCACCAUUUCCUCAUCCUCUCACACUCAUCUCUCAAGCCUCCUCCCCUUCUUCUUUUCGAGCCAAAUCCACCACUCGAGCCACCAUGCAGUUCAACGGCCCUACCUACCGUCGCCCUUGCACCGUGCCGGAGAGGCAGUACCCAGCCGGAGUCGUCGUGGAGAACAGCCUGAGGGUGUGGGCCAUCUCUAGGUGGAGGGGCCCUAGAGAGUUGGCUCGCUUCUUCCUCCAAGCUGGCUACCGCCACCUCCCUCCGGGCACUCCGCCCAUGUUCCACCUCCACGAGCAGUACGAUGGCAAUGCCGGCCCCGACGGCUUCGUCAUCGGCCUCUAUGUCACCUUCACCAACCCCUACGACGCUCACCACCUCCCCGGGGAGGUGUUCUGGUGUGGAUGCGAGUUUAUCGCGUUCACGACCUACAACAUCUUCACCAACUUCCACCACAUCUUCCCUCACCACAACGGCAUGCACACCCUCCCCUAUCAGAUGCCGGAGGACGACGAGUGAGGGGCCCAAGGAGGAGGGUCCAAGGAGUGGCAAGGAGGAGGGGCCAAGGAGUUGUUCAAGCGGCGAGUCUUCUAUCUAUCUAGUUUGGGGCUCUAGUUUGUGUUUGUGUUGGUUCGGGCGUGUGUGCCCGUGUCUUUUAUAUAUCUAGUUUUAAUUAUUUUACUUUCAUGUUUUAUGAACUAUAUGUAGUGGGGGGAUGCCCCUCUAUAAGUUUUAUCUAUCUAUGCUACUAGGGUACCCGAUGCCCCUCUAUCUAUCUAUAUGUUUUUUCGGUCCUAAAGUUUCUCCAUUGCAUUUUAUUUAUGUGGCCAUGUGUACUAAAAAACAAUUGAUCUGGUAUCUAAAAUGUACGUUACCAAGAAAUUGACAAUAAAGAUUAUAUACUGUACUACAUAAUCAUACAGUUGGUAUACAAUGCAUUUGAAGACAAUGGGCAAGAAAAAUGCUAAUUAUCUGGUGCUGGUGACAUGCGUAAGUGUUGUCUGAUGUUUAAAUCAUGCUUGCUAUGUCAUUUUUUGCUGCCAAACAUGGCAUUAGCGAGAAAGGUCAUUUGGGCACUGAAUGUAUUAAAGUAUACACCAUAUAUAAAAAUGUCUAGCCAAAAGAUUUGGGUGUACAACUGUACACCAAUGACCAAGUAUGGAUCCGCCCCUGGUUGUAAGGGGAUGCCCCUCUAUGUUGUAAGGAGAUGCUACUAGGGGCACACUAGAUGUCUUCUUUUUUUGAGAGAGGCACAACCUUUUUCGGUUGAAACACACGAGUAAAAACUUUGAAAACACCAUAGCACAAGUAAAAAAAUAUAUUAAGAAAUGGUGCUUGGUUGAAAUAAACUAGAACCAAACAAUUGCAACUUUCUUGGUUCACAAAGACUGCUCAAAUAAUUAUCUCAAAUAGCUUAUGCAUAAAAAUAUCUCAAAUAAUUAUUAGAUGAGUUAUCUCAAAAAAGGUGACUGCAGGAAACUUAAAAUUUGUGAAAUGAUCUAAAGCCGAAAAGAUAUAUCGAUGAAUUAUCUCAAAUAGCUUAUGCAUAAAAAUAUCUCAAAUAAUUAUUAGAUGAGUUAUCUCAAAAAAGGUGACUGCAGGAAACUUAAAAUUUGUGAAAUGAUCUAAAGCCGAAAAGAUAUAUCGAUGUCAAUGACCGUGUGCACUUUUUUUGCACUCCUUUUAUCAAUGGGCCUGGAUAUGUUCUAUUCGGCCCUGCCUAACUUCUAUAUGGGCCUGGCCUUUUCGGGCAACUAUGGACGAACCUUUUUUUUCCUUUUCUCCCUCUACCACUGAAACUGAAACUGAUGACGAACUGAAGAACUAAAAAACGGGGCCGAAACAGAGUGGAGAGGACAUGCUGAAUUCGUACAACGCAACACUUUUAUUCAAAUAUACAUAUCAUUAGGAUUACAAAUGAUGCCCAAUCUAUUCACUUACGACUAAUUAUCAUCACAUAAACAAAUGCGAGAGCAAUUACACAAACAUAAAAAAGUCCGGCCAUCAGCCCCAUCAAAUUGCCCUGCUUCUGCAAUUUGAUGAGUUUCUUCAUCUGCUUGUUUAGCUUCUUCAGCUCUGCCGUCACUACUGCAUCCCCCACAGUAGCCCCAAUGGAAUGGGCACAUCCAGGGGCCCCAGAUCCAGAAGCGCCCGAUCCAAACUUGCCCAACUUCUCCACCUCCAGCGGUAAAUCGAGCUCCCCUGAUGCACCCUCCAGUUGAAUCCGCUCUAUGUACUCAUUUAGCCACUCAAAAUGGGUGCAUUGCUUCAAUUUCUGAAAUUGGAAAGAUGAACCCUAAAUCCCAAAUCCGAUGAAAAAUGGGGAAAAAUUGUGAUAUGAAAUUGGGAUACAAAAACCAAAAUUGGCAUAUUGAGAAGUAAAAUCUCACCUUUCCCUGCUCUGGUUUGCUCUCGCAUUUCACGAAUUCCCGCCCAAGGUUGCCAUUCUUGUCGGUCGUUGUGACUAGCCGCUUCAGGGGUGUGAUACGUGGGCCUGCAGGGCACCUUGUCAUGGGCACUGCGCCAUAGCGCGGCCAUGAGCGGCGGGAGGCUGAAGCGGAGCUCGACAUUGCUAGGUCGCGGCCCGGAACGGCGUUGCUGCGCGUCGUCGCCGGAGAAGAAGAACAACAACGGUCGGGGAGGGGGGGUGGGGGCGGGGGCGAGGAUGGGCCACGGCUCGGGCCACGGCUCGGUGUCCUCUUGUACCAAUGCUGACCUGGAUAAGUUAGUGGGUCCCACGCAGUGGGUCCCGCUCACCUGACCAAUGCUGAGUUGGAUAAGUUAGUGGGUCCCGCGCUGUGGGUCCCGCUCACCUGAUUCGAGUUUUAAACAUGUGUCUUUGGAUUAGACAGCAGUGUCGCAUGGGAGCUAUUUUUUCCUAUGCAGAUGUCGCAUGAGAGCUAUUACAACCAACAACGUCGCAUGAGAGACAAUACACACCAACGAUGUCGCAUAGGAGCUAUUCGCCCUUUGGAAACAUUGCUAAGUUUCAUUGUUUGAAACUUAGUACGAGCGACCGAUAAAAUUUAAUUAUUUUGUGUCUACGACCAACAGGAGAAAUUGCUUAAAAUUACAUCUUUGAAACUGGUCAUUUUUUGAUGCAAAAAUGUAAGUUUCAUCAUUGAAACUUAAGGGCAUGUCCAAUGCUGGAUGCUUAUCCAGGCGCUUAUCGUGUGGAAAAAAAAAAUGCCACGAAGUUAGCUCUCGCUUGUCCAACAGCCAAUGCUAACAACGGGCGCUAACCACGGCUGGAGCUAUAGAUUAGAAAGAAAGAUCUGGUUCACUUGUACGUGAAAAAAGGAGCAAGCGCUCGAUGCCUUGCUUUGCAUCGAUGCCAGACUGAGGUGCUGGGAAUCGACAAGAUAACCGCCAAUCUACCAGGAUUAAAUUCCUAGCGCCUUCUUCUAGCGCCUCCCACUGAAAAUGCCCUAAAGGUUUUUGAGGGAUUUUUUUACUGUGUCCUACUUCACGUAUCACGAGGCAAAUCAAGUAGGCGGCAUGGCCUGGCCGGUGAGUGCCAUUGCACUUACUUGCCCCAGCGAUUUUCCGCCUGCAUUGUAGAAUUCUUUCUCCGAGUCCUGUGAAUUAAAGAUGGUGCAGACAAAAGUAUAUCCUAUAUGCGUACAUGUGCAUGAUCAGAACAUGUUUUUACGUGCGUCUACUAUAAAUCAUGACCAUUUUUAACACAAAUCAUGACCAUUCAUGAUUAGUGAAUCAUACUGUCUUAACUUAUGUGAAAUCAUGUGGAGUAAUAUAAUAUAAUAUAAUAGAUAGAUAGAUCCAUGUUGUAUCAUUACACAUUUUGAUUUAUGCAUUUGUUUACAAAAAAAACAGUAAAAUUUCAUGGUGAAAAGUUUGUAUUGUUUCAUACUGAACACCAAUGUUUUCCCGUAAAAGAAAAUAAUGCCUACGCAUAUGCUUUUAUAUUAUUAUUAUUCUUUCAAACUUAUUCAUAUAGUAUUUUUGAUUGUGCAACCAUAAUUUUUAUUAUCUCUCUUGUUCCACUACAUGCUCUUACUCAAUGAUUUUUUUAUAAUGGGUGUUUUUAUUAACUCAAAAUAUAGCAUCAAGCGGAUACAAAACAUAACGAGCCACGUCCGGUCUCUGCAUAACUAAGAUGCACACAGCCAAAAGCAGAAGUCUGACAAAAAUAAGAUAAGAAAAUCAACAUAUCGACAACAGUGAGUCAUAUAGUUCCGACACUAUGCCUCUGUUGAAGGACGGGGUGGAGCGAUCUGGAGAUUAUGCUUCCCUCCAUUUUGAGUAAAUACCUCCCUGGCCACUUGUUCCAACCGCAUAGACGCCGCCACGAAUAAUGGUUGGUACUCUGUUCGGUGUAGCAUACACCAUGUAGGAAGUGAGUGCUCACUCCUAGUUACUAAAUUAUGUACACACUAGUAGAAAAAGGGCCAUUUGUCCCGGUUCGUAAGGCCCAUUUGUCUCAGUUAGGGAACCGGGACUAAAGGGUCGGUACUAAAGCCCUACACCUUUAGUCCCGGUUCUUACACCAACCGAGACAGAUGGGGCUCCACGUGGCCGCUGCGGCUUGCCAUGGCAGGGGGGCCUUUUGUCCCGGUUGGUAGCACCAACCGGGACCAAUAAGCUACCACGCGUCAGCAUUUGAGGGGCUUGGGUUUUUGUUUUUUUCUGAAGGGGGGGAGGGGGGUUGGGGGUUUUGGGGGGUUUUGUAUGGUUAAUUUUGGGGGGUUUCAUAUAUAGUGUUAGGUAGUAAUUAAUUAAUAGAGAGAAGUGUCCUCUCUUAUCUCCGUGCUUGGUCGACGCUACGUACUAUACGUAUAGAGAGGCCCUCGACACGCUUGCCAGUAAGCAAAUGAAGGAAACCAUUAAGUACAGAAGUUCGUCAUGAACAUAUGCAUACAAACAUAAGUGAUAUCGACCUCUCCUUCUCCGAGAGAUAGGUCGAAGAACAAGUUUCCGUAUAUCUAUCCGGCGCUACUAGCUACAUAUAUACAAUAUUAAGAUCUCUUACAAUAUAAUCCCCUAAUUAUAUAUGAACUCAGCUUCCAGAUGGUAUUCUCCGGCUUUAUUGAUGACGUGGUCAAGAAAGAAUCCCUCCAAUUCCUCUUGAAUUGCUUUGAUGCGAUCUUGUGGUAGGAGUUCAUCCUGCAUCUGCCACAUCUAAUUUGAAGAAGGGGGUCAAUCACUAGUGGAAUAACAGCCAUUUGUCUAGGUUCGUAAGGCUCAUUUGUCCCGGUUGGGGAACCGAGACUAAAGGGUCGUUACUAAAGCCCUACACCUUUAGUCCCGGUUGUCGGUGUCAAAACCGGCGGAUCUCGGGUAGUGGGUCCUGAAUUGUGCGUCUAGGCCGGAUGGUAACAGGAGGCAGGGAACACGAUGUUUUACCCAGGUUCGGGCCCUCUUGAUGGAGGUAAAACCCUACGUCCUGCUUGAUUAAUAUUGAUGAUAUGGGUAGUACAAGAGUAGAUCUACCACGAGAUCAAGGAGGCUAAACCCUAGAAGCUAGCCUAUGGCAUGAUUGUUGUGUAUGGAGUUGAUUGCCUACGGACUACAACCCUCCGGUUUAUAUAGACACCGGAUAGGGUUAGGGUUACAUAGAGUCGUUUACAAUGGUAGGAGAUCUUGAAUAUCCGCAUCACCAAUCUUGCCUUCCACGCCAAGGAAAGUCCCAUCCGGACACAGGACGAAGUCUUAAAUCUUGUAUCUUCAUAGUCCAGGAGUCCGGCUGGACGUAUAGUCCGGCUACCCGAACACCCCCUAAUCCAGGACUCCCUCACCGGUUCUUACACCAACUGGGAGAGAUGGGCCUCCACGUGGCCGCUGCGGCGAGCCCAGGUAGGAGGUCCUUUGGUCCCCGUUAGUGACACUAAUACGUCUCCAACGUAUCUAUAAUUUUUGAUUGCUCCAUGCUAUUAUGUUAUCCAUUUUGGAUGUUAAUGGGCUUUAUUUUACACCUUUAUAUCAUUUUUGGGACUAACCUACUAAUCGGAGGCCUAGCCCAAAUUGCUAUUUUUUGCCUAUUUUAGGUUUUUGAAGAAGAGGAAUAUCAAACGGAGUCCAAACGGAAUGAAACCUUCGGGAACGUGAUUUUCUCAACGAACAUGAUCCAGGAGACUUGGAGUGUGCGCCAAGAAAUAAGGGAGGAAGGCACGAGGCAGGGGGGCGCGCCUACCCCCCUUGAGCAUGCCCUCCACCCUCGUGGGCCCUCCACUGCUCCACCGACGUACUUCUUCCUCCUAUAUAUAUCCACGUACCCCCCAAACAACCAGGAGCACCACGAAAACCUAAUUCCACCACCGCAACCUUCUGUACCCGAGAGAUCCCAUCUUGGGGCCUUUUCCGGAGGGGGCAUCGAUCACGGAGGGCCUCUACAUCAACUGCAUGGCCUCUCCGAUGAUGUGUAAGUAGUUUACUUCAGACCUACGGGUCCAUAGUUAUUAGCUAGAUGGCUUCUUCUCUCUCUCUUUGGAUCUUAAUACAAAGUUCUGCUCGAUUUUCUUGGAGAUCUAUUCGAUGUAAUCUUCUUUUGUGGUGUGUUUGUCGAGAUCCGAUGAAUUGUAGGUUUAUGAUCCAGAUUAUCUAUGGACAAUAUUUGAUUCUCCUCUGAAUUCUUUUAUGUAUGAUUCGUUUAUCUUUGCAAGUCUCUUCGAAUUAUCAGUUUGGUUUGGCCUACUAAAUUGAUCUUUCUUGCAAUGGGAGAAGUGCUUAGCUUUGGGUUCAAUCUUGCGGUGUUCGAUCCCAGUGACUGAAAGGGAAGCGAUAUGUAUUGUAUUGUUGCCAUCGAGGAUAAAAAGAUGGGGUUUAUAUCAUAUUGCAUGAGUUUAUCCCUCUACAUCAUGUCAUCUUCCUUAAAGCAUUACUCUGUUCUCUUGAACUUAAUACUCAAGAUGCAUGCUGGAUAGCGGUCGAUGUGUGGAGUAAUAGUAGUAGAUGCAGAAUCGUUUCGGUCUACUUGUCUGGGACCUGAUGCCUAUAUACAUGAGCAUACCUAUAUAUUCUCAUAACUAUGCUCAAUUCUAUCAAUUGCUCGACAGCAAUUCGUUUACCCACCGUAAUACUUAUGCUCUUGAGAGAAGCCACUACUGAAACCUAUGGCCUCGGGGUCUAUCUUCUAUCAUAUUAAUCCUCCAAUACUUAGUUAUUUAUAUUUCUAUCUAUUUUACUUUCCAUCUUUUAUUUCUCUUUAUCAUAAAAAUACCAAAAAUCUUAUCUUAUCAUAUCUAUCAGAUCUCACUGUUGUAAGUGACCGUGAAGGGAUUGACAACCCCUUUAUCGCGUUGGUUGCGAUGUUCUUAUUUGUUUGUGUAGGUUCGUGGGACUUGAGCGUGAUCUCCUACUGGAUUGAUACCUUGGUUCUCAAAAACUAAGGGAAAUACUUACGCUAAUUUACUUCAUCACUCUUUCCUCUUCAAGGGAAAACCAACGCAAUGCUCAAGAGGUAGUGUCGGUGUCAAAACCGGCGGAUCUCGGGUAGUGGGUCCCGAACUGUGCGUCUAGGCCGGAUGGUAACAGGUGGCAGGGAACACGAUGUUUUACCCAGGUUCGGGCCCUCUUCAUGGAGGUAAAACCCUACGUCCUACUUGAUUAAUAUUGAUGAUAUGGGUAGUACAAGGGUAGAUCUACCACAAGAUCAAGGAGGCUAAACCCUAGAAGCUAGCCUAUGGUAUGAUUGUUGUAUAUGGAGUUGAUUGCCUACGGACUACAACCCUCCGGUUUAUAUAGACACCGGAUAGGGUUAGGGUUACAUAGAGUCGGUUACAAUGGUAGGAGAUCUUGAAUAUCCGCAUCGCCAAGCUUGCCUUCCACACCAAGGAAAGUCCCGUCCGGACACGGAACGAAGUCUUCAAUCUUGUAUCUUCAGAGCCCAGGAGUCCGGCUGAAGGUAUAGUCCGGCUAUCCGAACACCCCCUAAUCCAGGACUCCCUCAGUAGCCCCUGAACCAGGCUUCAAUGACGACGAGUCCAGCGCGCAAAUUGUCUUCGGCAUUGCAAGGCGGGUUCCUCCUCCAAGUCCUUCAUAGAAGAUUGUAAGCACCAAGAGUAGUGUCCGGCUCUGCAAAAUAAGCUUCCACAUAUCGCCAUAGAGAGAAUAAUAUUAACACAAAUCAAAUCUGCUGACGUAUUCCGCAGUGCGUCAUCACACUACAGCCAAGUCCUUCACUCGAAUCGUUUUCACUUUUCCACCUCAGCGUGUUUUGCGAGGCGGUUUCCUUGGCACGUCUUGUCAAAGCAGAGAUCGUGUCCCCCUUGUUUACGGGAUUCUCGUUAAUACGGACGUGGGUAACCCAACCGCGCCACUUAUCACGGCGCUUGGGAGGCAAGCGAGUUUUACUAGGCUGGUGGGGACGCAUAGUCGCAUCCGCCCAUAUAAGGGGAUAAGGAUCCACCUUUUUACCUACGCCUUCUUCCUCCUUUGCCUAGCCAUCUUCUGCGCACCCGAGCUCUAGCGCCCCAGCCCGCGCUUCCUACCUCAACCCUCUCCAACAAUGUUCGGAGCGGGAGGCAAGUGGAUGGUCUCCUCCGUCACGGAGGGCCAUGUCAAAAGGUUAAGGAAGGCCGGAUACUUGUCCAAAGACAUCGCGCACCGGCUUCCUGAGGAGGGGCAGCUUCUCCCCACCCCAAGGCCCCAUGAGAGGGUAGUAUUUCUUCCCCACUGCCUCCGCGGACUGGGUUUUCCUCUCCACCCAUUUGUCCGCGGGCUCAUGUUCUACUAUGGCCUAGAUUUCCACGAUCUGGCCCCGUACUUCAUCCUCAAUAUCUCGGCGUUUAUCAUCGUGUGCGAGGCUUUCCUCUGCAUUCGCCCCCAUUUCGGCCUCUGGCUCACGACCUUCAACGUCAAGCCAAAGGUGGUGCGCGGUAACCAGGCGGAGUGCGGAGGUGCCAUGGCGGGCAAAAUUGCCAACGUCCUAUGGCUCGAGGGCUCCUUUGUGGAGACCUUGAAGGGGUGGCAGUCAGGGUGGUUUUACAUCACCGAGCCACGCGAUCCGAAGUGGAUCGCAGCCCCUGAAUUCCGAUCCGGACCCCCUACGCGGCUCAUGUCCUGGAAGGAGACGAGCUUGUCGUGGGGCGACGAAGGAGAGUUGACCAGACUGCAAAAAUGCAUCCAGUCCCUGGUGAACAAGCAGCUCAAGCUUGUCAACGUAAUCUAGGUCAUGCUCGUCCGCCGGAUUCUUCCGUGUCAAGAACGGGACUUCAAUUUGUGGGAGUUCAACCCGGCGCAACACCGAACUCUGAGAAGGCUCUUCAACACGACGUACGAAGAUGUCUGGAGGGGGCUAACCAAAGGCGCCGAGACUCCCACAUCCGCCUCCGAAGACCGCGGAUUCAGCUCGCAGCGUCCUGCUGGCGAGGUAAGAUAUUUCCAUCUUUUACAGGAUGUUAAGCUUUUUCAUAGUUGACUCUAUGCGGGAUCAAAACUCCCUCACCUUUGACAGGAUUGGCGGGAGAAGUCCGGACAGAUUAAAUGCCCGGCUCCCUUGCCCGAAGACCUAGCCCCUGCUCUCCUAGAGAAGCUGCUGGUUUCGGCACCUUAUGUGGUGCCGGAGAAGAGGGCCAAGAAGAAGAAGGCCACGGGGACUCGAAAGAGUUCCUGGCAUAUGGUGGUGUCGGACUCGUCGUCCGACCAGUCCGAGACGCACUCCUCCCGUGAAGACGAGGAGGAAGAGUGUCGGACUCGUCGUCCGACGAGUCCGAGACGCACUCCUCCCGUGAAGAGGAGUGGCCGGACUACGUCCCCGACGCCGACGAGGACGAAGAGGAGUGGCCAGACAGGGCCAAGCAUCCGGCGAGAUCGUAAGUGUUCGGAUACCAGAGUAACUCGUGAUAUUCCUUUUGUUGCACAGCUUUCCCUAAUGUCGGAUAUAAUCAUGCAGUCCGCCCAAGGAUGGGCUCGACGAGUCGUCGAGCGGCUCCCUGGAUUCAUCGGACGUGAAUUCAGUUCCGCCUACUGCUUCCCCCUGUGCUGCAGAUGACGCCGAAGUGGCGUCGCGACAAGCUCCGGGACGAGAGGAGGUGGUCCAGGAGGAGUCGCGAGGUGACCUCCCGGACUCCAGGAGUGAAGGGGACAAGACCCCCCUGGGAUCCAAGUUCGGCUUUAAGCCGGACACUGAGAUGGAAUCAUCAACAGUUCCGGACUGCGGUAGGCGAACUCCUACCAGGAGGAGCAAGCCUACUGAGCCGGCAUCCUCCGUCCAGCCGGAGGCGCCGGACAAUCUGCUGGAGGAGCUUAAGGGCGCCUCCACCGACGAGGAGCACCGUGCCGUCAUGAGUACGGUGAUCCAGAAGGUUCGGUCCGCCAAAAGCGGACUGACUGAAGCUUGUGCUGGCCUUCUAACAGGCUUCGAGGUAAGUAAAAAUAUGUAAAAAUAUUACCGUAUAGACAGUAGCCCCUGAUGCUCUGUUUGGCGUUUGUAAAGAAAAGCCAAAUAGAGGAUCUAUUAAAUAUCGCAGGAGUCUAACUAAAAAGGAGUCAAUAUAUGUAUGCAGGCUUCGCUGCUGGCCACCGCCGCACUGACUGCGGAGGUGGGUGCCCUGAAGGAGGGCCUCCAGCGGACCGAGCAAGAGCUCGGCCUUGCCAAACGGCAGCUCGAGGAAAAAGAAUGUAAGAGAUACCUUACAGAAAAAGUGCCUAUAAAAAGGCUUGAUUGCAAAAAGAGUAGCAGGAUUGUACUGCUUAUUGUAGGGGCCACGACUGAGGUGGCGACCUUUAAGCAGGUGUUGUCUGAGGCCGAAAAGAAAACGGCCGCGGAGCGCACCGAGCGAGACAGACUUGGGGCUCAGGUCAGCGAGGUGCAGCAAGAGCUUCAGGCUCUCAUGAAAAAACAUGAGAGUUUGAAGCUGGAGUCGAAGGCGCAAGCAUCCGAGCUUGCAACGGCCCUAGAGGCUGCCAAGUCUACCAAGGCCGAUGCCCUAAAGACCCUCCAAGAGUUGGAGGAGAUGAGGAAGAUAGCAACGGGUAAGGCAUUCUUUAUGCAAAGCAGAAAUAUAAAAGUGAACUACCUGUUACUUACCCGAAUCCGAAGCUCUCCAGGGGCAUUCGCAGAUCUUCCCUGCAGCGUAUCCGAUGCCGCCGCAUUAUACCAAGCUGAAGAGGGUAGCUCGACGGAGAAGGUGUUCUGGUUUCAGUAUUCUGAGGCCGGACACCCUGUGCCCUUGAGCAACCAGCUGAAACAGCUGGUUGAGCUCCACAAGGCGGCCAAGCAGGCCAUGAAGGGCUUCAUAGUUCGGCUGUGGCCUGGAGAGGCCCUACCUGGGAGCUAUCUCGGGCUGGUGCGGCGGCUGGUGGAGGCCUGUCCGAGGCUUGAGGUCAUCAAGUGCUCCGUCUGCAUCGAUGGUGCCCGUCGGGCCCUUGCCCGUGCAAAGGUGCACUGGGGUAAGCUGGACGGUGAGAAGCUUGUGAAGGACGGGCUGCCGCCGGGGAAGGAGCAUCGCAAGCCCGAGAACUACUACAAGGAUGUUCUUGCAGGUGCCCGCCUUAUGGCGGAUCAAUGUACCAAGGAUGUGAUAUUUGAAUGAACUCGCUCGUGUUUAUCUUGUGCGCUGAAAACUUGUUCAUAUGUGCUAAGCAAUGCUUAUUGAAUUUAAAAUAUUACUUUCUGUGCGGCCAUUUAUCAAAAAUUGAGAGAUGGCCAGUCGUCGGCUUCUGCCCCCGUGCCACUAGUGCUGGGGUGUUCGGGAUAAACCUGAGCGCUCUUUUUCCCAUAGUUGGGUCCUUCGAGGGAGGCGCUCAGCACAACGAACCAGGCAAUCGGACUAUAAUGCUUGAACACUCUCACUUAGCCAUAGAGCUCUAUAAUUUUAAAUUUCGGUGAAGCCCGUAGUUCGGAAGACCGAGUUCGGGGCGCUAUCCACGCCUUGGCCGGACAAAGCCGGCUCCUCGCUCGAAGCGGCAUAAGCCUUUAGGGACUCGAAAAACCUCUCGAACAGCGAUCGGUCUCUCGCCACAUCAUGACAGUCAGUUUUAGCUUUCUCCACUCAGGUGCUUAACCCAGGUGAACCGGGGCACAAUCGCAGUGGUUCUCCUAGUGCUACCUUAGCCGAUAGAGCGGAACGUAAGGCACCAAAACAUAGGAGCCACGCAAACCCAACUAUUGACCCAAAUCAUGAUUCGGAGCCGAUGCAUAUAGUGCUAUAAGUUCGGGGUGCCGCACUUGUGAAAGUGUACGGACUUCUCACACCAUUAUGAGCGGUACUGAAGCCCCUGGCAUGUUUGCCAUACCAUGGUGUACGGGUGCAAUCAUGUCAUUUAAUAAACAUAAAUGUGAAAAGAAGAUAAUGCAAAAAAUAGACUAGAAGCUAAGCAUUGUUUAUAGAGAGGCUAUUUAUCAAAGCCGAACGAUACAAAUAGUGCGGUAAGCAAAAGAUAUUGGACUAUUCAGUAUGUCCUGACCAGGGGCAGGCCGCGGAAUUGUAUUUAAAACAGGUAUACCGCUCGUAACAGAGACCACCUGGGAGUUCCAUAAUGCGUCAUGGCUUGUCUGCCUCCCUGGAUCUUGCAUCGUUUGUGCGGCAGUCGAAUUGCCGAACAGGUCGUCCGAAGUAUGGAGUCCUGAAAGAAGAAAAAAUUAAAAAAAGAAUCCGGCAGCCCCUAGUACGUAUUAAGCCGUAUUUUGGGCGUGUUGUUAUUGUGCCCCUUCCCCUGUGCCCAUGGUAUUUCAAGGGCGUAGUUAUGUACGUGAGGUACUGGUUUCGCUAUGUUGCGAAAGCUGGGGUUGGGGCCGCAUUGCUACGCUUGCUUAGAGUGUGCCAGGCAGUGUCUGGCUUUUUAAUGGCCGGACUGGAGAAUUGCCUGAGAAGGCUACUUUGUACCUCCGCUGCGAGAGCCGCCGUAUGCUCCUCCAUAUGGAGGGAGCGUUCGGUGUUUCCGUUGAACGUAAUUACUCCUUGAGGGCCUGGCAUCUUGAGCUUGAGAUAUGCGUAGUGCAGCACCGUGUUGAUCUUUGCGAAUGCGGUUCGUCCGAGCAGGGCAUGAUAGCCACUGCGAAACGGUACUAUAUCGAAGAUUAACUCUUCGCUUCGGAAAUUGUCCGGGGAUCGGAAGACCACAUCAAGUGUUACUGAGCAUGUACUGUUGGCUUCUACACCUGGUAUAACGCCUUUAAAGGUCGUUCUUGUGGGCUUAAUCCUUGAGGGAUCUAUGCCCAUUUUCUGCACUGUAUCCUGAUAAAGCAGGUUCAGGCUACUGCCGCCGUCCAUGAGGACUCUUGUGAGAUGAAAUCCGUCGAUGAUCGGGUCGAGAACCAAUGCGGCGAAGCCGCCAUGACGGAUGCUAGUGGGAUGGUCCCUUCGAUCGAAAGUGAUCGGGCAGGAGGGCCAUGGGUUGAACUUUGGGGCGACUGGCUCCAUCGCAUAUACGUCCCGUAGCGCAUGCUUCCGCUCCCGCAUGGGAAUGUGGGUUGCGUAUAUCAUGUUCACCGUCCACACUUGUGGGGGAAAGCCCUUCUGUCCAUUGUUGUUCGGCGGCUUGGGCUCCUCGUCGUCGCUGUGCAGCCCCUUGUCUCUGUUUUCGGCCCUUAACUUGCCUGCCUGCUUGAACACCCAACAAUCCCUGUUAGUGUGAUUGGCUAGCCUUUCGGGGGUGCCAUGUAUCUGGCACAAGCGAUCGAGUAUUCGGUCCAAACUGGACGGGCCCUGAGUAUUCUUUUUGAAUGGCAUUUUCCGCUGACCGGAUUUAUAGCCUUUGAAUCCGGCAUUGACUGCCGUGUCUUCAUUGCUGUCGCUGCUAACGCGGCGUUUUUGCUUAUUCCGAUGUGUCCUACCACUUUUGUCCUUGGUAUCCGAAUUACCAGGGUGCUUUGAUAAGUUGUUACUGCGAGCUAGCCAGCUGUCUUCUCCCGCGCAAAAGCGGGUCAUGAGUGUCGUGAGGGCUGCCAUGGAUUUCGGCUUUUCCUGUCCCAGGUGCCAGGCAAGCCACUCGUCGCAGAUGUUGUGCUUCAAGGCUGCCAGGGCCUCUGCGUCCGGACAGUCGACUAUCUGGUUUUUCUUUGUUAGGAACCGUGUCCAAAAUUGUCUGGCCGAUUCCUCUGGCUGCUGAAUUAUGUGGCUUAAGUCGUCGGCAUCCGGUGGUCACACGUAAGUGCCCUGGAAGUUGUCGAGGAAUGCGGCUUCCAGGUCCUCCCAAGAACCGAUUGAGUCUGCUGGCAAGCUGUUAAGCCAAUGCCGGGCCGGUCCUUUAAGUUUGAGCGGGAGGUAUUUGAUGGCGUGUAGAUCAUCGCCGCGUGCCAUGUGGAUGUGAAGGAGACAAUCCUCGAUCCAUACCGCCGGAUCUGUUGUGCCAUCGUAUGAUUCGAUGUUUAUGGGUUUGUAGCCCUCUGGGAUUUUAUGAUCCAUUACUUCAUUCGUGAAGCAUAGCGGGUGUGUGGCGCCUCUGUAUUGGGCUAUAUCACGACGUAGCUCGGAAGAGCUAUGUCUGUUGUGUUCGGCCCGGCCGGAUUUGUUGUAUCCAGAGUGAAGAUCAUUUUCCCGUGCCUUAGUUGAGAGGUGUCGGGGCAUGGCUUGGGUGGAGGGCCGAGACGCCUCUCUGUCGCGGCCGCGAGGUGGCCGGUCUGCCAUGUCAUGCGCUGGUGAUGUAGGUGCUUCCUCCUCUGAUCGGGGUAGCGGCCUAUGCUUCGGGUAACUCUUGGAGGGGCGUUCGAGUUCAUACUCUUCGGCCGCAAGGACUUCAGUCCAUCUGUCAGCUAGCAAAUCUUGGGCAGCUCUAAGUUGUUGCUGCUUUUUCUUGAGGCUGCUUGCCAUGGCUAAAAGCCUGCGUUUAAAAAGCUCUUGUUCGGCGGGGUCUGAUGGUAUGACGAAUUCGUCGUCAUUGAGGCUUGCCUCGUCUUCGGAGGGAGGCGUAUAGUUAUCAUCCUCGACCUUUCCGUCUGCCGCUCUCUCAUCAGGGCUGGCUUCUCCAUCUUCCUGUGCCGAAUCUUGCUGAGGUGGGUGUUCUUCGGCGCUAUCCGGGGUAGUAUUAUCUCUCAUGUCGGAAUCACCGUUUUUGCUUUGGCGGGAUUUAGAGCGGCGCCGCUGGUGCCGGCGCUUUGGCUGUUUCUUGGGGGCGUCAUCCCCCACUGUUCCAUCGCCAUCUCCAUCUUUUGGAGUAUCCACCAUAUAUAUGUCAUAUGAUAAGGUGGCCUUCCAGCGCCCUACAGGUGCUGGUUCCUGUUCGUCUCCUACAUUGUCGUCCAUGCCGUCGAUGUCUUUGGAGCUGAAGUCAACCAUGUAGGUUAGACCGUCGAUAAUGGCUACAAAGUGGGUGGUGGGUGGGCUUUGAAUUUCCUCAUCGUAUGUAUCCCACCCUCGCUGACCGUAGUCCGGCCAGGGCUCUCCUGAUAAAGAGAGAGACUUAAGAGAAUUCAGGAUGUCGCCAAAAGGCGAAUGCUGAAAGAUGUCUGUAGCGGUGAACUCCAUUAUCGGCACCCAAUCGGAUUCGAUUGGCAGGGGCGCGGGGGGUUCGGAGUCCGGGGAGGAGUCCGGAUCCUCGGAGUCACGGGUCGUGCAGAGUGCGGGGCUAGCGUUCGGCUCGAUCGCUUUCGGGAUCGCAGCCCCCGAGGUGACGUCCAACCGCUCAUCCUCGAUUGGCGCAAUAGGUUCCGAGUUAGGGGUCGGAACCGAUGCGUGUGCGGCCUCCAGGACACUGGCCGGGGGCAGAGCUAGAUCAUGCCCCUCGGGAUAGUGCGGCGUGCUUGGCCGUGGCUCGAGCCCGUCGAAGAUCAAGUCUCCGUGGAUGUCAGCCGUGUAGUUUAAGCUUCCAAACCUGACUUGAUGGCCAGGGGCGUAGCUUUCGAUCUGCUACAGGUGGCCGAGCGAAUUGGCUCAUAGAGCGAUGCCGCCGAAGACGAAGAUCUGUCCGGGGAGAAAAGUCUCACCCUGGACCGCAUCGUUGUUGAUGAUCAAAGGAGCCAUCGGGCCUAAAGGCGACGAGACAGAGGAACUCUCAAUGAAAGCACCAAUGUCAGUGUCAAAACCGGUGGAUCUCGAGUAGUGGGUCCCGAACUGUGCGUCUAGGCCGGAUGGUAAUAGGAGGCAGGGAACACGAUGUUUUAUCCAGGUUCGGGCCCUCUUGAUGGAGGUAAAACCCUACGUCCUGCUUGAUUAAUAUUGAUGAUAUGGGUAGUACAAGAGUAGAUCUACCACGAGAUCAAGGAGGCUAAACCCUAGAAGCUAGCCUAUGGUAUGAUUGUUGUAUAUGGAGUUGAUUGCCUACGGACAACAACCCUCCGGUUUAUAUAGACACCGGAUAGGGUUAGGGUUACAUAGAGUCGGUUACAAUGGUAGGAUAUCUUGAAUAUCCACAUCGCCAAGCUUGCCUUCCACGCCAAGGAAAGUCCCGUCCGGACACGGGAUGAAGUCUUCAAUCUUGUAUCUUCAUAGCCCAGGAGUCCGGCUGAAGGUAUAGUCCGGCUACCUGAACACCCCCUAAUCCAGGACUCCCUCAGGUAGCAAGAUGGAUUUCUGGCGCCAUUGCCGGGGAGAUUCGCGCCAAGUCAAGACAUACCAAGUACCCAUCACAAACCCUUAUCCCUCGCAUUACAUUAUUUUCCAUUUGCCUCUUGUUUUCCUCUCCCCCACUUCACCCUUGCCAUUUUAUGCGCCCUCUCUUUUUCCGUUCCCCUCUUUUCCACUUGCUUUGUCGUUAUGGCUAGUCCUUUAUCUACUCCUUUGUCUCCCGAGAAUGAAGUUCUUAAUUUUAAACAAAGGGAGGGAGAAAAUCUAAAAGAUGCUUGGUACAGAAUUUGCAACACACAAAUUAGAUCUACUAGGAAACAAUCUACUUUUGUUCUUCUUCACGAUUUUUAUGUAGGCAUCACACCUUGGAAUAGAUAUAUUCUUGAUGCCAUUACCGGAGGGAAUUUCUUGGGUAGCCAUACUUUUGAUUCUUAUAAUGCUAUGAUAGAUCUGUUUGGCCCACCACCUCUUUUGGUUAAUGGAACUAUUUUAACUUUGGAACAUGUGAUGCAAUGGCUUGAAAUUAGUGAAAAUAAAGUUGCCACCAUAGAGUUAAUUGAAAAUUUGGAUAGAAAGAUCCAUAACCAAAUUACCCAAUACGGAUCUAAGUUAGGAGUUGCUCUUAAAAGUUUUAAAGAAAAGGGACCUAUGGUUAAUGAAAAGAUAGAAAAGGAUUCCACUAGAAUUGAUAAAAUUGAGGAUAUUAUUACCAACCUUGGGUCUUCCUUUUCUUCUAUUAUAAAUACUCCGCCUAAUGCUAAGAUUGCCAAACUAAUGUAUGUUACAAAAAAUAAGGGUGAAACUUCUAAUAAGGAAAAUGCGGAUCUCAAAUCCAUAAGUGUUCACCCCAAUUUUCUCACUAUCCUUAAGGAACCUUUUGCUACAAAUGAUUUUCUUGAUUUCAUACCUAGGAGUUUGAUAAUUAAUAAAAACAAAGAAACUCCUAAAAGUUAUUGGUGUGUUAUUGAAGAAUCACCUUCCAAAGACGGCAAUACCUAGGUCUAUCUUCGCUUUUAUGCCUAGCUAGGGGCGUUAAACGAUAGCGCUUGUUGGGAGGCAACCCAGUUUUACUUUUAUUCCUUGAUGUUUGCUCCUAUUUAGUAAUAAAUAAUUUAUGUAGCCUAUGUUUUGGUUGUGUUUUUUGUGUUUAAUUUGUGUUUGUGCCAUGUAGAACCAUUGGGUAGACUUGGGGAAAGUCUUUUUGAUCUUGCUGUAAAAAACAGAAACGUUAGCGCUCACGAGAAUCGCUGACAUUUUUAUUUGGAAAGUGAUAUUUAGAUAAUUCUUUUUGCGGAUGAUUAAUAGAUAAAUUCCUCACGUCCAGCAAUUUAUUUUAUAAUUUUUGGGGUUACAGAAGUUCGCGUUAGGUACAGAUUACUACAGACUGUUCUGUUUUUGACAGAUUCUGUUUUUCGUGUAUUGUUUGCUUAUUUUGAUGAAUCUAUGGCUAGUCAAAGAGGUUAUAAACCGUAGAGAAGUUGGAAUACAGUAGGUUUAACACCAAUAUAAAUCAAGAUUGAGUUCAUAACAGUACCUUGAAGUGGUGUUUUGUUUUCUUUCGCUAACGGAGCUCACGAGAUUUUCUGUUUGAGUUUUUUGUUGUGAAGUUUUCAAGUUUUGGGUAAAGAUUUGAUGGAUUAUGGAACAAGGAGUGGCAAGAGCCUAAGCUUGGGGAUUCCCAUGGCACACCAAGGUAAAAUUAAAGGACACCAAAAAGCCUAAGCUUGGGGAUGCCCCGAAAGGCAUCCCCUCUUUCGUCUUCGUCUAUUGGUAACUUUACUUGGAGCUAUAUUUUUAUUCACCACAUGAUAUGUGUUUUGCUUGGAGCGUCUUGUAUGAUUUGAUUAUUUGAUUUUUAGUUUACCAAAAUCAUCCUUGCUGUACACACCUUUUGAGAGAGACUCACAUGAUUGGGAAUUUAUGAGAAUACUCUAUGUGCUUCACUUAUAUCUUUUGAGCUAUAUGGUUUUUGUUCUAGUUCUUCGCUUAUAUAUUUUAGAGAAUGGCGGUGGUUUUAUUUUAUAGAAAUAAUUGUUCUCUCAUGCUUCACUUAUAUUAUUUUGAUAGUCCUUUAGAACAACAUGGCAAUAAUAAAACUGUCAUACAAGUGCAUUGAAUACUAUGAGAAGUUUGAUACUUGAUAAUUGUUUUGAGAUAUGGAGAUGGUGAUAUUAGAGUCAUGCUAGUUGUGUAGUUGUGAAUUUGAGAAAUACUUGUGUUGAAGUUUGUGAUUCCCGUAGCAUGCACGUAUGGUGAACCGUUAUGUGACGAAGUCAGAUCAUGAUUUAUUUGUUGAUUGUCUUCCUUAUGAGUGGCGGUCGGGGAUGAGCAAUGGUCUUUUACUACCAAUCUAUCUCCCUAGGAGCAUGGGCAUAAUACUUUGCUUUGAUAACUUAUAGAUUUUUGCAAUAAGUAUGUGAGUUCUUUCUGAGCAAUGUUGAGUCCAUGGAUCAUACGCACUCUCACCCUUCCACCAUUGCUAGCCUCUCUAAUACCGUGCACUUCUCGCCGAUAUCAUACACCCACCAUAUACCAUCCUCAAAACAGCCACCAUACCUACCUAUUAUCACUAGUGCAGAACCGGGCAAUAGCACCGGUUCGUAAGGCCCUUUAGUGCCGGUUUAGGAACCGGCACUAUUAUUUCGGCACUAAACCCCCCCCCCUUUAGUACCGGUUCAGCACGAACCGGUGCUAAAGGGGUACCACGUGGCACGAGCCAGCUCCGGGGGCCGGGAGCCCUUUAGUACCGGUUGGUAAAACCAACCGGUACUAAAUGGUUGUGGGUUUUUGUUUUAUUUUGUAUUUUUCAAUUAAAUUUGUGUUAUCAAUUUAAAUUAGGAUUGUUUUACGUUAUAAUGAGUUGUAGUCGUCAUCAUCAUCAUCAUCAUCGCAUAUUAAUAAAUAAAUAAACUCUAGCUAGCUAAAAAUCAUCGUGGUCGUCUAAUUACCACUAUUUAAUCAUCAUAGUCAUUACCGCUAGCUAUGUAAUCAUCAUCAACGUUGGCUAGCUUAAAGAGGAAACAUUCACUUUGUAACAGAAGCAAAGAGAUAUCAUCAAGUUCAACAUAAUCAUCACCAACAUCGAAGUUCAGGACACGGAUCCAUGAGACGAGUACUAAUUAAGAGCAUGAAGUAGUAGCUACUGAUCCUGCUUCUCCCUCUCAGGUAGAAUAGCACAGAACAUGUAUAGCUCUCCUGAUUCAUCAUACUGAAGCAUGCAGAUGAAUCUGUCUCCUAAUCUUGGGUUGCGCUUCUCCUUACUGCCCCCUAGUACUUCUCUGCGAUCGUUAACAAUUUUGCUCCAAUCUUUCACUAUUAAGCAUUCUUCGCUUUUAGAAAUCCUGAAUGCACUCAUGUGCAAUGUAGGAAAUCUUGGUCGUAAGCUAACCAUUGACAUGCGACCUUUUGUCUCGAUCCACUAAGGCACAACUGUCAUCGGAAGUCCCUGUUGAACAACAUCGUAUAGUAAUUAAUAUACUAAGCAAUGAAAGUUUAGCUUUAAAAAUAAUGUACGCAAAAGAUGCACUAAUUAAGGACAAAUAUUUAAAAUCUUACCAUCUUUUGAUUAUAGAUGUGACCGUAGUUCAAGGCGAUCACCAUUGGUCGCACGUUUUGAGUACUAACAUUUCUAAGUUUAGAAAAAAAAUUGUCUUGACAGUAUUAAGAUCCUCAAGCCAUGAAACACAAUGACUUAUUUCCUCGCAGUUUAGUUGAGCCCCGAGGUAGUAGUAGGUCCUGUCUACCAAGCGCCGGACAUGUUUGCUUGAACCGAAAUAAGCUGACAAUACACAUCAGUUGUCAACUAUUUUUGAAUAAACUGUACGAAAGACAUAAACGUAUAUAUGCAUGCAUGGUUGAGAAAAACUCACCAAAUGGUAGAACUGGAGGCGUUUGCACAUCGACCCAGAUGUCUAUAUUACCUUCAAUAUCAUCUUCCGGACGAAUAUCAAAGGUGAUAACCAUAUCAGGCUCAAAUGCAUAAGCCUUGCAUAGUGCUUGCCAAGUUUUGCAUUCAAAAUGGGUGUAUGUGCCUCCAUUAUAUAAUUUGACGUUGAAAGUAUACCCAUGCUCCGUCUUCAAGUAAACUCUCUUUACCUCCAUAUCAUCUAUAGCACUAAAACCUAUCUUAUAUAAUACAAAAAUUCUUGUAUGGCAGGGGAUGCGCUAGUAGAAUAGUGAAAAUUUAAAAUUAUAAGUUGAAGCAAAUGAAGCAUAAGUUUUGCAUUCAAAUAAUAAUUGACAAAGUGGCUUACUGUAUCAACUUCAAAUGUCUCAUCCAGCUUGAUGUUGAAGCGCCUACCAUCAACAAGGAAAUUUUGGUCGCACAGGCCGCGCUGGUCUUCACAGUGUUCGCACAUAAUAAAAUCUUUUUAGUUGUCAGAUGACAUUUCCUAUGUUCAUAUAGGUGAAACAUUAAACACCUAUAUCUAGCCAAAUAUAUAUUCAUCUAACAUUUGACAUUAAUAUAUCUAACUAUAUAUUCAAUUGACAUUACUAUAUAUUUAACUUUUCUAUCUAAUUCAUCUAACAUUCGACAUUAAUCUAACAUUUAUAUAAACUCAAAAUAUAUAAAAAAUUAAAUAAACAGAAAAACUCAUUAACAAAUAAUAUUUUAAUUAGAUCAUCAAAUCUCAUAUACCUAAAUUUUCUUACUAAAAAUAAACUAGUUAUAUUAAUUAUUCAACUAGUUCUAAUCUNNNNNNNNNNNNNNNNNNNNNNNNNNNNNNNNNNNNNNNNNNNNNNNNNNNNNNNNNNNNNNNNNNNNNNNNNNNNNNNNNNNNNNNNNNNNNNNNNNNNNNNNNNNNNNNNNNNNNNNNNNNNNNNNNNNNNNNNNNNNNNNNNNNNNNNNNNNNNNNNNNNNNNNNNNNNNNNNNNNNNNNNNNNNNNNNNNNNNNNNNNNNNNNNNNNNNNNNNNNNNNNNNNNNNNNNNNNNNNNNNNNNNNNNNNNNNNNNNNNNNNNNNNNNNNNNNNNNNNNNNNNNNNNNNNNNNNNNNNNNNNNNNNNNNNNNNNNNNNNNNNNNNNNNNNNNNNNNNNNNNNNNNNNNNNNNNNNNNNNNNNNNNNNNNNNNNNNNNNNNNNNNNNNNNNNNNNNNNNNNNNNNNNNNNNNNNNNNNNNNNNNNNNNNNNNNNNNNNNNNNNNNNNNNNNNNNNNNNNNNNNNNNNNNNNNNNNNNNNNNNNNNNNNNNNNNNNNNNNNNNNNNNNNNNNNNNNNNNNNNNNNNNNNNNNNNNNNNNNNNNNNNNNNNNNNNNNNNNNNNNNNNNNNNNNNNNNNNNNNNNNNNNNNNNNNNNNNNNNNNNNNNNNNNNNNNNNNNNNNNNNNNNNNNNNNNNNNNNNNNNNNNNNNNNNNNNNNNNNNNNNNNNNNNNNNNNNNNNNNNNNNNNNNNNNNNNNNNNNNNNNNNNNNNNNNNNNNNNNNNNNNNNNNNNNNNNNNNNNNNNNNNNNNNNNNNNNNNNNNNNNNNNNNNNNNNNNNNNNNNNNNNNNNNNNNNNNNNNNNNNNNNNNNNNNNNNNNNNNNNNNNNNNNNNNNNNNNNNNNNNNNNNNNNNNNNNNNNNNNNNNNNNNNNNNNNNNNNNNNNNNNNNNNNNNNNNNNNNNNNNNNNNNNNNNNNNNNNNCGGCGGCGGGGACAGCGACGAUGACGACGGACGACGGUACGGGCGACGGGCGGCGACGACGGGAUCGAGCGGUCCGCGCGGCGGAGGUGGGAGACGAAGUGGGGAGUUGAAACUGAAAUUUUCGUAAGUGCUAUAUAUAUAUAUAUAUAUAUAUAUAUAUAUAUAUAUAUAUAUAUAUAUAUAUGAUUGGCCUUUAGUACCGAAUCGUGGCUCCAACCGGUACUAAAGGCCUAUUUUCGCCAGGCCAAGCGGCGGGAAACGAAGGCUUUUAGUACCGGUUGGAGCCACCAACCGGUACUAAAGGGGGGCCUUUAGUACCGGUUGGAGCCACCAACCGGUACUAAAGGCCUUGCGCUGCCACCCCAAAAUUUAGUCCCACCUCGCCCGGCGAAGGGCAGCCGCACUGGUUUAUAAACCUAGCCGCGGCUACCUCUUCGAACUCCUCUAUAUAGCAGCCUUCUGGGCCUAAUUAAUUAGGGCGCGCUGCCAUGUGAGUCUGCUGGCCCUUCUGGGCCUGCAUUUGCACACCCUAGGUCUGGUAGACCCACAGGGCAGUGCGCCAACAAAUUUUUUAUAUAGUUUUAUCUUUUCUGCAUUACUUAUUUUCUUUUAUUUAUUUUUGAGUAGUUUUUUAUAUAGUUUUUGUUUUCUGCAUUAUUUAUUUUCUUCUAUUUAUUUUUGAGUAAUUUUUUUGUAUAGUUUUUUUAUUUUCUGCAUUACUUAUUUUUGCAUAGUCCGAAACCCUGAUACUCGGAAAGAGUUUGUCCAGUUUGUACACGAAGUGCGUCCAGUUUUUGCCGUGACCCUCUCUACUCUUUCGCGCAUGCUAUGCGGGUGAUACGAUGAUACCAUGCCAAGUUUCAACAUUUUCAGGAUUCAUUUUGUAGUGAUUUUCAAUUUCACGGUCAUUUAGCUCUCUAAACAAUUAGGUAAAUGACUGAAAAACAACAAAUGAUGUCAGAACAUGUUGAAAAUUGAUGACGUCGCUUUAAAUGCUGCAUACUGAACACAAAAGAAGUCCGGAGUACAAAUAAGUUUAAAAAACAUUGAAGUGGCCAUGUAACAGAUGAGUUCUCGUCCGAAACCCUGAUACUCGGAAAGAGUAUGUCCAUUUUGUACACGAAGUGCGUCCAGUUUUUGCCGUGACCCUCUCUACUCUUUCGCGCAUGCUAUGCGGGUGAUAUGAUGAUACCAUGCCAAGUUUCAGCAUUUUCAGGAUUCAUUUUGUAGUGAUUUUCAAUUUCACGGUCAUUUAGCUCUCUAAACAAUUAGGUAAAUGACCGAAAAACAACAAAUGAUGUCAGAAUAGACUGCACUGCACAUAGCUCAGUGUAGACUACACUGCACAUAGCUCAGUGCAAUCUAUGUUAUUCCGCAAGGCUUGAAGCUAAUCAACAUGUAGAUGAGCAUUGCAAUUCUUCGUCAUUGUCUGUGCACUCACGGCUUAUAAACCGCUCAUACUGCCUCUCUCUUGGCGAGGUGGGACUAAAAACAACUUGCCAUAACCUCAUCAAUUUCCUCUUGAAGCUUGUCCUUGCCUUUUUGCUUGUAUUCUUGUGGUGGAAGAUCAUCUUGAGCUUGUGUCCCCUUGAAGGAAGUAGGAUACUUCUCUUGUUGAGGAACAAACUUUGUCUUGGGGUAUUGAUCUUCUUCCCACUCAACUCCAUUGGCAUUGAACUUUCGUUCAAAACCAACACCUUGAUUCUUCCAGUGCCUUCCUUGCUUGCGCACAAUUUCCUCGAAUUGCUUACUCCCGGCAAGGCUUUUGUACAUUCCUUUCUCUAUAAUUCCCUUCAAUAAGCUAUUUUCUUGCUCAAGUGUAACUUGGCUAAGAGAAUCAUUAGUGGAAUCAAGAGAACUACUAGAAGCAACAAUGUUAGAUCUUAUGUCACAAAAAAGAAGUCGUAUCAAACCUUUUAUGUCGGAUCUAGAACAAACCAAUCGGUAUCGCCAUCAUACAGCCCUACCGUGGCUUGUGAUGCAUAUAUAUAUGCAUAUCAAAUGCACGGUUGGGCGUAUGAUGGCGAAUCCGAAUGAUUUGUAUUCAGUCGAUGAACUGGUAGAUGUAUGCAGUCGAUGAACUGGUAGAUGUAUGUAGUCGAUGAACUGAAAGACUUAUGCAGGGAAGGCGAGAGAUGGGCUAUAUAUAGGGUCGUCUGGCUCACAAAGUGAUUGUGGUAGUUUCGAUCCAACGACUCACAUGAGCUAGGAAGAAGCACACCCUUGAUCCAACGACUCGCAAGAGCUAUAAAGAAACACACGAUCCAUGUGAUUCUUCCUGAUUGGUGGGAUGCACAUUAGUAUCGGUUUGUGCCAUGAACUGGUGCUAAAGAUUGGCAAUGAACCGGUACUAAUGGUAGCAGCCCGCCUAGCCGUUGGAAUCGGCACUAAUGGUCACAUUUGUGCCGGCUCAAAUUCAAACCGGCACUAUAAUGUGCUUCACAUUUGACUGUUUUUCUACUAGUCAAUAGAGUUUGCCAAACUUGAGUUUCCCAAGUCACUUACACAAAAAGCUAUGAUUCAUGGUUGUCAAAUCCAUAAUUUACAAACCACAACAACCUUGAGGCAUAACAAGCUUUAAAUGCUGCAUACUGAACACAAAAGAAGUCCAGAGUUUAAAUAAGUUAUUAAAAAUAAAAAAGAGGUGCAAUGCUGGUUAAUUUGCUUCAAGCUAUUCGGAAUAGUGUAGAUUGCACUAAGCCACUGCACAUAGCUCAGUGCAAUCUAUGCUAUUCCGCAAGGCUUGAAGCUAAUCAACAUGUAGGUGAGCAUUGCAACUCUUCGUCAUUGUCUGUGCACUCACGGCUUAUAAACCGCUCAUACUACCUCUCUCUUGGCGAGGUGGGACUAAAAACAUCUUGCCAUAACCUCAUUAGUACUGGUUCAUGGUACGAACCGGCACUAAAUGGUGAUGGUGGGGCCAUAGCCUGACCGCAGGCUGACACAGCCUCUUUAGUACCGGUUCGUGGCAUGAACCGGUACUAAAGGUUCGCCACGAACCGGUACUAUUGAUCGCCGCCACGAACCGGCACUAAUGUACACAUUAGUGCCGGCUCUAAUUCAAACCGGCACUAAUGUGCUUCACAUUUGACCCUUUUUCUACUAGUGUAUGGCAUUUCCAUAGCCAUUCCGAGAUAUAUUGCCAUGCAACUUUCCAUCGUUCCAUUAUUAUGACACACUUCAUCAUUGUCAUAUUUGCUUGCAUGAUCAUGUAGUUGGCAUCGUAUUUGUGCAAAGCCACCAUUCAUAAUUCUUCAUACAUGUCACUCUUGAUUCACUGCAUAUCCCGGUACACCGCCGGAGGCAUUCACAUAGAGUCAUAUUUUGUUCUAAGUAUCGAGUUGUAAUUCUUGAGUUGUAAGUAAAUAAAAGUGUGAUGAUCAUCAUUAUUAGAGAAUUGUCCCAAGUGAGGAAAGGAUGGAGACUAUGAUUCCACAACAAGUCGGCAUGAGACUCCGGACGAAAAUAAAAAAAGAGGGAAAAAAGAGAAAGGCCAUAAAAAAGAAGGCCCAAAAAAUGAGAGAAAAAGAGAGAAGGGGCAAUGUUACUAUCCUUUUUCCACACUUGUGCUUCAAAGUAGCACCAUCAUCUUCAUGAUAGAGAGUCUCCUAUGAUAUCACUUUCAUAUACUAGUGGGAAUUUUUCAUUAUAGAACUUGGCUUGUAUAUUCCAAUGAUGGGCUUCCUCAAAUUGCCCUAGGUCUUCGUGAGCAAGCAAGUUGGAUGCACACCCACUUAGUUUCUUUUGUUGAGCUUUCAUACACUUAUAGCUCUAGUGCAUCCGUUGCAUGGCAAUCCCUACUCAAUCACAUUGAUAUCUAUUAAUGGGCAUCUCCAUAGCCCGUUGAUACGCCUGUUCUGGAGCUCCGCCAGAGGGGGCAUCGAUCACGGAGGGCUUCUACAUCAACAGCAUAGCCUCUCCGAUGAAGUGUGAGUAGUUGACCUCAGACCUACGGGUCCAUAGUUAUUACCUAGAUGGCUUCUUCUCUCUUUUUGGAUCUCAAUACAAUGUUCUCCCCCUCUCUUGUGGAGAACUAUUCGAUGUAAUCUUCUUUUUGCGGUGUGUUUAUUGAGAUCGAUGAAUUGUGGGUUUAUGAUCAAGUCUAUCUAUGAAUAAUAUUUGAAUCUUCUCUGAAUUCUUUUAUGUAUGAUUGUUUAUCUUUGCAAGUCUCCUCGAAUUAUCAGUUUGGUUUGGCCUACUAGAUUGAUCUUUCUUACAAUGGGAGAAGUGCUUAGCUUUGGGUUCAAUCUUGCGGUGUCCUUUCCCAGUGACAGCAGGGGCAGCAAGGCAUGUAUUGUAUUGUUGCUAUCGAGGACAACAAGAUGAGGUUUUCAUCAUAUUGCAUGAGUCUAUCCCUCUACAUCAUGUCAUCUAGCUUAAGGCGUUACUCUGUUUUUAACUUAAUACUCUAGAUGCAUGCUGGAUAGCGGUCGAUGAGUGGAGUAAUAGUAGUAGAUGCAGGCAGGAGUCGGUCUACUUGUCUCGGACGUGAUGCCUAUAUACAUGAUCAUACCUAGAUAUUCUCAUAAAUAUGCUCAAUUAUGUCAAUUGCUCAACAGUAAUUUGUUCACCCACCAUAGAAUUAUUAUGCUCUCGAGAGAAUCUACUAGUGAAACCUAUGGCCCCCGGGUCUAUCUUUAUCAUAUUAAUCUCCUACUACUUAGUUAUUUCCUUUGCUUUUUCCUUUGCCUUUAUUUUACUUUUCAUCUUUAUCACAAAAAUACCAAACAUAUUAUCUUUAUCAUAUCUAUCAGAUCUCACUCUCAUAAGUGGCCGUGUAGGGAUUGACAACCCCUAUUCGCGUUGGUUGCGAGGAUUUAUUUGUUUUGUGCAAGUACGAGGGACUCGCGCGUAGCCUCCUACUGGAUUGAUACCCUUGGUUCUCAAACUGAGGGAAAUACUUACGCUACUUUGCUACAUCAUCCCUUCCUCUUCGGGGAAAACCAACGCAGUGCUCAAGAGGUAGCAAGAAGGAUUUCUGGUGCCAAUGCCGGGGAGGUCUACGCAAAAGUCAACAUACCAAGUACCCGUCACAUACCCUUAUCUCCCGCAUUACAUUAUUUGCCAUUUGCCUCUCGUUUUCACCUCCCCCACUUCACCCUUGCCAUUUUAUUCGCCCUCUCUCUCUCUCUAUCCUCCCUCUCUUUCUCUAUUUGCCUCUUUUUUCCCGCUUGCUUUCUGUUUGCUUGUGUGUUAGUUGCUUGCUUGUCACGAUGGCUCAAGAUAAUACUAAAUUAUGUGACUUCACCAAUACCAACAACAAUCAUUUUAUUAGCACUCCGAUUGCUCCUCUUACCGAUGCUGAAUCUUGUGAAAUUAAUACUGCUUUGCUGAAUCUUGUCAUGAAAGAUCUGUUUUCCGGCCUUCCUAGUGAACAUGCCGGUACCCACCUAAAUAGAUUCAUUGAUUUGUGUGACAUGCAAAAAAAAGAAAGGUGUGGAUAAUGAUAUUGUUAAAUUGAAGCUAUUUCCUUUUUUGCUUAGAGAUCGUGCUAAAGCUUGGUUUUCGUCUUUGCCUAAAAAUAGUAUUGAUUCAUGGAAUAAGUGCAAAGAUGCUAUUAUCUCUAAGUAUUUUCCUCCUACUAAGAUCAUCUCUCUUAGAAACAAUAUUAUGAAUUUUAAGCAACUUGAUCAUGAACAUGUUGCACAAGCUUGGGAGAGAAUGAAACUAAUGGUACGUAAUUGCCCUGCCCAUGAUUUAAAUUUGUGGAUGAUUAUACAAAAAUGUUAUGCCGGAUUGAAUUUUGCUUCUAGAAAUCUUUUAGAUUCGGCCGCGGGAGGCACUUUUAUGGAAAUCACUUUAGAAGAAUCUACUAAACUCCUAGAUAAUAUUAUGGUUAAUUAUGCUCAACGGCAUAGUAAAAUAUCUAAUAAUAAAAAGGUGCAUGCGAUACAAGAAAUUAAUGUUUUGAGUGGAAAGAUGGAUGAACUUCUGAAAUUAUUUGCUAAUAAGAGUGUUUCUUCUGAUCCUAAUGAUAUACCCUUGUCUACUUUGAUUGAGAAUAGUAAUGAAUCUAUGGAUGUGGAUUUUGUUGGUAGGAACAAUUUUGGUAACAACGCGUAUAGAGGAAAUUUCAACCCUAGGCCUUAUCCUAGUAAUCUCUCUAAUAAUUAUGGUAAUUCCUACAACAAUUCUUAUGGAAAUUAUAAUAAGAUGCCCUCUAAUUUUGAAUCUAAUAUUAAAGAAUUUAUUACUUUGCAAAAGAAUUUCAAUACCUUGAUUGAAGAAGAACCGCUAGGAUGCGUGCUAAGAAAGAUGCCUUUAUAAGAGCGUGUUCUUCUAGUUCCUAUGAAAAUAAUGAUGAAGAUCUAAAAGUUAUUGAUGUGUUCCCUAUUAAAUCUUUGUUUUUCAACAUGGAUCUUGAUAAUGAUGGGAUUGAAUAUGAUCCACCUUUACCUAUAAGGCGUUCCAAGAAUUCAGAAUUUGUUGAUCUUGAUGCUAAAAUUGAUAAAGGUGGGAUUGAAGAAAUUAAAACCCUAGAUGUUGCUAAACCCACUAUUAUGGAUUUCAAGGAAUUUAACUAUGAAAAUUGCUCUUUUAUUGAUUGUAUAUCCUUUUUACAAUCCGUGCUAAAUUCUCCUCAUGCUUAUAGUCAAAAUAAAGCGUUUACUAAACAUAUCGUUGAUGCCUUGAUGCAAUCUUAUGAAGAAAAACUUGAAUUGGAAGUUUCUAUCCCUAGAAAGCUUUAUGAUGAGUGGGAACCAACUAUUAAAAUUAAAAUUAAAUAUCAUUAAUGCUAUGCUUUAUGUGAUUUGGGUGCUAGUGUUUCCACGAUUUCAAAGACUUUGUGUGAUUUGUUAGGUUUCCGUGAUUUUGAUGAUUGCUCUUUAAACUUGCGCCUUGUGGAUUCCACUAUUAAGAAACCUAUGGGAAGAAUUAAUGAUGUUCUUAUUGAUGCAAAUAGGAAUUAUGUGCCUGUAGAUUUUAUUGUUCUUGACAUAGAUUGCAAUCUUUCAUGUCCUAUUAUUCUUGGUAGACCUUUCCUUAGAACGAUUGGUGCAAUUAUUGAUAUGAAGGAAGGAAAUAUUAGAUUCCAAUUUCCAUUAAGGAAAGUCAUGGAACACUUUACUAGAAAGUAAAUUAAAUUACCUUAUGAAUCUAUUAUGAUAGCCACUUAUGGAUUGCCUACCAAAGAUGGCAAUACCUAGAUCUAUCCUUGCUUGUUAUGCCUAGCUAGGGGCGUUAAACGAUAGCGCUUGUUGGGAGGCAACGCAAUUUUGUUUUUAUUCCUUGAUUUUUGCUCCUGUUUAGUAAUAAAUAAUUUAUCUAGCCUCUGUUUUGGUUGUGUCCUUUGUGUUUAAUUAGUGUUGGUGCCAAGUAGAACCGUUAGGAAGACUUGGGGAAAGUCUUGUUACACUUGCUGUAAAAAACAGAAACUUCAGCGCUCACGAGAACUACUGCCAUUUUUAUUUGGAAAGUUCUAUUUAGUUAAUUAUUUCUGCAGAUGAUUAAUAGAUAAAUUCCUCACGUCCAGAAAUUUAUUUUAGAAUUUUUGGGGUUCCAGCUCUUGAGCUAGGUACAGAUUACUACAGACUGUUCUGUUUUUGAAAGAUUUUGUUUUUCAUGUGUUGUUUGCUUAUUUUGAUGAACCUAUGGCUAGUAAAAUAGUUGAUAGACCAUAGAUAAGUUGGAAUACAGUAGGUAUAACACCAAUAUAAAUAAAUAAUGAGUUCAUUAUAGUACCUUGAAGUGGUCUUUUAUUUUCUUUCGCUAACGGAGCUCACGAGAUUUUCUACUUUAAGUUUUGUGUUGUGAAGUUUUCGAGUUUUGGGUAAAGAUUUGAUGGUUUAUGGAACAAGGAGUGACAAGAGCCUAAGCUUGGGGAUGCCCAUGGCACCCCCAAGAUAAUCUAAGUACACCUAAAAGCCAAAGCUUGGGGAUGCCCCGGAAGUCAUCCCCUCUUUCGUCUACUUCUAUCGGUAACUUUACUUGGAGCUAUAUUUUUAUUCGCCACAUGAUAUGUGUUUUGCUUGGAGCAUCUUGUAUUAUUUGACUCUUUAUUUGUUAGUUUACCACAAUCAUCCUUCCUGUACACACCUUUUUUAGAAUACUCUAUGUGCUUCGCUUAUAUCUUUUGAGUUAUAUAGUUUUGCUCUAGUACUUCACUUAUAUCUUUUAGAGCACGGUGGUGGAUUUGUUUUAUAAAAACUAUUGAUCUCUCAUGCUUCACUUAGAUUAUUUUGAGAUGCUUAAUAGCAUGGUAAUUUGCUUAAAAUCCUAAUAUGCUAGGUAUUCAAAGUUAGUAUAAUUUUCUUAAGAGUGUUUUGAAUACUAAGAGAAGUUUGAUGCUUGAUGAUUGUUUUGAGAUAUGGAGGUAAUAAUAUCAAAGUCGUGCUAGUUGAGUAGUUGUGAAAUUGAGAAAUACUUGUGUUGAAAUUUGCAUGUCCCGUAGCAUGCACAUAUGGUAAACGUUGUGUAACAAAUUUGAAACAUCAGGUGUUAUUUGAUUGUCUUCCUUAUGAGUGGCGGUCGGGGACGAGCGAUGGUCUUUUCCUACCAAUCUAUCCCCCUAGGAGCAUGCGCGUAGUACCGAGGUUUUUGAUCACUUGUAGAUUUUUGCAAUAAGUAUGUGAGUUCUUUAUGACUAAUGUUGAGUCCAUGAAUUAUACGCACUCUCACCCUUCCAUCCUUGCUAGCCUCUUCGGUACCGUGCAUUGCCCUUUCCCACAUUGAGUGUUGGAGCAAACUUCGCCGGUGCAUCCAAACCCCGUGAUAUGAUACGCUCUUUCACACAUAAACCUCCUUAUAUCUUCCUCAAAACAGCCACCAUACCUACCUAUUAUGGCAUUUCCAUAGCCAUUCCGACAUAUAUUGCCAUGCAACUUUCCACCAUUCCGUUCAUCAUGACACAUUCAUCAUUGUCAUAUUGCUUAGCAUAAUCAUGUUGUUGACAUAGUAUUUGUGGCAAGGCCACUGUUCAUAAUUCUUUCAUACAUGUCACUCUUGGUCCAUUGCAUAUCCCGGUACACCGCUGGAGGCAUUCAUAUAGAGUCAUACUUUGUUCUAGUAUCGAGUAGUAAUUAUUGAGUUGUAAAUAAAUAGAAGUGUGAUGAUCAUCAUUAAUAGAGCAUGGUCCCAAAGAGAGAAAAAAGGAAGGGCCAAAAAAGGCCAAAUAAAAAAUAUAAAAAAGGGGGGCAAUGCUACUAUCCUUUUUUCCACACUUGUGAUUCAAAGUAGCACUGUAAUCUUCAUGAUAGAGAGUAUCUUGAUUUGUCACUUUCAUAUACUAGUGGGAAUUUUUCAUUAUAGAACUUGGCUUGUAUAUUCCAACAAUGGGCCUCCUUAAGUGCCCUAGGUCUUCGUGAGCAAGCAAGUUGGAUGCACACCCACUUAGUUUCUUUUGUUGAGCUUUCAUACAUUUAUAGCUCUAGUGCAUCCGUUGCAUGGCAAUCCCUACUCCUUGCAUUAACAUCAAUCGAUGGGCAUCUCCAUAGCCCAUUGAUUAGCCUCGUUGAUGUGAGACUUUCUCCUUUUUGUCUUCUCCACAUAACUCCACUCAUUAUAUUCUAUUCCACCCAUAGUGUUAUGUCCAUGGCUUGCAAUCAUAUAUUGCGUGGAAGUUUAUAGGUUUGAGAUCACUAAAGUAUGAAACAAUUGCUUAGCUUGUCAUCGGGGUUGUGCAUGAUGAGAGCGUUGUUGUGUGACAAAAAUGAAGCAUGACUAAACUAUAUGAUUUUGUAGGGAUGAACUUUCUUUGGCCAUGUUAUUUUGAGAAGACAUAAUUGCUCAGUUAGUAUGCUUGAAGUAUUAUUAUUUUUAUGUCAAUAUGAACUUUUGUCUUGAAUCUUUCGGAUCUGAAUAUUCAUAUCACAAUUAAGAAGAAUUACAUUAAAAUCAUGCUAAGUAGCACUCUGCAUCAAAAAUUCUGUUUUUAUCAUUUACCUACUCGAGGACGAGCAGGAAUUAAGCUUGGGGAUGCUUGAUACGUCUCCAACGUAUCUAUAAUUUUUGAUUGCUCCAUGCUAUAUUAUCUACUGUUUUGGACAAUAUUGGGCUUUAUUAUCCACUUUUAUAUUAUUUUUGGGACUAACCUAUUAACCGGAGGCCCAGCCCAGGAUUGCUGUUUUUUGCCUAUUUUAGGGUUUCGAAGAAAAGGAAUAUCAAACGGAGUCCAAACGGAAUGAAACCUUCGGGAACGUGAUUUUCUCAACGAACAAGACCCAGGAGACUUGGACCCUCCGUCAAGACACAAAAGAGGAGGCCACGAGGUAGGGGGCGUGCCUACCCCCCGGGCGCGCCCUCCACCCUCGUGGGCCCCCUGUUGCUCCACCGACGUACUCCUUCCUCCUAUAUAUACCUACGUACCCCCAAAUGAUCAUAUACGGAGCCAAAACCCUAAUUACACCGCCGCAACAUUUUGUAUCCACGAGAUCCCAUCUUGGCGCCUGUUCCGGAGCUCCGCCGGAGGGGGCAUCGAUCAUGGAGGGCUUCUACAUCAACACCAUAGCCUCUCCGAUGAAGUGUGAGUAGUUGACCUCAGACCUACGGGUCCAUAGUUAUUACCUAGAUGGCUUCUUCUCUCUUUUUGGAUCUCAAUACAAUGUGCUCCCCCUCUCUUGUGGAGAACUAUUCGAUGUAAUCUUCUUUUUGUGGUGUGUUUGUUGAGACCGAUGAAUUUUGGGUUUAUGAUCAAGUCUAUCUAUGAAUAAUAUUUGAAUCUUCUCUGAAUUCUUUUAUGUAUGAUUGGUUAUCUUUGCAAGUCUCUUCGAAUUACCCGUUUGGUUUGGCCUACUAGAUUGAUCUUUCUUGCAAUGGGAGAAGUGCUUAGCUUUGGGUUCAAUCUUGCGGUGUCCUUUCCCAGUGACAGUAGGGGCAGCAAGGUACGUAUUGUAUUGUUGCCAUCGAGGACAACAAGAUGGGGUUUUCAUCAUAUUUUAUGAGUCUAUCCCUCUACAUCAUGUCAUCUUACUUAAGGCAUUAAUCUGUUUUUAACUUAAUACUCUAGAUGCAUGCUGGAUAGCGGUCGAUGAGUGGAGUAAUAGUAGUAGAUGCAGGCAGGAGUCGGUCUACUUGUCUCGGACGUGAUGCCUAUAUACAUGAUCAUACCUAGAUAAUCUCAUAACUAUGCUCAGUUCUGUCAAUUGCUCAAUAGUAAUUUGUUCACCCACCGUAGAAUACUUAUGCUCUUGAGAGAAGCCACUAGUGAAACCUAUGGCCCCCGGGUCUAUCUUUAUCAUAUUAAUCUCCUACUACUUAGUUAUUUCCUUUGCUUUUUUACUUUGCCUUUAUUUUACUUUGCAUCUUUAUCACAAAAAUAAAAAUAUCUUUAUCAUAUCUAUCAAAUCUCACUCUCGUAAGUGGCCGUGUAGGGAUUGACAACCCCUAUUCACGUUGGUUGCGAGGAUUUAUUUGUUUUGUGCAGGUACGAGGGACUGGCGCAUAGCCUCCUACUGGAUUGAUACCUUGGUUCUCAAAACCUAAGGGAAAUACUUACGCUACAUUGCUGCAUCAUCCCUCACUCUUCGGGGAAAACCAACGCAGUGCGCAAGAGGUAGCAAGGGUUCCUUUUUGUCGACGAUCUGAUGUUUCAACCUUGUUUUCCAGGCGGCCAACGCAUCGCUCAACUUGGUCAUGGCGUGUUUGUUUAUCUUCGUCAUUGCCAGGUCCUUAUCUGGAUCUUUAUUAUCCUUUUCAUUACGGUCCGGGAACAAGAAUAUCUGGUGCAGCUUCUUUAGGAGGGAGGGCCUCUGGUGCAGCUUCUAUAGUUUCCCAUCGUUGAUCAUGGCAGUUGUCCGUACAAUGCAACCUAUUUGAUUGCCGUAGCACGAUUGCGCUUCCUCGGGUGCUAUUGUCUCAAAAAUACCGUCGUCCAUCUCCGUGACCACCAGUCUAGUACUCAUGAGCUGGUUUAGGCGUCGUGGCCUCUUUGCUUUCGGUUCUAGACUAACUCCGCUAGUCUCGGCGCUGGUCUCAGUCUCAUCGCCGGUCUGCAUGUCGGUAUCAGUCCCUGAUGCGACAACACAGUCGCUGCAACAUGGGUAAGGGAGACCACAUCAGUGCUGGGGGGUCCGAAAAUCGGGACACACUUUCGCGCGUCGCGGGCCGCCUCUCAGACAGCUACUGGGGAGGCGGCGGAGUACCUGGGUGCGCCGCGAAUCCCCGGGAACUCGGUGACCAACUUCCUUCCCGUGUGGCGCAUGGAGACGACAGCGACCCCGGCGAAGAGUAGCUUAGCCGCGAGCUGCACAGCCUCGUCCACCUCCUAAGUUGGGACCUCCGCGCAAGCGUUGCGGGGCCGCCGCUCGGGUGGCUUCUGGAAGGCGGUUGUACAUGGGCACAGGGUGAAUCCCGACUAGAGCUGGCCAUUGGCGCGCGCAAGUAGACGACGACGUCCCCGACGAAGAGCUGCCCGGCCAGCUCGCCUCACUCUCCUUUGAUUAGAAAUGAAAGAUUGGGAAGAAGCAGACUUGAGCCUGCAGAGAAAGGAUAAGGUGACGAUGCAGUCUCCACUCGUUCGGGGCGACACGCGUACUGAAUGUAUGAGAAACGUGACGUGGCAGAGACCCCAAGAUACUCCCUCCAUUUAUUUUUAGUCUGCAUAUAAAGUUUGGUCAAAGUCAAGAUUUGUAAAUUUUAACUAACUUUAUAAUAAAAAAAUAUCAAUAUUCACAAUAUGAAAUCAAUAUUACCAGAUGCGUCAUGAAAUGUAUUUCCAUACUAUAAAGUUUUGGUAUUGUAGAGGCACUCUUCCAUAUAAUGAAGUUUAUAAUAUAUGUGCUUAUAUUGUACUACAAUUGUUUGAAUAGCUUAGCAUAUGUUCAGAUGUAUGAUAUCUGUAAUUUAAGCGCUUGAAUUUUACAUAUAAAUAUUUAUUAAUAAAUAUGUACCCCUAUAAUAGCUAGGCCGUGCAGUUGCACGGGUAGAUGACUAGUGAUUACAAUCUUGUUUGUGUGCAAGUCAAGCUUAUCUAGUUUACACGUAACAACUUGUAGAACAUUACAAAAUUUAUGCUUGCUAAUAACUUCUAGAACACUACAACACUUGACAUGUAAAAGGAAUUUGACGAGUCAUGGCCUACUAAAGCAAGUUACAUUACUAGUCUUAUCUAUCUUAACAGACCACACAAGAUUACAAACUAAGUACCGUGACAGCCAUACUUAUCUAGUUUAUGCGUAACAAUUUGCAGAAAAUUAGAAACUUAGUUUCAGAAAAAUACGCAAUCUAGAUUAGUGUUUGAGCUGUAAAGUGAAUAAGAUGAGUCAUGCAUGUUAUCACACCUUUUUGGUGGUGGAAUGAUAGUGCAACAACAAGGAACUUUAAUGACCAGUCCAAGAAUACACUUGUAAGUAGUGCCACCAAACAGAACAUUCCAAAUGAUGAUUUUUAGAAGCAUCCAAGCACUUUCCACACAAACAAAUGCCAAUUGUGAAAGAGAUCAUUCCAUGGCAGCUAUAAAUAGCCCCAUAGCAUGACGAUCAUCCUUCCUCAUCCAUCAUUCUCAUUAGUAGAGCGCAUCAUUUAAGCCAAGCAAGCUGUGGUCAAUACAAAUCCACCAUGAAGACCUUUCUCAUCCUUGCCCUCCUUGCUAUCGUGGCGACCACCGCCACAACUGCAGUUAGAGUUCCAGUGCCACAAUUGCAGCCACAAAAUCCAUCUCAGCAACAGCCACAAGAGCAAGUUCCAUUGGUACAACAACAACAAUUUCUAGGGCAGCAACAACCAUUUCCACCACAACAACCAUAUCCACAGCCGCAACCAUUUCCAUCACAACAACCAUAUCUGCAGCUGCAACCAUUUCCGCAGCCGCAACUACCAUAUUCGCAGCCACAACCAUUUCGACCACAACAACCAUAUCCACAACCGCAACCACAGUAUUCGCAACCACAAGAACCAAUUUCACAGCAGCAGCAACAACAACAACAACAACAACAAAUCCUUCAACAAAUUUUGCAACAACAACUGAUUCCAUGCAUGGAUGUUGUAUUGCAGCAACACAACAUAGCGCAUGGAAGAUCACAAGUUUUGCAACAAAGUACUUACCAGCUAUUGCAAGAAUUGUGUUGUCAGCACCUAUGGCAGAUCCCUGAGCAGUCGCAGUGCCAGGCCAUCCAAAAUGUUGUUCAUGCUAUUAUUCUGCAUCAACAACAAAAACAACAACAACAACCAUCGAGCCAGGUCUCCUUCCAACAGCCUCUGCAACAAUAUCCAUUAGGCCAGGGCUCCUUCCGGCCAUCUCAGCAAAACCCACAGGACCAGGGCUCUGUCCAGCCUCAACAACUGCCCCAGUUCGAGGAAAUAAGGAACCUAGCGCUACAGACGCUACCUGCAAUGUGCAAUGUCUACAUCCCUCCAUAUUGCACCAUCGCGCCAUUUGGCAUCUUCGGUACUAACUGAGAAGAAAAUAACUCUAGUACUAGAUAUAUGAAACACCGUUUUCUCAGUCCAUGGUUUGGUCAUUGUAGCGUUGAAAAAAUAAUGUGACAUGCA
rnacentral:lncRNA from 1 species